rnacentral:lncRNA from 1 species
UAAUCUAUUGGGUCGGUGGCUUGUAUCCAAAGUGAUACCAAACUGUGCUGACAAGGAGCCUUUGUAAGAAUCUGAUACAGCUCCUGCUGUUUCUGAAAGGUUGCUCUUCAUCUCUGAAAUUUUUGAUACCAUGCGCUCUUUGUAUUUCGAAACUGAGUCAACCAAAGCAUAGAGUUCCCAAGCACAUAUCUGAAUUUCAUCCUCAUUUUGCUUGAUUGCUUCCUGCAACUUCAAUUUGGACAUCUUCAUGACAACAUCAAAGUCUAGUCAGAAUCCCUUGAAUUUUUCAAUAAUAUUCACAUUAAUCAAGAACAAUUAUAAAGCCAGGUAGAAAUUUUUAGCUCUGAAAAGGGAAACCAACUUAUGUUAAAAUAAGUUUCUUUCAGGUUUACGAGAUCCACCCUGGCAAUAUUGAUAUCCUUAACUAACUAUUUAAGAGAAGAAAAACAAAAUUAUACCUCCAGAACAUCUGCCACUUCUCUUUCCACAAUAUCUACAUUAUAGGUUUCUAUCUCAACAUCCUCCACCAACUUCUUAGCUUCCAUUGCACAUCUGGAGGUGUAGUUUUGCGUUUCCUUCUUCAAAAAAUUUAAUUGAGCUUCCACCUGACAAAUUGAUCAUUCAUCCAUGGUUAACCUCAUACAACAAUAGCCUAAAAAGAAUUCAUUCUGAUGCCUUGUCAAAAAUCAACCAGAAGAUAAAUAUCCAUGAAUGAAAAACAAUUAGAUUAAACAAUGUGUAACCCAAUAAUUUAUGUUGCAAAAUCAAGUUAAACAUCAGAUCCAUCAGAAACAACGAGAUGCAUGAUACUAUUCAAUAGCUUAUUAAUAAAAUCACAUUAUUAGGAAGACACUACUCAAUAGCUCGACACUAAUAAUGGAGUUCUUUAAUAAUGGAAUAACCUUACAUGGCAUAGUUAUGCAAGCAUUGUUUAAGCUAAUGUCAAAUAUAGUCAAAGCCUUGACAAUAAUUUCCAAUCAGCAAGUUGGAAAAUUACUUGCUAAAAAAUAUACUUGGAAAAGGAAUCAAAUGUAGUCAAUCCUUUGUAGGGACUAAUUAUCAUCCAAAAAUAAUUUUUCUUAAGUGUUUUAUAAGCCAUCAAAGCUACUUUGAAAAUUUGGGGCCUGACAACCUAUGUGCAAUAACAAUUGACGUCUCCAACAGAUUAUUAUUAUUUUUUUUAAUCCAAAACAAAUCAUUCAUUGAUAUGAAUUUAAUUACAAACCAAGGAUGAGAAACCCUUUCAAAAUAUAAAGGAUGAUUAAAAAUUGAGGAAAAAUCUAACAAAAGUAGCAAGAUAGCUAUACUAAUCAAGGAUGAUACAAGAACUUGUACAAAAUAUAGCGACAAUGUACACUUGAAGGGGGUAAAACAUACCUUACAAAAGAGUCCAUUUGCAUGGCUCCACAUUUAGCCAAUCAAUCUGCAACCUGAUUCACUAAAUGAGGGGACCAAUAGAAGGAACAACCCAAGCUACUAGCUAGAUCCAGGGUUUUAGGGAGCUACAUGUCAUACAUCCCAAGACAUGUGAUGGGGGAAAGCCUUUCAAAGUAUAUUCAAAAAGGAAAGGAAGGCACAAAUAAACUUUAAGUGGGAUUAGUAUUAGUUAGAAUAAAAUUAGAAUUAGUAUUUAUUGGAAUCAAAUUAGGAAUAGCUAAAUAAUUUAGAGGAGACUUAGAGUCAUAAUAGGUUAUAUUAGAAUCCUAGUAGGCUUUGAAUUUCUUAGAGAAGCCUAUAAAUAAAGCUAAUUGAUGUAAAUCAAAGUAAUGGAUUGAUAAUUAAUAAUAUAACGUUUUCUUGCAUACUUUGCAAUUUUGAAUGGUAAGACUCUUGAUUUUCUUCUAGGUGAGACUCUUAGAAGGCCUUAGUGAGACUCAAAGGUUUCUAGCUCUUCUUCUCCGUAUCUUCUUUCUCAAUGUUUUUUCAUUUUAUUUUUCUUUACCAUAAACUUUAUCCUUUAUUCCUCACCUUAAACGGUUAAACCCUAAAAAAUAAAAACCGUAGCCCACUUAUUUGAUUGUAGGCAACCAUCAUAGGGUUGUCCUACGUCAAUAUGUCCAACAGUUUAAUCAUCCCUUUUAAUCCAAUUUGAAAAUAGCACCUAUUCUUAACUGAAUUAUACUAAAGCAUAUUUGGGUCACUUUUCUAAAGCACAUAUCUGGUUUCCAAAAGUGGACACAAUUCUAGAAUUAUGCAAUUGGAGUAUGUGCAUCUAGGGCAUCCUGAAGAUAUGUGCAUUCUGAAAAUGAACACGUAUUCCUAUUUCUUCUCCCUCUUCUCCCUCUUCCCUAUAUUUAUUAUUCAUCAUAUCUUCACAUCACCUAGGUACCAUAUCAAAACCAUGCAACAAGCUGGCCCUUGAUCAGCAUCCAUCUGACCCUGAUCAAUGGACUUCAGAAACAAUGGCAUGCACCCAACAUUUAACUUCCAAGUCCUCUAGACCAAUUUGACAUAACUAUCGUAGCACACUUUUUGGGUCACCCUUUGUAUUAGUUCAAAGGAACAUUACAACCUGAGCUGUCCAUUGAUGCCAAAAAGCUGUAAUGUGGGUAAUACAUCCUCUGCUCAUAUACAAUAAUUGUUUUUAGCAAUGGAUACAAAAUGGAUGUCUAUCUAGGGCAUCCAAAAGCUAAGAUUUUAUCUACAACCAGAAGAGUACAACCCCUAAAGUUGAAUGGAUACAAAAUGCCCAUGAUUGUCCCUUAAUAAUAACCCCCAACCCACAACCGGCUCCGAUUUCCCAAAAAGCAACCUUCCCAGGAAGUGUUUCUAGGAGGAAAACAAACUUAUCUCUCAACUUAUCCCCUUCAUCACCCACACAGUUUUAAAAGGUGCAAGGCGCACCUAAGAUGCAAAGUUUCCUAUAGCUUAAGCGCAAGGCGCAACACAAGGUGUGUGUCUAAGUGAAGUGAAAUGUGACCUAGAAUACACAUCAAUUUUGUAAAAUAUGAUUCAAAAUCUAAUCCGAUCAAUAAAAAAUUUAAAAUUCGAAACAUUUAAAAGAAGCAUUCAAUAAAAAAGUAAUGAAAUUAUAUACGUUUCAGUAUAUAAUUAGAAAUUUAAAAAAUACAAGUGUUUACAAAGGAAGAGUAAAGCUGACAAGGCGCACUUUUUCAAUAAGGCACAUAUCUUGGCAAGCAAACACUAUAACUUGGGAGUGGUGGCGCCUUGAGCCUAGGCGCACUUAAAGCACACCUUUUAAAACUAUGAUCACCCAUUAGACAGAUGGUUAGACCAGGCAGCUCUUGCUUUUUUUUUUUUGAUAGGUAGACCAGGCAGCUCUUGCUAUUAAAUUUUGAGUGACAACUGCUUGUGUAACUGACACCAUUUGCCCUUUGUACCAAGUUUUAGAUUGACCAUCGGGUGGUACUAUACUCCUUUCCAAUUAUUUUCCCUCCCAUAUUUCAUUUGAGUCAUUCUGGAAUUUAGCAAUAUUCUAUCCCAAUGGAAUUUCUAGGAACAACAUUUUUCUGUCAAAAUUUGAAUACAUCUAAAUUAUCACCUUUUUGAAUUCUAAUUGUAGUCCAAUCAAUUUAACCGCAGUAAUUGAUUUUCCAAUAAAUUUUCUUAUGUGCAUUCAACUACUAACAAUUCAAGAAAACAUUUUUUUUUUGGAUAGGUAAAUCACAAUUAAAAAAACAAAUUAAACGAAGGGGCAAGCAAGAUUAAAAAACAAUUGUCUUUUAGAUUGCAAAGAAAAUACCAAAGAAGCUUUCGGUUACAACUUUAGUUUUCCUGGAGUGGCAUCCAUGCAAUAUAAUGGCCAUGCAAUUGUAUAUGCUACUGCUGGUAUUUUAGAAAUGGUAUUGCUAACAAAGUCAGACCACUAGGUAAAGAAGACCUGCUUUGAUUUGUUAUAUAGAUAGAUGGAUACAAAGAGAGAGAGAGAGAGAGAGAGAGAGAGAGAGAGCGAGAGAGAGUUUGGCCUUUUCUGAGAGUAGCAAAAAGAGGUUGAGUUAAUUUGUACUUCAGUUAAUUGCAUAUUCAAUAGGGGAUCAUUGGCUCCAACUAUGUGCCCACCCCCUCCAUCUGUAUCCUUAUGUAUGUGUCUGAGAAUUUUAUGGGUCUGUAAUUCUUUCCAAAAUUUUUAUGUGCUGAGGAGUUCUUCUUUCUUGUAACAUGAUCAAUCUUGUUAUUUGUACCAAAUAUAUUCAGGAAUGUCUUUGAGAAUUUUAUGAGUAGAGGAUUCAUCAUCCUCUCCAAAAUUUGUCUUCUGGAGUUAAUCUGUAUCUAACAUCACCAAUACUUUUACCCUUCUUUAAAAUUUUAAGGAAAACAAAGUGAAAAUCUGGCUGCUCCUGUUGACACCCUAAAAGCAUAUAAAAAAGGCAUAGUUUUUUAUUCUUCGUGAGAGGUAUAUAAAUGCAUAGCUGCUGAAUAAGAAAAAUGAGUUCUAAUUCACUUACUUCAUCACUACUAGUUUGAAGUGCAGCAAGACGAUUUCUUUUUGCUUCAAUUUUAGCAGCAUUUUCAACUGAUUGUUCCUGAAGAGAAAUCAACUCUUCCAACUUUAGCAUAGAGCAUUUUAUUUAUGUCAUCAGCAAAGGAGUCAAGUGCAGGCUUAAGCGUUGAUUUGUAAUCAAUUCCCAAAACCUCAGCAGGCAAAGACCCUUUGGCAUUCAAAACAUACUGCAAACCAUUUCCUAACUUUAACCUGGAAACCAUCCAAGAGAAAAUACUUCAAUCACACAAUAGAUUGUAGUUUAAUAGGUUGAAAGAGUUGCAUGAGGUGGCAUGCUAAUUUUUCAAUUCAAAGAUGCUCCUGAAAAUUAAGUAUUUAGUGUUGUCUCUUCAUGGCUAUUAGUUUACUUCAAAAAGUUAAAUAGAACAUGGUCCCAAGGGAAACAAUAGGCUCCUAAGGCAGGGCUCAGGAGGCAAAGGGUUGGGUGGGUAUGGGAAGGUUCCAAGUUGAAAUUCAUAUACCGAGAGAGAGAGAGAGAGGGGAGGCUACCUCAAAAAAAGAGGUUGCUAAGGGCAACUGUAUCACCUAUCUCUUUCUAAAUAAAUUAUUAGAAAACUUGUGAGGAUGGAAGUGUUAAAUGGAGAUUUUUUUUUUUAAAGCCAAAUCGAGAAUGAACAUUAACUAACCUUAAAAGCCUUUUUAUUUUUCUUACUUUGACAAAGCUCCAGAAUGGUUAGCAGUUUGAGAGUAACACUUAGCUCAAAAGGUUAAAGAAGAUGAACAAACAUGAAAUCAUAAACCAAUACAAAAGAUGUAAUGCACCCAAAAGAUAAAUGCACGUAAGGCAAAUUACAACUCAGAAACUACCCAUUGUUGGUGUUGAAUCACAACCCAAGUAAACAAAUGAAGUUUGAGUUGGCUACGUGGAAAUAAUGCAUGUGACUCAAGAAGACAUAAGCCAUUGAAUGAUUCAGCAACUACAUUCACCUGGUCUGAAUUUUUGUCUACUGAAAUUUUAUUUUUUUGUUAGGUAAAUUUUUUUAUCCCUAUUGGGAUUUGAACCUGAAACUUCCACAAACCCCCCCAAACCUUUACCUCUUGAGCCAGGCCUCAAGGGCAUGUUCACCGGAAUAAUUUAAGCAGAGAACAGCAGCUGGAUCCUUCUUAGGAAUCAUCAACUAGUCAUGCUGUAACUACAGAGCCAGAUCCUAUGUUCUCACUGAAGUUAUACUAAAAUGUUGUAUAUGUUAAUGUAUUUGCUAAGAACAGGAAAAUAUUUCAUAUCACCCAUAAAUGACAAAAAAAAUCUUGUAAUCUAAUUCAUGGAGGUAGAUAACCUAAUGUUGAUAAGAAUCACAGUAGACUUCAAUGGAAUAGAGAAAAUUAAUUCCAAGCAACACCAAACCUAAGAAAGAACACGAUUCUACCAUGUUCAUUAAUUAUCAGAAAGCAUACUGAAGAUUACUAGAAAGACUUUAAAGUAUGCAACUUAAGAAAUUAAGAAAAUCCUAGUGGAGUGGAUUAUAGAGGUACCAAAGCCAAACAAAGAGGAUAAGGAAAAGAAAACCUCCUGAGAGCCUGGUUGCAUUCAAUUGAAAGAGCUUCAAGCUCCUUAAACUUGUGCCCAAUUGUCGUGUCAACAUCCCAAGACUUCUCCUCCCAACCAUUCCUUGCAACCUCAGCCUCCGUGAUAUCUCUCUCAACUGCCUGCAACUCCCUCUUCAUCCUCUCUGCAUCUCUUGCAUUAAACGUCUGCAACUCAACCCUCUUCUUCAGCUCUUCAUUCUCCUCGCAAAUUCUAUUAUUCUCUUCAACCUUCACCCCCAACUCCUUCUCCUUCUCAUCCAAAAUCUUCUCCACAGAUGCAAUCCUUCCUGAAAAUUCUGCAAUUAUUGCAUGAAAUUUCUUCACAUCCUCCUCCAACACCCCCCUCUCCUUCUCCACAACCUCCUUAGCCGAAGGCCCCGACCUCAAUUCCUCCAACCUCCCCUCCCUCUCUGCCACCUCCUUCUCCAAUGCCUUCACACCUUUCGCCACUGCGUCCCUCUCCCUUUCCAACUUCCCCAUAAACUCCCUAUCCACCGCCUCCAUCCCAUCAUCAUCCCCGCGAAUAUAAUGCAAGUAACUAUCCAAUGCAUGCACAAAAGUAUUGUCAAAACACUCCAAAUUCGACACAAGAUGGUCAUUAUACAAUGCGAUUUGAACCAACCAAUGCAUUACGCCUAAAAGGGAAGGCCAAGCAUGCGGGGUUCCGGGGGCUUUGAGAGCGGACUUGUUGAGCUUGAUCGGGCAAUUGAGAUGCUUGAGGAGGAUAGGAAGAUCGUCUUCAAGUUUGGUUGUGGGGAAAUCGAGUUGGGAGAUGAGGAAUUUUAAGUUUCGGAAAUGUCUUCGGCGGAGGGGAGAGGGGGUUUGAGGGGGAGAGGAGAGGAAUGGGAGGCGAGAAAGGAGUUGAUGGUGCGGAUGGCGGAGAGUUGGUAGGACCGGUCGGUGAGGGCAUCGCCGGCGGAGGAGCGGUUGAUUCCAAGGGAGGAAGGGCGGCUGCUGGAGAAACUAGGGUCAGAGUUGCGGCUGAAUUGGCGGUGGUGGUCGACGGAGGGAGGUGGUGGCGGCGGCGGCCGGUGGCUUUCAUCCCCGGCUGUGAUGGGCGUCUCUCUCUCUUCUGAGUUCUUGUGAAUUCUGAAUCUCUCUUUCCCGCCUAUGGGCUACUGGGAAAAUGACACUGCUUUUUAAAUUUUAUUUUCGAAAACAUUUUUUUUAAAUGAAUUAUUUUUAAAAAUAUUAAGAUAUUAUUUCGUAUUUUAAUAAUAUAAAAUAUUUUCACCGAAAGGAAAAAACAAAUCAAAUUACCGAAAAAACAUUUUUGAGCUUUUUGUUGACUGAUCAAGGACGGGCGGGCAGCAAAGUAUUGAUGAACUUCAACAGGUUAGAAGGAUGAAAGGUGCUGAUUGUGUAUUAGUUCAAUUCUUCUUUAAAUCUAUUUUCCAUACAUCUUGAUUAACCUCUAAGUAAUUGCAUACUCAGAUUAUGCAGUCAAAAGCAAUUUCAUAUUGAUCCAGCCUGCAUACGUGAGGUUCAGGAGAUCUCUCUUUCAAGUCAGUUCCAACAUAAGCACAUUGUUCAAUAUUAUGGCACAUUCAAGGUAUUUUUCAAAUUUUUCUUGUUGGAUUGGCUUCUUGUUAUGUACCACUCUUGGAAUCAGGGCUACCGUUUGCAAAUUUGCAUUUUUUGUGGCAAUCUUAGAUUUUUUUUUCCCUUUUUUUUGUGUGUAUAUUCAUGAAAUCCUGUCAAUUUCAUACCUGAAUCUUUGGGAGAAUAUAUCGAUAUAUAUAUAUAUAAAAAACCCUACAUAAUGCUGCAUGCAAGACACAAAUUUAGGAACUUGAUCUGGGUCUUGUAGAGUUGUUGCAUGAGUCCUCUGGCAUCUUUGUACCUCAGAGGACUUAACUCGCUGCUAGUGCUGGGUUGGGCCUAAUUUAUAGGGAAGAAACAUUGGUGGAGGCAGUUGAUAAAGCCCAGAGUUGACGGCUGUUAACACUGGUGAAGAGGACGGGAAAAUUUUUAGCUUUGAAGAGUUACCUCAUUCUCUUAACUACAUCUGUGCUCAAGUGGCAGAUUACUAGUCCUAAUAUUCCUCAGAAUGCUCCUGGCUUUAGGAAGAAGACAUGAAUUAUGGCAUCAAUUUGGGCAUACGUCCCUCCUCUGCAGUAAAUCUAGAGUGCCAACUAAAACUUGGGACUGAUAAUUUGUUGUUCUCACUUGGGAACCCCCAUGCAGUAACAUUAGUUAGGUCUUUUCCUCAUAGAAUAACCAUGAAAGUCUUUGUGCUUAUUAGUAUAAUGGCUACUCUAGUGAAGGCCCAAUGUUCAAGAGGACUUAGAAAGGAUCUUAAUGUUAUGGGAUUCAAAAUCCUUAGAAGGCAUGAAUCUUUGGUGGUAUCUGUCUUAAGUUCAAUUAAAAUUCGAUUGAAACUUAUCUGGAAGAUCCAUAGGUGUUUGAGGUUUUGGACCAAAUCAAUUGCAGCUUAGGGAGAAGCUGAGUAACUGCUCAGGGUAGCUUUUGACUUGGUGCACUGAGGAGAGUUCAAUGUUAUUGGGUCUUUUAGGGAAAAGCUAUUUUGUCUAGAAUUCCCAGUAGCGUGAAUGACACUGAUGAGCUAAUCAAAAGUUGUGGCUUAGUUGAUUCAUCUCUUAGAGUGAGGCCUUUCCAUGGUCAAACAAGCAAGAAACCCCAGUUUGAAGAGGUUUGGUAGGUUCUUGAUCUCAACAGAGUGCAACAUCAUUCAAGAAUCUUACCUAGGCUAGUAUUUGAUUAUGGUUCCAUGAUAUGGAGGUUAACUAAUUAGAUGAUUCUCACCCUCUUUUCUAUUGAAAAUAUGUGGUUGCUGCACCCAAAAUUUGGUGAUAUUAUUAUGGAUGUUGCAUGAGAUUCAGGUCUCAGUAUGGGAAUGAUAGAUUUAUUGUGUAGCCUUAAGUCAAUCAAAGCUUUCUUUGAAAUAUUGAAGAAAGAAACUUUUGAUAUUUCUGGCAAGAGGAACGCUGUGAUAAUCACACUUGAAGGAAUGGGUCAUAUGACAGAAGAUCUUUGAUAUCUUAGAAUGAAAAGGAAAAUAAGGUUGGAGGAAUUAUGGGAGGGAAGAGCUAGAGACAAGAGUCUAGGUUGAAAUGGGUCAGGGAGGGUAAUUGCUACUCAAAAUUGUUUCACUGGGUGGAUAAAUUAUGGCAGGUAGAAGAAGCUAGAAAGGAAUGCCUGGGUAUUUGAAGAUAGGAAGAGUUAGUCUACUGAAUUUCAGGAGAAUUACUAUGGAUAUUAGUUACCAAGAAUUUAUCAGAAUUCCCUUCAACAUCAGUUACGUUCCCAAUUGGAAUAGUAGUGAGCUACUUUGACAGUUGGUGUUUUGAAGCUUAAUUUUGCUGAUGGUCCUUGGAAAUUGGGAUUGGAUGGCUAUUGGCAAUCUAAUAUGGGAUCACAGGCAAGUUUAUUCGAGGUUCUCAAAGAAAGCUGGUUUUGGGCUGACUAUUGAAGCAAAAAUUUCUUGCUCUAAUGGUGGAGGUGGAUUAACUAAUAGUUUUAUCUUGGGUGGCUAGUAGUCGGAGAGUGUUGUGCGAGAUACAAUCAUUGGGUGCUGAGGAUCAUGCAAUUUGAUAGUUGUGUUCUCUUUUUCCUGGAAGCCUAGAUCCCUUGAAUUAGAAAGGCUAUUGGUCGGCCAAAAAUGGAUCCUGUUCUUGGUUGGUUUAACUAGGGAUAUCAUGCCCCGCGUUUUGGUGGUUAAUUUCCUUAAGGUUGGGCAGCCAAAGGCUCUCUGGUGUGCGGACUUCUGUAUUUGUCUUUUUAUAAGCCUGUGCAAUUUUUUUGAUGGAUUUGUUUGCUUGUUCCUUUUUACAAAUUCUUUGUAUAUUUUCUUAAUUUCUUCAUAACUAAAAAUAAACAGUACUAAAGCUCUGUUUAGAUUGACUUUUUGGAAGCAAAAAGAUCCUUUUUAAGUCUAAUAAGAUCUUCAAUAUGUGUUUUUGGCUUCACUGAAGUACUUCUAACCUUAAAAGGAGUUCAACACAUACGUAUGGGCAAGCUGUUUUUCAGUUUAUGUGGGAAAUUGUUUUAUGUUUAGUGAAAUCACACCAAUGCCAAGAUUGCCCCUUUAAAAUAAUGGUUUUAGCUUUAGCUUCAGUUCCUCACCAAAGUUAAAAGGCAAAAUAAUAUCCUCAAACAAGACCUAAAUCUGAGGCCACAGCAGCACUAUUCCAAUCUUCAUGAGGUUGACUGAGUACAUGUCUCUGUUAGAGAGUUAAUAGGGAUUCUGAGUCUAUAUUGAGUAACCAAGGUUUUUAGAGUUGUUAUUAUUUUCAAUCAUAUUUUUGGAUGUUAAUCACAAAAUUUUAUUUCAGAGGCUAUAGAAGGAUUGCCCUGACUGGAUGACUCUUAAAGCGGCAUGUUCUGUUUUAGCUGCUUGAUGAGAACUAAACCUUAGACUAAAAUUCAUGAGGGGGUCUCUUGAGCUUCCCCAUCUGUUAUUUUUCAAGUUCACUUUUUCCUCUAAAGAACCUUUUUUUAAUCUCUCAUCUACUUAUCGUAUCAGCUAUUUUAUCAUGGUAUUUGGCCUUAUUAUUGUUUCAAGCUAUGUUCUUGCCUUGUAGGUCUGCUUCUGAAUGCAUGUUUCUAAACAUUCAUGCAUCAUAUGCAUCUUUUAUUUCCCUCGCAGGCUGUCUAAUUGACAGUCUAAAUACUCAGUAGUUACAUUUUUCUGUUCUUUGGGGUGAAUUAGUAUUUUUCAUGUUUUUGUUGUUGUCUGUUCCUUUAUGAUCUGGUUCUGGUACUGCAUCAAGAGGAUUGGAGUUCAUGUCAUAUUUUUUUUCUUGCUUACUCACAAAAUGUCUUGCCAUUCUAGGACAAGACCAAACUUUAUAUCUUUCUUGAGCUUGCAACUGAAGGUUCACUUUUAAAUCUCUAUCAAAAGCAUAAACUGUCAGACUCCCAAGCCUCUAAAUACACAAGGCAGAUUGUGAAAGGUUUGAAAUAUCUACAUGAGCAUAAUGUAGUUCACAGGUGAUUCAAAUGAUCUUACUACUACAUUUUUUGGUUAUAUUGCUUGUGCUUUAUUUGUUUAUUCCUUGCUCUAUCCACAUGCCAUCACUGCUUGAAACAUGUGCUGAUUAUUUCAAUUAUCUGCCUUUGCUACUAAGAGAAUUGCAUAUGCAUAAACUAAAUGGCCUUCUUACUCAGGGAAAAUUAGUUCACUCUGUUGAGAAAGUUCUUCAGUUUUUAUUUUAUUAUUUUAUUUUUGUUUUUAUCUUCUUGAAACCUUCAGUAUUAUUUGGAUUGCACCGGUUAGCCCACUUCAGAAUUCUGUGAUUACAGACUGCUUGGUGAAGUGAAAAGUUCAACACUCCCACCUACCCUCUUCCAAGAAAAGAAAAUUGGAAAAACCAAAAACAAAAAGAAGAGUUAGGAGCAUGGAUGUUAAACAUGGUCAUUAUCUGAUAACUAAGAUGAAACUACCCAAAGCCUUGGUAUAGAUAUAGAUAUCCCCAAUUUUCUGUGUACCUUACAUUGUGUCUUCACAUGUGGGGUUUACGUUGUUUGUUUUGAGAUUAUUGUGUAUCUUAAUAGUUUAAUCCUUUCAUAAAACUCCAUGUCAGUUAUGAUAUGAGGUGUGGUCCAUUUCCAUUUGACUUCAUGCAAUUAGCUGUAUUAUAUAUCACUUUGUAUAUUCUGCCUCAGUGCUUGAUCUUGCUAUAAUAUCAUUUUUUUUCUUUUUUUUUUCUUUUUUUUUUUUAUAAGUUGUAAGUCAAAAUUUUCUUUAAAAGCAACAUAUAAGAAAAAAUACAUAAUAAUGAUUCAAACUCUCUCUAUCUCUCUGAUUCACUUGAUUUGAGUGUCUCUUCAAGAGAGUUUUUGGGUCAUGAUUACAAAAUGGAAACCUGAAAAUUGAAAGAAUCCUAAUGCAAAAGCCAUUUACAAUGCAACAAACUCUCUCUCUCUCUCUCUCUCUCUCUCUCUCUCUCAUGUGAUUGAGAUGCUAAAUGGAAUAACUAGCAAGGCUAGAACCAUGGAGGGAUGUGAUCGUGGGACUCAGAAGUACCACAAGUAGGUCAUAAGGGAAAUUAGGUUUGUUAGAUAGUGUAUAGUUAUUUAGGUUAUUUACUUUUCUUUUUCCUUUUCUUUCCGUAUUGUAUUGUGGGUCCCACUAACAUGUAUAUAUAUACCUAAGUCCAAUGUGUAUUAUUAAUAGUUUUUCAAUAACAAUAAUUAGGGAUUCUCCCUUUUCUCUCUAUUCACAUGGUAUCAGAGCCCAGGGAGAAAAAACCUUAAUUAUUUCCGGUUUAUCCGUGAAUCCAUGUUGGGAAAUCUUUUAGUGAUCGUGUUUCAUUCCGAUCAUCUUUCCCAUUUCCUAAAGCUUUCCGAUCAACCGUAUCGCCGUUAGAAAACCCUCAACGCCGGCGACUUUUCCUACGACAUUUUUCCGGCGAAGUCCUUUUCCGACACCGACCAUACCAUCAGGUGCGCAAGGAGAAGAUUUUCAAGUUUUCUCAAGGCACCGGAGGGAGAUUCUCAACCAUGCGCCGGCCACGCACGUUCCUUCUCCGGCAGCCUAAACCUCACGCGCCGGUGCGUGAGGACGCGUAGAGCACUUUCCGGCCACGCGCUUCCACCUCCAGCCUUGCCUGACGCCAUCUAGCCACCCUCCAUCUGUGCUUGUGCCAUCUGAGCCCUACAAGUGCAUUUUUUGGGGGUUUUUUGUCUCCGUCAGCCCUCUAAACAGCCUUUCCGGCGACCUCCGGUGACUUCCUCUCCACCCCGAGCCUUACACAUGUCUUCGGAAGUGUUCUUCUACACUUCCAGUAGUGCCACAUUUGUUUUUCUUUACUAUUUGGUCUCUCACAACCGCGAAUCCUUGGUUUUUCUUCUUUCAGCCGUAUCAGGGCUCUCUUCAAUCUAAACAUAUUUCAUUCUCCAGAUAAGUAGAUAUGGUUACCAAAAGUUCCACUUUUUUCUCUGUCAUAUUUGGAUCUCCUAUGAUUACUUCGAAGAAAUUGGUUGGCAGUGAAAAUUAUUUGUCCUGGUCUGCCUCUGUGGAGCUUUGGUUUAUGGGUCAAGGUUAUGAGGAUCACCUUGUUACGCAGGAGGCGGAUAUCCCUGAGGUUGACAGGGUAUAAUGGAGGAAGAUAGAUGCACAGUUAUGUAUUGUGUUAUGGCAAUCAGUUGAUCCUAAGAUUCUGCUUCAUCUUCGGGCCUACAAAACAUGCUUUAAAUUUCGGAAUCAGGCGAAAGGGCUAUACAUGAAUGAUAUCCAACGUCUUUAUAAGGUGGCUUCUUCUAUUGUUAAUGUUAGACAACAAGACAUGGAUUUAUCUACUUAUAUUGGCCAGAUUGCCUCUCUUAAGGAGGAAUUCUUGAUUGUGAUGCCUCUUACUAUUGAUGUUGGGGAUCAACGAAUGCAGAUUGACAAGUUCUUCAUGGUUCUUACACUUAUUGGUCUCCGUCCAGAUCUUGAGACCGUCCGCGAUCAGAUUCUUGGCAGUUCCUUCGUUCCAUCCUUGGAUGAUGUGUUUGCUCGCCUCCUCCGUAUCUCCUCCACUCAAACUUUGCCAUCUGAUAACACUUCAGAUUCUUCUGUGUUAGUUUCUCAAACUAACUCUCGAGGAGGACGUAGUGGUAACCAAGGUAGAGGCCAACGUCCUCAUUGCACCUAUUGUAAGAAGCUUGGCCACACUCGUGAUCAGUGUUAUCAAUUACAUGGGCGGCCUCCCCGCACUGCCCACGUGGCCCAAUCAUCUGAUCCUCAACCUCCUCAGCCUCCCAAUUCCUCCACAUCUCAGGGUAUUUCCCUCACUAACAGUGAGUAUGAUGACUAUCUCCGCUAUCAGACCACCAAGUCAGCUUCUGUUGCUUCUGUUGCUCAGACUGGUAAUACUUCUGCUUGUCUUACCCACACAUCUUCUCUUGGACCUUGGAUUCUAGAUUCUGACACUUCUGAUCACAUAUCUGGUAAUAAGGAUUUUUUCUCUUCUAUUACUACUACCUCUGCCUUACUUACAAUUACUUUAGCUAAUGGUUCCCAAACUAUGGCUAAAGGUUUUGGUUUAGCUCAUCCUCUUCCUUCCCUACCUCUCCAUUCUGUCCUUUAUGUCCCUGAGUGUCCUUUUAAUCUUAUUUCCAUUAGCAAAAUAUCUCGCACUCUUAACUGUUCUAUCACUUUCUCUAAUAAAUUUGUAACCUUGCAGGACCGGAGUACGGGGAAGACGAUUAGCAUAGGACGUGAGUCUCAAGGCCUCUAUCACCUCACCUCGCCUUCAACUCAUGCAGUUUGCAUUUCCACUGAUGCUCCCUUCCUCAUCCACAGUCGCCUGGGCCACCCUAGUCUAUCCAAGUUCCAAAAAAUGGUCCCUCGUUUUUCAUUUUUGUCGUCGCUUGCGUGUGAGUCCUGUCAGCUUGGGAAACAUACUCAUGUCUCGUUCCCAAAGUGUUUGAAUAAUCGGGCAAAGUCUCCUUUUGAACUUGUCCACACUGAUGUUUGGGGUCCUUGUCGAACCGCGUCUACUUUAGGAUUUCAGUAUUUUGUCACUUUCAUUGAUGACUAUUCUCGAUAUACUUGAUUAUUUUUAAUGAAAAAUCGAGCUGAGUUAUUCUCUAUUUUCUAGAAAUUUUAUGCUGAAAUCCAAACCCAGUUCAAUAUUUCUAUUCGUGUGUUGCGCAGUGACAAUGCCAGGGAAUAUUUUUCUGCACCAUUUACUUCAUUUAUGUCCCAACAUGGGAUCCUUCAUCAGUCUUCUUGUGCUCAUACUCCUCAACAAAAUGGGAUAGCUAAACGUAAGAAUCGACAUCUUGUUGAGACAACUCGUACUCUCCUUCUCCAUGGUAAUGUUCCUUUUCGUUUUUCGGGGGACGUUGUUCUUACAGCAUGUUAUUUGAUUGAUCAUAUGCCCUCAUCUGUAUUACAUGAUUAGAUUCCUCAUUCCCUUCUUUUCCUUGACCAACCACUUUAUUUUCUUCCUCCUCGUGUUUUUGGUUGUACUUGCUUUGUUCAUAUUCUCACUCCUGGACAGGACAAACUCUCUGCCAAAGCCACAAAAUGCAUUUUCUUAGGAUAUUCCAGACUUCAAAAGGGUUAUCGUUGUUAUUUCUCUGAGACUCAUCGCUACUUUCUCUCCGCUGAUGUCACUUUCUUUGAGGACUCACCGUUCUUCUCCACCUUUGAAACUCUUCUUGUUUCUGAAGUCUUACCUUUUCCCCUAAUCUCCCCACUUGAUGCAGUGCCUUCUCGCCCACUUCAGGUUUAUCAUCGUCGUCAUCGUGUCGCUGUUCCUCCUUCUUUGGCCGAGGUACCUGCUGACUCACUUCCUAUCCCUUCGGCUUCUCCUGCCCCGACUCUACCUCCUUCUGCUGACUUACCCAUUGCUCUUCAGAAAGGUAAUCGAUCUACUCGUAAUCCUCAUCCCAUUUACAAUUUUUUGAGUUACCAUCGAUUAUCUUCACUCUAUUCUGCAUUUGUUUCUACUAUAUCUUUUGUUUCUCUUCCCAAGAGCACCCCUGACGCUUUUUCCCAUCCAGGCUGGCGACAGGCAAUGGUAGAUGAAAUGGUUGCUUUACACUCCAAUGGCACUUGGGAUCUUGUUGUUUUACCCUCUGGUAAAUCUACAGUUGGUUGUCGUUGGGUCUACACAAUUAAGGUUGGCCCUGAUGGUCAGGUUGAUCACUUUAAGGCCUGUUUAGUUGCUAAAGGCUAUACUCAGGUUUAUGGUUCUGAUUAUGGUGACAUUUUCUCUCCUGUUGCCAAGAUAGCUUCUGUUCGUCUAUUACUCUCCAUGGUUGCUAUGCGUUCUUGGCCUAUUUAUCAUUUAGAUAUUAAAAAUGUUUUCCUUCAUAGGGAUCUUGCUAAGGAAGUUUAUAUGGAGCAACCACCUGGUUUUGUUGCUCAGGGGGAGUCUGGUUUAGUGUGCAGGUUACGCCGUUCUUUAUAUGGCUUGAAACAAUCUCCUCGAGUAUGGUUUAGCCGUUUUAGUUCUGUUGUUAAGGAGUUUGGCAUGUUCCACAGUACAACAGACUAUUCCGUUUUCUAUCAUCAUAACUCUUCGGGGUAGUGUAUUUAUCUGGUAGUUUAUGUGGACGACAUCGUCAUUACAGGCAGUGAUCAGAAUGGUAUUCAGAAACUAAAGUAACACCUUUUCACCCACUUUCAGACUAAAGACUUGGGGAAACUCAAGUAUUUCUUAGGGAUUGAGAUAGCUCAAUCCAGUUCCGGUGUGGUUCUUUCCCAAAGGAAGUAUGCUUUAGACAUCUUGGAAGAAACCGGUAUGUUAGACUGUAAAACGGUAGUCACUCCUAUGGAUUUAAAUGUCAAACUUAUACUAGGACAGGGGGAGCCUUUAGGAGAUCCUGGGAGAUAUCGACGACUUGUAGGUAAACUGAACUACCUCACCAUUACUCGUUUAAACAUUUCUUUUCCUGUAAGUGUUGUUAGCCAAUUCCUACAGUCACCAUGUGAUAGCCAUUGGGAUGCUGUAAUCCGCAUUCUUCGAUAUAUCAAAAGCACACCAGGCCAAGGUGUGUUGCACGAGAACAGAGGUCAUACCCAGGUUGUUGGUUACACAGAUGCAGAUUAGGCUGGUUCACCCACAGAUAGACGUUCCACUUCCGGGUAUUGUGCUUUUAUUGGAGGUAACCUAAUAUCCUAGAAGAGUAAGAAACAAGAUGUAGUGGCCAGAUCUAGUGUUGAAGCCGAGUAUCGAGUUAUGACUCUAGUAACAUGUGAACUCAUAUGGCUAAAACAUUUUCUUCGGGAGUUGAGAUUUGGAAAGGAUGAACAAAUGAAACUCAUCUGUGACAACCAAGCCGCUUUACAUAUUGCAUCCAAUCCAGUCUUCCAUGAAAUGACCAAACACAUUGAAGUUGACUGUCACUUCAUUAGAGAGAAAAUCACAUCAAGAUGUGUGGCGACUAGUUUUGUCAAUUCAAAUGAUCAACUAGCAGAUAUUUUUACUAAAUCUCUCAGAGGUCCUAGAAUUAAAUACAUUUGUAACAAGCUUGGUGCAUAUAACAUAUAUGCUCUAGCUUGAGGGGGAGUGUUAGAUAGUGUACAGUUAUUUAGGUUAUUUACUUUUCCUUUUCCUUUUCUUUCCGUAUUUUAUUAUGGGUCCCACUAACAUGUAUAUAUAUACCCAAGUCCAAUGUGUAUUAUUAACAGUUUUUCAAUAACAAUAAUUAGGGAUUCUCCCUUUUCUCUCUUUUCACAAGGCUUAUAGAUUUGGUCAUACGCAACAAAGGCCAAUAAUUGCAUUGUUAAGAAGAGAUGGGUGGACAUUGGGAAUCAAUUGAGGUUACUUCAGGAAAUUAGACAUUUGGAAUGACAGUUGAAGCCACAAUGUUGUACGUUUACUUACACAUAAAUUGUUUCUGUUGUAAGACUAAUUGGUUCUGUAUCAUCUUCGAGGGAUAUCUGGUGGAUGUAAAUGGAACCGUGAAACUUGUGGAUUUUGGAUUGGCAAAGGUUAGUUUCUUUUUACUAGAGUUAUCUCUCUAUUGUUUCAAAAUGCUAGACUUCUAAAUAUUAUAUUUCUGGUUGUAUAUCUUUUCAGUUUUGCAAAUUGAACGACAUAAAAUCUUUUAAAGGGACUGCAUUCCGGAUGGCCCCUGAGAUAUCUUCCUCUCUUGCAUUCCUUCAUUCCUUGAUUUCUUAAAUUAACAAAUCAUGUUUGGUUUUGAAUUGAGAACUAUAUUUUAUGGAACUGUACUCGGUAGAAUCUUCUUAUACCAUGAAGAAGCAUGCUUAAAAUGUAGGCUCUGAAACCCUUGUCUUUUAGCAGGUGGUUGCAUCAGAAAAGGAAAUGACAUGAUUGAAUUGGGUUAUUGAAUAGCUCGAUUAUUGGACUGGAGAUAUCCCAACUAACAAAUUGAUAAGUUGUUGUUUUCCAAACUGUUGCUCUUUCUAAGAUUUUAUCCUACAAGGCAUUUAGUCAAUGCCAUGUCUUAUUACCAAUGCAUUUUGAUUUUGCAUGUCAUUAGUAUCUUUCUGUGCAACUGCCAAUAUACUGACACUAAUAGAUGCAUGGAACCACUGAAUGCUCAAUUGAUGAGGAUUUUCCAUUCAAAUCUGAGAAUUUAAGCAUCAAGCUUCCUUUUUCCAUUAACUCUCUCUACUUCUAAGGGUGGUUAAACCCUUGCUUCAUUAUUUGGUAACAAAAAUUAGUACAUCACCAGAAGAUUGGUAGAGGGAUCCUACAAUUAGGGAUGCAAUGAAGUGGAUUGGAACUGAGUGACCCAUCCUUCUUCCUGAGAAUCCGAUUUAGUACAUUUAGUACACUUCAUUCCAAAGCUGCUCCAUUGGAACAAAUUGUUUAACUUUCUGGACUGCAGGUUUGUGAAGAGAUGUUAAAGCCCUGGCUAAAAAUGAAAUAGUGGUCUGUUUUAUAAAACAAAAUAUGGUCACCAGCAAUCUAAAUUGUAGCUCGAUAUUGCCCUUCUGAAAUAAAUUUCUGACUCUUUGCCCCAGAGAAUGAAUUGUGGUUUUGCAACCGCCCAGGUCUGUGGAUUUGAAUCAGUUUUUACUUUGAAAUCAUGCUCAAACAUCCUAGUCUUACAACUGUGUUUAUUUAUAAAUCCUGCACCAGUUGGGAGUAGAACUCUUAAAUCCCUGUUCUAAAUCUUGUCCAAACAUGUUAUAAGUCUUUGUGUUAACCAUAUUUGAAAGUUUUUUACCAAGGACAUUUGUCAUUAUAUUAUGUGGCACAGGAUGCUCCAAGCAUUAUAGUUUCUUGUAAGUGUUGAUUUUACAAAUAAUUUGUGCCACUGUAGGUCAUUAAUGAGGACAAACGAGAGAACGAUGGUUAUGGGUUUGCAGCUGAUAUAUGGAGCCUCGGGUGCACUGUAUUAGAGAUGUUAACUCGGCAACAUCCAUAUCCCGAAUUGGAGCCGGUAUGUAUAAGCUUCAAUGGAAACAAAUAAUCAUUCCAAUAUUACAUUCUUAUAUGCAUCCAAACAUAAGAAUUGGAAUCACCAAAUCUAUUUCUAUUCAAGAAGAUAUAGGAAUGAAAACAAAGUUUUUAUUCUCAUUCCUCAUUCCCAUAUACUAAACAUGGCUUGAGGGCAAUGGACUGAUUUCAAUGGUGUGUAUACUUGUCUUAAAUAUUUGGUAUUAGCAACUUGCCCUAUGGUAAAAGUGUGGUUUGGGUUGAGAAUAGUAUAAAGAUGAGCCUAGGGUUGUCAAUGGAGCCUGCAAAUAGCUGUUGGAUUUGAAGGUUGAAUAGGAAUUUGCACAAUAAGGUUUUGGGAGGUGAGAAAAUGAAAAUGGAUGUUGGUGGAACUGAGAGUAUGAAUGCCUUAUGUACUAAUUUGACUCAUUCAUAUUGAGAUCAUGUAUAUAUGAAAUUCAUAUUAUGCAAGAAGACAUUGCUUUUACUAAUUCAAAUGGAAGGUGAACAACAGUGAGAAACAAUUGCUAGUACCCCAUAGGCAUCAUUAUAUCUUCGACAAAUUGACAUAGGAGUAAUAAUUUUGAAACAAUCUAUCAUUCAUUCAUAAAUUGUUGUUUGGUAACACUCUUUUAAAAUAUACAAUAUAAAAUUAAAAAAUAAAAUUUAAUUCAAUAUCUGUAAAACAAUAUUGGGAGACUGCAUAUUGGACGUUGUUUUCAUAAUCUUGCGUUUGUCCUAAGUCUUAACUCUUAAUAGGAAAAAACAUGUUUUUGAUGGAGUAUAUUCCCUGCAAUGAGAUGCACUUGUUCUUAACCACCUUUCACAGUCGAAUCAAAAAACAAUGUUAGGAAUCAAAAUCGAAUCAAAAAGAGGGAAGUGAUAUUGAAGAUACGGGUUCUUGGCGGGUUUAGAUAUUAUCUUGUCUGAUACCAUCCAACCUGGAUUAUAUAUAAAAUUAAUUUUAAAAAAUAAUUUUAUUGAUUUUUUUCUAUUACCAUUUUUAACACAUAUAAAAUAUUUAAAAAUUAUUUUUUAAAUAAAAUAAGUUAUAAAAACUAUAAUAUUUUACUUAUUUAUAAAAUAUAUUUAUUUUUAAUGUAAUUUAAAAAUUCUAAAAUUAUUACAUUUUUUUAAAAUAUAGAAAAUAUGAUGAGUAUGAUGGCCAUGAGAAUUACUUUGUAUAAACGUGAUAGGAUUGAUAUGGGCAAUCAUCGUCAACCCACCUGAUCAUCAUCCUUGCUCAAUUAAAAAUUUACUUAAAGGAAGGGUAUAAUUGGUAUUUUUAUUUGUUAUAAAGAAAGUAAUUGAAAUGGCUUUUGGAAACCCGAUGAUAUCCGAUUGGAGAUAAAUAAAAAAAAUAUUGGUAAACAUUUUUAGGAAUAAUGAAAUUAUUUUUAAUAAAAAUUCUUGAAGAAUUAACAUAAUACAUCAAAUAUUAAUUUUUAAAAUAUUAUUAUGUAAAUUAUAUAUACUUAUUUCCAUCUAUUGAAGAAAUUCUAAUGUUAGUCGAUGGGUGAAAAAAAUAUGAACCGAUAAAAAUAAAUAAAAAAUAAAAAUAAAAAAGUUGAUAAUAACAUUAUUCUGCUAGUUAAUUGUAUCAUAAUUUUUUUCCAAAAUUAUAAACUUGCAACUAUUUUUCUAUCUAGCUUGUUUUAUAUAGACAUAAUUGUUUAGAGAAAGUUAAAACCAUUAUGAAAAAAAAAAAUCUGUCUAAUUCACUAAUCAAAUAAGGUUAUAAUCUUAUAAUGUCAAUAAAACUACUUAAAGCUAUAAUAGUUAAAAUAAUUUUCUCUAAAUAGAAUAGCAAAUUGUUUAACUAAAAAAGGUAUUUGCAAUUUAGAAUCAAUCAUUUGAUGGUUGAAUUUUUUGAAAGAUAUUAUAAAGUUUAGUUUUGAAAAUUAUUGUGACUUAUUUUUCAAUUGUAUUUGUAGGUAUUCUACUUCGUAGUCUCCUUUCAUAAAAAGAAAAGUAUUUGUAAUUUAAAAUCAAUCAUUUGAUAGUCAAAUUUCCUUAAAGAUAUUAGAAAGUUUAAUUUUGAAGAUUACUAUGAUUCAUCUUUCAAUCGUAUUUGUAGUCUCCUUUUAAAAAAAUACUAAUAAUAAUUUUCUCUUAUUUAAAUUUCUUUGCUACAAAACAAUAAUUUGAUUUUUCUCUUAUUUUUAUUUCUCUAGUACAAAACAAUAUUAUAGUUUAUAUUUGGACCACAAAAUGUAAUAUGAUAUAGAAAAAGGUAAAAAGUUUUUUUAUAAAUUAAACUUGUAUUAUAUUGAUCAACAUUGUAAGUUCUAAAUUUGUUAUACUUCAAAUAUUUUUCUUAAAAAUGUAAUAUAUUGAUGAUAAGAAAUCAAGAUUAAAAACCUGAGAUCGUUACAAUGUGUUGCAUUGAUGUGUUGAAGUAGAAAGAGGAUUAUUGAGAAACAAUGACUUGACUUUUCCAUUGAUUAAGAAUGAAUAUAUAUACACAAAACCUAAAACACAAAAAUAUGAAACAAUCUUAGAAUUAGGGGAUUACAACAAAAAUAUGAAAUAAUCUUAGAAUUAGCCCAAAACACAAAAAUAGGAAACAAUUCUAGAAUUAGGGAAUUACAACAAAAAUAGGAAAUUAUAAAUAAUUACAAAAAUUUGAAAAUAGAAAGAAAAUCUAUUGUAAUGAAUUCUCUAAUAUGCCCCAUCAAGAUGGAGCUCCGAAGGAGAUGCCAAUCUUGACCCAUAAUUCUUGGAAGCGGCUUCGUGGAAGUAGUUUAGUAAGAGCGUCGACAAGUUGAUCUGCUGAGGAAACAUGAGUAACACGAAGAGCAACUGAUUGAACUUGAUCCCGAAUAAAGUGAUAGUCAAUUGUCACAUGUUUCAUGCGCGAAUGAAAGACUAUAUUAGAACAGAGAUAGGUGACACAACAUUGUCACAAUAGAUAACAGGCGUUGUAGGAAGAGUAACGCCAAGCUCUGUGAGAAGGGAACAAAUCCAAUUGAUUUCCGAAGUAGUAGUGGCAUAUUGGGAGACCGCAUAUUGGACGUUGUUUUCAUAAUCUUGUGUUUGUCCUAAGUCUUAACUCUUAAUAGGAAAAAACAUGUUUUUGAUGAAGUAUUCCCUACAAUGAGAUGCACUUGUCCUUAACCACCUUUCAAAGUCUAACCAUGAAUCAAAAAACAAUGUUAGGAAUCAAAAUCGAAUCAAAAAGAGGGAAGUGAUAUUGAAGAUACGGGUUCUUGGCGGGUUUGGAUAUUAUCUUGUCCAUUCCCAUCCAACCUCAAUUAUAUAUAAAAUUAAUUUUAAAAAAUAAUUUUAUUGAUUUUUUUUCUAAUACCAUUUUUAACACAUAAAAUAUUAAAAAAUUACCUUUUUUUUUAAUAAAAUAAGUUAUAAAAACUAUAAUAUUUUACUUAUUUAUAAAAUAUAUUUAUUUUUAAUGUAAUUUAAAAUUUCUAAGAUUAAUAAUUUUUUUUUAAAUAAAGAAAAUAUGAUGAGUAUGAUGGCCAUGAGAAUUACUUUGUAUAAAUGUGAUAGGUUUGAUAUGGUUAACUUGUCAACCCAUCCGAUCAUCAUCCUUACUCUCAAUUAAAAAUUUACGUAAAGGAAGGGUACAAUUGGUAUUUUUAUUUAUUAUAAAGAAAGUAACUGAAAUGGCUUUUGGAAACCCAAUGAUAUCCAAUUGGAGAUGAAUUCCCAACUUCAAAAUUAGUAAAGUUAAUUUUUUUUCUUGAACAAAUUUAGGAACUUUAUAAAUGUCAUGUUGUCGCAGGUGUUUAUACUAUAAAAAUAUUCUUAAAUAAUUUUAUUGGUAAGCAUUUUUAGGAAUAAUUAAAUUAUUUUAAAUAAAAAUUCUUGAAGUAAUAACAUAAUACAUCGACUAUUAAUUUUUGAAAUAUAUUUAUGUAAAUUAUAUAUACUUAUUUCCAUCUAUUGAAGAAAUUCUAAUGUUAGUGGAUGGGUGAAAAAAAUAUGAACUGAUAAAAAAAAUAAAAAAAAGUUGAUAAUAACAUUAUUCUUGCUAAUUAAUUUUGUCAUUUUUUUCUCCCAAAAUUAUAAACUUGCAACUAUUUUUCUAUCUAGCUUGUUUUAUAUAGACACAAUUGUUUAGAGAAAGUUAAAACCAUUAUGAAACAAAAAAAAAUGUCUAAUUCACCAAUCAAAUAAAAAUAAAAUCUUAUAAUGUCAAUAAAACUACUUAAAAUAAGUUUCUCUAAAUAGAACAACAAAUUGCAUAACUAAAAAAUGUAUUUGCAAUUUAGAAUCAAUCAUUUGAUGGUUGAAUUUUUUGAAAGAUAUUAGAAAGUUUUAUUUUGAAGAUUAUUGUGACUCAUUUUUCAAUUGUAUUUGUAGGUAUUCUACUUCGUAGUCUCCUUUCAUAAAAAGAAAAGUAUUUGUAAUUCAAAAUCAAUCAUUUGGUGGUCAAAUUUCCUUAAAGAUAUUAGAAAGUUUAGUUUUGAAGAUUACUAUGACUCAUCUUUCAAUCGUAUUUAUAGGUAUUCUACUUCAUAGUCUUCUUUUAAAAAAAUAAUAAUAAUUUUCUUUUAUUUUAAUUUCUUUGGUACAAAACAAUAAUUUGAUUUUUCUCUUAUUUUUAUUUCUCCAAGACAAAACAAUAUUAUAGUUUAUAUUUGGACCACCAAAAUGCAAUAUGAUAUAGAAAAAGGUAAAAAGUUUUUUUUUAUAUAAAUUAAAAUUUUAUUAUAUUUAUCAACAUUGUAAGUUCUAAAUUUGUUUUACUUCAAAUAUUUUUCUUAAAAAUUUAAUAUAUUGAUGAUAAGAAAUCAAGAUUAAAAAACCUAAGAUUAUUACAAUGUGUUGAAUUGAUGUUCUAUUUACCAUUAUGUUUGUCCAUGUUUCAUUUUUUUUUUUUUUUUUUAUGUUUUAGUAAUUGUCUUCUAAUUACUAAUAUUGGUUCAGGAGAUUCAAAAUUGUUACACAAUUUGUUGUCAAUUGUCCAUUUUAAUUAAGUAAUAACAUAAUCUAUUCAAUAAUUAAAAUUUUUAAAAUAUUAUUUUGAAUUCUACCUAAAAUGCGUUUGACAUUGAUUUUAGGAAGUACUUCUAGUUUUUUUAAUACUUAAAAUUUUUUAUUUUUCAAGCAUAAAAAAAAAAAAAAAAAGUUGUGCCAUCUAUCAAAUAAAUUAAAAUAAUGGUGGAUAGCAAGAAAGUACAAAAUAUUAUUGUGUACCCUCAUUUUAGGCAUUUUUGACAACUCUUUUUUUACCACUUUGGAGAGUUGGCAGCAUUUGGGAGGAGUAAGGGGCCGACUUAUUCAAGCGAGCUGCAUGCAUUGACGCAUGGCCAGGGACACCACCACCUCGCCAUGGUGGUGGUUGAGACCGGGGGGAAGGGGAGAAAGGGUAGAAAAAGGGGAAAAAGACGAGAGGGCUGGCAAGAUUUUUUUGAGGGAAAAAUCUGGAUAAUUCGAGUUGAGAGCAGAAAAAAAAAAACGGAGAGAGGAAGAUAUUUUCUAAGGGAGACAGAGAAGUGAGCUCCAGAGGGGGGCAGGCUGUCUCUGUUUCAGAGGAGCUCUUAGGUAAGUUAUUUGUGUAUUUCUUGUUCAUCUUCAUUACCACCGUUAUCCCAUCUUCUCCUCUUGCUGUUAGGAGUUUCGUUUGCUUGUUUGGUCAUGGAUAAUAGAAGCUACACAGGAGUUUUGUUGAUUUUUGGCUGGUUCAUAUGCUCAUUUUUAUUGUUUCAUUCACUGUUCUUUUAGUAUGGUAUAAACUCAGUGAAGCUCUAUUUCGUCUUGCUUUAUUUGAAGAUAUUAGUUGUUUUUUUUUCUUUUUUUUUUCUCAUUUGAAGAUGCUAGUACUCUUCCCACCAGUCCAUACCCAUUUCCUCUACCCUUCAUACUCACCUUACCAUCCUUCGUGCUCACCGUACCCACCGCCAACCGCUUAUUCCACCAUCAUACCCAUGCUUCCACCUCUCAACAUCUACUAAACCCGCUUUUCACAACAUUUCCAGCACCCAUUCCAUCAAUCGUUCUUUCUUACCCAUUUCUCUUACUACCUUACAAUAACCCAACCCUCCAAGGAUGACCCAUGCAAAUGCCUCACCAAUCUCCACCCUCCACACUUAUCCAACCGAGCCUUUUGAGAAUGAGUCGGAUUCAAAUUUCCAAUACCCGGAUAUUAGAAAUGAGGGUUUUCUGAUUGAGCAAGAGAAAGAUAACAUGGUUACAAUGCAUGAUGUUAUGUAGACUCAAUGGGUUUACAAUCAUUACAGAGGUGGGAGCUAUUUGAGAUUAUGCCUUUUGAAAUGGUCUUAACUAGUUAUAAGAGAUCGUUUGUGAAUGAAUCUGCUGCAAAUACAUGAAGGUUAACGAUUCAUAGUUCUUGUGCAUGAGAUCAAAGCAAUAAUAGGCAACCAGAGACCGCAUUUAAAUAUCCUGACUUUGGUAGGGAUGCUGAGUGCUUUAAGGCUGCAAGGGUACUUGCCCAAUAGGUUGAAAAGGCUACAUGAGCCCUAAGUGAUUAUCUUAAUGUGAGGGUUCAUGCUUGUGGUGUAAGUAUGACAUCACGGCAACGUGUAAAAUGGGUUUGUAGUGCUAGUGCCUGUACACGUUAUGAUGCUAAGGCUAUUUUUUUUAAUUAUUUAUUUAUUAUUUUCUUAGUUUUCUUCAACUAUUGAUGUCAAAAUGUUCAUUUUCAAAAUUUUAAUCUUAUUACAAUUUUCUAAAACUUUAGUUUUAAUUUAAUUUUACAAAGCUCUAAUUUUAAAUUAAUUUUUUUCAAAACUCCCAUUUUUUUAAAAAUUUAAUUUUCAAAACUUUGACUUCCCAAACUUCAAUUAUUUUCAAAUUUAUUUAAUUUAUUUAUUUAUUGUAUAUAUAUAUAUAUAUAUAUAUAUAUAUAUAUAUAUAUAUAUAUAUAUAUAUAUAUAUAUAUAUAUUUUAAUUCCAUCUUUAAUUAACUCUUCCAAUUUCCAAUUUCCAAAUUUAAUUCCUAAUUUCUGAAAUUCCAAUUUUCAUAUUUAUUUAUUUAAUCAUUUUUAUUUUCGUUAUUAUUAUUAUUCCAUUUAUCUAUUUAUUUUCAUUUAUUUAAAAAAAAAAAUCUUUCUUUACAUAAUUCUUCAAAAUUCCAAUUUCCAAAAUUCCAAUUUUCACAUUUAUUUAUUUAAUUAUUUUUAUUUUCAUUUUUAUUAUUAUUCUAUUUAUUUAUUAAUUUUUAAAAUUCCAUCCUUAAACAAUUUCUUUAAGAUUCAUAUUUCCAAAUAACUUUCAAAGUUCCAAUUUCUCCCAAAUUUAAUUUCCGAGAUUCCAAUUCUUAAAUUUAAUUUGAAAAUCUCCAAUUAUCGAAUAAACCUCGAAAUCCCAAUUCCUUUCAAAUUUAAUUUCUAAAAUUCUCAUUCUCAAAUUUAAUUUCCAAAAACUCCAAUUUUCAAAUAGUUUUCGAAACUCUAAUUUUCAUAUAAAUUUCAAAAAUCCAAUUUUCUCUCAAACCAUUUUAAUUCCACUCUAGUUUUCAAAUAAUCUUAUGUUUAUCUCGAUUUUACAUAAGUACGAAUGAAUUUUUCAUAAUUCUGAAAUAAUGAAAUUUGUCAAACCAUUUCAUGCAAGAUAAAUUGGGCUUUGGUGGGAGGCCCGACAUCAAAGAAGUUUCAUUUAAAAUAAAAAUGAACUUGAGGGAAAUGUCAUGUGUGUCAUAGAUGACUUCAUAUUCUGUUUGGUGAUGCAUGUGAUAUAUUUUACGUUCAUUCUUAUGCACUAACCCCAUUUCGUGAUAGCGCAUUAUUCGCUUGCUGCCAAGGUAUGUAUCUGCUCUCACUUUGACCAUUCUCUACGCUUUGUUUUGGCUCCCAGUGUAUGAUCAUCUUUUGGUAUUCACGUUUAAUAAACCAAUUGCCACAUGUGCUUCAUUUUAUUAGUAGAGACCCGUUUUUAGGGACUUAGAGGGAUGUUACGGUCUUUACCGUACCUUCCUAAUAAGGAAUCUGCCCCCGAACCCGAUCCGAUUUUUCACAGACCUGCUUUCCCAAAUAAAGAGUCACACUUAGGGUUUUUCUUUCUUAUUUUAUUUUCCCUUUAAAAAUAAAACAAAAAUAAAUGGCGACUCCAAGUCAUUUUCUUAAUAAAUAAAAUCAUUUUCAAUUAAAAAUCGAGCUCGCCAUCAAGUGGAAGCGCAUGAGCAGAAAUGCGGGGUCCACAAUUAUGAACAAAAUUGAAAACAACUUUAUUCUUUGACCUUGAAUGGCUGCAUGGUCUCAUCAUAAGAAAAUAAAAUAUUGUAAGCUUCUAACUAUUUUCCCAUAUGUGUUGCCCUUAAAAAAUGCAUAUUUUAUAAAGGAAGCACCCUAUUGUAAGGUUUUUUUAGGAAUAAGUAUCUUCAAUAAUUAUGUAAUUAAUUUCGUAUAGGAAUACGUAUCUUUCACAAUUAGACAAUUAAUAUCCUAUACGAAAUCUUUUCUAUGUAAUUAGGAAUAUAUAUCGAAAGAAGAGAUUUUGAAUAAAGGAGUUUAUAUAUGUAUACUUGCCUAUUGAUGUAGACUUUAAACAUAACCUCACAAAUCGUGGUGUUUACUUUUUUUGGUUCUCUUAUUUUCUUCACUAUUGUUAUUCCUUAUUGUGUUUUUUCACAAAAUUAUUUUAUAUAGACAUAAUUGUUUAGAGAAAAAUGAAAAUUAUUGUCAAAAAAAAAAAAAAAAAGAAACUUCCUAUUUCACCCCAAGAAAAUAAAAAUAUAAUAUUGCAAUGCACAAUAGAACAAUUUACAUCUAUAAUUUUUAAAUAUUAUUUUCUAUUAUCUUAAUAUCUUUAAUAUAAAACAAUAUUUUUAUUAAUAUUUAUCCAAGGAAAUGUUGUGUGGGUAGAAAAGGUCAAAAGAAAAAGAAUUUUUUUUCUUAAAUAUUUGUUGGUGACAAAAAAGAAACACAAGAAAUUUAAAAAAAAAAAAUGUGUUUUGUAUUAUUUUAUAUGAAAUAACUACCAUUCAUUAGCGCUAGUUCCAUUAAAUGCUUUAUUAUCACACACUUAAAAGAUGUUUAAAAUCACAUUAUUAAAAUAUAUAUUUUAUAUUAAUUUGAGACUAAAAUCCAUCUUUAUUUCAAGUACCUACAAACUAGGAUCCAUAUGUUUUAAAAUAUUUUUUAUUUAUUUAUUUUUAUUUUCUCUUUUAAAGAAAAUGAUGUAAACAAAACUAAAUGGUCAUAUCUUGAGGUUAUGUUUGAUAUGUGGGAAUGAAGAGUGAGAAUAGAUAUCUUAUUCAUUUUCACAUUUAUUUUUAUAUUUGGAUAACUCAAGUGUUGAUGAUAAUGAUAUAAAAAAUAAUUUCAAAGGAAAUGAAAUUUUACUUGUAAAUGAUAUUUCAAUUUAUCCUUAGUAUGAGGUAUUUUGAUUCUAUAAUACAAUUUAUUUUUAAAGAUGUUUUUCAAAAAUUUAGAAAUCUAAACCUUUUAUUGAUAAGUUAUUUUUAAAAAUAUUUUAUUUUGAUUUUAUAAGAAACGAAUUGUAAAUUCAAGUUAUAUAAUAUAAACUAAAUUUAAUUUGUGCCUUAUUAAAAAUAAAAAAUAAUUUUUUAUUUAUAAAUAAAUUAAAAAUAAAUAUUUUAAAUAAAAUAUUAAUAGUAAUAUUAUAAUAAAAUCAUAAAUUAUAUUUUCAUACCCCAAACCUAAUUUAGGGGUAAAAUCGAAAUUUAGAAAUUAAUAAUUAGUUAAAGUAAUUUAAUAAGGGUAAAAAGGUCUUUUCAUAUUUAAAAUCCUUAGAUAUAAAUUGGAUUUUUCCUAUCUUCUCUAUUCAAAAAACCCUUUUACACAUAGAUCAAAAAUAUCAAAGAGCAUAGGGCUGAAGAUUUGGAGGUUUAGGGUUUGAAGAUCAAUUUUUCAGGUAAGAUUUUAAUCCUUAAAUUAAUAUUUUAUAUUCGUUAAUUAGUUUUAAAAACUUUAGAUAUUCUUUGGAAGAUCUCAAUCUAGAUUAGGGUUUGUUAAAUUAAUUUUUAGAUCAAAAGACUGGAAAUUUGUGAAUGUGAAUUAAUUUGUGAUGAAAAUAGAAAAAUUUAGAAAUUUUCUAUUAAAUAGAAAACAAAAUCAAUGAAAAAUUAAUGAAAGAAAAGAAAUUUUAGAUUUAUAAAAUAAAUAAAUAAAUCGUUUGUGUAGGCUUCAGAUUUGAAAAUAAAAUAAAAUGGAGUACGCGUGUAUUGCCAACGUGUUGACUUAGGCAUUGGAAAAGAUCGUAUAUGUAAAUAUAUUUUAUAAUAAUAAAUAAUGGGAAGAAACAUGAGGCUUACUGUUUUAUUCUUAGGACUUUGCACAUAUAAUGAAGAUAUGAGGGUAAUGGGUUGGUUAUAUAUUGAAUUUGAAAAUUAAUAAAAAUUAUAAUAUUUUGUUUUAAGCUAACAAAGGAAAUAUUAAUAAUAAUAAUAGUUUCUUAUAUAGGUUUUAAUUUAAGUUAAGUAUAUAAAGAAAUAAAUAAUGAGGGUAAGAUUAGAAAAUAAAAUGAAUUUUAUAAUAAUUUGGAAACUCACUAAAUUAAUUUAUUAUUUUUUAGUAAGUUGAAAAAUAAUAUUGGGUAGUAAUAAUAUUAGCAUGAGAAAUUAAUUAGGAUCCUUAAUACUAAAUAAAAUAUUUUUAGGAUUUUCAAAUUUAUAAGUUUGGAUAAAUAAUCAAUAAUCAAUACAGUGUAUGAUAUUAUGUUAGGUGAGGAGAAAAUUCUUCAGAGUUAAAUACUUCAAGAUUUUGAGUGCUUUUUCAAUGUAAGAGAAAUUAAUGCAGAUUUUUAUAAAAGAAAAUAAUUUUCUUUUUAUGUUGUAUUUUGAAAUGUGUAAAAAUAUUAUUUUUAUCUUUUCGCAUGGAUCAAAUCUGUGUUUUGUAUGGAAAUUAUUUUUUUUGAGAAUUUUCUUUGUUUAUUUAUGAAAAGUGAAAAAUUUUGGAGAUAUGAUAUUUUGUUUUGCAAGUUUGAAUUUAUGAAAUAAUGUGUUUGACUUUGGAUUAUAUGGCCCUAGUCAACGGGUUAUAAUUGUUGACAUAUUCGACCCUAAUCAACGAGUUAUAAUAGUGGAUAUUAUAUGGCUCUAGUCAACGGGUUAUAAUAGUUGACCUUAUGGCCCUAGUCAAUGGGUUAUAAUUGUUGACAUUUGGAUUUAUUCACCUUAAAUGGAACAAAUUUGAAACUAGUCACUCAUUUGUGAAGUCCCACCUAAUUAGGCACCAUUUGUUAUUUGAUAACCAGAGUAAAGAUAUUUUGAAUGUAUUUGAUUUGGUUUUGAUGAGAAAUUGUUUUGAAAUGGAUAUGAGACAGUUUUGUUGAAAAGUUUGAAUGUAUUAGUAUUUUGAGCUCAAAAGUUUUUAUGAAAAUAAGUAUAUGUUAUAUCUCCUAUUUGCAAGCACGAUUGAAAAUGUUUGAUCAAUGAAACUGCAUUGAUGUUCCUUAUUGAGCUUUAAGCUCAUGCCCCUUUGUUGAUCAUUUUUUAGGUACUUUCAGUUCGGGCGAGGAGUGAUGGCUAGGCUUGGGAAUUUUUCUUUGUUAGGAUUUUGGUUCAAACUUUAUUUUGGACUUUGUUUAGAUGUUAAAAUUUAAUUCCCGUUUAAAUUAUUUGAAUUUGGAGUUAUUGGACAAUAACACUCUGGUUGAUGUAUUAGUUUUUUUUAUAGUUGAUACUUGGAGAUUUUAGAAUUUUGUCCUAUUACUCUUAAUAGGAAUUUGGUAAUUGGUAAAUUUUCAGUUACAAUACGAAUGUUUGUGUCAUUUCCACUUUGAGCCUUUGGGCUUGAGGUGUGAAAUGACUGUCAUGCCCUUGGAGUGAGUUUUGGGGCGUGACAUAUAUUUUUAUAAAUAUUAUAAAAAUAUGAUAACAUAAUUGAUUUUUUUUUGUUAAUAAAUAAUAAUAAUAUUAAUAAUAAUAAUUCAAAAUUAAUAAUUGCUAAUACUAAUUUAUUUUAAAUAAAGUUUAAUUUUUUUAAGUAUAAAUGAGUCAAAAUUUUCAUUACAUACAUACAUUUAAUACUCAGACAUGGUAUUCUUAAAUUUUUGAUUUAAUUUAUAAUUAAUAAAUCAGUUUUUUGAAUUUCAAAUUAUUAUUAAAAAUUAAAAUAUUUAUUAAAGAAUUCAAAAUAUUAAUUAUUUCCAUUAUUUUUUAUAGUCCUUAUUGAUUCAUGCCCGAUUGGUGUUCCAAUUGAUUCAACUCAAUUGAUGUGCUUUGAUCUCAAUCAUUAGACGGGAGUAAUCAACAAAAUUUAUAAACCUAUUUCACCAUAUACCGGGGUAGCAUUUAGCUAGCAUAGUAUAGUGGCUCUAGGAUCGUCCAUAGAGAUGGGUUUUCACUUCGCAAUUGAUAUUAGUUCAAAAACUGAAUUGGUGCUUUUUCUUUUCAAGGUUAGCUUUAAAAUAAAACAUAAAGAUGUUUGAACAAAGAUUGGUUUUAAGCUAACCAAAAAUAAUAGUAACUGAUUUUAAUUACAAAGAAAAGUGUUUCUUGGAGUUUCAUAUCACUAGGCUCAGAUUCCUCAUACAAAAAGGAGAGUUCCGGUCACUUGAUUCUUUUCCUCGCAUUAGAGAAUUAACAUAUAGUUAAUUCUCUAACCGGUGUGGUACAGAUGCUUGCCAUUAAUGGUUUCAACGGUAAAUCCCUCUCACUGAUACACCUUGCAAUGGCUCGUACCUCUCACCUAGUAUUUGCCAUUCAAGGUGAUCUUUAACCUUGGAUUUCCCUUCACAAACUCGCAAGAGAUAACUAAUGGAUGUCUCCUUAGAGUCCAAAAGCUUACCAAGUGUUGGCUAUUCUAGAAAAUCCUACCUUUAAACCACCUCCCAAAAGCUCGCAAGAGGUAAACCAGUGCAUCUCCAUGGACGGAGAUCACUUGCCUAACCAAGUGUUGGCUUAGGUGAUUAAAAGGAGUUUUAAGUUAACUAAAAAGAUAAAAAUCAUUAACGGGUCACACUUUCUCUUCAUUAAAAACUAAAACAACAAAACUUCCAAUUUAUGCAUGAGGAAACUUACCCGGCUUUCUUCACUCCAAGAGACAAAGAGCCUAGCCUCUCAUCCUCUGAGGAAAAAUCCUCAGAGUUUGAUUGACUAGAAAGAAAACUAACGAGAAAACAAAAAUAUGUAGGAAAAACAGAGCAAGUGCUCUGUUCGUCGAUUCUAUAAAUUUAUAUCUAUAUGAUGGAUCCCUUUUACAAUGGAUGCAAGGGAAUAUAUACAGAGAAGUUUUUCCAAUCUUCCUAGCUAAGAAAUCUUAUGGUUGGUGGAUUACAAGGAGAAGAAUGGAAAUUUAUACAAAAAUAUCUGAAGAAAAGAUCUAAAAGAGUCGGUGCACAAAUAUCCCAUUUCGCAUGUAGAUUUCGCACGUUGCAUGGUGACUUGCGAAAAUCUCGCAAGUUGAUUUCGCAACUUGGAAUCCAUUUUCGCAUGUUGAGCUCCAAGUUCACAAGUUGCAAAAUCACUUUCGCAAGUUGGGCUUCUCUGUGACUGUGCAGCUGUAUUCCAUUUCCAUUUCGUAAGGUAGGCUUUAAUUUCGCACGUUGGAGUUCCAAUUUCGCAAGGUGCGAAAUUGUCCCUCAACUUGAUGCAGUUGUCUUCCGAAGGCCAUAUCUUCCUCAUUUAAGCUCCAAAUUGUAUACGGUUUGAAGCGUUGGAUUCUUGACUUCUUGAGCUUUGAAAUGGUAUAUAGAAUGUAGAAAAUGAACUUCAGGAAGUGCUCCAAAAGUGCGAAAUAAGACUAUAGCUGCUGUCCUCUAUUUUCUUCACUCUGUUUUUCCUCUCUCCGUUGUUCUUUCCUUGCAUACUUUGAACGACUUUGGAAAAGGGCUAUGGAGCUCCAAAGCUUGGUUCUUCAUGAAUUUGAGCUUCCAAAAGCUUUGCCAUGAACUAUAUACAGCUCUCCCUCAUUCUUGGAUUGCUUUGGUGUAGCUAAAAGCUAUCAAAAACACCAAAACUUAACACAAUUUGAUUAGAAACGAUUGCAAGGGUCCUUAACAUGUCAACUGAGUUAAAAGGUAAUAAUUACUACUCAAGAGUGUUUAAAAGAGUUAAUUAUAAGCUACAAAAUAGCACUUUUUGAGUAGUAAUCACUUAUAUAUAUUUUUUGAGUUUCAAUUUUCUUUAAAAAAAUUAUUAAACUUAUUAAUAAAUUUAAUACAAAGUCUUCCUUAAUUUGACUUUCUAGUAAAAAAAAAAAUGGUUUUCUAUUUUGCUUUGUUUAUAGAGCACGAUAAUCAAAUAGUGGUACAAAUUUUUUAAAAACAAAUUUGUUUGUAAAUCAUAUGUUCAAAUAGUUUUUAUUAUUUAGCAAAAACACUAUAGACCCUCUAUUUUGGCCCUAACACACAUAUUUUUUUAAAUUAUUUUUUCUCACCCCACUCUUUUUUUAGCACGUAUUUAGAUCCAUUUUUGCUCAAUUUUUCAUCAUCCUGGUCCAUGUUUCACAUCAUUGAUUUUUGAGCUAUAUUUUGGAGACCAUUUAAAGGGUUAUUUCAGGUCCUAGCAUGAUUAUCGGACACCCAUUAGGAUUAGUUUUUUUUUAGGGUUUGCUUUUGGAAUUUUAGAGCCUUUGAGUAGCUGGGUUGGGAUGAGGACAUGUGUACUCAUUCUAGCCUUCCUUUGUCUCUUUUAAAGGCCUUUUUUGGCCUUUAGUGAAAGGUUCUUUUUUCAUGCUUUUGGCUCAAGUUUUCUUAAAGGGGGCUUGUUGGCCACCUUUUAAGGGUAGUGGAGAUGCUCUCAAUAGCUAAGGAACAAGGGGUAGAGAAUUGGUUUUUAUAGUGAGAGUGAGGUAGAGAGCAGGGGGUUUGGAGGAGUUUUUGGGAAAAGUAGCAGACGAAGAAAAGUUGUGGGUGAGGCAUUGUGGUGGUGAGUGGGCUGCAGAGUAAGACAUUGCAAAGGGGGCACCAUCUAUUCUGGUGGGGAGUCUUAGAAAAGAGGGACAUGAGCUACAAGCCAUCUUGGGGAGGCAUUAUUCUUCUUUCUUCUGGGUGAGAGUAAGAGAGGAGACUUUGGAGAGAGUAAAAGAUAUUUCUUAUGGUGGUUUUUGGUUUUGAGUAGAGGAGAAGAAUAACAUUAAGAGAAGAGAAGCAGGGGGGACCCUUCUAGGAAUGGAUAUUAUGAGUUCCCUAUUCAUCUUCAUUUAUCAUAAUUAUUAGGGUGAAUUCACAAUAUUCCAACAAACACCAGGAUUUUUCUACCAUUUCUUUGUGUAAAAUUAAAUAGGUAAUAGAAACUAGUAGUAAUAAAUAAAUAAACUCAUGCAAUGGAAAAAUAAAUCAGACACCAAAAUUUUUACUUGGAAAACCCCUCAAUGUGAAGGAAAAAACCACGAGACCUAGUCUAGUUCAAACUCCACUAUUAACAAUAAUGGGUUACACCUAUCUUCUCUAGAAUAAUCUUUAGAGGCUACCAAAUACAUCAAGAGCAUAUAUAGCCUUGGAUUAUAUAAUCUCUCUUGGUAAAAAAACAAGGAAAAUUAGAGAAAGAAUACCCAAAAACACAUUGUUACUGUUCACGGGCAGUAACACCAAUUCCCUAGCUCAAAAUCUGAUCUCCACCUUUUAGAUUGUAGUUACUCGAGUUUUGAACAUCUCCUCCAAAUUUCAACUUGAUCGAACCACAGAUGAAGCAGGAUCGACUCUUUGAUGAAAUCUAGGUAGUGAAAUGUGUUUUUUUCUUUCUUUUUUCUCUUAUCUCUGUUUUUUCCUUUUUUUUUUUUAAUCUCUUUCUCUUUUUGUUUAUUUAUUUAUUUUAUUGUGACUGACUUGGGCCUCAAGAAUAUGGGGCCCACUCCCUCACAUACGAGGGAGCCUAACAAAUCUCCAAUUGGAUCCUAAUUGAUUAAUUAACCUAAUAGGGUGUACUAAUUAAUCAAUUAGCUUAAUCCAAAGACCUUGUUCACUUACCUCUGUGUAACCUUAUGUUAUUACCAAAAUGCCUUUAUGCAUAAAAGUGAACCUAAAACCAAUCCCACCCUCAUAACCUAUGCCAACAAGGUAUAUGAGCUCAAACCGGGGGCCAUAACUCUAGUAUUUUAUGUAAAUAACAAUGAGACACGGUAUACUCGGGUCCGUGACUUGCUAUCCAUUGUGUUUAGUCUCCCUAUGUACUAAUGUCCGUAGUCUAACAAGGUAAAAUUUUUCAAUCUUUUAAGACUACCUCUAUUAUCAUUGAGUUACAGAUCCUUCUAUUAUGUGUUCAACUAACAUGUCUUAGCUCUUAAAGAGCCUAUGUCAAGUUCCACUUAAGGAACUACUAUAACCAUAUUUUCCAUUAACACACCUCCUUAGAACCACCCAAUGAGACACAUUGUCUCAAUCCUAUGAGAUAUCAUGAUGCUUCUAUUAAGAAUACCUAUUGCUACCAACUUCCAUCAAUAGUGACCCAAUCCAUAAGGAAUAUAUGAUCAACUUACGAUCUCACCCAUAGGUCAAAAUCAUUGCUAACUUUGGCACAAACUUCAAUAUUCUCUCAAGGUUGAGAGACAACACAAUGAAGUAGCUUGGUAAGGUCACAGAUACUUGAUAGCUUUAAGUCAUGACUCAUCAUAAGUCCUAUCUAAUGUGUAACCAUACACACCAGUGUACUCACCAUGGAAAACUCAUCUCGAUAUUCAAGACCAGUUAUCCCUCCAAUUAGAAGGUGGUGGUGCACUAUAGCCUCUAAUAAGUUGUCUAAACCCAUGAACCGACUUUGAACAAGUCAUCUAUUUACAAGGAACCCAUGACUUGGAUCUUCCUUAUAACUCAUAAAUGCACUCAAGUCACAUACACUGCAAAAGAUGCAAACAAGAAUACUCAUAAAGUGUAAUGCAUGGAAUAAGGAUAGAUAAAAGUGAAAUUGGAAUACCAUUAAAAUAAAUAAGGAAUUCCAAAUCUAUUACAUCAUGUCAUGCUUUUAAGAGCUCCAUCCUAACACAACCUUCACACUUCAUGGAUAGUACAAAGUGAUAAUUUAGUUAGGUUGAUAACAAUUUUUAGAGUGCCUUGUCUUUGAGUUUGAAACCUUUUCCUGUAUUUAAUGAUUCUAAUGUGAGCUCUAGCUUCCUUGGUCUUCAGUUGUCAGGCAUGCAAUUUUCAUUGGAAAGUAAGUGGAAAAGGUGUCUUGCAAAGUCUAGUAAUGUGUACAUUCAAGUUGAAAAGGCAUGAGGUACUCCCUCGAUGACAAUCAGGUUGUCAAAAAAUAGUACUUGGCUUGUCCAUGUGAUCUGCGCUCUUGAGAGAUGUGUGAUUGGAUUAUCCUAGAGCCUAAUGGAAGAAAAUGGGAAAUCAUGUUGCAAAGAGCAACUGCAAAGGGAAUGAAAGUGAGAGAUCAUGCUUAGUGUGGUCCUGAUCCCACAUAUGUUGCAGUCAUGACAAAGGAUGGCACUACAACUACUGGUCUUAAUAGUGUAGGAGCAUCGCUAAUCGUUGUACAUAUGACUAGGAAGUCCAGCCUGUGACCCAAUAAGUUCAAUUGUGGUGGAAAUUUAUGUAGAAUAGUAGCUAUAUUUCUCAUCCAAGGAGUUGUUCCAUUUGCGACGAUGAUAAAUGGGGAGUUAUAUGUGAGUGCCCUCUACCUGCAUAAAAUGAUAAUCAGAAAGACUAUCCAUGUUUUUCUUUGGCCAUUCCAUCAAAUUUGACAUGUGAUUUCAAACAUAAAAAGAUAUUCCAAUAAAUGGAACGAAGAACUAUUACCUGCUAUGCUCAUUUGGGAAAAAAAAAAUCCAAAUUUGGAAUUAGAAAUGAAAAGUUGCAAUGGUUUCUUGGUGCUUUGAAAGCACAUCCUAAUGAGCUGAAGCUUGUGGGGGUUUAUUGCCAUUUGGGGUCUGCCAUUACUAAGGUGGGCAUUUUCAGGGAUGCUAUAGUUCCAUUUGGGUUACAUCCACAUGGCUGAAUUUGAAAGCCCUAGAGUUGGGGCUUGAUCUUCCUGGAUCAUAAGCUCCUAAAAAAGAUUCAAACCUUUUUUUUUGCUGAAAUCAAGAAAAUUUAUUAAGAAGCAGUCUGGAAUGUACUUUUUUCCUUCUUUGCCAAAUUGCGGUAAACUAUUUAAUAAAAAUUAAUUAAAAUUUUAUAUUAAAAACUUUAGUUCAAAUUAAUUAGAAAAUGUGGUAAGAUAAAAUGAAAUAAAACGAACUUUAAAUGAUAUUUUAGACAUUUUAUUUAAUUCUUUUAACUAUGACAUCAUUAAUCAACCAUGAAAAUCUUUCAAGAUUCGAUAACAUCAUUUAAGGGAUUGUUAUGCUCUAUUAUGGUCAAGUGGUGUCAAUGUAAUUUCAAAAAUUUAAGGGUGGUUAAGUGUAAUUUUCAAAUAGCCGAGGGGGUAUCCAUGUAAUUUUCCUCAAAUAUAUGUAAAUUUUUUAGGGUUAUGCUAGGGUACUAAAAAUCAUUUUUCGGUACCAUACCCACUUUUUUUGGCUAAUAGGAUUAAGACACAUGACAUGUAAAAUUAAAAAAAAAAUUAAACAAAACCAAUUCUUCAAGUUACCCAACCGGUUGCCAUGGGAAUUAAUCCCAUGCAACACACAUUUUUAUACUUAUUACAAUAACCAAUUAUAAAAUCAUGUUUAAUGCAAUUAUUUCGUUUGGGGAAUUUCUUUUAUGAAACAGAAAAAUAAAGAAAAUUUUGGAAAAAGAUAAACAAUAUAAUUUGGUAAUAUAAUUUGAAAAUUAAGGAAAAGUAAAUUUAAUUUAUUUUAACAUCAAAUAAUUUGUUGAUAAAAUUUAAUGAAUAUUUGAAGUGUGAAAAGCAAUAUAAUUGGUUUAUGAAGUGAAAAAAUGGGAAGAAAUAGAAAGAAAUUUUAUAAAAUAUAUAUUAACUUAAAAUUUAAUUAGUUGUGUACUAAUUAUUAAUCGAGAAUAUAUGACUAAAUUAUUUCUUAACGUUUAAAUUGAAUUACACAACAAAAUUGGUUGAAAUAUUGAAAUACGAAAAAUGUAUAAUUACUAACAAUAUGGAAAUCCAAACCCUUCGCUGAUUUUUUUCGUAAAUUUCCAUUUUGAAAUUUUCAAGGAUCCAUUUAAGAUCCUCAAAAUGAACUGAACUUAUCUAAACAAUAUCUAAGUCAUAUGAAAUCCCAAAUUAAAAAAAAAAAAUCAAAGAAGUGGAUAGUAGGGAGGACACGAAGAAUGUGAGAUUCCCUAACUAAUUUGUUAGUAUUUACAAAUUUUGAUUUUUUUCGGGUAAAAUUUAAACACAUAAGUUUUUUAAAAGUUGAAAAACUUAACCCAAUUAAACUUAUAAGAGAGAACUAAGUUUUUUAAAUCAAUUAGUUCAUGUCUGAUAUUAGAAAUAAUCAAAGACAACCACAUAAGAAAAAUAAUUUUAUGUGGAAAACUCUCAUACUAACUGUGAAGAUAAAAAAACCAUGAGGUCUAGGACCUCUAAUAAAAAGUCCACUAUACAAGAUUAAGAUACAUGAAUUUACCUGACUGCUUAUCUUAAGACUUACUCUCCAAGACCUAUAUCGUGAUCCAUGUUUACAUCACAACACUUCCAAUGCUCUAGUGGAUUCAUCUCAACCUUUGAGAGAAUGCAAGUCUCUCUAAUAACCUAAAAUUUGAUAAACGAAUUCUUAAGAGCUUUUGAGAAUGGUAGGGGAAGUUUAGGAAGGGUUUAGAAAGCAUAAAUCCCUAAAAUAAGUUUAAGAAGGGUUAAUAUAUGUCUAAAGACGUAGAGGAUUGAUAACCUAAUUUUUUAUAAAGAAUAAAUCCUUAAUUUCCAAAAAUGAGAUUUGCUAGAAUAUGGUAGAUUCAAAGUGACAGCUCAAGCGGACCUAUCCAUUGCUUGACGCCUUGGGUCUUUAAUAACUUAGAUAAGGGCUUGAGCGGUAUAAGCACUUGAGCCUUGAUACUAGACUUGAUACCAAUGCUUGAGCGCCCUAUUUUUUAAAAAAAAUUUAAAAUUUAGCUCAGAAUUAAAUAAUCGAUCCAAUCCAAACCUUUUUAAAAGGGCUAAUUUCCACAACUUAAACCUUUUUAGACUUACUUGUGACUUUCCGGUUGAAUGAAUAGCAACCUCGAAUCUUCAAGGGAAAGUAAGUCAUUAUCUUAAAAGUAUUCUAUGCCAAAAUGAAAUGAACAGAAUUGUAAACAAAAUAAUGCAAGAACUCAAUGCCCUAACAAUCUCCUUAUUUGACAAUUUUGUGACAAAACAAAAACAAAGUUAUAUAAACCCCCAAAACUCUCAAACAAAGUUUACAUAACACUUAAUCACACUCGUCUAAACCUAAUCAUCCAAUCACAUGCAGAGAAUCAAAUGAUGCAUCCAAAUCCAAUAAGGUAUCUCAAUACUUGUAACUUGCACACAUAACACAUAAAUAUCCAAGGUAAAGCAAUGUGUAGGAAAAAAUAUAACUAAGUAAUCAAAAUAGGGUAAUAGGGAAAAAUCAAGAUCAAUAUGCAACCCUGCAAGUGAACAUGUAUCAAGCAUAUGAAUCAAUCCAUGGAAAAAUAUUAAUGCUAUCAUAACUAUGAAUCCAAAUCAAUCAAUCAUUUCUUCCCCAUUUUGUAGCAAAAUAGACAAAGAUAAAGAAUAGAACAAGAUAAACAUGUAAGUAAAGUGAGAAACAUGAUAUCUAUAUAGAUAAGAAAGGUUUUAGAUAAUAACAAAAUGUAGGAAACUAAAAGCAUACAUUUAGACCAAAGCUAAAUAAUAAAAAAUAUAUAAAACUUGAGCCAAAUCGGUUUCAGUCUACAAAAAGUGGGUCAAAACACAAACAAACAACUAAUAAUCCUGAUCCAAAGACGACGAUAGAAUACAACCCAAGGCACCCUGGGGUUGAGUCCAGGAGAUGAUGUAGGAAGGUUGAAUCUCGAUGCCUUUGAAACUAGUAUCCAACUCUCAUUUGUGCACAUCCAGGCGGGUGGCUAGCUUGAUAGUCCAAGUGCCUACUGUAUUGACCUGAAGGUGAAGUUGGGCUACGAAAUCCAUCACCCUUUGUAAAAGAAGUGCAAAAGACGGAAGAGCGAGGCAAGAUGAAUAACAAGAAGAGCCUCUAUAUCCCUGACUAUGACGCCCACGCAGAGUAAGCUCAAGGAAAUCAGUCUCCUAAAUAGGUAGAUCCUGCUCCAUAAUAUGGAUCUCCUCCUCCUUGGCGACUACCUCCUGUGUAGCCUCCUAAGUUGUAGUUGUUGGAAAUUUUUUAUAUAGGCUAACAUUAAUUGAAUAAUUUGUAUUUACAAAAACGGGUUAAUGAUUAGUCUAUUAUAUAAUGAGCCCAAUUAACUAGUGAUCAUAUUUUGGAUUGGGUUUUGCAUCUUUUGAGUAGAAGCUCAGUUGAGUGGCAAGUGUAGGCUACGGGUCUCAUUGAAGCCCAUUAUGAUGAGAACCUAAUAUUGAGUUAUGCUAAGUCCCCUCUCUAAUCUAGAAAAAAAGGGUCUUUCUAUUUUCCCAUUGAGCCACCAUAAGAGUUAUCAAGAUCAUAAAGAGGAAGACUUGGUUGCAACAAUCAAUCACCUGUUUUUUUUGUGAUGGCUGAGACAGGUAUGUUCUUUAUAACGAUUUUCUGUUGUCAAUAUCCUUUAAUCAUGUAUGAUUAAUCUAUGUGAUUAUGUAAAUAUUUUUACAUGUGGUAUCAGAGCCUGAUUUACAUGAUUUAGGAUCUACAAUUGGAAAUUGAAAAUAAAAUUUUUAGUUUCUUAUUUUAUUUUAUUUUCGGAUCCGAAUCUGUGAUCCAUGAAUGUGUAUGGUUUUUUUUUUUUAGUUUCUUUUGCUUGUGAAACUUUAGGCUUUUUGUUCCUCUUGUCGCAAGCUUCAAAUUGAUAUAUCAUAUGUGCAAUUUUGUUGUUUAAAUUGGGAGUAAUUAAGUUUUUAAAUUUUCGGAAUUUUCUUGUUUAAAGAUUCAAGAAAAAAUUUAUUUGUUCAAAUUAUUGUGUUUUACUCAAAUUAAACUCUUAGAUUUUGUUGUUUACAUAUAUUAUCGUUGAUAUGUAGCAUCAAUUUCAGUUUUUUGGUUCAAUUUGGUGAAAAUUGAAAAUUCGAAAAUAUGGGUAUGAACGCUAGAAAAUUCGUUUUAUAUUUUUUAAAAAAUUGAGUAAGAUUGAGAAGUUUUUUGUUUAAUUAAUUGUUGUAGAGAGAUUUCUUAUAUUGUUAAAGUAAAAAUACAUGUAAAAUGAGGUCGAAAUAGGUGUUAAAAUAGAGUUUUUCGAUCUUGGCUAUGGAUGUAUGAAAAAUCGAAUUUUGUUAAUCAAUUAUAGAGAUCUUUAAGUUGUUGUUGUUAUUGUUGUUGUUGUUGUUUUUAUGAUUAAAUGUCUUAAAAUUGUUAGAAACAACCUAAAGUUUAAAACCCCUCAAGAUUCCGAUUGAAAAACCUUUUUUUUUCAAUUGUUUGUAAUUCGGGUUGCAAUCGGGUCAUUUGACCCAUAUUGCAGAAUUUUUGACUCACUGCUGGAGGUUGAAGAUGACCUUCAACACAUGCUGCACAUGCCACACGUGCCACACGUUCCCCACUCAUGGGUCAAGUGUAGGAGGCUCGUGUAACCUCAUCCGGUGUCCGAUUUGAGCCCUGUUUUUUCCUGUGCGCUCGUUUUUUUUGUAAUCUAUUUUUUUGGAUAUAUUAUUUUAUUUAUUGGGGGUAAAAAAUAUUUAUUAAAUAAUUAUUACUUAUUUAUGUGAUUUAAUUAGCUUAAAAUUAUUUUUUUGGUAUAAUUUUCUGUUGAGAAUUUACCAGAAAUUAUGCUAAUAUAUAUGGAAUAGGAUUGUAGUACUCACUUUCUUUAGAUUGAAACUUUUUCAAGCAUACUCUCCUACUUGGUCUAAAUCACAUAAACUAGUUAAAUAAUUAGUUUAAAGUGUAAUAAAAAAAAUAGUUAUUCAAAUUCUUGCAACUGUAAUUGAUCAUUGAUCAUUGAAAGUACAUUUUGUGAUGUACUUCAUCUUGUUUGAUCAUAUACAUAUAUAUAUCGCUAAUAUGCACUAUUGUUGUUGGGCAAUAUUGUUUUUAAUUUACCCAAUUUUGGAACAUUGCAUGUAAAUUGUUGAGGUUAUUUCACCAAAGUGAUUUAACCAUCAAAAUUUGCAAGUUUAUAAGUUCCUAUUUUGUUGAUGGGGAAAAUUUUAGAUUAAUUUGUACAAUCGUCUGCCCAAAGGGGGUUAUUGUGCAAAUUAAUGUAACAACAUGAGGAUAUUGAAUGACAUAAAUAAUUUGAUAAAUUUAUUUGCCCAAAAGAAAUAAAUUUUAAUGAAUUAUUUGUUGAUUUUCAUGCUUAGAGAAUAGUUGUUUAUUGUGGACUCUGCCCAAAGGGGAGUUUAUAAUAGAACAAUUAAUUCUUGUAUUGUAUUGUUUAUACUUAUUUAAGCAUUUUACCUAUUGCCCAUAAUUGAUCUAGUUGCAAAAUUUUGUCAAUCAGUUUCCUUUGCUGUGAACAACAAUAAUGCUACAAUUGAAAUUCUAAGUGGGUCAAACUAUAAGAGAUGGAGAUCAGACAUAGAGUUUGUUUUAGGAAUGAUGGACUUGGACAUGGCUCUACGUGAAGAUGAACCUUCUAAGCCUACUAAUGAAAGCACUGAAGCUAUGAGAGCUCAUUAUGCGAAAUGGGAAAGAUUGAACUGUUUGAGUCUCAUUUCCAUUGUUGAGCAUCUCCUUGGAGGAAUACCUGAGAAUAACAAUGCUAAGGAAUUUCUCAUUGCUGUGGCAAAUAGAUACCAAACACCAGACAAUGCUGAAACUGGGCAUUUUAUGGAUGAAUUGAUGAAUAUGAGGUAUGAUGAUAUGAAAGGGGUUCGUGAGUAUAUCCUAAAAAUGGUGCAUCUUCAGACUAAAUUGAAAGCACUAGACAUUCCCAUUCCCGAUAAGUUUAUUGUUCAUCAAGCCCUCAAUACUCUACCAUCUUCUUUAAGCCAAAUCAAGACUGCAUACAACACCCUGAAUCAGUUUUGGAGUGUGAAUGACCUGAUCACUAAGUGUGUGGUUGAGGAAGAAAAGCUGAAAAGAGAAAAGAAUGAAUCUGCUCAUCUCAUUGCUCUUGGGAAAUUGAAUAAUCAGAAGAGAGUUGAAAAAGCUAGAAAGCCCAACUUCCACAGUCAUAAGAAAAACAAGAAUUUCAAGAAAAGUGGGAGUGAGAAGCAGAAGAAUGGAAAUGCCAAGAACACAGACCUUAAGUGCUAUCACUACAACAAAAAGAGUCACAAGAGGGUUGAUUGCUUUAAGUUUAAGAAUUGGCUAGAGAAUAAAAGAAAAGAAUAGGGUAUGUUAUCUGCCUAUGUCUGUUUUGAAUCUAAUUUAGUUAAUGUUCCUUUAGAUUCAUGGUGGCUUGAAAGUGGUGCUAUUGUUCAUGUUGCAACUUCUUUACAGGGGAUAAGAAAUCUGAGAAAGCCAAGUGAAAAAGAGUCAGAGCUUAAAGUUGGCAGUGACAUCGGGAUUGAUGUUGAGCAUAUUGGGAUUGUUGUUCUAGAAUUAGAUUCUGGUUUUCAGCUUGUUUUGGACAAUGUUUUUUGUGUACCUUCGUUUAGAAGGAAUUUAAUUUCCCUUUCAGUACUUGACAAAGCUGGAUAUAGUUUCGCUUUUGUAAAUAAAAGAGUUGAUGUGAUUUAUGACUCUAAAGUGAUUGGCAAUUGUGUUUUGUCUGACGGGAUUUAUAGAUUGUCGUUGUUAUCUACUUGUUCUUACAAUGUUGAAAACAGUGUUGCUAAAAGACCUUUGACUAAGGACAGAUCUUCAUUGUUAUGGCGUAAGCAUUUGGGGCACAUUUCUAAAAAAUGAGUAAAACGCUUAAUUAGUUUUGGGAUUCUUCCCCACCUUGAUUCUGAUGACUUAUAAAUUUGUGUUGAUUGUGUGAAAGGAAAAUUGACAAAGAUUAAGAAAAAAGGUGCAACUCGUAGUCAAAAUUUGUUAGAGAUUGUUCAUAUAGACAUUAGAGGGCCUUACUCCACUACCUUGUGUGGCAACAAGUACUUCAUUACAUUCAUUGAUGAUUUCUCCCGAUAUGGCUAUGUAUAUUUGAUCAAAGAAAAGACAGAUGCUCUUGAAAUGUUCAAAGUCUUUCGAACUAAAGUUGAGAAACAAUUGGGGAAAGUCAUCAAGAUUGUAAGAUCAGAUCGAGGUGGUGAGUAUUAUGGGAAGCAUGGUGAUACUAGACAACAAAAGAGACUUUUUUCAAGGUACUUACAAGAUAAUGGUAUUGUUGCUCAGUAUACUAUGCCUGGUAGUCCUGAACAGAAUGGCGAGGCAGAAAGGCGCAACCGCACUCUUAUGGAAAUGAAAAGGAGCAUGAUGAGUAAAUCAAAUUUGCCAGAAUACUUAUGGAGUGAAGCCAUUAAAACAACAACCUACAUUCUGAACCAUGUUCAUAGUAAGUCUGUGCCUAAAACACCUUUUGAACUAUGGACAAACAAAAAACCCAGUUUGAAUCAUUUUAAAGUAUGGAGAUGUCCAGCUGAGGUGAAAAUCUAUGUUCCUUCUUUAAAGAAGACAUAUUCGAGAACUACUAGGUGUUAUUUUAUUGGGUAUCCUAGUCACUCAAAAGGAUACAAGUUUUAUUGUUCGACUCGUGGCACUCGAGUUGUUGAGUCUCAAGUGGCAAAGUUUUUAGAGUUGGAUGUUGCUGAUAGUAUACCGUCUCAAUCCAAUGAAAGAGUGGAACCCAUGGAUGUUAUUUAUUUAUCUUUGCCAGUCUCAGACGUUAACCUUGAUGUUGGAGCUUUUGAUUCUGGGAUUCAGCAAGGAGUUGCUACUAUCAAUUUUGCCACUAUCAAAAUAACCCUUAUUGUAGAUGAGAUUCCUCCUGUGGAAAUGAGGAGAUCGUAAAGAACUAGAAAGACUGCCUUAUCUAACGAUUAUUAUGUUUACCUUGGAGAGGGAGAGUAUGACAUUGGAGAAGAAGUGGACCCUACUACUUAUCGUGAAGCUCUCAAUAAUGAUAAGGCAAAUGAAUGGCUGAUUGCCAUGAGAGAUGAGAUGUAGUCUAUGUCAGACAAUGAUGUUUGGGAACUUGUUGAUCUUCCCAAAGGAUAUAAACCCAUUGGAUGCAAAUGGGUAUUCAAGACAAAAGAGACAAUAAAGGAAAUGUUGAAAGAUACAAGGCUCGGUUAGUUGCUAAAAGGCAUACACAGCGAGAGGACAUUGAUUUCAUAGAGACUUUCUCACCAGUCUCUACCAAACAUUCCUUUAGGCUAGUUAUGGCGUUGGUAGCUCAUUUUGACUUAGAGCUUCAUCAAAUGGAUGUCAAGACAGCUUUUCUCAAUGGUGAUUUGAGUGAGGAGGUCUACAUGUCACAACUUGAAGGAUUUAAGGAAAUUGGGAAAGAGAACAUGGUAUGCAGAUUGAAAAGGUCAAUUUAUGGUCUCAAGCAAGCUUCUCGUCAGUGGUACUUGAAAUUUGAAAAAAUUGUGUCGUCUUUUGGUUUUAUAGAGAACAAGCUUGAUCAAUGCGUUUACAUAAAAGUCAAUGGGAGCAAGUACAUUUUCAUGGUUCUCUAUAUCGAUGACAUUCUACUUGCUAGUAGCGAUGUGAAUCUCUUGAAUGAUACCAAGCGUAUUUUGUCUGCUAAUUUUAACAUGAAGGAUCUGGGAGAAGCAUUUUUUGUGCUAGGUAUUGAGAUUUAUCGUGAUAGAUCUCGAAACCUCCUUGGGCUAUCUCAGAGAGUCUAUAUCAAUUGCGUGCUUAAAAGAUUCAAUAUGCAGACGUGCAAAGCUGGUGAUGUACCAGUUGUGAAGGGAGAUAAACUCAGUAAUGAACAGUGUCCAAAGAAUGAUUUGGAAAAGAAUGCCAUGAAGACUAUUCCUUAUGCUAGUGCCAUUGGUAGCCUAAUGUAUGCACAAGUAUGUAUGAGACCUGAUAUUGCCUUCAUUGUUAAUGUUCUUGGUAGAUAUUUAUCGAACCCUGGACAUAAUCAUUGGGUUGCUGCAAAGAAAGUCAUGAGAUAUCUAUAAAGAACGAAGGAUUUUAUGCUUGUGUAUAGGAGGGUGGAUAAUCUCGAGGUAGUUGGAUACUCAGAUUCUGAUUUUGGUGGUUGUUUUGACGAUCGUAAAUCUACUUCAGGAUACAUUUUUAUGUUAGUUGGUGGAGCCAUUUCAUGGAAAAGUGUCAAACAUAGCCUAAUUGCAUCAUCGACCAUGUAUGCUAAGUUUGUAGCUUGUUGUGGUGCAUCAUCUCAAGCUGUUUGGCUAAGAAAUCUGAUUUUAGAGUUGCAAGUUGUUGAUUCCAUCUUUCGACCCAUUGUGAUUUAUUGUGACAAUAAUGCAGUCAUGUUCUACUCCAAGAACAAUAAGAUUAGUAUGGGUUCUAAGCAUAUGGAAAUCAAGUACCUUACAGUCAAGGACUUAGUGAAGAAAAGAGAUAUUGUGAUUGAGCACAUAAGAACUGAGUCCAUGCUAGUCGAUCCUCUAGCCAAAGUGUAGACCCUCAAUUUUGUCCUCCUAGCACAUGUCCUAUUAGAUACUUAUUCGAUACUUUAUAAUAGUUCCUUGGUGGCUCAUUACUACUCGUACAACUGACCUUUUUUCUGAGUCACCUCAGGGACUUUGGUUAGGGGAUUAUCUGACCCUUUAUUGUGACCCUUGGCAGCUCUAUUUUAGACUUAGACUUUUCGUUCAUUUUUAGGAUAGCUUUUAGGGUAACUCAUUUAGGCACCCUAAGCCCACUUAGGCACCCUAGGCCCAUUUAGGACACUUAGUUUGUUAGGCACCCACUUAGGUCCGUUUAAAUACUUCAUCGGGCUUAAUUUUUAUAUACAUAUAUAUAUAUAUAUAUAUAUAUAUAUAUAUAUAUAACUUUUAUUAGUAUUAUUAUUAUUACUGCAUGCAUUCGAUAAUUAUAUUUAUUUUGUUUAUUCAUUUUCAUUUUUCACCUUUUAUUUGUUCGUCAUUGUCAUUGUCAUUAUUAUUAUUAUUACUAUUUUUAUUUUUUACUUUUAUUUUUUAUUUUUUAUUUAUGCACUCAUGUAAUAGGAAAUUGCUCGAAUUGUUUAGACUCCAAAAUGUGCAAAUAAUCCUUGAUUGGAUGGUGGAAUUAUAUAACCUGGUUUCUCUUUCUUGGCUUUUGAAAAUCGUAUUUCAUUUUAUUAUCAAUCUCAUAAUUUUUAUCAGUUUCAGCUCUUUUCUUUUACCCUUUUUUUUUAAAUUUUAUUUUAUUAUGUUUUGCAUGAGGAGCACCGGAAUUUCUCAAGAAGGAUCCUAGGCACCAAGGUCUCAGAGACUGCUAGGAAGAAAUCUCCAUGCACAGUCGCACAUGGGAGGGAUGACACGAAGACUGUCGCUCAGGAAGAAUGAAACAUGUGGACUGCCACCGAAGAAGGAUCCACAGGCACGGCUACAAUCUUCCAUGGGCUGCAUCAUUUUUUGAAAAAGGUAUCAACACGUGGAGAAACAUGCACAACCCACAUAAAAGAACACCACGCAUCAUAAGUUUGCAAAAUCGAUCACGCUGCCAGAUUUUUGGAGCACACAACCAGCAGGCAUUCUGGACAUGUUCCAUGGAGAUUGGGGAAGAAACAGCUGCAUCAUCAAUAUAGAGAAGAGGGCUGCCACUUUGAGUCUUCAUUACGUAGCAGAUUUUGAUCCCAAGAGGAUCAUGCACAACCCGGAAAGAAUAUACAGACGCAUGAUAUGUGUGGGAUUUUCCAUCUUUUGGAGAGAACAUGCCUACAUAGCCCAUGCACAGCUUGCACCUCUUCACAACUGUCAUCCAUGAUUCAAAGUCACAGCCGGCUCCAAGCACCAUUGCUCCAUUCACACGCAGCCGUCAUGCUCCGUCCAUUGAAUGGUGAUCACUCCACCACGCACCAUGAGAGGCAUCAAUUGAUGGGGCAUCAAAGCUGAUCACUUAAGAGUCACCAGAUUUUUUUUAAGACUUUGUGGGCUGCAGUUUUGGAGAUCACAUAGUUGCAUAUUUGGAAGACGGAACAGACUUCCGUGGCAAGAUGCACAUGAAGGAAAGGUGAUGUCCAGAGAAUGAGGAGAAGAAUGCAUAAUCACACUUCCAACAAUGCAUUACUGUCAUUUGGUGUAUUCCUCGAACCCAAAACCCUCUCUCAAUUCCAAACGCGUUCGAGAUUCGCUGUUUCUGCAAGUCUCGGUGCAUUUCGGUUUAUUAGAGGUCAUCCUUCCGUACAAUUGCACCCUGAGAUUGACCGACAGUGGAGUGCACGUCUUGGAGCCCUUGAAAUCAGAAGAUAGAUGGGAUCCCUGCCACUUAAAGAUGGCGCACUUCGGAUUGGACCCCAAGCCCACUCUCGCAUGGCUGCAAAUGCCAAUCCCCUUUAGCUCCAUUGCAAGUCAGGUUUGGGAAAGUUUAAACCGGUGAAGGCUGACAUUACUUUUGCCUCUGCCAUUCAGAUUGGAGAUCUUGUUUCUAUAGUGGGUUGUAAAGGAAAUUGUUUAAAAAGAGAAGUCAACGUGCUGAGAAUUGGAUGACUUACCAAACAAGGUACGAUUGCAUCUUUAAGGAAAUCUCCCACCGAGCCACCAUGUAUGCGCUUUACAUAUUCAUGCUCAUUAAAAAAAAAAGAAAAGGAAAGAGAGUAUUUUCAUAAAGGAAAGUGCUGUCAUAUAAAUUGAAGGGAGGAUUUUUUUUUAGAGAUCCACACGGAGAUAUAUUAUUUUGAGGGAACAAAGAGAGGCCGGUGAAGGAAGAGAGCAGCAGCCGCACCACCAUAGAGGAAUUCUGGAAAAGGUAAGUUAGAAUUUCUAAGGAUUUUAGUUUUAAUAUUUUUAUUGGGUUGAAAGUUAGAGUUUUUAUGUAUUAAUUUUGAUUUUUUUUAAUCGGAUGAAAAAGUUAGAAUGUAGUUAGUUUGAUUUUGAUUCAUUGUCUUGGUUUCAAAAGUUAGGUUUUGUUUAGUUUAAUUUUAAUUCAUUAUGUUUGUCUCGAAAAAUUAGAAUUUUUGUUUGAUUCAAUUUUUUAUUCAUUGAACUAGAUUGAAAGGUUAAAAUUUUAUUUAAUUUAUUUUUUAUUCCUUGCGUUAUUUUGAAAUGUUUGAAUUUUGUUUAAUCUAGUUUUGAUUUUUUUUAUAUUAGAUUGAAAAGUAAAUUUUUGUUUGCUUAGUUUUGAUUCAUUACUUUGGUUUAAAAGGUGAGAAUUUUUUGUUUUAUUUUAAUUUUGAUUCAUUAUAUUACAUUGAAAAAUUAGAAUCUUUGUGUAGUUUGGAUUUCAUUCCUUGCUUAGUUCGAAAAGUUAGAAUUUCGCUUAGAUCGGUUUUAAUAGAUUUAAUUUUAAAAGUCAGUUUUUUUAUGAGUCAGCUUUUUAUUUAGUUCAAGUGUUUUAUAAUUUUUAGUCUAUUAUUCUAAUUGAUCCUAUGUAAUAAAGUUUAUGUUUUUUAAGUUUAUUUUGAUCAUGUUUUGGUUCAUCUUAUUUAGUUUAGGUAUUUUAGUUAGGAUUUAAGUUGGUUAGUUUAAGAAAUAUUUGGUUAAUUCUUGGUUGAUCCACUUUUAGUUUGUAUGUUUUCCAAAGUUUUAGACAACUAAUUUAAUUAACCCUAAGUCAUAUUAUUCAUGUUUUGAGUAUACUAAUCUUCAUUCUUGGUUUAUCAAUAUUUAGUUCAUGCUCUUUUUUAAUAGGUUAAUUAGUCUAACUAAUCUUAUGUUAUUUUGCUCACGUUCUAAAAUUGAUGAUUCUAGUUUUUGAUUAGUUAAUAUGUUUUAGAAUUCUAUGUGCUUGUGUUACUAUAUUCACAUUAUUAUAAUUACAUGUUUAGGUGUUUGGUUGAUUUUAAAUUAGUUCUAGAUUGUUUAUCUCAAUUUAUGUGUUUGAUUGAUCCUUAUAAAUUCCCGAUUAAUAUUUCAUUAGUUUUAUUUGAUCUAAGGUCGUUUGGUUUGUUGCUUUGGUGAAUAUUUAUUAAAUUUGAUUUUUAGAGGCCAUUGGAAAAUUAUGAAGAUUGGCCUCUACCAUCACCAUUAUCAUUUUUGUUAAUUACUAAAAAAAUUUACUUUGAGGUUUCAUUUUUGUUUUGUUUGGUAUUUUAUUUCUUAUAUUUUAUUUUUUCCAAAUUAAUUCCUUUUAUUUUAAAAUAAAAUACUUUUCUCAAAAAAAUCAUUUUAAAAAUCUAUUUCAAAAACUCAUUUAGAGUCCUCAGGAUCAAAAUCUUUUUUUUUAUUUUAAAAAAUAAUGUGCAACCAUAUUUUGUUCGGUUUGCAUCCUUCUCGGUUUCUAACAAAAAGUUUGGUUUUGAACAAAAACACGAAUCAAAGCUUGUGGUCCCAAAUAAUGGGAUAAUUCUGGGCUAAAUUUGUGUAUAUUAAUUUGGGGAAUUGGUGAAACCCCUACAUAAGAAAAUCUUUUCAAAAAUUAUUUUUGUUGCCAUUUUUGUCACUUUUUGAAAUUAUAUCUAUCUUUUUUUUUUUUUUAGAAAUUGUAUACAAGAUGAGUGUGAUAAUUAUUGUUUUCAUAUAUUUUGACAAUCUCUGCUAUGAUAAUUAGAUAACGAGCAUGCUAGGACUUCUUAUUUUAUUGUUUGUUAUCUAACUUCUCAUGUUUUGUGGAAGCGCAUUAGGAGUUAAAUAUGCUAUCCAGGUACGUUCCCUAAUACCCACUUUCUAAACCCUAUGAAUAUGUAUGCCCAUGCUUGCUAUCCUCUUUAAUUGCCUUGAUAUACAUUUGAUGAUUGUUUGAUUAUCUUUGAUAAAACAAAUGUUGUGUGAUGUAUCUCCAAACUAAUCUCUUAUGUUUUAUGAUAGCGCUUGGGAAGCCGUCCAGGUACGCAUUUUUAACUCUCCUUAAUUGUGAUUUGAUUUUGUUUGAUAUGUUAUGUUUUUUUGGAAUCACCUAGCCUACUUAGGUAUCCGAGAUCUACCAUUUAAUUGCCACGCUUCCCUUAACUUAGUUAGUAGAGACCUCUUUAGGGCUUAGAGGGGUGCUACCUCCUAGAGGUACCUUCCCAAUAAGUAACCUGAUCCCCGGACCAAGACUUGGGUUUUCAAAGACACGCUUUUCCAAAAAUUAUGGAGUCAUUUUUUUUAGGGUUUUAUUUCUUGUUUUAUUUUCCCUUCAAAAAUAAAAAUAAAAUAAGUGGUGACUCCAACUUUUUUUAAAAUUAAUUUUUCACAAUAAAAAGCGAGUCUCGCCGAUCGAGUGGGGACACACGUGAAAAAUGCGGGUCCACACAAAGGUUUAAAGCCCAUAACGUUCAAUGAACAUGUUGUGAAUAUGGGUGUCAUUAAGUCUUUUGAUUCUUUGGUUUAGUGGGAGCUUUUGUGAUUUCCCUUAUUUCAAUUAUUGUUUUGUGCAAACAUUGAUAUUGUGGUGCACUAUUGGUGACAUAUGACUUGUUAAAGUCAAACAAUUUCAUAUUGUUUAGAAAUUGCAGAAAUUUCAUUUUGUUGAGAAAUUGCAAUUACAAUUUCAUUUUGCUAGUAAAUUGUAAUGAGGACGGAUAAGAAACAAUGCAUAUAGAUGAUGAUCACAUGUUGGCAUUGAUUUCUUACUACACUACUGGGUUUACGAUCCAUGUCGAUAUGGUUAUAAAUAUUUGUGACUAUAAGGGGCAUUAUGUUUGUUGAGAUUAACAUAUAGACCAUCAUAGUUCAAUAUUAAGACCAUGUUGGACUGGAUAAGUUUAUCAAAAUGCUACUUAUAAACUAUCAUUUCUUUAUAAAAAAAAAGGUGUGGCUACACAAAUUAAACUUUUCUGUACUUAACCCGAGAGUCUUAUUUUCAAAAUGAAUUUAAUGAAUCCUCAAAAACAAUUAAUGUACCCCAAGUGGGAGAAUGUUGGAAAUUUUUUAUAUGGGCUAACAUUAAUUGAAUAAUUUGUAUUUGCAAAAAUGGGUUAAUGGAUAGUCUAUUAUAUAAUGAGCCCAAUUAACUAGUGAUCACAUUUUGGAUUGGGUUUUGCAUCUUUUGAGUAGAAGCUCAAUUGAGUGGCAAGUGUAGGCUAUGGGUCUCAUUGAAGCCCAUUAUGGGAGGUCCAAAAGAGAACCCAAUAUUGAGUUAUGCUAAGUCCCCUCUGUAAUCUAGAAACAAAGGGUCUUUUUGUUUUCCCAUCGAGCCACCAUAGCCGUUAUCAAGAUCAUAGAGAGGAAGACUUGGUUGCAACAAUCAAUCACCUGUUUUUUUUUUUUUUUUUUUGGUGAUGGCUCAAACAGGUAUGUUCUUUAUAAAGAUUUUAUAUUGUCAGUAUCCUUUAAUCAUGUAUGAUUAAUCUAUGUGAUUAUGUAAAUAUUUUUAUAGUAGUAGCCUAGAGAGCAGGGUUCGGAGGAGUGGCAACCUACUAUGCAAGAUCAAGUGGGAUAAGAAGUUCAUAAACAUGAUUGUAAUGUUUGGACUAAGAGCUCAUGUCAAUAAGAGCUUAGGGUCCAAGUGUAACAAGGGUUGAAUCCAAAUCAAAGCCCACAUCCUUAAGAAUCCUAUCGAUAAUGAGGGAAAAUGGAAGGCCACCAGUGCGAGCAGCAAGAUCACAAAAAGGAGUCAUGAUAUAUAAAAUCACAUGGGCAAUGUCGAACUAUUGCUAAGACAAUAUGGUGUGAAUGAAACGAGUGACAAUGUGCCAAAUCAUAGUAUGAUUGGUCAUAGGAUAGAAUGACUAAGAAGUGUAGGAUAAGAGAACCCAAGCUAACUUAGUAAAGUCAACGACUAGAAUAUAGACUAGCAAAUGACAUGGCUCGCCAUAGAGAGAGAUCGGGACUGAGGUGAGCUCACCCUAAGUAAGUGCCUACACCUCGAGAAAGAAUACGAGAAGUUGAAUAGAGACCCGAGACACACCAAGUGCUUGACAGAUGGAACUAGUCGACACAAGAAAAGUCUGACCAUACAUGGCGAUGCCAAACAUCAUAUCAUUCACCGUAGAAUGGAUGUUUACAUAGAACAUCAAAACAUAGUGUGGGUAGGUUAGCCCACGGAGAGAAGCAAGAGGCUCUCAACCUCAUGCUUGGAAGAUACGUGGAAGGUCAAUAUUGAAAAAAACAAGAGCAUAUUAAUGGUGUACUCGACCUCAACACAAUGGCCUAUGAAAGAAGCGUAAUAAUGGUCAUGAGCCUCCUUAGAAUGAAAACACUCCAUUGGGAGGUCACUUAGGUCAAAAAGACCCUAGACCACUAGACCUUGGACCCCUUGGAAAUGAGACGUAGAGGGUGACUCCCUAGGUUGCCUAUGAACAUUGGCCAUCCUACAAUGAAUAAGAAUAUAAAGAGACAUAUAUCAUGAUGUGGACCCAAAUUUCUCACGUGCGCCCCCACUCGAUCGGCGAGACUCGUUUUUUAUUUGUGAAAAUUUUAUUUUAGAAAAGUCAGAGUCGCCACUUAUUUUAUUGUAUUUUAAAAUGGAAAAUAAAACAAGAAAAAAACCCUAAAAAAAUGACUCCAUAGUUUUUGGAAAAGCGUGUCUUUGAAAAACCCGAGUCUAGGUCCAGGAAUCAGGUUACCUAUUGGGAAGGUACCUGUAGACCCUCAAUUUUGUCCCUUUAGCACAUGUCUUUAAAAUUCAUUUUCAAUGCUCCACAAUAGUUCCUUGGUGGCCCAUGGUUACUCAUACCACUUACCUUUUUCUGAGUCACCUCGGAGAUUUUGGUUGAGGGAUUAUUUGAUCCCUUAUUGUGACCCUUGGCAGCCCUAACUUAGACUUAGGCUUUUCUUGUUUUUUUAGGAUAGCUUUUAGAUACACUUGGCCCAUUAGGCACUACCCUAGGCCCACUUAGUCUCACCUUAGGCCCGUUUAGGCACACUAGGCCUACGAAGACUUUUAUUUUAUUUUAUUUUAUUUUAUUUAUUUAUUUUGUUUUUAAUUUUAAUUUUAUGAUUAUCAUUCACUUUUUAUUGGUUAUCUUCCUCUUUAUAUUAUUUUCCUUAACUUAUUUAUUUAUUUAUUAUUUUUACCAUUUUUUAAUUUAUUUACUUAUUUAUCUAUACAUGCAAUUAUUUAACUUCAAAAAUUUCAUGUUUUUGCAAGGAAACUUACCAUUGGAGUUUAAGGAAGAUGGGACUCUCCUUGGAAGGUUUUGGAGGGGAAUUUGAAAUUGGGAAGAUUGCUUUUGAUUGGAGGAUUUAAAAAAAGAAGAGAAGAAGAAAGGAAGGAGGAGAAUUUUCCUUUUUGGAAACAAAUUUAGGUCUUGAGGGGUGAUAUAUAUAGGUGAGAAAAGGAAAAGAAUGGGGAGAUUUUUUUUGGGGGGCAGAGCACACGGAAUUUUGGAAAAAAGCAAGGGACUUCGAACGGAGAUCGGGCUGUCAUUUAAUCAUCAAGAGAGGAUUUUCUCUUUGACUUCAAAGGUUAGUUUUCUAUAUAGUACUUUUAUUUAGCUUAAUUCUUUAGUUUAAAUAAUCAUAUCGAAUAAAGUUUGUAUUUUUAAUCCCAAUUAGUUUGAUUUUAAUUUGUUUUUUAGUUUAAAUGUAUUUUGUUGAUCUUAAUUAUUGACUUUAAAUAAUCACGUUAAAUAAAGUUUAUGUUUUUAAUCUCAAUUAGUUUGAUUCCAAUUCGUUUUUAGUUUAAAUACAUUUUAUUGAUCUUAAUUCUUAAGUUUAAAUAAUCAUAUCGAAUAAAGUUUGUAUUUUUAAUCCCAAUUAGUUUGAUUUUAACUUGUUUUUUUAGUUUAAAUGUAUUUUGUUGAUUUUAAUUCUUAAGUUUAAAUAAUUGUAUUGAAUAAAGUUUGUAUUUUUUAAUCCCAAUUAGUUUGAUUUCAAUUCAUUUUUAAUCUAAAUGCAUUAGUUGAUUUUAAUUCUUAAGUUUAAAUAAUUGUAUUGAAUAAAGUUUGUAUUUUUAAUCCCAAUUAGUUUGAUUUCAAUUCAUUUUUAAUUUAAAUGCAUUAGUUGAUCUUAAUUCUUUGUUUUAAAUAAUCACGUUAAAUAAAGUUUGUAUUUUUAAUCCCAAUUAAUUUGAUUUCAAUUCGUUUUUUAGUUUAAAUGUAUUUUGUUGAUCUUAAUUCUUUAGUUUAAAUAAUCAUAUCGAAUAAAGUUUGUAUUUUUAAUCCCGAUUAGUUUGAUUUUAAUUCGUUUUUUAGUUUAAAUGUAUUUUGUUGAUUUUAAUUCUUUACUUUAAAUAAUCACGUUAAAUAAAGUUUGUAUUUUUAAUCUCAAUUAGUUUGAUUUUAAUUCGUUUUUAGUUUAAAUGCAUUAGUUGAUCUUAAUUCUUAAGUUUAAAUAAUUAUGUUAGAUAAAGUUCAUGUUUUUAAUCCCAAAAUAGUUUAUUUUUAAUUUAUUUGUUAGUUUAAAUAUGUAUGUGAUUUUAAUUUAUUAGUUUAAAUAAUCAUGUUAGAUAAAGUUUAUAUUUUUUUUAAUUCUAAAUUAGUUCAGUUUUAACCUAUCUUUUAGUUUAAGUAUAUUUGUGAUUUUAAUUCAUUAGUUUAAAUAAUCUUGUUAGAUAAAGUUCAUAUUUGAAAUUCCGAUUUAGUUUAGCUUUUAUUUAUUUUUAAUUUGGAUGUGUUUGUAAUUGUAAUUUAGUAGUUUAAUUAAUCUUAUUAAAUAAAGUUCAUGUUUUUAAUUACAAUUUAAUUCAGUUUUAAUUUGUUCUUCACUUGUAUGUGUUUGUGAUUUGAAUACAUUAGUUUAAUUAAUCCCGUUAGAUAAAGUUUAAUCUUGAUUUAAUUUAUUUUUUUAGUCUAGAGGCAUUUAUGUGUUUAGUUAAUCUUAUGUUAAUUAUGGAUUGUUAUUCUCAAUUUAUGCGCUUCUUGAAUCCUUGUUGCUAAUUCUUGAUGGAUAUUUCAUUAGCUUAUUUGAUCUAAAUAUUAAUAAUUUAUUGCUUUGAUAGUUUCCUUUUUGUUCAAAGGCCAUUGGAAAAUCAUGAAGAUUGGCCUCUACCAUCACCAUUAUCAUUUUUGUUAAUUACUAAAAAAAAUUUUACUUUGAGGUUUCAUUUUUGUUUUGUUGGGUAUUUUAUUUCUUAUAUUUUAUUUUUUCCAAAUUAAUUCCUUUUAUUUUAAAAUAAAAUACUUUUCUCAAAAAAAAUCAUUUUAAAAAUCUAUUUCAAAAACUCAUUUAGAGUCCUCAGGAUCAAAAUCUUUUUUUUUUAUUAUUUAAAAAUAAUAUGCAACCAUAUCUUGUUCGGUUUGCAUCCUUCUCGGUUUUCAACAAAAAUUUUGGUUUUGAACAAAAACACGAAUCAAAGCUUGUGGUCCCAAAUAAUGGGAUGAUUCUGAGCUAAAUUCGUGUAUAUCAAUUGGGGAAUUGGUGAAACCCCUACAUAAGAAAAUCUUUUCAAAAAUUAUUUUUGUUGCCAUUUUUGUCACUUGUUGAAAUUAUGUCUAUCUUUUUUAGGAAUUGUAUACAGGAUGAGUGUGAUAAUUAUUGUUUUCAUAUACUUUGAUAAUUUUUGUUAUGCUAAUUAGAUAACAAGCAUGCUAGGGUUUCUUUAUUUUAUUAUUAUCUAAUCCCUCAUGUCUUAUGGAAGCGCAUUGUAAGUUAUCUAUGCUAUCCAGGUACGCCCCCCCUAUCACCUACUUUUCUAAAUUUUGUAAACAAUCAUGUCACUGUGAAGUAUGCAUAUGUUUGAUAAUCCUUAGGUGUUUAGAUGUAUGCUUGAUUCACUAUGAUUAAAUACAUGUUGUGUGUUAUACUUCUAUACUAACUCUGAUGUUUUAUGAUAGCGCUUGAAGAGCGGUUCAGGUACGCACCCUAACUCUCCGUUUUUGUGAUUUGAUCUUGUUUAGCAUGCAAAUCUUUUGAAAUCACCUAGCCUACUUAGGUAUCCAUAAUUAACCGAUUAAUUGCCAUAUUCCCCUUAACUUAAUUAGUAGAGACCUCUUUAGGGCUUAGAGGGGUGCUACCUCCUAGAGGUACCUUCCCAAUAAGUAACCUGAUCCCCGGACCAAGACUUAGGUUUUCAAAGACACGCUUUUCCAAAAAUUAUGGAGUCAUUUUUUUUAGGGUUUUAUUUCUUGUUUUAUUUUCCCUUAAAAAAUAAAAAUAAAAUAAGUGGCGACUCCAACUUUUUUUCAAAAAAUCAAUUUUUCACAAAUAAAUAAAAAGCGAGUCUCGCCGAUCGAGUGGGGACGCACGUGAAAAAUGCGGGUCCACAGUACCUCUAAGAGGUAGCACCCCUCUAAGCCCUACAAAGGUUUCUAUUGACUAAAUUAAGGGAAAUAUUGCAAUUACUUGAUUAAUUGAGGAUACCUAGGUUGACUAAGAUGAUUUAAAAAAAAAAAAAAUAGCACGUCAAAUAAGAUCAAAUCACAAUAAAGGAGAGUUAGGAUGCAUACCCGAACUGAUUCUCAAGCGCUAUCAUAAAACAUCAAAGUUAGUAUAGAAAUAUAACACACGUCAUGUAUUUAAUCAUAGCGAAUCAAGCACACAUCUAAGCAACUAAGGAUCAUAUCAAGCAUAAAUAAGGUUCACGACAACAUGCAUGUUCAUGGAAUUCCGAAAAGUAAGUGAUAGAGAGUGUACCCGGAUAACAUGCAUAAUUUAUAAGAUUCCUCCAAAAUGUUAUAAUGGUUAGGACAAGUACAAAUUGUAUAACAUCUCUAUUAUGUCUAAUAUAGAGUACCUAAGCCAAAAGAGAGUCAAAAUAAGUCAAAUGACUCCAAAAGCAAGUAACAAAUUCAAAUAAAGUAUAAAACCAUCAGCAUGUAGUUAGAAAAGAAAGCAUCACAAAACAAUUUCUAAAAAAAAUGGCUUAUAGUGGAAUUUAACUAUGAAAAAUUUCAAGAAACAACUCCUACAUAUCUAGAUCAACAUACUAAAAUCCAAACACUCAUUCAAAGGACGGAUUGCAGUAAAAACACCUAAGGGUUCUGCAAAGUCCAGAUUAGAUAAGAAAAUUUGACAUGCAUAAACGAAUUUAAAAAAAAUAAUAAAUGAUCACUUAAAAUCAUACAAAAAAUUAUAAACAUAGCUCAAAGUGUCUAUUUCACAUAAAAAAAAUGAAUCUAGGGUUGGAUUGUACGUAAAAUUAUUUUUAAAACACUCAAGCUAAUCAGAUGUCUAGAAUCCAGCAUGCAUAGUAGGCAUGAAUUUGAAAAAUCAUAUCUCCCUCAAAAAGGAAUAUUUUUUAAUAUUUUAUGAAUCCAAGAUCAAUUUUAAGAAGCCUAAAAUGGAGUAAAAAUAUUGAAUCAAAAUUAAAAAUCGUCUAAUAUUUUAUUUUGAAAAAAGAUCUCGGGUGUCCAGAACUAGGUGAAAACAGAGCCCCCUAAAGACUCGUUUAUAUCUUUUAUUCCAGAAUGGCUUUCUAACUCAAACGAAACUUUAAAUUCAAUUUUAAGAAGUGAAGAAAGUCAUAUAAUUUUUUAAAAAAAUUUUAAAAACAUUCCAAAGUUUCUAAAACGAAUUUUAAAUCUAAAGGGUCAGUGGCAACUGGCAGCAAGAAAAAAAAGUUUUUGAAAAUUUUUGCACCACUGGAAUUUUCCUCCCAAGAUGGCUAUGUUGUUGUUUCUUUUCAGUAAUAUCUUCAAGCUUCUGGGUGUCCUCUGAUAGGUUGGUAACCCGAACAGAAUUCUCUUCAUUAAUGCAUCUCAUUUCAGUUCCACUUUUCUCUGCACCUGCUCUCAUGCCUGGAGGAACAUAUUUCCCUUUGCUUAUCAAUGAAUCCUUUAGAAGGUGGGACAAGUUCCUUGUAUGGGCACCUUGAAGUUCUAGUUGUGGAGGUUGAUGUUGUAGGCCAACGAAAUCGUCUGUAUAUUGAACCUGGGUAUCCAGGUCUAGUUGGCUCCUCCAAGGUGCUUGGUUUCUUUGAUAGCAUAACCACAACACGAAGCAUGUUGGGUCGUGACUGUGGAUCAACUUGAGUGCACAACAAACCAAUCUGUACACACAUCGCUACUUACUCAGCAACUGCAGAUGAUGCUAAUGAGGAAUCCAAAACCUCCAAGCUGCGGUUUUUCUUGUAAAAUUUCCAUGCCCACUCAAGUAGGCUCUAUGCAUCGAGAUUUACAUCAAAUGUGGAAUUCUUUUGACCACUUAUUAGCUCUAAAAUCAAAACCCCAAAACUGAAUACGUCUGCCUUCACUAAAAGAUGUCCAUGCAUGAGCCAUGUCCCCAUUGGUGCCAGCUACACGAGUGUUGACAUGAGUUUAGUCUUCUGGAAAGAGACGUGUCAUACCAAAAUCAGCAAUUUUUGGGGCCCAUUUAUCAUCUAGUAGAACAUUGUUAACCUUGAUGUCCCAAUGGAUUAUGCAACUAUGGGAGUCUUCAUGAAAGUAAAGCAAGCCUCGUGCGAUGCCUCCAAUUAUGUCAUACUUUCAUUUCCAAUCCAGUUCCUCUCGUCUACCUAUUUUGAAGAGAAACUUGUCAAGAUUUUCGUUGGAGAUGUACUCAUAGACAAGAAGUUUCUCUACACCACGUGUACAAUAUCCUAAUAGAUUUACAACAUUUUGAUGUUGUACACGAGACAACAACUUGGCCUCAUUCUCAAACUCUUUCUUCACUUGAUUCGGGUUCUAUGACAGCUUCUUUACAGCAAUCUCUAUAAUGACCGGGUGUUUUAGGCCACAUUGGAAAUUUUAGUUUGAAAAGUCUUUUUUUGAGUGGUGGUUGAAAAGUAAAAAAGAAAAGUGUUUAGAGAACAUGUGUAAAUUUUGGAUUGGCGAAAUUUGAUUUAUUGUGUUGGUCAAUUAGGCGAGUUGAAAAUUUUGUACCACGUCAGCCUUAUGGUAGAAAAUUUCUUAGGAUUUUAGAAAUUGAAAAUUUCCGAAAACGAAAACGAAAAUGAAAAGUGAAUUAAUUAAAAUUAAUUAAGUAAAAAUUAAAUGAAAUUGAUUAUUAAUAAAAUUGAGAAAAUUAAUUUUUGAUUUGUGUUUAAUAAAUUAAUUUGUGUAUUAUAAAAAAAAAUGAAAAAUGAAAGAAUUUGGAAAUGAAAAAUAAGCAAAUGGAAAUAAAUAAAGGAAAAAAAUAAAUCAAAAAGUUGGACAGUGGGCCAUGAGAUGUGGGUUGUUAAAAAAAAAAAAAGGAAUUGAUUUGGGCCUUGGAUGAAUUGGCCUUAAAAGGAAAAAAAAUAAAAAAUAAAAAGGUUGGUUGGGCUUUUGGGCCAUGGCUUGUGGUGGCUGGUGGAUAAAUAAAUUAAAGAAAAAAAAACGGAAAAAGGGAAAUUUUGAAAAGUGGCAGAACGGGGAGAGAGAGGGUCGCGACGGACUGUGGAGAAGUUGCACAUCACUGGAACUUUGACCUGUCGUUUGGAUGGCCGAAUGACGUUCGUUUCGGCCCAAUAUUUGAGGAGGUAUUCUACUCGACGAGAUGAACGAUUCUAUGGUGGCUGAUUGUGAUUUUAACGAUCGAAUUCUUAGAUCUAUGGUAGAGGAACUUAACCCUAAAACUUAAAUUUAAUGAUAUUUUCCUUUGAAAAAAAUUGUAAAUCUUAUUAUUUUGAGUUAAGUAGGUAAUAUUGGUGUUGUAUGAAUUUUUUUGGAUGAUUUGGAAUUUUUUUUUGAAUUUUUGAAAUUUCGGGAAUUUCUUUUUGGUUGAUAAAUAAUUGUUUUGAGUUGUUAAAAAUGAUUAGAAGUGUUGGAAAAUUUUAAAAUUAGGAUAUAAUUUUAAAUCUAGUGAUAUGUGAAUUUUUGGGAAUUGGUUGGAGUAUUUUCGGAAUUUUUAUGGUGGAAAAUUAGUUAUUUUAGAAUAUUGAAAAUCAUUAGAAUUGUUGGAAAUUUCCAAAACUAUAGUAUAAUUUCAAGUUUAUUGAUGUGUGAAUUUUCGAAAAUUUGUUGGGAUAUUUUCGAAAAUUUUAAUGUGGAGAAUUUAUUUUAUUGGAUUAUUGGGAAUGUUGAAAUUGUUGAAAUUAUUGAGAAAUUUUGGAAUUGUGGCAUUCAUCUACAUCAUGGUUGUGUGAAGAAAGGAUAAAAAUUGUGAAAAUUGUAUGAAAUGGAAAAAGAAAGGAAAAAAAAAUGAAAUUGUGAUGAAAAUUAAAAACCCGUGUGAGACGAAUUAAGAAGGGUGAGAGAUCCCUAAUGUGAAAGACCCAAAAGUUUACCCCGGGAAGACUCUGAGUGGGGAGUGUAUUUGGGUGCAGACGCGUAUCCUUCGGUGAAAGCCCGAGAACGAUAGUGCAUUGUAUGACUGUGUCACACGUUCAUAUGCAUUUCAUUUAAUUGUUGAAUGUUGUGGAAUUGUGUAUAAUAUUAAAUAUUAAAUUAUGUGGCUUGAUUAAUAUUGUUGAAAUGUUUCUUGUGUGUUCUUUGAAACUUAGAAAUCCACAUUAACUCCUUGGGUGUUAGGCACCCUACUGUGCAAUGUGGAAUGCUCACCCAUUCAUUUUUACAUUUUUUUAGAUGCAGAUAUCACUCCUGAGGAUCCACAGGUAGGGUAGGAAGGACUUCAGGAUGCUCUUGGAGCGGCCUAGUGGAGCGUGUUAUUUUUAUUGUGUUUGUGGUAUUGGGAUUUGUUUUAGUAACUAUAAACUAUGGAUGUGUAAUGAGACCUUAAUUUGAUUAAGUGGAUUAACUAUGAACUUUUAUUUUGGAUUGUAAUGAUAAUUAUUAAAUCUUGAUGCAUUUGAGUAAUGUUUGAAAUAUUGCUAGUUGGUGAGAACCCUAGUGUGGUUUAUAUGUGGAAAAAAAACAUUUCAGAGUGUUUUGGUUGACUGCCAGCGUGGAGUAGGAGAAACCCUUAGGGUCAAACCUUUGACCUGGGGUCAUGGGCCAAGUUUUGGGUCGCCCAGAAUUUGGGUUAUGACAAUCUCUCUCCCAUCAUCUAACCUCCCCUUGACGACGGGACUGAAACCUCUUUCACCGAGCUUCUGGUGGAAAUUUUUUAUGGCUAUGACUAGGGUUUCGAAAGAGAAUAGCUUUUGUUCCUGGGCAUCGAUCUUCUCCAAAUCCUUCUCUUUCUAUCCCUCUUUGCUGGAACUGAAUUUUAAGGGCUUCAUUAUAUUCAGAUCAAUAGGGAAUGUUGUUGUAGAUGGUGCAAUCUCUCCAAGGCUGCCACAAGCAAGACUGACCAUUAUCGUGGAAUCACUGGGCCUUUUUUUUUUUUUAUGCCCUCCAGAUCUCAAUGCCUCAUAAACCAAAAAGCUUAUUGCUAUCCUCAGUCCUCCUCUAUAUCUUCCACAGAAACCAUCCUCAUUCAUCCUCCAACCCGUGUGUCUUCCUUCAUUAUUUCCCCCUCAAAUGCUGAAUGAUCUCCCAUUCCCAAAAAUCCUUAACUUUCCUUAUCCAUGGCCUUUAUGUCGUUAAAGAUCAGCCCCCAGAAUUCCACAGAGACGUGCUCAAAAUCCUUCAGAACACCACCUUCCUUUUGCAGCCAAAGUGGAGAUAUAAGAAAGGAUCUCCUCUCCAAUCCCCUCUUGUUCCCUUCCCAAAACCAAGUCUCUCCUUUAAUCCAUUUCUUACCGAAUCCAAAAGUCGUCCAUACGUGUUGGCCACUUACCAUCAUUGCAUGCUAAUCUCUUCCUUUUUUCCCACGAUUCCUUCUGAGUCUCCUUAUUUGGUCGUGAUCUCCUCUCCUUCAUGGCUUCUCAUGCAAAAUUAAAAAUAAAAUUUAAAUAAGAAAUCAUGUAAUUGGAAGUUAAGACCAAAAUGAAAUAGAAUAAAAUAAAAUAAAAUUUCAAAUCACCUAGCCACAAAAUCCAAGAUAUCAAUUCAUGGAAUUAAAUAAUGAAUAAAUAAGUAAAUAAAAAAAUAAAUUGAUAAAAGGUAUAAAAAUAAAUAUUAGACAUAUGCAAUUAGAAAAAAAAAAUCAAGAAAUUAAAUUAAUGCAACGGAUCAUAAUAAUUUAAAUGUCAAACUCAAACCAUCAAAAAUAAAAAAAUUCCUUUCACACAAUCAUAAAAUAAAAUAAAUAAACAAAAUACAAAUAAUAAUAAUAAUAAUGAAAUGAUAUAAAAUAAAUCAAAAUUGAGUUAAUCCUAAAAUCAAUCAAUAAUAUAAAUAAAUAAAUAAAAACAAGAAAACAACUUUAAGUGAAACUAAAUCUAGAAAAGUGCCUAGGCGAGCCUAAGGUGGUGCCCAAUGGGCCAAGUGUACCUAAAUAGGCCUAGGGUGCCUAAGUGGGCCUAAGGUGGUGCCUAAUGGAUGAAGUGUACCAAAAUGGGCCUAGGGUGCCUAAGUGGGCCUAAGGUGGUGCCUAAUGGACCAAGUGUACCAAAAUGGGCCUAGGGUACCUAAGUGGGCCUAAAGUGCCUAAGUGCGCCUGUGGUGCCUAAAUCUAGAUUAGGGCUGCCAAGAGUCAUAAUGGAGUUAGAUAAAUCUCUCAACCAAAGUCCCCAAAGUGGUUUAGAAAAGAUAGGCUACACGAGUAGUAAUAAGCCACUAGGGAAUUGUUGUAAAGUACCGAACAAAUACCUAAUAGAACAUGUGCUAGGAGGACAAAAUAAAGGGUCUACACAUGAUUUUUCUUUUUUUCUUUAGAAGAAGUGGAGCCAUUAUAUACCAUUUAUGGAAAUCAUACUUUCACUCUAGUUGCUUUAUUCCACUAAGGGGUUGUUUUCUAAAUAUUGCAAGUGAAGGCAUAAAUAUCUUGGAAGAAUCUUUGAUUCUAUUUUAGCUAAGAUUCCAUGAUUUCUAUCAUUCACUUCAAGAAACAAAAAUAUUGAACAUAGACAAAUAAGGUAUAUGUAUUAAACUUGACUAAGCAUGGUAUUCGUUACUUCGAAAAAAAAUAAAAAUACUUUAUUAGUUAAAUUUAAGAAGAUUCCCUAUUAACCAUUUACCAAGAAUAUUUUUUUUAGAUUUCCCACUAUACAAGGAUUUUUAUAUACCUUAAAAACGAUUAACGAAAUCUUGGGGAAAUAAAAUCAAAUUUUGUGGAUAUAGUACAUUUUUAUCAGGCCUAAAACUUGAGAUAUUGAAAUCCUUAUUGAUAAGGCAAGUAAAUAUGACAUCCAAAUUUUCCUAAAAAGAACUGAGAUAGACCAAAGGAUGAGAAAAGAAGCAAUUUAAGCACAAAUCCUUUGGACUACACCCUUUAACAUCACCAGUUAGUUAGGCAUAUACCCAAGAAUUUCAUAAGUUAUUCAAACCUAAAGGUAUCUAGCGGUUUUGUAAAAAUAUCUAUCAAUUGAUGCUUCAUGAAUUUCUAUAUGUUUAGUUCAGGAAUGAAAAAAAGGGUUUUUGGAAAUAUUAAUCUCACUAGAGUUGUCACAAUAAAUAUUCAUAGUACCUUGCUCAAUGCCAUAGUCAUUGAGCAUUUGUUUCAUCCCAUAAAGUUGGGCACAACAACUUCUUGUGGCAAUAUAUUUCACUUCAACAGUGGACAAGGAUAUUAAAAUUUGCUACUUACUUAGCUAGGCAACUAAACAAUCAUCCACAAAGAAGCAAGCACCUGAAGUGUUUUUCCUAUCCUCUACAUUUUCGACCCGAUUACCACUAGAAUACCCAACAAUAACAAGAGAAGAAUCAAAAGGAUACCAAAACCCAUAAUCUAAAGUCCCACUAACAUAUCGAGUGAUUCUUUUAAUUUAAGUUAAGUGUAACUCGUUGGGAUUUUAACCUAACACAUGCUCCCACACUAAAAGAAAUGUAUGAGCGAAUUGAAAUAAGGUACAAGAGACUAUCUAUCAUACUCUUAUAAAGCUUUUGCUCAACAUCCUUUUCGAAUGUGUCCUUACAAAGCUUAGUAAUGGUACUCAUAGGUGUCUUAAAGUAUUUAGAGGAUUCUAGACCAAAUUUCUUCACUAACUCCCUAGCAUACUUAGACUAAUAUAGAAAGAUACCAUUUUUUAUUUGCCUGAUAUGAAAUCCUAAGAAAAAACUGAGUUCAUCUACCAUGCUUAUUUCAAAUUCCUUUUUCAUCUCCUUAGCAAAACUAAGGGCAAGAUAACUCGAGUUGGCUCCAAAAAUGAUAUCAUCAACAUAAAUCUAAGCCACUAAAAGUUUAGUCAUAGUCCUAUGAAUGAAUAAAGUUCUAUCAACUCCCACUCUCUCAAAUUAUUUUUCUAAAUGAUAAGUUGUAAGCCUCUGAUACCAAGCUUUAGGAGUUUGUUUAAGACCAUAGAGGGCUUUCUUUAACUUAUAAACACGAUUCAAGACUUUUGGAUCCUCAAAGCCCUUUGGUUGCUCUACAUAGACUUCUUCAUUAAGAAUCUCAUUCAAGAAAGCACUCUUAACAUCCAUUUAAAAGUUAAUUCCCUCAAUUUGGGAUAACUUUAUUCCUCAUAAUGAUUCCAUUUUCAUCUUAUUUAUUAUUGAAAAUCUAUUUAGUACCUAUCACAUGUUUAUUCUUAGGUUUAGGGACUAAAUACCACACAUUAGGGGCUUUAACUCUUAGGGUCAUGGACACAACAUUACACUUAGCCCUAUCCUUCUUCAACUACACUUGUUUCACUUUAGGUGGUUAACUAGAGGAGUUUUUUUUAGUCUUAGGCUAAGGAUUGGUUUUCUUUCCUAUCUUAAUAUGUAGAAUAUUAUUCUUUAGAAAAUCAAACUCAUUUAUUAGCCUAUUCAACUGAGACUCAUACCUCUUAAGGAAUCUACUAUCACAUCCACUUUAAGCAUGUCCAUACUUCUGAUAGUAAGUGCAUAGUGGGGAAGUUCUAGUAGAGGUUACUUGGUUAGGAGUUUCCUCCUUACCCUUGACAAAAACUAUGCCUCUACUAGUGGGAGUCUCGGUUUUGUUAAUGCAGCCUAGACCUCUUUGAUCUCCAUGUGACUUACAUUUAUCAAGAAUAUCAUUCAAUGCUUUAGUUCCAGAAUGUUAUUGGAAGAAAAAGAAGAUUUUUGACAUUCAAUAUCUCGAGUUAAAAAUAUCGUUUCUCUCAAGGAUAUAUUGAUACUCAGUCUCAAGAAACUAAAUUUUCUCAAUAUGAUUACUCUUUUCUUCACAAAGCGCAUUAAUAUAAGAUUUUUGUGAGUCAACAACAAUAUUAACUUUCAAGAAUUUCUCAAUCAAAUAUCAAUAUUCAACAACAAUAUUCUCAAGAAAAUCAACAUUUUCUUCAUAAUUAAACUCACACUCACUAUCAAUCUCAUGCACAAAAUCAAUAGAUGCAACAAAUGUUGGGAUUGAGCGCUUACGAGCAAGAUAUGACGUAACAAAGUUAGACUUAACUAUCCCCUUGCUAUCCCUUUGGUGUAUUGACAUUAAUUUGAGCAUUUAGCCCAUGUCUCUUACAUUGUACAUGAUGUGGGUGCAUUAGGAGUUGCACAGAAGAUACAAGUCAUGAGUUCCUUGUAAGUAGAUAAGUUGUCUAGAGUCAGGCCAUGGAUUUAGGCAAUUCGGUAGAGACUGUAGUGCACCACCUUCUAAUUGGAGGGAUGACUUGUCUUGGUUGUUGGGAUGGGUUUCCCAUGGUGAGUGCACUGGUGUAUGUGAUGCACACUAGACAGGACCUACCGUGAAUCAUGACGCAAGGUUAUUAAUUGUUAUGAUUCACCACUACAUGGAUAUCCCUAUGAAUUGGGUCACUAUUGAUGGAGGCUAGUGGCAACAUGUAUUCUCAAUAGAAGAACCAUGAUAUCUCAUGGGAUUAAGACAUUGUGUCCCUUUGGGUGAUCCAAAGGACAUGUGAUCAUGAAAUGUGUGGCCAUAGUGAUUCCUUUAGUGGAAUUUGAUAUAUGCUCUUUAGAGUUAGAGUAUGUCAAUUGAUCUCAUAAUAAGAGAGAUCUGUAACUCAAGGAUUUGAGAGGUAAUCUUGAUAGGUGAUAGCACUACCUUGUUAGAUUACGGAUACUAGUUCAUGAGGAGUCUAUAUGCAGUGGAUAGUAGGUCAUGGACCUGAGCAUUUGGUGUCUCAUUGUAAUAUACAAAAGGUACUGGAGUGUAGUUGACUCUUUGUAGUGAUAUGUUGAGUCAAUUUCAAAAUUUGAUUCUAAGAGAGCCAGUACUCCUAUGGGUCCCAAUGGUCCCCACUCUGAACUUAUAUUCCUUGUUGGCAUGACUUAUGAGGGUUGAAUGGGUUUUUAGUUCACUUUUGUGCAUAAGGGUGUUUUGGUAAUUAUGCAAGGUUGCACAAUGAUAAGUGAGUGGUAUCUUUGGACUGGGUUAAUUGAUUAAUUAGGCCUUGUAUGGUUAAUUAAUCAAUUAGCAACCUUUUUGGGCUAGAUUAAGUGACCCAAGCCCAUGGUGGGCUUUAGUCACUUAAAGCUAUAAAUACCCCUUCAAGGGUUAAGGUGUCCAAGUCUUACCAAUCUUCCCUUCAGUUUAGAGAGAGAACCCUAGUCUCCACCCUUGAGAUCUCCACCAUCUCAGUGCUUAAACAUAAGAAAGAGUCAUCAAGCGGAAGAUCAUGGUGUUUACGAGAUCCAAUAUGACUUGGAGUUAUCUACAUCGAUUGGAAUUGAUUCGAGAACAUCUAGAUCAAAGGUAUGUGGCUUUAGUCUUUAGAUCUAUGUUUUCCAUGGUAUCCAUAUUGUUUUUGAAUAUUUUUUUAUCCACUGCGAUAGAUAUAGAAAGCCUAAGAUAUAUUUGCAUGCACCCUACAUGAUCCAGGGGUUCCCAACAACAAAAGCUAAAAAAAUAAAAAAAAAUAAAAAAUUCAUUAUGCUCAUACCUUUGAUCCUUAGAAGCCAUGAAGUCACUCUCAUUGGAGUUUGUGUCACUCCAAGUAGCUUCCAUAGACUUUUUAAUGUCUUUAAGAUUAGGACAAUUAGAAGAAACAUGUGUCAGUCCUCCACAAUUAAAACACUCAACCUUUUUCCCUUUAGAAGACUUAUCAAAUCUUUUUCCCUUUCUUGAGUUUUGUUUCCUAUUGGUCCUUUUAUGAAAUUUUAGUACCUCUUUAACACGUUUUUCCCAUAUGAACCAAUUCUUCCCUACCUACACUUUUAGAAUUUUCAGACUCUUUUUCCUCAUUCUUAGAAGCCUUAAAAGCGAACUCUUUAGGCUUCUAAGAAUCUAGAAGAGUUAUUUCAUAGGUAUGAAGAGAACCAACAAAUUCAUCAACUCUCAUAAAGUCAACAUCCUUGCUUUCCUCUAUAGUAGUGACCUUAAACCUCUCAAGAAGGGAUCUUAAGAUUUUUCUAACAAUUUUAGACUCAGGAAUCUUUUCUCUUAGGUUAAAGGUAGAAUUCACAAUAUCACUUAAUUCAAAGUAGAAUGCAAAGAAAUUAUGAUUCUCUUACAUUCUAAGGCUUUUAAACUUAGAGGUGGGUAUUUAAAUUUUAGACAACUUCAUUGUUGAAAUGCCCUUGUUAGUUACUUCAAGAAUGUCCCAUGCCUCUUUAGCAUGCUUGCAUGUGGCUAUCUUGUGAAACUCAUUAAGACUUGCCCUAUUGAAUAUGCUAAAGACGACUUAAGCAUUGACCUCAGUCUCCUUAUUAUCAAUCUUAUCCCAUUCUUGUUUUGAGUUUUAAUUCACCAGUAGAUCUCCUAGUCACAUCUAAUUUUAAUGGGGGUCCUUAUCCAUAUUCCACAACAUUCUAGACCAUUUCUCCUUACAUUUAAAAAAAAAAAUUCAUUCAAGCCUUCCAAUGGGGAUAGUUAUUCCCAUCAAAAUAUGGUGGAUUGUUUAGGGGUGCCCCAGACCUCUAUUGUUCCAUGUUGGACUUGUUAGAUCAAUAAAAAUAUAAUUUAUAUUUAGAAAAAUGGCUCUAAUACCAAUUGAAAAACUUUUUUCUCAAUAGGAUAACACCUAGAGGGGUGAAUAGGUGGUUUUUUUUUUUUUUUAAAGAUUUUAAUAUAAAAGUUGAAAAACUUAACCCAAUUAAAACUAUGAGAGAAAUUUAAGCCUAUUUACGUCAAUAAGUUCCUGUAUGAUAUAGGAAAUAAUCAAAGAAACACAAUCACAUAAGAGACAAACGAUUUUACGUGAAAACCUCUCACACUAAUUGUGAAUAUAAAAAACUACGAGGUUUAGAACCACUAAUAAAAAAUCCACUAUAUGAGAUCAAGAUACACAAAUCUACCCGACCACUUAUCUUAUAUAUCAUGAUCCACAUCUAUGAUACAACACUUCCAAUGCUCCAGUGGAUUCGCCUCAACCUUUGAGGAAAUGUAAAUCUUUGCAACAACUUAAAAUUCAAUAACCAAAUUCUUGAGAGCUUUUGGGAAUGGUAAGGCAAGUUAGGGUUGAUUUCAAUGGAAGCAUCAAACCCUAAAACAAAUUUAGGAAGGGUUUAUAUAGGUCUAGAGACCUAAAUGAUUGGUAACCAAAUUUUCCAUAAACAAUAAAUCCUCAAUUUCCAAAAAUGAGAUAUGCCAGAAUAUGGUAGAUUCAAAGGGACCACUUGUAGACUUAUCCACCACUCGAAUGCCUUAGGUGAUUAAGCGCUUAGAUAAGUGCUUGAAUGAUGGAAGCGUUUGAGCAUGCUAACACUUGAGCUUCGAUGUUUUUCCAAAAAGCAAAUUUAAAACAAUUUAGUUCAAAAUUAAAUAAUUGAUCAAAUUCAAAUCCUUUUUAACACCUAACUUAUUACAACUUAAACCUUUUUAGUAUGACUUUUUGGUUGAAUGAACAAUAACCUUGAAUUUUCAAUGAAAAGUAAAUCACUAUCUAAAAAGUAACCUAAAAAUAAAGAAGAAUAAAAUUGCCAACAAAAUAAUGUGAGAACCUAAUGCCCUAACAACAUUUAAUAACAUGAAUUAGAUUUUGGAAUCUUGGUGGAUCCUUUUAUUUAAUAAAUAGACUUGAUGGAAUAAAAUGAUGAAAACUUAUAUUAUUAUUGUCAAUAAAAUAUAUGAAAUGUUGAUUAAAUUGACAAAUACAUAUAUAUAUUUAGACAAUCAUUGAUUAAUCCAAAUGGAUUUUUGUGAAUUGAAAUAUGGAUUUUAUUGUCAAUAAAAUAUAGGUGAAUGCAUUAUGGUAACUUCACAGGUGAGAUUAGAAUAUAAAAAAUUUGUGCUUGUUGGAUUCCCGAUUACUACAACAACCUUUUAAUCAAAUACUAAUUGCAAUUAAAGCUAGAUUAGCUAAAUCUACUUUUAUAGUUAAACUUUAUAAAGAAAAACUGUUGUUAUAAAUUAAUAUAGUUUUAUAAAAAAAAGUUUCUUCUAAUCAUAUUUCAUCACUGGUUUUCAUUCAAUUAACUACUCCCAUUUCAUUCAAGCAGAGAAAUGAAUCAUCAAUAAGAGAUUAAAUCAUUAUUUUGUCUUUGCAAGAAAAUUUGGGAAAGUUUAGGAAAUUUUAUUAGAAGUUUAAUAUGUGAAAAUACAUGUAAAUGUAUAACACUCUUUGUUUAUACAUAUACUAAUCCUUAUUUAAGCAUGUGUUAUUUCUUAAUGUUGAUCCUAAUCUUGUCAUUAAGCAAAGACUUAUAACUCUUUCAUAGAGUCCCUAAGCCUUUCUUAAAUUUUCUCAUUAAGGAAAAAAAAAAAAAACUUCAAAUGAAAUUAGACCUGAUGGCAUUAGAUUCAUUCAGCAGUUUAAUAAUUUUUAAAGAUAACUUAGAACUUAAAAAUUGAUACAAUUAAUACUAGAAUUUUUUUGGAUAAAAAUUAGUUCAAAAUGAUUAUGUCAAUUUCACCUCUACCUAUACUAAUAUAUAUUCUUUAAAAUUUUUAAUUAGGCAAAUGAACUUCAAAUUAUAUAAGACUUGACUUGUUUUAUUCUUUAACAAUCAUAAUAGUUUUUAAAAAUAAUUUAUAACUGUAAUAUACUAAUUAUAAUGGAAAUUUGGACCAAACCAGUCCAAAACACCUUGAAAAUAAUUGAAAAGUAAAUAUAAGUACAUAUUGUGAAUCAACUUAGUUUAUUUUCAUAUUUUAAAAAAUAAAUUAUAUUUCUUAUAAAAAAAUUAAAUAAAAUAUUAUAAUUAGUUGUCAUUUUUAAAAUAUUAAUUUCUAAUAAAAAUGUAAUUUAUAGAUUUAUUUAAAUAUUAAUAUUUAUGUUUUAUAAUUUUUAAUAAAAUAUUAUAAAUUUAUCACUAUAUUAUUUAUUGAAAAAUUAUUUUCUAUUUAUUUUGUAUCUAUUUAUUAUGUAUUUCUUACAAAAAUACAUAUUGUAGAUAAGAGUUUUUUUUUUUUUAAUUUUAAAAUAUUUUAAUUCAUUAUUAAAAAUUAUCUAUUAAUUUUUAAUAAAAAAAUAUUAUUGUAAUUUUUAUCUAUAAAUUUUAAAUUUUAAUAUUUUUUUUUUUGGUAGAAUAUAUAUAUAUAUAUAUAUAUAUAUAUAUAUAUAUAUAUAUAUAUAAGAUGUAUUUAGCAAAAUAAAUUAUUUUAGAAAAAACAAAAAAUAAAAAAUUAAGUUAAAUACACUUCAACUUUUGAGUGUUUUAUACUUUACCAUUCAUAUUAAAAAAUGCAUCACUUUACUUAUCAAAUUUGUUAAAGAGUAACACUUCAACAUAAUUUAUGAUGAAUCCUCUCUAAAUUAGAAAAUAGAUUGUUUUAUAUAUAUAUAUAGAUAUUAUUUUCUUUUUUAUUUGGACCAUGAUUCAAAUAUCGGUUUGAACUUAGGUAAAACUAAUUUUGAAUUGACAAUCUUAAAAGAAAAUUUUCCAAAUGCCUUUAAAAUAUGACAAUUUUUUAUUUCAAUGAGUUUGUAUGACUUUUCAUGAUUUUCACACGCAGUCUUCGAAUUUUGGACAUAUGUAUUUUAUUUACAUUUCAACCUUAUUUAUUUACUUAAUAAGUUUCUCAUUCACAUUUUAAGGAUAAAGUUUUGCUCUUUAAUAAAUUAUGAUACAAAAUAUUACGUCUUGUUUAACAACUGUUUUAAAAAAUAAUUCUCAAAAAUAGUUUUUGAGGACAGUUUUUGAAAAUUGUUGUAAUGUUUUGUAUAAUAAAUGUUUAUUUGGGAACUCAAAAUGUUUUUAAAUAAAUUCUUAAUAUUUGUAUAAUUAUUUUUUUAAAACAACACUAAAAAACGAUGAAAAACAAUAAAAAAUAAUUAAAGAUGUUAAUUAUUUUAUGUUUUUUGAUUGAAAAUAAUUGUUUUUUGAAAACACUUUAUUUCCUAUUUUAAGAAAAGGAAAUUGUUUUCCAUUUUUUUUAUUAACAAAUGUGCUUUCUUGGUUUUUUGUUCUUAAGAAUGUAUAACUGUGUUUAAAAACAAUUAACAAUCAGAACCUUUGAUUUUGAAUAUUGCGGAGAAAUUGUAAAACAAUAUAAGGAAGUAUUUUUAAUCCGAAGAAAUAAAUAGAAGAAUAAAAACAAGAAGGUAAUCUGAUGUGGUAAGGAGAAAAGAAGAAAGAAAUCCAAAUAAAAAUAAAUAAAAGGAGAAUGUUGGGCGAAGCAGAACAACAAAGGAGAUGAAGGUGGUCUUUUUUAUGAAAAGGGUGUUAUUGGUGAAGGACACACGAUAGGAGUUAUUUUAAUUGAAAAAUGGGUAGUUGACAUGCAAUGCAGUAAUGGUGAAAAAGGAUGUUACUUUUAAAAAAAAAAACAAAAAGGAAAAGUAUGCUUUGGACUUCCGAUAUGCAAAUAACCUGAAAUUGAGAACCCAACUUUUUCAAUUUAAAGUUAACACCAUUAAUCCCUGAAAUUGAGAACCCAACUUUUUCAAUUUAAAGUUAACACCAUUAAUCCCCAAAAUAUUUUGGAUUUUAUGCACUUUAGGUUGAUGUGGUUUUUAAUGUCAAAUUUACCCUCCCCUUUCCCACUCAAGUCGCUAGGUAAAAGUCGACAUGUAUAAAAAAAUUAAAAAAUAAAAAUUAUUUUCACUUUCUCUCCCAAUUCUUCUCCAUCUGCUCAUACCAUUGCCUCAUAUUCCUCUCAUUCUAAAAAAACUAAAUCUCGUGAACCUUCUUUAAAUAAUCUAUUAAGGCUCCUUCCAACUAAUAAAAAGAUUCACAAUUCACUAAUGUCUACAACUCAAAGUGAAGAAGAUUUGAGGAGCACAAAGCAGAGAUGUGAUGUUUAUUCUCUACGCUUUCUGUAUUACACCCUAACCCUAAUUUUGAAAUCUAAAGAAAAAAAUGGAGUUGGGUGGUUGAAACAUCUAGUUUGUUUGCUUAACCUUUGCCCACAUAGUUGAAUCUUGUUAUAUAUAUAUAUAUAUACCCUUUAACCUCCAUAAUAUCAUAUCUCGGUUUGAUUUUUUUCAAAUUUGACUUGGAUCCAUUUUGUUGGAAUUUAUAUAGGUGAAUGGAAAUUAGGAUUUUUUUUUUCUUUGGAAGACAUGUUGUUUCUCAACAAACACAACUUAUUUAAAAGAAUGUGUUUUAUAUUUAAAAAAAAAACACGACCUCUUCCAAAUGAUGUGUUUGGUGUCCCUUCAAAGGAUGUGUCUAGUAUUUUAAAAACAUAUAUCUUCUAAAGGUCACUUUCAAAUCUAUAAAUAGGGACCCCUUUCAUGACAUUUUCAUUCAUUCAUCCUGUCUCUCCAUUCUUUCUCUUUUCUUGCCUUUCAAGUCCUCAUUAGCUUCAAGUCUAGUCAUUUCUCUUUUCUACCAAAUAUUUGGUAUACAUGAGAGUACAAAUUACCAAGUGAUUCACUAUUUCUUGUCAUUUGAAGUGUUACUAUCACAAGAAAGUGAUCGUUGUAUCAUGGGAGACGAUUGUCAAUAAACCGUAAGCACUUGAGCGGGACAAAUUCGUUUUAAGGACAUAUAGUCAAACUCUAGCCUCGAUCAAUCUUAUUUGUGAGUUCCAAUUUUCUAUUUACUUCACUCAAUUUGUAUAUUUAUUAUACACACUUAUUAUCCAUAUAUUUUUAGUGAUUUGGAUAACAAUCUUAAGACGAAUUUGUUUUUAUUUUUUACAAUUGAUUUUUUUUUUAAAGUGAAAAUGGAUUUUGUAUCUUCUAUUAUACCUCUUGCUACUACACAUGAUGAGAAACUUGAGAAGUUCAUUGGGAUGAACUUUAAGAGAUAGCAACAAAAAAUGUUGUUCUACUUUACAACUCUGAAUUUUGCUCGAGUCCUAUAUGAGGAUGCCCCUAUGUUAAAGAAAGGUAAAACUGGUAAACAAGUGCAAGUAGUUGUGGAAGUUUGGAAUCAUUCUAAAUUCUUGUGGAAGAAUUACAUCCUCAAUAGUUUGGACAACACAUUAUACAGUGUGUAUAGUCCAAUAAGAAUUGCUAAGGAACUUUGGGAGUCUUUAGAGAAAAAAAUACAAGACAGAGGAUGAUGGCUUGAAGAAAUUUGUAGUCAACAAAUUUUUGGAAUUUAAAAUGAUAAACUCCAAGGUAGUUAUAAGUCAAGUCUAAGAACUACAAAUCAUUCUACAUGAAAUACAUGAAGAAACGAUGGUAUUGAGCGAGUCUUUCCAAGUUGCAGCAUAAUUGAAAAAUUACCACCUUCCUAGAAAGAUUUUAAAAAUUACUUGAAGCAUAAGCACAAGGAAAUGGGACUUGAGGACUUGAUUGUGAGAUUAAGGAUUGAAAAAGGCAAUUGAAUUUCUGACAAGAAGUCAAGGAAGCUUCCUAUAGAAUCCAAGGCAAACUUGGUAAAAUAGAAAACUAGCAAGAAAAGGAAGUACUCUAGUGAAGGUCCUAAUUAGGGGAAUGACAAGUUCAAAAAAUUCAAUGGAAAAGUUACGUGUUCAACAAACAAGGCCAUCGAGCUAAAGAUUGUCAUUCCAAAGAACAUGAUAAGAAAAAUCAAGUACAUAUGACUGAAGAAGAGAAACUAGCAAAUGAUGUGUUAGAUUUAGUGUUUUCUAUUGUGGUGUUUGAAGCCAAUAUGGUGGACAACCCCAAGGAUUGGUGGAUAGACACAGGAGCUACUCUUCAUGUAUGUUUGGAUGGAAAAAUGUUCUCUUCUUAUAUACAAAUAAAUGGAAGGGAGCUAUACAUGGGUAAUUCAACUACUUCCAAAAUUGAAGGCAUAGGAAAUGUGAUAUUGAAGAUGACUUUAGGAAAUGAAGUCACUCUCAAUGAUGUGUUGCAUGUGUCCAAUAUCUGUAAGAAUCUAGUAUAUGGCUCAUUAUUAAGUAAAAAUGGGUUCAAAAUGGUUUUUGAAUCUAAUAAGUUUAUACUCACCAAGAAUGGGGUGUAUGUGAGCAAAGGGUAUCUCGCAAAUGGGUUUUUUAAGAUGAAUGUAUGACUGUCCUGUGAGAUUUCAAUGCUAAUAAAGCUAGUUCUUUUGUUAAUUUGCUUGAGUCAUUUAAUUUGUGGUAUGACAUAUUAGGACAUGUGAAUUUUAAUUCUUUGUGCAAAUUAGGAAAUCUAAAUUUAUUGCCAAACUUUCACAUUAAUCCUAAUCACAAGUGCGAGACAUGUGUAGACGCUAAGCUAGCUAAAACACCUUUUCAUUUUAUUGAAAAGAACACCAAGCCUUUAGAAUUAAUUCACAGUGAUAUCUAUGAUUUAAAGUUUGUGUAAACUAGAUGAGAGAAAAAUAUUUCAUUACUUUCAUUAAUGAUUACACAAGAUACAGUUAUAUAUAUUUGCUAAGAAGCAAAGAAAAGGCCUUGGAAGUAUUAAACACUAUAAGAAUAAGGUUGAAAAUCAACUUAGCAAGAAGAAAAAGAUGACAAGAAGCGAUAGAGGUGGAGACAAUGAAGCACCUUUUGAUGAGUUUUGUUUAGAACAUGGUAUUAUUCAUCAAACCACUGCUCCUUAUUCACCUCAAUCAAAUGGGAACAUUAAAGGAUAUGAUGAAUGCUAUGUUGAUAAGUUCUGGUUUACCUCAUAAUUUAUGGGGGAAAUCAAUUUUUUUUGCUAACCACAUUUUGAACAAAAUACCACACAAGAAAAAUGAUGUAACUCCAUAUGAAUUAUGGAAAGAAAGAAAACCAUCUUACAAAUUUUUGAAAGUGUGGGGGUGUUUAGCUAAAGUAGCUAUUCUUAACCCUAAAAAGGUUAAGAUAGGGUCUAAAACAGUUGAUUGUGUUUUUAUUGGUUAUGCCAAUAAUAGUAGUGCAUAUCAGUUCCUUGUAUAUAAAUUAGACAUUCUUGAUAUUCAUGAAAAUACAAUCAUUGAGUCAAGAAAUGCCUCAUUUUUUUAGAACACUUUUCCUUAUAAAAGUAUACUAGAGAAAGUUCUUAGAAAAGAACAUAUGAGACUACUACUAGUAGUCAUUAAGAUAUUGAAAAACCCAAAUGCAGUGAAAAGACCAAAGUAUCUAAGUCAUUUGGUCAUGAUUAUCUAAUUUAUAUGUUAGAAAAUGAACCCCAUACAUUUAAGAAAGCAUUGUCUACUCCAGAAGCUCUAUUAUGGAAAGAAGCUAUUAAUGAUGAAAUUGAAUCGAUCAUGAAAAAUCACACAUAGGAACUGGUGGAUCUUCCAGCAAGAAAUAAACCUUUAUCUUGUAAAUAGAUCUUUAAAAGGAAAUUGAAGGCCGAUGGAUCAAUUGAUAAAUAUAAAGUUAGACUGUAGGUAAAGGUUUUAAACAAAAAAAAAUCCCUCGACUUUUCUUAUACAUAUUCACUAGUCACAAGAAUCCAUUGAUUGCAAUCACUACAUUGCAUAAUCUUGAAAUUUAUCAAAUAAAUAUUAAGACAACAUUUUUAAAUGGUGAAUUACAAGAGGAGAUUUAUAUGGACCAAUCUAAAGGGUUUAUUACUCUUAGACAAGAGAAAAAUGUGUGUAAGGUUGUUAAAUCUUUGUAUGGAUUAAAGUAAGUACCAAAACAAUGGCAUGAGAAAUUUGACAAUAUUAUGAUAUCAAAUGACUUUAAGAUCUAUGAAUGUGAUAAAUGUGUUUAUGCUAAGAGCACACCAAAUGGUUAUGUAAUAGUAUGCCUAUACAUGAAUGAUAUGCUAAUUUUUGGAAAUAAUAAUGAUAUUAUUAGAGCUAUCAAGAAAAUAUUGACCAAACAUUUUGAUACGAAAGAUAUGGGUACAACAAAUGUCAUUUUAUGAAUUAAAAUCUCCAAGAUGUUUGAUGGACUAGUAUUAUCUCAAUCACACUACAUUGAGACAAUACCUAGAAAGUUUAAUAAAUAUGAAGAUAGUCUAAUAAAGACUCCGAUAGAUGUAAAUCUACACUUAGCUAAAAAUACUAGUCAAACCAUAUCUCAAUUAGAGUAUUCUUAUGUAAUUGGUAGUUUAAUGUAUGUCAUGAAUUGUACACGACUAGACAUAACAAAUUAAGUAGAUUUACAAACAAUCCAGGAAAAAAUCAUUGGAAGGAAAUAAUGAGGGUGCUUAGAUACCGAAAAUACACUCCAAAUUAUGGAUUGCAUUACACAAGAUAUCCAACUAUGCUUGAAGGGUGUUUAGUGAUGCAAAUUGGAUAUCUAAUACAAUGGACACAAAAUCCACUACUGGAUAUGUAUUCACAAUAGCAAGAGUUGUAUCAUGGAAGUCCUCAAAACAAACAUUUAUUGCUAAAUCCAUAAUGGAAUUUGAAUUUAUAGCUUUAGAUAAAGUAGGAGAAGAAGUAGAAUGGCUUUGCAAUUUUCUAGAGGAAAUACCAUGUUGGAAAAAACCUAUGUCUUCAAUAAGCAUACAUUGUGAUAAUCAAUCGACUAUUGGAAGAGCACAUAAUAGCAUGUAUAAUGGUAAGUCUCAACAUAUAUGUCAAAGACACAAUACAGUAAGUUACUUUCAAAUGGAGUGAUUUUCAUUUAUUACAUUAAAUCAAAGGACAACCUUGAGAAUUCGCUUACUAAAGGUUUGCCAAGAGAUCAAGUUAACUACUUAUCAAGGGGAAUGAGAUUAAAGCUUAUGAUAAAAAAAAAGUCUUUAAAUUGGUAACCCAACCUAGUUGACUGGAGAUCCCAAGAUCUAGGUUUAAAAAGACAAUUAAGUUAUGAAUGAUUAGGAGAAGCACUAAAGAGAUAAUCUCUCUUAUAUAUUCCUAUGGUGAAAUACUGUUUUUUGCAAUGUGAACUAGGUUAAACUUUGUUUUUAAUGAAUCCUAUAGCUUGGAAACAAGUGGGGUAUGGCAGUAUACUCUUAAUAGGAAUCACCUAUGUGAGUGUGAAAUGGGGUCAUUUCUAUAAGAAUUUUUAAGGCUAAAAUUAUCUAUAACACUCAUGAAACUAGGAUUUGUUCAAGGCCAAAAUGAACACAACCAUGAGAAUCAAUGGUGAUUCAGAAGAAAAUUAUGUGGAUAUUGUUGUCUUGAUUUACAUCAACAGUUGAACAGUUCAAGACAUCAUAGUCACUAAUUAGCUAGUAAAUCAGAUAAUAUUUCACUAAGGAAGGUUCAAAGUCACAAGUUACCUAUCCUAAUGCAAUUACUUUCCAAGUUGUACUCUCUUGAUUGAUUAGCUUGUCAUUUGUGUGUGUGUGUGUGUGUGUGUGUGUGUGUGUGUGUGUGUGUGUCAUGUGUGUAUGUGUGUGUGUGUGUUUUUAAGACAAUUUCCAUUCAUGUGGGGGAUUGUUAGAAUUUAUAUAGGUGAAUGGAAAUUAGGAUUUUUUUUUCUUUGGAAGACAAGUUGUUUCUCAAUAGACACAACUUAUUUUAAAGGAUGUGUCUUGUAUUUAAAAAAAAAACGCAACCUCUUCCAAAAGAUAUGUUUAGUGUCUUAAGACAUAACCCUUCAAAGGAUGUAUCUAAUAUUUUAAAGACAUAUAUCUUCUAAAGGUCACUUCAAAUCUAUAAAUAGGGAUUCCCUCCCUCCAAAUGGAAUUUUCAUUCAUUCAUCCUUUCUCUCCACUCUUUCUCCUUUCUUGUCUUUCAAGUCCUCCUUGGCUUCAAGUCUAGUCAUUUAUCUUUUCUAUCAAGUAUUUGGUAUACAAGAUAGCACAAAUCACUAGUGAUUAAUUGUUUCUUGUGAUUUUAAGUGCUACUAUUAUAAGAAAGCAAUCGAUGUAUCCUAGGAGACGAUUGUCAAUAAACCGUAAGUACCUGAAUAGGACAAAUUCGCCUUAAGAACAUAGAGUCAAACUCUAGCCUUGAUUAACCUUAUGUGUGAGUUCUAAUUUUCUACUUCAUUUUAUUUGUAUAUUUAUUAUUCACACUUAUUAUACAUAUAUUUUCAGUGAUUUGGAUAACACAUUCAUCUCAGAAUAACCAAUAGAGAAAAAGAUGGGGAGUUCAGGGUUCUCAUGGAAACUAUUGGACCACUUGAAGCUCUCGAAAGGGAAGAUCUUGGGCAUGGUAGUGCUUGACAGAUGGGGCAAGGUCAAUCCCGAUCAGUACAACUGCAUCUACAUUGCUAAAACUUCGACCAUGGAUUCUCUCAAGAAGGUUUCUUCCUUCUUCAUUUGAUUCGUUAUAUAUUGCUUUUUAUUUUCACCAAUUUAUUUAUAUCACCUAGAGUUUUGCGUAUCUUUUUGUUAUUCUAUUGCUUGUUAGCUGAUUUCUCAUAGUAUUUUUUAAAUUUUGUGAUUCAUAUUAAAUAACAAAUGUUUGGAUUAGCGGAAUUGCAUGGGUGGUUAAAUUUGUGUUUGUGUGUGUAUGAAUGUGUUUUAACACUUAGAAUAUUAUGUUGGGUUCAUCUGAUGUUAAUGCAAGCAAUUUAUUAAGGAUACUUGUAUUUGAAAUAAACCAAAACCAUGCAAAUGAGUGAAUAGUAUUUUGGAUUGUAUGGCCCCUUUCAGCCUUUUGAUCUCACAAAAAGGUUUGUGUUUUGGAUCAUAUGGCCAUUUUUUGGCUUUUAUCUUAUAGGAAGUUUUAAAAGUUUCAAAGUUCAAAUUGGGGAUGAAACAAUUGAAAAUGGUAUUUGUCCAUAUUGGUCAUUACAAAUUGUCGCUUCUAGAAAGUACUAAGCAAAGAAAAAAAAAAUACUAAACCAAAUGUUUUUCUUAUGUUUCGAUAUCAUGCAGAUGUUGUCUCGCUAAUGUGGGUUUUUUUUUUACUUGCUUAAAUUUUAUUUUCGAAGCAAAUGUUGCUAAAUUCAUACAAUGCAUUUUUAUUGAUACCAAAGAACUAAUCGGUCAUGUCAUUAUCGUUUAAUAUUUUUAAAGCAAGUGAAUAUUGUUUUUUUUCAUACGUUAGUGUAUUAAAUAUUAAUAUUGUUAUUUGUCUAUAAAAAAAUAUUAAUAUUGUUAUUAAUAUUCUUAUUAUUCUUUAUAUAAACAAAUCUUACUAGGACUUUAGAAAAUUGAUAGGUGGAUUCUUGUCAAUCCCUAAAGUUAGAAUCAUUAUAAACUGAGGCAUAAAGCAGCUUAUGGUUAAAAUUUAUAUUUAAUUUCCAAUAAAACAUAUGAGCUUGGUAUUUGUUUGUCAUUUGAGUUUUCUGGAUUUUUCUUAAACUUGUUGGGGUCCAAAUUAUGGAAGAUACAUUUUUUGUGGAGCAUUAUACUCUAGAAAUAGAAGAUAAGGGGAGGAAAUUUGUAGUGCUUAGGAUUUAUGCUGCUUCAGUUGUUGAAAAUUUUAGACUUCACUAUUUUGUUGGAUGAUUAAUUAUGUUAGCAUUUCUAGUGUGAAUUUCAGGCUUAUUUAUGCUUAGGUUCUAUUUUAAUGGGCCUCAAGUUGUGAAAAGCCUAUAAUUUUAAGCUUAUAUGAGAAAAAAAAUGUGUAAAUGUUGUAUUAAACAGUUAAGACCUGGUAAAAGAGAAGAAUAGUGUUGCUUGUUGUCUUUAGUUGGAUACUUCCAUGGAGAAACCCAAGAUAAAAGAACACAUGGAAUUUUAAUACUAGGAAAGGAAUGUGGAACUCUAGACUGUGUGAUCAGAAUAUAGACCCCUUUUCAUUAUUGUCCAAAGAUUGAAAGUUUAGGGAAAAAACCUACUAAACCAUGUGGAAUAUAAUUUUAUAUAAAGAACGACAAUUUGAAGUGGAAAGGCUUCAUCCAUGUUCAUGUCUAGAUGUUCUAUGCAUGAAUAGUAAUGGAUUGUGUAAUGAAGGAGUGGGUUCCACAAUAUUGCUCUUUCUUAGCAUUGCUUUUGUUUUUUUACUAGUAAUUGAUUAUGUAAUGAAGGAGUGGGUUCCACAAUAUUUCUCCUUUUAGCAUGCAAGAAUUUACCAGGCAUUGAAGCAUAAAGUUUUGCUUGUUUUUUUGUGGAGUUUGAAAUAUAACAACUUGGAUUUUAGAAGGUAUGUAUUAUUUACAUUUUAUUUAAUCACAUAAUUUUUAUUUUUUAGGAAAAUAUUAGAAUUACUCAAGUGGUUUUCCGUAGAUUGAAAAUAUUAAAUUCACAUUAAAGCAACAAAUGGUAUUCUUUGCAGGUUUAGUACACUUCAAGGUAGCAGAUGAGAUUACUCCCAUCAAAAUCGAUAACUUUGAGUAAACCUUUGGUAUGUAAGCCUUUGAUGGAGUAUAUUUGGUUCUUAACAUAUGAAUUUCUACUUAUUUAGUGUUGUUUAUAAUGCUUUUUGCAAAUUAUUUCUCCUUGUAGAUCCAAUGGGAUGAACCUACAACAAUGGCCUAAUAUGUGAUGAGGUUGAGAAAGGGAAAGGAACUGAAGCUUCUUAUUUUCAUCACAAAGCUGAAGAUUCUUAGUUUCAUCACAAUGGCUCAGCAAUGACCUAAGUGGUUUUGUUUUUUUUUUUUUUUUUUUUCUAAUUUGUUGUUAUGCUCAAAAUCUUCCUUCUUGUUUUGAAUCAUAAGAGAAGACUUAAUAUCUUCCCUCCUGUCACGAGCCACAAUAUUGAUUUGACUUAAUUUUUAUGCUAGGAUGAAAUUAGAAGUUGAUAUUAUGUGUGAAGGUUUUUUGUCCAAUUCCAUUCAUGAAAUGGGUGAAAUUUCUAUUUUGCCUAAUGGUCCAUCUUUUAAUGGUUUGAGGAAUGAAAAUUCCUAUUGGUUUCUUUUAAUGGUGCUUGUAGAUGAAAAACAACAUGACAUUAUUAUAUGGGAAAUGUCUAGAUAUGUUGUUUGCAGUUUGCAUUAUAGUCGCCUUAAACUGAUGGGGAAAUAAGAAGUUAGAGGGGAAAAGUAGAAGAAAAGAACUGGUGGAAAUAAAUACAAUAGAAUUAAAGUCAAUAAAUUAAUUUUAUAUUUAUUUUAACCCUUUUUAAAAAAAAUUAUAUAAAGAUUAAAUAAUUUUAAAGUGCUUGAGUUUAUAACCUCAUUGAACGUUGCUAUUCUAAUUUUUUGAAGGGCAAAAACAUCAUUCCAAAUGAGGUCAAAUAUAUUACCAAAAAAAAUAGUUCUCAAGUUACAAUAGUUCUUAGAAAUCCAUCAAGAAUUGGCUAUAGGAUCUCUAGUCCAAACCAAAAGUAGUAGUAUCUAAUUAUCUUAAUUCUCCACAUAAAUCUCAAUUGGAUAAAGUUAAUGUUUUGUUUUCUUUUGGGAAGUUUCAUGCACUGUAAUUAUUAUUAUUAUUUUUUUUUAACUCUUCUACCUUUUCAAACAUGGAUGCUGACAUGGACAUGGGUAAGGGCAUAUUAGGUAUAGAAAACCCACUCAACACAAAGUGCACCAAAAUCCAAUAUUUUUUCAUAUUAAUAUAGGCAUCUUGGAUUUUGAAAAACUAGGGUUUAAAAAGUUAUUUAUUUUCAAAUGGGCAGGGAAAAAAAACAUAUUUUUCCUUAAAUUUUUUUUAGCAAAAGUGAAACAUUACUAUUAAUUUAAAAAUGAAGAAGUAGCUAAUUAUCACGUGUGUACAACUAAGCAUGCGGUGUGGUGCAACCCGACUAUCAAAAUUCUUAAGUAACAACCUUCUCCUUUAAACCAUUGACUCUGGUCUACCUUUGAGCUCUAGGAAUCCGCCACGUUCCCUCCUUUUCUGUUUCCAAUCAUCUUUCUUAGCUCUUGCACUUUGACUAACUCCAACUCCAUCUAUAGAGAGAUAAACGUCUCUUACUUUCCUUCACACACUCUCUAGUCCACCAUUAACCACAACUUUCCACCAUCUCCUUCAACUUCAAUUGUUCAGCAAGCUAUGAACUCCAAGCACAAGGAAAAGUGGCUAAAGUAGAAGUGGUUGAAGCGGAAGCUUCUGGAUCGACACAACGCCACCUUUGAGGACUCCACCACUCUAUGCACUAACUCUCCAAACCUCUCUUCUCUCUUCUCUGAACCCAACUUCCAAAUACAAUGGAUAGCCACCAUGUCAAACAAAAUUUGCCCCUUCCUCGACCUCUCCUAACAUAAUGGAGUUGCACCAUAAAAAUAAACAUAUUUGCAAUGGUUAUUUGCUACUCAUGUUAACACUUGACAAAUUACCAAGGAACGCAUGUAAAAGAAGUGCAAUACCUAUAGAAAGAGGAUGCAACCAUGUACUCAAGAGCUAUUACUUUGCUUAUAUCAUCUUAUUCCCUCUUCAAGAUAAUCAAUAACAAAUUAGCCUUAGUUAACAUCAUUUUUGAAACCAUCUUCGUUUAUGGUAUGCCAUAAGUUUCGACAUCCAUCAAUCCUUAACGUGGGGGCUAAUAUUAUGGCAUAGGCAUAGUAAAUGAAACAUCUUCGAAACUCUUCCCCAACUGGUAAGGUGAAGAGUCUCUCUUUGCAUGUACAUAUUGUACCGAACAGAUGAUCUGAUAGAAUUGAUGCAAUGUGUAAAAUUCGUCUCGUAGUCAACAGGCCAAAUACAAGCCCCACAUCAGCAGUUGUAACAUCAUAUAUUUUAUCGGGUGAGAUAUCUAUGCAUCUGAAUCCAACGUUAAAAUGUUGAAUUAUCCAAUGGCAUAUAUUGUGGCGUAUCUUUUUGCAAUUGAUGUUAAGAAGACCUCCAAACUGGAGGUCUCGGACCACUUGCAAUUUCUCCUCUAAUAAUCAGCUACAUAGUUUGAGAAAUCUUAAAGAUGAACACCGUGUAGACAAUGUUGUAGCUUGCAUGCAAUUUUGGAGAUAUUUAGUGUCAAUAGGCAUUCACAUUAGUGUCAAUAAGCAUUCACAUAAGUGCAGUUGGUAAUUAAGUGAUAUGGAUCGGAGAUACAUCGUAGUGGACACGAGGCAAUUUCUAGGAUUGUCAGUUAAAGAAGUGGAUAUUAUGAAGUCAGUUUAUGGCCUAUCCUCAAUAUCUAGGCUAUUGAAGAAUCCAUUACCUCCAUAGAGGCCAUUGAAGAAUGCAUGAAAUGAGAUACAUAUGAAAUAAUGCAUUACCUCCAUAGAGGCCAUUGAAGAAUGAAUAUAUCCCUAUAGGCUUCAACAAUGUAGGCCGUUGAAACUCUGUCAGGUCUUCAAAGCACUCUCCAUAGGUGUUAAAAAAAAAAUACCUAAACAGAUUCAACCAACAUAUCAAAGAGAUGUGUAUUACCCAAUAUUAAUCACUGCAUUCCUAAAUAGUCCACACUUGUAUGAGAUUGCUUUUAUUUUUAUUAUUAUUAUUAAAAAGGAUUUGAAUAUUAAUUGCAUAGAACUAGCUGUAAAUGUCAUAGUGUAGCUCUUCUACUCAUAUGGUUCAUUAAAAGUCAGUGAUUGUUGCUAAACAGAGAUCUUCUCUGAUGAAAUCUGUGGGAACACUUAGACCUUGUAAGUCAUUAAAAUUGAGAGCCACAACCUCAACAACCCUACUCCUUAAUAUUCAGCUUAAUUUUGAUACCUCAAAACAGUAAAUACGCCAUAAUAUAAACACCUUUAUGAACUUAUACAACAAGUGAAAAGAUACCACAUUGAAAUUUCAAUUUCCAUUUAAUUCAUUAAUGAAAGCAACUCUAAAUCAUGAAAAUAAAAAGGUAGUUCAUCAUGGCUAUAAUAAUGGCAAUACAUAAGUACCAAAAGCAACUACCCGACCACCAUAUACCAUAGAAUGGAAUAAUGAGGGAUGGUACAAAAGAUGAAAACCUUACAAACACAAAAAGGGACAUGUUAAGGCAACAAAUUAUUACAUUUGGACCGGUUGUGACCUAUGCCAUUGCAUCUAGAGCAAUGAAUAACUCUCUUAUGGCUAAAUUAUGACUCAAUGCGUCUUUGUUAGGGUCUUCUUGGAGGAUGUCUCACAUGUGGGGGUUGGAGAGUAGGAAAUAAGUUGUCUGCUCCAUCUUGCAAACUCCCAUCCUCACAAACUUUAGCGAUGUUGUGCAUUGGUAAUGGUUGAAACUGACUCGAGUAAAUCAAAUGUUGAGUGGAGACAUUAAAACAUGGGCUGAUAUAUUCAUACACUUCGUGUCUCAUUGUGCAGAUGACAACACCUACAUGUGCACAUGGCAAUUCAGACAUUUUCCAUGUCACACAAGAACACGUACGUUGCUGCAUAUCCACAACCAAAUAAACCUCCCCAAUAAACACCUUAAACGUUCUCCCCAAAUAAGGCAUCACACUAAUUGAACCAGACCUCAUGAUAUUUGAUGUUAGUUUCUCCUCUGUUUUCGGUCCAACCACGUUCUUCCACUUUUUUGUACCAUGAAUAUGGUUGUCCAACAUGGAUACAAGCUUAUCCAUAUGCAUCAACAAUAACAUAUAAAUUGUUUGGUGACACUCCUUUCUUAACCACGCAUUAAAGGACUCUACAAUAUUAGUUUUCAUUUAUCCCCACAUUUUUUUAAGGAACUUUGACAUAGCCCAAUGCUCGGGAUUGCUUUCUGCAACCCACUUUGCUAGGUCCUCAUUAAAGCGCACAAGUUUUUCAAAUGUCUCGUUGUAGUCUAUAUCCAACCUAGCAUGCGCAAUGUUGUCCAAAAACAACAAAACAUCUUCCUUUCAUUUCUUGCUUAUUAUGUUUUGCCUAUUGAAGAGGUUAGAAAAGUUCUCAUUCACAUGUCGAUAACAAUAUGCAUGAUUUUUUGUUCCAAACAACUCAAAAACACUACGCAAUAUCCCUUGAUGUCUAUCUGAUAUAAUAACAACUUCUUUACCAUCUAGAACCCCCUUUAAUUUUUCCAAAAACCAAUAUCAGUUCUCAUAAUUUUCUGAAUUGACGACACCAAGGGCUAGAAGGAACAUUCCAUUAUCUGCAUCAUAUGCAAUGGCGGACAAAAGAACUUCCUUAUAUGGACCGCUUAAAUGGAAAGAAUCAAUAGUUAAUACUGAUCGAUACCCCAUGAUAAACCCUAGAAUUGAAAAUGCAUGGGCAAUGAACAAUUUAAUGAAGUGAACUUCAUGAGAAGUGUAGCCUGUAAUAGUUCUGAGGUUUAUUUCCCUUAGCCUAUGGCAUAACCAAGACAAAAACAUGUAGGAGUCACGUGGAGCUCCAUAUAUGAGCUCUUUUGCCUUCUCUUUAAGGUGUCAUGCUUGGUUAUAUGUUAAUUCAACUCCAUGAUCACGUUCAUAAUCCUUGCAUAUUUGACGGGGAAGAUAAUUUGGAGUUGUUAUAAAGACAUCUUCAACAACAAUGACUUUCUUUGAACUAAUCCUCACCUUAGAUGAAUACUCAUCUUGAGCUAUAUGAUUAUAAUUAACUUGGUAAGUAUGAACUCGCAAGAUUUCAUUCCCUUCUACAGCAUGACUUGCUAUCUUCCAAGGACAACCCUCAACCAAGCACUUCACUGACAUAUGAUUAGGUGAAUUUUUCUUGUACUUGUACUUAAACCUCCCACUUAACGACAUCUGGUAUAUUGCAUUUUGAAACUCCUCUGUAUUUUUAUAUGUAUGUCUUGACCCUAAUAUUGCCUCACGAAACCAAUUCGAUUCCAAAUGGGUGUACUCACUUUCUACACAACGUGAUGCAAAACCUCUUGAUACCAUCAUAGCAUUAGGAAUUGCAUCACAUGAUGCAUUAGAGGAAGGAAACGUGAGAGGUGGACCUCUACAUAUUACAUACAUAAACAAAAUUAAACUACAUCAUGUGUAAAAUUGAUAUUCACAAUAUUUUGAUUGGGCAUUCAAGUCAAAGUGCAUUACCCAAAAGUCAACUGUGUAUUCGGUAUAUUUCCCUCAAUGGCUUCGACAUGAGGUGACUCUAUUAUGUACACAUUUGCAAAGUCAUCACUAUGGGAAGCCUCAUUAUCCAAGUCAUCUUCAUCUUCUAAAUCUUGGAUGACUCUAGGGUUAAACUUGAGGGUGUAAUGCAUCCUCAUCACAUCAAGGGAAAUAUUGAAUUUCUCUAAGACUCGUUGAGUGAAUUCUUUAAAUGACAUUCCUUUAUAUAUGUGAAUACCUUUGCUUCUUCCACCAACGUAUUCCCACUACCCAUUAUUUUUUUGGACAAAUUUGUCUCCCACGAAAAUGUAACAAUAUAUCCUAUUUGUAGCACCCAUCAACCUAUUCAAACAAAGCACAACUUUCAUAUUGUUGAACAAACAAUUAUGCAUAUUCAAUGUCAUCCGAAAAGUUUUUCCCUCUCACAGUAUGUAUUGUUCCUAUACAAAUUAGUACCACCAGUAUUUCAUCACCAAGAUCUAUUGUUCAAACAAAAUCAAACGAUGUUUUUAAUAAAAACUCCCAAACAACCUCUUAAUCAUCUUAUUUUAAGGUGAAUUCACAUUCUUACCCAAAAUUAUAUCUUUUAUUGUAAAUUGUUAAUUUAAACAGUUUGAGGUAAAGACCAAAAACCCAAAACCAUUUAGAAACCAAUUCAGCCUAACAUUGUACUAUCCUAGACCAAACAACAAAUAAAAUAAAAAGAAUCAUCAUACUAACAUUACCAAACUGAACAUGCUCCUAAAGAAAAGUUGACAUGACUCCUUAAUUAGAUGAAAAUAGUCUUCCAAAAACCUAUCAAACAGAGGCCUAUGUGGAAAUUGUUCUAAAAAACACUUUUUCAGCCUUGGAAACAAAAUACAAUUCUCUAAAACAUAAAAACCAGUUCUCUAAAAUAGAAAACACUUCUUAAAAAAGAUUAAUAUAUAUACAAUUUUCUAAAACAAAAAACAAAUCUCUAACAAGAACACAUUGAUAGCAUGUUUUUUAAAUACUUGAAAAAAAAAUUGUUUUUUUUUUUCAUAUUUCAAUUCGUACACAAUGGAACAAUUGAUAACUGUAUCUGAGAUUUCAUCUUAGAAACUAUUUUUUUAAGAAAUGAGAACUAUGUUUUAAAUCAUUUCCAAGGUAGCCCUAUAAUUUCCUAAACAAUGUAAUGACCUUCUAGGCGGUUCCCAACACUAAGCAAAUCAAACAUAGAAAUUAGGAGAAUAUAUAUAGCAAAAAAAUUUGGAAGCAUUCUGUCUAGUAGUAAACAAACACAUCAUUUAGAGAGGCAACUUUCAUAAUAGAAAAUAGUCAAACAAACUUAUAUAAUGUCUUCAAAAAAAAAACUUGAACAUAAAGAUGUAACAACUACCAAAAUUUAUCCAAAAAAAAAAAGACUAAUCCCGCAACGUACCAACAAUAAUCCUAUGAUUUGAUAAAUCAUUCCUUAUCACCUGAAUAUAUUUUUCCCUUUUGUUAGCUGAAUCAUAACACUUCUAAUUUUGUAUUAUUCCAUUCUCCAACAUUUUCUCAGCAACCAAACAGGGAAAAAUACACCCCACUUAAAAAUUACAUUAAUAAACAUUGAAAUUGGACACUAACCUUCUCUUCUUUGUCGACAACCAGUGCAGAAAAUCUCAGAAUUUGAAAUCUGUUCUUCUAUGUUUCCUAACAAAACACCAGAAAGAAGAGAAUUAAAAAAUUAAAGAAAUAAAGGUCUACCACAAAGCAACAAUUCGAGCAGUGCCAAAAUUUUUAAAUGUCUUACAUUUUUUAACAUUCUUUUGGAAUCCAAAUAGAGUAUGGAACAUUGCAAUUUUGAAAGGAAAUCAAAUAUAAGGCGAGAUUUAGAGAACCUACUAACCUCAAAUAUCCAACUAGGGUCAACACGGAGGGCAACAUCACUGGGAUCGACGAGGGAACGAUAGACAACGAACUGAAAUCGGGAGAGAGAUUAGGCAAAUGCAUUUGGGCUGAAAUCAAAUGGUCGGGAGAGACGAAAGUGGGGGAAAACUAAAUUAGAGAACCUACUAAACUCAAAUAUCCAACUACCACGGCAUGGAGGGCAAUGCCGAUGGGGAUCAACAAUGGCAAUGUAUCGACAAAGAUGAAAACAUCAUUGUCUAAACCUAAAAUCAAAUGGCCGGGAGAAACAAAAUCUAGAGAUAAGGAAAUCACCAUAGAGAUUAUGGCAAUGUUUGGGCCUCAAAUGAUAUGGAAGCGAGGGAAAAAAAUCGAGAGAGAUGAAAAACGCCACUGUCUAGGGCUGAAAUGAAAUACCGGAGAGAGUAAAAUUAGGGCAACAUAAAUGGAAUUCCAACGUAGAUUUUCUAAAUUUUUUUUUCACAGUCAGCAAAGGUCAUUUCCUAAAAGAUAAAAAAUUCAUAUCUUUCUUCUCAAUUUUAACACUUCAUUUGGGUCAUGGGCUUAAAUGGUGAACUUAUAUGGACCAAAGUUUAAUUUUUGGGCCCAACAGGGUCCAAAACAUAAUUAUCCCUUAUUUAUUUGGUUGACAGAGUCAUGAGUGUAGGUAUGUUCAUACCAUUCUCAAAGUAAGACAUUGAACCGGUAAAAUUUAAAAAACAUUUUUAAAAAAAAAAAAAAUCACAGAAUGUUAAUUUUUUAUAAAGCCUUUAAUAGGUGAUUAUUCUAAGGAUGUUUCAAGAAGAGAUAAAAACACUAUCAAACUCAUGGUUACUCCACUCAAGCUCGUCUUUCAUUCAUAAUAAAUAAUAUUAAAUAUAUUUUAUUUAAUUUUUUCUAAUUUAAAAAUAAAAAAUGGAUCUAAUUUUACUUAAAUUUUUUUAUUUUCAUUUAUGUUAUAAAAUGAUACAAUAUAAAAAAGAACAAGAAAAAACUCCAAGAGAUACUUUCUUGGAUUUAAAACAGAAAAAUUAACAAAUAUAUAAAUUGAAGGGAUAGAAUUAUUUAUUUAAAUAAAAACGGAUUACUGACAUGAUCAGAAGCCUAGUGGGAUAAUUAAAUUUUAGCACAGCCUUGGAAAUCACAAUGUGUGUGCCUUAAAAAGUAUAAGAAGUAUGGCAGUAUUCAAGAGGAGUAAGUAGCAGUGGCUGACAGACUUAGUGCCUAAAAUUAAAAAUAUGUUUAGCCUUAUUCAAAAGUAGCCAUUAGAAAGUGCCUUAAAAGAAAUUAUAAUAUUAAUAAAAUAAAAAAAGAAAAUAAAAGAUUUUAACGUGAACAUUUAAUCCUAAGUAUCAAUAGAUGUAGGUUCAAACAUAUUUUCUAUUUUUUAUUUUUAAAAUAAAAAUAAUAAUAACUUUUAUAUAAGAUAUAAUUUUUUUAAAUAAAUUAUAUUAAAAAAAUAGUGAUUUUAAAAACUAUUUAAAAAAAUUUAAAGUAUAAAAAAUAUAAAAUAAAUUUAUUGUUUUUGUAUAAGGUUCUGUUUUUAUAUAAAAUGUUUUUAUUUUAAAAAUAAAAAAUAUAUCAGAUAUUUAAUAAUUUUCUUAACCCUCUAAAAUAUAUGAGUUAUCUUUGCCCUAAAAUAAAUGCUUUGGGUAUUUUGAGAACCCAACAAGUGUUCAUGUACUUUGAAUUUAUGUUCAAAUCACUUGCUUUGAGAUGGGGUUUUGAAUCGGAAAUGUCAAUGUUUCCGGUGUGAACAUGCAUACAGAAAUUAGUAUUACGUACAAAACAGGUUGAGGUAAAAAAAAAUCAAAAUCAUGGUGUAGACCCCCUCAGCGGCAGUAGGUUUUUCUUUUUUUUGAGAUUAUUAUUUUAUUCCCUUUUCUUUUGCUUUUAUUUUUUCUUUUCUCUUCUUCAGAACCCGAGAAUGAGCUGGGGGGUGGCAGCCGAAAACAGGGCGGCCAUAGGACGAGAUGGGCAGGUUUUUUUACGGCGAGAUGGGACGGGAAAGCAGAGGGAGAGACUUGCCAAGGAAGAUAGAGAGAGUAAGCUGAAGGGAUUCCAGGAAGGCAAGCUAGAGGGGUUUUCUUUUCUUGGGGGGGGGGAGUAUCGCAGAGGGAGCUUUUCUUCAAGCGGGACAUCCAGAGCAGAAACAGGGGAGUAAGUUGAAAAGGAUCAGAAGAUCAUUCAACCAGUUUCUCUUGGUCCAGGUAUGGUUUUUUUUUUUUUUUUUUUAUAGUUUUUAGUUUGUUUUGCUUUCCCUGUUUUGAAUCGCCCUCCUUUGUUUCUAAUCACUUGUGGAUUCCUUUGACAUUUGAAGACCGCUUGUGCACUCUGUUUUUCUGUUUUGGGAUGUCCCGAGUUUGGAUUUUUCAUUGCAUUUGUAUUUAUUCUUAGAUGUCAUGCCCGUGUUUUAAUAGACAUCUGUGGAACGGGGUGAGGCUUGGCAGCUUUCUUUUUUACAUAUAUGUACAUGCUUUGUUUUUUUUUCAUGCUCCUAUUUUCCUGUCAAGUUUCUUUUUUUGUCGAAAUGUUGAAUGCCGCACCUCGUACUGGUCAUCUGGGCUGAGGCUCUCAUGUGAAAGCUCAAGUCCAUUCCAUAGAUGCAGCUGUAUGAGAAGGUAAGGAGAAAUGAGUUUUUCUGGCGCUUAAGAGGAUUCCGAAAAUUUUUCGAAGCUGGCUGGUGCUGGUGCUGGCUGGUGCCGGCUGCUAGCUGGUGCUGGUGCUGGCUGGUGCUGGUGCUGGUGCUGGUGCUGGUGCUGGUGCUGGUGCUGGCUGGUGCUGGUGCUGGCUGGUGCUGGUGCUGGCUGGUGCUGGUGCUGGUGCUGGCUGGUGGCUGGUGCUGGCUGGUGCUGGUGCUGGCUGGUGCUGGCUAGUGCUGGCUGGUGCUGGCUAGUGCUGGCUGGCGUCGCCGCUGCCGCCGCGGGGAGGUGGUGAUCGUGCUGAAGCCAGGCGCGGAGGGAGAGGCAAGCUGGAGGAAGAUGAAGUUUUGGGCUUGGGUUUGAGAUGGGUUUUUGAGCCCGCCCCUGUUAGCUUUGGAUUUGGGCUUGCGUUAGUACACCAAGCCCAAGUUUGUGAUCAGGUCAGCCCAUUGGGCUUGCCCAUAGCAUGGAUGUGGAUUUGAGUUUGGAGCCAAGCCCAAGGCCCAUGGACUUCUUUCCCCUUAAGCCCAUUUACAUUGAUGAAUGGCCCCUUGUUUUGUUCACCCAUUUUAAGUUAGUCCAUGCCCACUCCAAGCCCAUACCCACCUCAAAUUACCCCUUUUGUUUUCAAUUUGCAUGAUUUAUCUCCCUAAAAACAUUAAUUCCUCAAUAAAUUUUAAUUCCAAUUUUUGAAAUUUUAAUUCUCACAUCAAUUUAUUUAAUCAUCAUUAUCUUAUUUAUUUAUUUAUUUGCUUAUUUUUAAAAUUCAACCCUUUAAUAAUCUUUCAAAAUUCCGAUUUUUAAAGUUAAAUUCCAAUUUCCGAAAUUUUAAUUCUCACGUCAAUUUACUUAAUCAUCAAUAUUUUAUUUAUUUGUUUAUUUGUUUAUCUUUAAAAUUCAACCUUUAAAUGAUCUUUCAAAAUUCCAAUUUCUAAAUUUAAAUUCCAAUUUCCGAAACUUUAAUUCUCACAUCAAUUUACUUAAUCGUCAUUAUUUUAUUUAUUUAUUUAUUUGUUUAUCUUUAAAAUUCAACCUUUAAAUAACCUUUCAAAAUUCCGAUUUCUAAAUUUAAAUUCCAAUUUCCGAAAUUUUAAUUCUCACAUCAAUUUAUUUAAUCAUCAUUAUUUUUAUUUAUUUAUUUAUUUGUUUAUCUUUAAAAUUCAACCUUUAAAUAAUCUUUCAAAAUUCCGAUUUCUAAAUUUAAAUUCCAAUUUCCGAAAUUUUAAUUCUCACAUCAAUUUGUUUAAUCGUCAUCAUUUUAUUUAUUUAUUUGUUUAUUCUUUUAAAAUUCAACAUUUAAAUAAUCUUUCAAAAUUCCGACUUCUAAAAUCAAAUUCCAAUUUCCAAGAUUUUAAUUCUCACAUCAAUUUAUUUAAAUCAUCAUUAUUUUAUUUAUUUAUUUGAAAUUCUAUCAUCAAGCAAUUCCUCAAAAUCCCGAUUUCCAAACUCAAUUUCCUAAUGUCCGGAAUUCUAAUUUCCAUAUUUAUUUAUUCAAUCAUUAUUCUUGUUAUUUAUUUAUUUAUUUAAAAUUCUAUCAUCAAGCAAUUCCUUAAAAUCCCGAUUUCCAAACUCAAUUUCCUAAUUUCCGGAAUUCUAAUUUCCAUAUGUAUUUAUUCAAUCAUUAUUUUUGUUAUUAUUAUUAUUAUUACUAUUUAAUUAUUUAAAAUUCUGUCAUCAAGCAAUUCCUCAAAAUCCCGUUUUCCGAACUCAAUUUCCUAAUUUCUGGAAUUCCAAUUUCCAUAUUAAUUUAUUCAAUCAUUAUUAUUAUUAUUGUUUAUUUAUUUAUUUAAAAUUCCAUCAUUAAGUAAUUCUUCAAAAUCCCGAUUUCUAAAUUCAAUUUCUAAUUUCCGAAAUUCCAAUUUCCAUAGUUAUUUAUUUGAUCCUUAUUAUUUUCAUUAUUAUUAUUAUUUCAUUUGUUUAUUCUAAAAUUCAAUUUUAAACAAUUCAUUAAAAUUUCCAACUUCCGAUUUUAAUUUCUAAUUCCGAAAAUUCCGAUAUUCACAUUAAUCCAUUUAAUUAUUAUUAUUUUAGUUAAUUAUUUUGAAAUUCCAUUUUAAACAAUUCUUCAAAAUUCCAAUUUCUGAACUUAAUUUUCGAUUUCCAAAAUUCUAAUUUCUUUCAAAUUUAAUAUCCAAAAUUCAAAUUCUUAAAUUUAAUUCUCGAGACUCUAGUCUUCAAAUAACUUUCGAGACUUCAAUUUCCAAAUAAAUCUCAAAAAUCCAAUUUUCUCUCGAACAGUUUUAAUUCCACUCCGAUAUUUAAAUAAUGUUCUAUUUCUUUUAAUUUUUACACAAGCAAGAAUGAUGAAUCUUCAUAAUUUCGAAAUAAUGGGAUUCGUGAGAUUAAUUCAUGCAAUAUAAAUCGGGCUUUGGUGGGGCCCAAAAUAUGUGAUUUCCUUAUGACUGACUGAUUGAUUGAUUUAUUUAUUUUGUUUGAUUUAUUCUGUUCCUUGACAUGCGCAUAAUUUUAUCUAUUCGUGAUUCACUAAUCCUGUUUCAUGAUAGCGCAUUCGUGACUAGAGGACCAGGUACGUAUCCACUCACAUUUUGUUCAUUCUUUAUACAUGUUUUGAUUCCCAUAUGUGCAUGAUCGCUUCGAGUAUUCAUUGAUUUUCUCAUUGAUUACCAUGUCAGCUUCAUUUUAUUAGUAGAGACCCGACUUUAGGGACUUAGAGGGGUGCUACGGUCGUUACCGUACCUUCUCGAUAAGUAACCUGACCCCCGAACCCGAUCCGGUUUUUCACAAACCAUCUUUUCCAAAGUAAGGAGUCACACUUAGGGUUUUUCUUUCUUAUUUUGUUUACCCUUUUAAAAAUAAAACAAAAAUAAGUGGCGACUCCAAGUCAAUUUUCUUAAUCAAAUAAAAAUCAAUUUUUCGAAAUAAAAUCGAGCUCGCCAUUCGAGUGGGAAACGCAUGAGCCGAAAUGCGGGAUCCACACAUGGAAAAUUCAAAGUCUGUUUAACUGGAUGUUUUAAAAAUAGUUUUUUACUUUUUAAAAUAGAGAAUAAUUCUUACAUUAUCUAAAAAUAAUUUUAAAAAAUAAGAUAGAACGAAGAACAAUUUUUAAAGAACACGUAAAAGUGUUUUCAUCCCUUGUAAAAAACAAAAGAAAAAUAUAAAAAAAAAUUUUAAAAAUCUUGAAAAUAAAUAAAAUUGAAUAUAGUAUCAUUUUCUUUCUCUUUUUAAUAUAAAAAAAAUCUUAAAAUAUGAUUUUUCUUUAAAUUACACAUACUUUUUUAAAUUUCAUUUUAACUUCUUUAAAAUUUUUCAUUGAGUAAAUUUUAAAUCAAAUUCUAUUUAAUACAUAAAAUUCAUUAAUUUUUUAAAAACUAUUUGAAUUAAAAAUGUUGUGAGAUACAAUUGUUUGAAGUAACAUUUUUUAUGAAAAAAAUAUUCUUUUAUUCGGAGCAUUUUAAUCAUAAUCCAAACAACGAGGAUGCAAAUUUUUUUUCUUGAAGUUAAAAUCUAAUUUAGGAUUUAUUUGUAAACGACAUUUGUUGAACUUUGAGAAUGAUAAAAAAGAUACAUGUAGUAUUUUCAUGUGCUCUCCUAUAAGGACUAAUAAGGUUGUUUUCACCAAUUAUUUUCAUAUUAUUCAUUUUAUUUAUUAGAUUGAUUUUCAUGUGAAAAUAUAUUGUAUUUAAGAAAAAUAAUAAUUUUACAAGUCAAAGAAAAAGAUAUUUGAUCACUCCUAAACCAUCGAUGAAAUGAAUUAAUUUUUUAAUAAAAGUAAUUUUAAUUUGGAUUUAAAUUAUAUUUUAGUUAUAUAUGGGUAUAUGCAUGUAGAAAAAAUUAUUUUUAAAUAUUUCAUAUUUGGAUUUUAAUAUUUGCAUGGAAGCGCCCCGUCUCUUCGGAGGCGUGCAGAGGGUUGCGUACCGCCGGAGGGUAUGAUCGCUUCUGCUAGGGAUCUUUAAAAUCCACCCAUAUCCAUUUAGAGCCACCUUGAUCUCGUAGGUUGAGCCAUAGAUCAUUCGAUUAGGACUUCCUCCCUACACGUGGGUGCAUCUGAGGGCUUUCAGAGCCUCUGUGGUUACAGUUCGGAUCUAAUAUUCCCUCUUUUUAGUCUCCAGUUGAGAGUGCUCGGAGAUCGGUAUGAGUUUGAGUACGGUUGGGUCACCUUUCAUCUUGUCGCCUUAGUUUGUGUUUUUCACUCGAGGAGUUUGGCAUGUUUUCUCCCUAGGGCUUUCGUUAUCAUUUCUUGGCUCGGCACACCCCUUCACUUUGUUGUCACUCACUCGAUAUUUUGGGAUAUGUUCAUUGAUCAUCUUUUUACACUAUACACCUAUCACGGGCAAAAAAGGAUCAAAUAAGCAGAAAGUGUAUACUAGUUCAACAGGUCAAAUCUAACUAUAAUUCACUAAGGUGUAAAAACUUUGAAUUCAGUUUAAGAGAAGAAUGAAAAAUUCUUAUUAUUUUCAAUAAGAAAAAUAGGAACAUAGAAGCCUAUUUAUAUACAAUAAUGUGUACUAAAUUUUAGCUACAAAAUAGGUACUAACAAAAAAUACAAUGAACUUCCUAUAAACUAGGAAUGAACUUUUUUAAAAAUACAACUAAGUAAAACUGAAUUAUCCUAACUAUUUUUGCACUAAAGUAGAAUAAAACUAAUUCCUAAACUUUAAAAAUCUUUAACACUCCCCUUCAAGCUUAUUUGAAGAUAUCUAUCUUUCCUAACUUGUUAAUUAAACAACCCUAUAUGAAGUCCCUUGGUUAGAACAUCUAUUAGCUGUUCUUCAGUAGGUAGAUAAGGUAUGUAGAUCACUUUGACUUCUAGCUUUUCCUUGAUGAAAUGACGGUCCACUUCAACAUGCUUAGUUUUAUCAUGUUGAACUGGAUUAUGAGUGUGAAAAGAGAGAAAAAUGGAGAAUCCCUAAUUUUUGUUAUUAAAAAAACUGUUAAUAAUACACAUUGAACUUGGGUAUAUAUAUACAUGUUAGUGGGACCCACAAUACAAUAAGGAAAGAAAAGGAAAAGUAAAUAACUGAAAUAACUGUACACUAUCUAACACUCCCCCUCAAGCUGGAGCAUAUAUGUUAUAUGCACCAAGCUUGUUACAAAUGUAUUUAAUUCUAAGACCUCUAAGAGAUUUAGUAAAAAUAUCUGCUAGUUGAUCAUUUGAAUUGACAAAACUAGUCGCCACACAUCCUGAUGCGAUCUUCUCUCUAAUGAAGUGACAGUCAACUUCAAUGUGUUUGGUCCUUUCAUGGAAGACUGGAUUGGAUGCAAUAUGCAAAGCGGCUUGGUUGUCACAGAUGAGCUUCAUCUAUUCAUCCUUUCCAAAUCUCAACUCUCGAAGAAGAUGUUUCUGCCAUAUGAGUUCACAUAUUGCCAGAGGCAUAGCUCGAUAUUCGGCUUCAACACUAGAUCUGGCCACUACAUCUUGUUUCUUACUCUUCCAGGAUAUUAGUUUACCUCCAAUAAAAACACAAUACCCGGAAAUGGAACGUCUAUUUGUGGGUGAGCCAGCCAAAUCUGCAUCUGUGUAACCAACAACCUGGGUAUGACCUCUGUUCUCAUACAACACACCUUGGCCUGGUGUGCUUUUGAUAUAUCGAAGAAUGCGGAUUACAACAUCCUAAUGGCUAUCACAUGGUGACUGUAGGAAUUGACUAACAACACUUACAGGAAAAGAAAUGUUUGGACGAGUAAUGGUGAGGUAGUUCAGUUUACCUACAAGUCGUUGAUAUCUCCCAAGAUCUCCUAAAGGCUCCCCCUGUCCUGGUAUAAGUUUGACAUAUGGAUCCAUAGGAGUGUCUACCGGUUUACAAUCUAACAUACCGGUUUCUUCCAAGAUGUCUAAAGCAUACUUCCUUUGGGAAAGAACCACACCGAAACUGGAUUGAGCUAUCUCAAUCCCUAAGAAAUACUUGAGUUUCCCCAAGUCUUUAGUCUGAAAGUGGGUGAAAAGGUGUUGCUUUAGUUUCUGAAUACCAUUAUGAUCACUGCCUGUAAUGACGAUGUCGUCCACAUAAACUACCAGAUAAAUACAUUGCCCCCAGAGUUAUGAUGAUAGAAAACGGAAUGGUCUACUGUAUUGCAGAACAUGCCAAACUCCUGAACAACAUAACUAAAACGGCUAAACCAUGCUUAAGGAGAUUGUUUCAAGCCAUAUAGAGAAUGGCGUAACUUGCACACUAAACUAGACUCCCCUGAGCAACAAAACCAGGUGGUUGCUCCAUAUAAACUUCCUCAGCAAGAUCCCCAUGAAGGAAAGCAUUUUUAAUAUCUAAUUGAUAAAGAGGCCAAGAACCCAUAGCAGUCAUGGAGAGCAAUAGACAAACAGAAGCUAUCUUGGCAACAAGAGAGAAAGUGUCACCAUAAUCAGAACCAUAAACCUAAGUAUAGCCUUUAGCAACUAAGCGGGCCUUAAGGCGAUCAACCUGACCAUCAAGGCCAACCUUAACUGUGUAGACCCAACGACAACCAACUGUAGAUUUACCAAAGGGUAAAACAACAAGAUUCCAAGUGCCAUUGGAGUGUAAAGCAGUCAUUUCAUCUACCAUUGCCUGUUGCCAGCCUGGAUGGGAAAGAGCCUCAGGGGUGCUCUUGGGAAGAGAAACAUAAGAUAUAGCAGAAACAAAUGCAGAAUAAGGUGAAGAUAAUCAAUGGUAACUUAAAAAAUUGUAAAUGAGAUGAGGAUUACGAGUAUAUCGAUUGCCUUUCCAAAGAGCAAUGGAUAAGUCAGCAGAAGAAGGCAGAGUCGGGGCAGGAGAAGCCGAAUGGAUAGGAAGUGAGUCAGCAGGUACCUCGGCCAAAGAAGGAGGAACAACGACACGAUGACGGCGAUGAUAAACCUGAAGUGGGCAAGAAGGCACUGCAUCAAGUGAGAAGAUAAUGGGAAGGGGUAAGACUUCAGAAACAGGAAGAGACUCAAAGGUGGAGAAGAAUGGUGAGUCCUCAAAGAAAGUGACAUCAGCGGAGAGAAAGUAGCGAUGAGUCUCAGAGGAAUAACAACGAUAACCCUUUUGAAGUCUGGAGUAUCCCAAGAAGAUGCAUUUUGUGGCUUUGGCAGAAUGUUUGUCCUGUCCAGGAGUGAGAAUAUGAACAAAGCAAGUACAACCAAAAACAGGCGAAGGAAGGAAAUAAAGUGGUUGGUCAGGGAAAAGAAGGGAAUGAGGAAUCUGAUCGUGUAAUAUAGAUGAGGGCAUACGAUUAAUCAAAUAACAUGUUGUAAGAACAACGUCCCCCCAAAAACGAAAAGGAACAUUACUAUGGAGAAGGAGAGUACGAGUUGUCGCAACAAGAUGUCGAUUCUUACAUUCAGCUACCCCAUUUUGUUGAGGAGUAUGAGCACAAGAAGACAGAUGAAGGAUCCCAUGUUGGGACAUAAAUGAAGUAAAUGGUGCAAAAAAAUAUUCCCUGGCAUUGUCACUGCGUAACACACGAAUAGAAAUAUUGAAUUGGGUUUGGAUUUCAGCAUAAAAUUUCUGGAAAAUAGAGAAUAACUCAGUUCGAUUUUUCAUUAAAAAUAACCAAGUACAUCGAGAAUAGUCAUCAAUGAAAGUGACAAAAUACUGAAAUCUUAAAGCAGACGCGGUCCGACAAGGACCCCAAACAUCAGUGUGGACAAGUUCNNNNNNNNNNNNNNNNNNNNNNNNNNNNNNNNNNNNNNNNNNNNNNNNNNNNNNNNNNNNNNNNNNNNNNNNNNNNNNNNNNNNNNNNNNNNNNNNNNNNUGCCUUUAGCCACAGUUUGAGAACCAUUAGCUAAGGUAACAGUAGGUAAGGCAAAGGUAGUAGUAAUAGAAGAGAAAAGAUCCUUAUUACCAGAUAUGUGAUCAGAAAUGCCAGAAUCUAGAAUCCAAGGUCCAAGAGAAGAUGUGUGGGUAAGACAAGUAGAAGCAUAACCAGUCUGGGCAACAGAAGCAAUAGAAACUGACUUGGUGGCCUAAUAGAGGAGAUAGUCAUCAUACUCACUGUUAGUGAGGGAAAUACCCUGAGAUGUGGAGGAACUAAGAGGCUGAGGUGGCUGAGGAUCAGAUGACUGGGCCACGUGGGCAGUGCGGGGAGGUCGUCCAUGUAACUAAUAACACUGAUUACGAGUGUGGCCAAGCUUAUUGCAAUAGGUGCAAUGAGGACGUUGGCCUCUACCUCGGUUACCACUGCGUCCUCCUCGAGAGUUAGUUUGAGAAACUACUAUAGAAGAAUCUGAAGUGUUAUCAGAUGGCAAAGUCUAAGUGGAGGAGAUACGGAGGAGGCGAGUAAACACAUCAUCCAAGGAUGGAACGGAGGAACUACCAAGAAUCUAAUCGUGGACGGUCUCAAGAUCUGGACGGAGGCCAAUAAGCGUAAGAACCGUGAAGAACUUGUCAAUCUAUGUUUGUUGAUCCCCCACGAUCAAGAAUUUCUCCUUAAGAGAGGCAAUCUGACCCAUAUAAGUAGAUAAAUCCAUGUCUUGUUGUCUGACAUUGACAAUAGAAGAAGCCACCUUAUAAAGACGUUGAAUAUCAUUCGUGUAUAGCCCUUUCGCCUGAUUCCAAAAUUUAAAGCAUGUUUUGUAGGCCCGAAGAUGAAGCAGAAUCUUAGGAUCAACUGAUUGUCAUAACAUACUACAUAACUGUGCAUCUAUCUUCCUCCAUUGUACUUUGUCAACCUCAGGGAUAUCCGCCCCUACGUAACAAGGUGAUCCUCAUAACCUUGACCCAUAAACCAAAGCUCUACAGAGGCAGACCAAGACAAAUAAUUUUCACUGCCAACCAAUUUCUCCGAAGUAAUCAUAGGAAAUCCAGAUAUAACAGAGGAAAAAAUGAAACUUUUAGUAGCCAUAUCUACUUAUCUAGAGAACAAAAUAUGUUUGGAUCGAAGAGAGCCCUAAUACGACUUCAGAUCACGACUGAAAAAAGAAAAAUCGAGGAUCCGUGGCUGUGAGAGAUCAAAUAGUAAAUAAAAACAAAUGUGGCACUACUGGAAGGGUAGAAGAACACUUUCUAAGACACGUGCAGGGCUCAGGGUGGAGAGGAAGUCACCGGAGGUCAUCGGAAAGGCUAUUUAGAGGGCUAACGGAGACAAAAAACCCAAAAAAAUGCACUUGCAGGGCUCAGAUGGCACAAGCACAGAUGGAGGGUGGCUAGACGGCGUCAGGCGAGGCUGAAGGUGGAAGUGCGUGGUCGAAAAGUGCUCUACGGGCCCUCACGUGUCGGCGUGUGAGGUUCAGGCCGCCGGAGAAGAAACGCACGUGGCCGGCGCGUGACUGAGAAUCUCCCUCCGGUGCUUUGGCAAAACUUAAAGAUCUCCACCUUGCGCACCUUAUGGUAUAGUCAGUGUCGAAAAAGGACUUCGCCGGAAAAAGUCGCCGACGGUGAGGGUUUUCUGAUGGCAGUGAGGGUUUUCUGAUGGCGAUACGGUUGAUCGGAAAGCUUUAGGAGAUGGAAAAGGUGAUCGAAAUGAAACACGGUCACUGAAAGGUUUCCCAGAAUCGAUUCACCGAUAAACCGAAAAUAAUUACGUUUUUUUCUCCUUAGGCUCUGAUAUCAUGUGAAAAAAGAGAAAAAUGGAGAAUCCCUAAUUUUUGUUAUUAAAAAAACUGUUAAUAAUACACAUUGGACUUCGGUAUAUAUACAUGUUAGUGAGACCCACAAUACAAUAAGGAAAGAAAAGGAAAAAUAAAUAAUUGAAAUAACUAUACACUAUCUAACAAUGAGCAAUGUUCAUAGUUGAAUUUUUUUCACAGUAGAGCUUCAUUGGCUUCUUACUAGGAAUUCUUAGGUCUUCAAGCAAUUUCUUCAACCAACGAUGUAAACAAAUACCAUGAGUGGUUGUUUUGAAUUCAACUUUAGUAUUGCUUCUUGGAAUGACAUAUUACAUCCUACUCUUGUAAGUCAUUACGUUUCUUUUUACAAAAGAACAGUUUCCUAAAAUAAUUUUUUUUUUAUAGGUAAAUAAGAGAAUAUAUUAAGAGUGCAAAAAGCGCAUCAUGGUACACGAGAAGUAUACAAGAAGGGCCUAAAGGCUUGCAAGAAGAGAAAAGGAAAAAUAAGCAACAAACCCACCCAAACAACCUAGAAAGCCAAAACUAACCAAUCGCCUCACCAACCCCCACCACUCUCAGCACCCCAAAACAACCCUUAUCUUGGAAUAAUAAACCAAAAAAACCAACAUUUGGAACCUAAAAGCAACCUCAUGCAAUGAAAUCUAUGACCCCAAUACUCCUCCCCUUACCUCUAACUAGCAAAGGAAAGUUUUUGUAAUUUACCAAGCACUUCAAUUUUUGUAUCUCCCUCUCAAGUUGGGAAUUCGAGAUUAGCUUCCUUUCCCCCCUGAUGCAUAGACACCAUGCCCCUUCCUUGUCUCCAUCUUCCUUAAAAGGGAGAAAAUUUUAUUUUCAAAACCCUCGAUUGGCAUCCCACAAGGCUAUUGAAACUAACCAACUUAGAAAAGAGACUAUUGGAAGGAACCUCCUCUUUUAACGGCCGAUUGAAGGAUUUUACCUUUGAAGACACUUGCUCUUCAGACCCGACUACCAAAUCCUUGCCUAAAGUACUUUCCACAAUGAUCUUCAGGCACUCCAAGCGAGACUCAUCUUGAAGCAUCAUUUUGAGGGUUGAAAUCCCACUCCCAAAGGUCCUUUACAAUUCCCUACCUUCAGUUGAGGAUUCUUCUUCUAGUUGCGACUGCCUCCCAUAGACUAAAACAAAGGGCUACCACCUUGUGGCAACCUAACCACGAAUGCAAAGAAGAAAGAAGAGAUCCCUCCCUAAAGUAAUGAGUUUGGCCUACCUAAAAAAGUUGAUGCUUUUGCCAAGAGAACCUCAUCAACUCCUAAAACCCUCUUUUCUAAUCCUUGAGACUUUGCAUGAAGAAUGGGAUUGUCAAAAAAGCCUCUUCUUUCAUUGUUGUUGCCUUUCUCUCCAUUGAACAUAGGGUAUUGAACACCCUUAGAGACCUUGUUAACCUUGCCUAAUAUCCCACUAAUGGGCUUGGGAGGCAUCAUGCUUGAUUCACUUAAAAAAGACCUUGGCCCAUCCUUGUCAGGCCCACUAGCACUUGAACUUGGCCCAUCCUUAGCAAGCUUGCUAGCGCUCCAUUUUAUAUUGGGCAACCUCUUAGCAAAUUUGGGUCAGCCCAAAAAGAAUCCUUUAGCAAGACUAGGAAAAUAAAUCUUUUCUGACGGACAUAAGCCCACUUUGAGUGAGCAAGGGCCACCCUUUGCCUUGUCUUUAGUAGGAAAAAAUCCCAAUGACCCAUCAAGGGCCUCGAAAGGACUCAUAGAGGACUUAGAGCCUUCUUUCCCAACCUGCUCCAACAAAAAGAUGCUGCCACUUUCUCUAGAGAGUGCUUUCACCACCGUAUAGUGCAUAGAGGGACUCAACUUAGAACCCGACACCUGUAAAGCCUCUUUUACAUUCUUUUCUUCAUCCUUCUAAUCUCCCACCCGUGUGUGAACAAACCAUACUCUCUUCCCUGACCUCUGAAUCCUUGUAUCUCUCUUUUGAGACCAUUAACAUCAUCUAUGCUGAUAUUUCCCACCAAAGUUAGAUAUAAAAAACUUUGCCCCAUCCACUACAUGCAACUUUCCUAACACCUUCUACUUGUUGGACUUUAUAAGGAUCUUAGCCUAGGUACAUGAUGUUUCUCCAUCACCUCCCCAUCUAUAGCCAAAAACCACCACAUGCAUCCCGAAACUACCUCAAGGUAUAUGAUAGACUGCCUCAAGGUGUUUAUUUGGAGAGUGUAUGAAUUAGCUCACAACACUCACUAAAUAAGGUAUAUAUGGCCAAUUAUGAGAGAGAUAUAUUAGUUUUCCCACAAACUUCUAAUAGUGUUCUUUGCUAGUACACUUACUCUCUUUUAGUAACCAUAAUUUGCAAGUAGGAUCAAUUGGAGUCUCGGUUGGCUUACACCCUAGAAAUCUAGAUUUUUUGGAGCAAAUCCAGUGUAUACUUCUUUUGUGACACAAAAAUACCUUCCCUUGAUAUAGAAAACUCCAUUCCCACAAAGUACCUCAAGGUUCCUAGAUCUUUGGUCUCAAACUCUUUAUCUAAAAAAUUCUUCAAUCUUUGCUAUCUAGCUGGAUUAUCUCUAGUAAGGAUGAUAUCAUUCACGUACACUAUUAGUAUAGCAAGCUUGCCAUCACUAGAAUGAUUGUAGAAGAGAGUAUGAUUUGCUUGGCUUUGUGAGUACUUGGGCAAUUCCUCCAAGUCCAAAUAAUCUUGCACGAUAUUGCUAAUGCUUUGUGAGUUUUUGAAAGCUUUUGUCAAUUAUGCAAGAUUAUUCGUUACAAGUCUAAUCCUUUAUUCUAAUUUAGAGUGUCGUAUAAUUUCAUUUUCCUCAAUAUUGUUUCUUUGUACCUAGAAAAAUACUCACUAGUUUUUGCAUUUAACACCUGGACCUAUUACUAGGUGAAUGGUCACCUAAGAGACUAAAGAAGAUUAAACCUUUGUUGUUACACCACUCAAUAUACCAUUUUUUCCAACAAGAAAUCAGUUGCUUCUAUAUGUUGGAUUUGCUUAAGUGUUGAUAUGUUCACAAUGUGAUAUGUGAAUGCUUAUUGAGGACACAUGUCAUGAUUACUAUUUUACUAACCUUUACACCAAUUUCAAAAGUAAAAGCAUCUCCUCAUGGCAUGCAUCUUAUGAGUUUGGAUAGUAUUAUAGGAGAAGAUUUCUCUUUCACAAGCAGACUUUGUUUAGAGUAGGUAGAUUAUGGACCUAUCUUUGCUCAUCAAUGAGAUGUUGGAUAAGAAAGUUCACUUGGCCAAGAAGGGGAUGGUAUUUAAGAUAAAUUUUGAAAAGACAUAUGAUCAAGUUGAUUGAGAUUUACUAAACCCUGCUUUGCUCAGAAAAAGUCUGGUUCUAAAUUGACACUUCAGAUUUUAGGUUGCCUAUCUUCGAUUAGUUCUUCUAUGAUAGUGAAUAGUUGUAUGAAAGGUUGGGUAAAGGCUUGUAGAGGGUUCACACAAUGGGAUCUACUUUCUCCUUUUCUCGUUAUUAUAGUAGUAGAUCAGAGGAUAUCUACCAAGAUUAAAUCACACUUUCAAUAUUUGAAAGACUAAUUAAAAGAAAAAAAAAAUUCUUUCAAUGUUCAUAUAGAUAUCAAGACUUACGAUAAAUCUAAUUUAGAGUAUCCUGUUAGGCAUUAGUUUGAAUUAAGACAACUCUUUAGUCUAGCUUCCCUGUUAGGCUGCUGGACCGCGAGGUAGCCCCUCUCUUGUUUAGGGCUUAUUUUGCUUGGGAAUCUCAAGGCUCCUCAGUUUUAGAACCUUGAUUUAGAAAAGGCCUCUUGUAAAACAAAUGGUUGUCAAAGAGCCUCUCUGUUCCUAGGAUGAAGAGCUACAUUUAUCCAGUCUCGUUUGCCUUAUAUUUGUACUGGUUUCCUCUCAGACUAGUAUUCUAGUCAAGAUUGGCUUCUAAGAUUGACAGAAUUUGGAAUUUUUAUUGGUCAAGGAAGGGAAGAAAGAACUUUCUGUUUGUUUGCCUAUCAAAAAAGGAAAGGACAUCUAAUUGGAUGGUAUCAAUUUUAUAGGCUGAGGAAUGAAGGGGAUUGGGGUUUGGAAUGAUUUCUUCAAGGAAUAGAGCCUUUUCUAUGGAGCUAUGCUUGGGCUAGUGACGCUGCAUUCCAUAAGGUAGUCAGAAUUAAUUAUGGUUUGCACUUUGAUGGUUGGGAUACAAACAUUUUGUCUAAUGGUCACAUUAGGGCACAUGGAGAGGAAUUGCACAAGGUUUCUUUAAUUUUCUUAGUAUAUCCAGUUCUUAGUUUGGAAUGACUCUUGAGUUUCUCUUUUGGGAAGAUUUGUGGUGAUUUCAAACCCUCUAUCCUAACAUCUGUUGGUUCCAAGGUCUAGAGAUUCUUUUAGUUCAUCUGCUCUUAAUAUUUUAUCCUCCUUGUGCUGAUACCUUAACUCCUUGGUUUAUUUCUCAGACUAGGAGAGUGGUGAUCUUAUCAGCUUCAUUUCUUUGUUGCUUCUUGUUUAUCUAUCAUCCUCCUUUUCCAUUGAGGAAGUUAGGUCUUGACCCGGCUCUUUAAGGUUUUCCUCUUUGUAGUCCUCCUUAUCUUAAAAGUAUGAGAUUAUGAGCAGUGAUCAACUUGAUGUUGUUUACCAACCUUAAAGAAUCAGACAAGUGGGUUUGAGAAUAGAUAUGAUCAGAUUAGUUCAUGUUGACUAUCAUUGGCGUGUUCAUGUUUUUCCCCUCUCUCACACAAGUAUUUUUAUUUUUUUUAUUUUGCAGUGAUGGAUUCUUUUUUGCUGUGAAGGAGGUUUCAUUGCUUGAUCAAGGGGGCAAGGGCAAACAAAGCAUUUAUCAACUUGAACAGGUGAGAAGAAUGUCUUCUUUUGAAGAAAUGCUCAUCAAAUAUGGUUUAAUCGUUCUUAUUUUUUUAAUAAAAUUUUUUGAACUAUUUUUUUCUUUUUUGUACAUCACAGUUAACCUCAAGCCAAUUGCAUACAUAGGUAUUGCAGUAAAGAGCAAUUGCUCAUCGAUCCGGGCUGUAUUAUCAUGAAAUUCUUUUUCUAAUUCCUUCCUUAUUGGUCCAGGAGAUUUCUCUUUUAAGUCAGUUGGAACAUGAGAACAUAGUUCGGUAUUAUGGCACAAAUAAGGUGUGUUUCUUACGUUGAGUCAGUUUCUUUUGUUUUCUUGUAACAUAUAAUUCUUGGAAUGAGCCGCAUUACAUUUUGUCACCUAUAGCAAACUAAAAUGAAUUUUUCGUCAUUUUUUGUGCCUGACCUUUGAGACAAUGGGUGUUAUGUGCAUUUAUAUGUACCUUUCCUAAUGGCAAUGGGAAGAUCAACAUUAAUGUCAACAUCAUCAUGUGAGUCAAGAGGCGCAAUAUAAUUAUGUACCUCAUUUCUGAGAGUUGGUUUGAAUGUUUGGACUUGCAUGGGUCUAGGUUCAGUCACCCUCUUCCUUGAAUAAACUUGUAGUGGCUUUGUGGUAAUAGGUNNNNNNNNNNNNNNNNNNNNNNNNNNNNNNNNNNNNNNNNNNNNNNNNNNNNUUGAGGUGUGUUGGAAAUUUCUAGAUUUUUUUCAUGACUUUUGGACUCUUUUUGGGUUCAAUUUGAAGGUUCGGAUGGGGAAGAUUUAGGAAAGUCAAGCAAGAACAUGUCCUUAUCUUCCAUAGAUGAUGUUUCCCCUUGAAGAUAAGGAACUGAAAAAUAUCCCUUUGUUUCUACAAAAGUCACAUCCAUGGAGAAGAAAAAAAAUUUCAUUGGAGGAUGGAAACAUUUAUACCAACAAAAACACACUUUAAUGCUCUUGGAUCCAACUUUCCUCAAUGAUAAGCAUGAAUAUGAUCAAACACGGGGCACCCAAACACUUUAGGAGGAAGCUUACUCGAUGUAUUAAAUUGAAGAAAAAAUGUUGUGAACAUUUACAUAAGACUCUUUAAACCCAAAACUCGAGAAGAAACCCUAUUUGUUAAAUGAGUAGCUGUAAGAACGAACUCCUCCCAAUAUGUUUUUGGAACAUUUUUUUGAAACAAGACAGCCUUAGUAACAUUUAGUAAGUGACCAUUUUUCAUCUUGGCUACACCAAUUUGUUAGGGUGAAUCAACACAUGAAGACACAUGAAUAAUUCCCUCUUUUUGAAAAUAAGAUGAAAGUGUUUGAUUGAAAUAAUCCUUUGCAUUGUCCAAUCUAACACGUUUUAUUGACACCCCAAAUUGAUUUUUGACCAUAUUAUGGUAAUUUGGAAAAACAAUGCUCACAUCCAACUUUUGUUUUAAAAGGAAGAUCCAAGUAACACGGGGUUUCUGGGAUAUUGAAAGCUUGUAGACUUUAUUUCCAUCUAUUUGGGACUUCCUGGGUGCUCCCUUGUUCUUGAAAGAGUAAUAGUCACUAGGUUGGGAUGGGAGUGCUAUAAAAAGGAGUUGUAAGAUGAUAUGGAGGGUUAUAUAAGAUUUGGUGGAAACCUUCUCCUUGAAGAUGACGCUGUGGCCAGUGGAGACAACCACUUCAAAUGAUGAAUCACCUGGUUACAGAAAUUUGUAGAAGUGGUUCAUGAAGUCAAUAUAAUGAUUGAUCAAUAAUGUUAAAUUGUGUGGAAGAUGUCUAGAGGAGGUAGAAGACGGUUUAUUGUGGAAUCUAAAGCUUAUGAUCUUGUGAUUGAUGAAGUAGGAGGAAAGCUGAGAGAAUGCAUUUGGGAGAGAUAUAAAGGGCUAUCAUCUUGGAUCAGAUUUGGAGAUGCAAGCCUCAGUAGUCUGCUGGUAGGUGUGGAGUCCUGCUGUAGAGAUAGAGAUGAUAGUAAUUGGUCCCUCGCAUGGGAGAAGGAGGGUAGGAAAUAUAGAUUGGAGCGUCGUACAAAUGAGGCGGGUAGAUUCAUUCUCUGUUCUGUUCGUGAUAGGAGGCAAAAAGGUUUUGCUUAAUUUUUCCCGAACGAAAGAGGCUAUCUGGAGGAUGGAACACNNNNNNNNNNNNNNNNNNNNNNNNNNNNNNNNNNNNNNNNNNNNNNNNNNNNNNNNNNNNNNNNNNNNNNNNNNNNNNNNNNNNNNNNNNNNNNNNNNNNNNNNNNNNNNNNNNNNNNNNNNNNNNNNNNNNNNNNNNNNNNNNNNNNNNNNNNNNNNNNNNNNNNNNNNNNNNNNNNNNNNNNNNNNNNNNNNNNNNNNNNNNNNNNNNNNNNNNNNNNNNNNNNNNNNNNNNNNNNNNNNNNNNNNNNNNNNNNNNNNNNNNNNNNNNNNNNNNNNNNNNNNNNNNNNNNNNNNNNNNNNNNNNNNNNNNNNNNNNNNNNNNNNNNNNNNNNNNNNNNNNNNNNNNNNNNNNNNNNNNNNNNNNNNNNNNNNNNNNNNNNNNNNNNNNNNNNNNNNNNNNNNNNNNNNNNNNNNNNNNNNNNNNNNNNNNNNNNNNNNNNNNNNNNNNNNNNNNNNNNNNNNNNNNNNNNNNNNNNNNNNNNNNNNNNNNNNNNNNNNNNNNNNNNNNNNNNNNNNNNNNNNNNNNNNNNNNNNNNNNNNNNNNNNNNNNNNNNNNNNNNNNNNNNNNNNNNNNNNNNNNNNNNNNNNNNNNNNNNNNNNNNNNNNNNNNNNNNNNNNNNNNNNNNNNNNNNNNNNNNNNNNNNNNNNNNNNNNNNNNNNNNNNNNNNNNNNNNNNNNNNNNNNNNNNNNNNNNNNNNNNNNNNNNNNNNNNNNNNNNNNNNNNNNNNNNNNNNNNNNNNNNNNNNNNNNNNNNNNNNNNNNNNNNNNNNNNNNNNNNNNNNNNNNNNNNNNNNNNNNNNNNNNNNNNNNNNNNNNNNNNNNNNNNNNNNNNNNNNNNNNNNNNNNNNNNNNNNNNNNNNNNNNNNNNNNNNNNNNNNNNNNNNNNNNNNNNNNNNNNNNNNNNNNNNNNNNNNNNNNNNNNNNNNNNNNNNNNNNNNNNNNNNNNNNNNNNNNNNNNNNNNNNNNNNNNNNNNNNNNNNNNNNNNNNNNNNNNNNNNNNNNNNNNNNNNNNNNNNNNNNNNNNNNNNNNNNNNNNNNNNNNNNNNNNNNNNNNNNNNNNNNNNNNNNNNNNNNNNNNNNNNNNNNNNNNNNNNNNNNNNNNNNNNNNNNNNNNNNNNNNNNNNNNNNNNNNNNNNNNNNNNNNNNNNNNNNNNNNNNNNNNNNNNNNNNNNNNNNNNNNNNNNNNNNNNNNNNNNNNNNNNNNNNNNNNNNNNNNNNNNNNNNNNNNNNNNNNNNNNNNNNNNNNNNNNNNNNNNNNNNNNNNNNNNNNNNNNNNNNNNNNNNNNNNNNNNNNNNNNNNNNNNNNNNNNNNNNNNNNNNNNNNNNNNNNNNNNNNNNNNNNNNNNNNNNNNNNNNNNNNNNNNNNNNNNNNNNNNNNNNNNNNNNNNNNNNNNNNNNNNNNNNNNNNNNNNNNNNNNNNNNNNNNNNNNNNNNNNNNNNNNNNNNNNNNNNNNNNNNNNNNNNNNNNNNNNNNNNNNNNNNNNNNNNNNNNNNNNNNNNNNNNNNNNNNNNNNNNNNNNNNNNNNNNNNNNNNNNNNNNNNNNNNNNNNNNNNNNNNNNNNNNNNNNNNNNNNNNNNNNNNNNNNNNNNNNNNNNNNNNNNNNNNNNNNNNNNNNNGAUGGAAAGAUGGCACCCGGAAGUGGGGUGUUUCAGCAAUGGUGUUUUUGCUAGAGAGGUAUGGGUGAGAGUGGUAGGUCUUCCCCUUCAUUUAUGGAAUCGAGAGGUGUUUAAGUUGAUAGGAGAUGGUUGUGGUGGGUUCAUUGCUGUGGACAACAAGACGGAAUCAAUGGCAGAGCUGCAAUGGGUUAGAUUGUUGGUGAAAUCGGUGGGCAGGGACACACUUUCCUCCGUCCAGAUUGUGGAUGAGAUGGGGUGCUUCUCAGUCCAGCUGUGGUGGGAAUUCCCACCUUGGUUCUCUCAGGUGGUGCCGGCGGGAAGUGCUCUCGGGAAAGGGGAUGCAGUGGCUGUAGAAGUUGCAGGGAGUGGGUCUCGUGAAGAGUGUAGAGGAGGUGUGAUCGUGAAGGUUGGACAGCCGAUGGAGCAGAGGGGAGCAGGUGAGCCGCCCUGUGGUAGUUCUUCAAAAGGGAUUUCAGGCUGUCCAUAUGAGUUGGCUGGUAGGGGGCCUGGAAAGGAGGUGACUGAUGGAGAAGACAGCUACGGGAUCAGCAGUCGAGGGGGAGGGAAGUUAGCAAACAUGGGAGGUUUUAAAUCUGGGCCAGCUGCUUGUGUUUUUGGGCCCGAUUGGGAGGCCCAAGCCAGGAGCGGGCUUGGAGAUGGUGGUCUUAAGUCAGAAUUUGUGGGAUUCCAGACGUUUGGGCCAGAUUGUGAGCCCAGGCCCAUCACCUUAAAAGGGUGGGUAAUGGGCUGCGAGGAAAGGCCUUUCCUCAUAAAGGGGUCGAUCGAGGGCUGCGAAGGGAGGGCCGACAUAGGUUUUGAACCGGUGUUGGGGGGAUUAAGAGAAAAUAGGGCUUCUCCUCGUGCCGAGGUCGGGGGGAUGGAGAUUAGGGCUUCGAUGGAAGCUUCGGGUGACCAAGUUAAGGAAGACGGGGGGAUCGCUUGCAUCCUUGGAGGAGAUUGGAGGGAUUCCGAGUCUCUAAUGGCGAAGGCGAGAGCGCGAAUGUCCGAAGAAGCGCUGCUAGCUGAAGCAUCCAGGUACGAGCCCGUCAUCGAUGUUCUUGGGGGGGAUCAGGUCCACUUCUCUUCUUCUUCUCUUUCUGGGUGCGAUCGGGCUAUGGUGGUGGGGGUUGUUAGGGAUCCGGUAGUUAUUGACGAAGGAGAUGGGUAUCAUGCUCCGUUGCGAGCGUUGUUGACUGAUGGCAGGCCGUGGGAAACGGGUACAAAGGGGGGAAAGAACAGGGGAGUCAGGUCAAAGGAGAGUGAGGAUCUGGAGGAAGAAGAGGACCAGGGCAGCGGUUGGGAUGACAGUAGCUUGGCUAAGUUUAGCAAGUCUUUGGGAUUCUCGACAGUUGGUGUUGAGGGGGAAGUUCUUAAACUUCUGUUAAGGCUGAAAUCAAGGAGGGAUCAAGGCAAGAAGAAAGGAAGUUCAGGGAUGACUAGGUUUGAUAGGGAAGUGAAAAAAUUGGAAUGGUCGAUUAAUUAUGAAGGAGAAAGCAGGAAGAAAGGCUCAGAUAGAAGAAACGGGGACAGAGCUCUGUGCCUCAAAUGAAGAUUAAAAUCCUAUCUUGGAAUGUCCGGGGGGUGAAUGACAGAAAUAAGAGGAGUUCAAUUAAGGCCUUAAUUAGAGCCCAAAAAGUGGAUUUGGUAUGCCUGCAGGAGACCAAAAUGUCUCAGAUGUCUCUAGGGGUGGUGAGAAGUCUUGGUGUGGGGAGAUUUUUAGAUUGGGGAGUUCUAAAUGCGAGAGGGGCAGCUGGAGGGGUGUUGGUUUUUUGGGACAAAAGAGUGCUGGAGCUGGAAGGGAUGGAGGUAGGUCUUUUCUCCGUCUCCUGCCGGUUCAAGAACUGUGAAGAUGGUUUUAAUUGGAUUUUUUCAGGAGUGUAUGGCCCUACAGUAAAGAGAUAUAGAGAGCUGUUUUGGGAAGAGUUAGGGGCCAUCCACGGGCUAUGGAGCGAUCCUUGGUGUAUCGGAGGUGAUUUCAAUUUAAUUAGAUUUCCGAAUGAGAGCAGAAAAGGGGGAAGAUUGUCUUCUUCAAUGAGAAGAUUCUCGGAAGUGAUUGAUGAAUUGGAUUUGAGGGAUCUUCCCCUUCAGGGGGGUCCAUUCACCUGGAGUGGAGGCCUGAAUAAUCAAGCUAUGACCAGGUUAGACCGUUUCUUGGUGUCGGAGGAUUGGGAGGAUCACUUUAAGGGGGCGGUGCAGUGUACCCUCCCUAGGCCUGUGUCCGACCACUUCCCUAUUCUAUUGGAUGGGGGAGGGGUUAGAAGAGGUCCUAUUCCUUUUCGGUUUGAAAAUAUGUGGCUUAAGGAGGAGGGAUUUAAGGAUCUGUUGAAGGGGUGGUGGCAGAGUCUAAGCUUUAAUGGCUCGUUUAGCUUCAUCCUUGCUGAGAAGUUGAAGGCGUUGAAGGCUAUUCUAAAGUCGUGGAAUAAGGAGGUUUUUGGGCAGGUGGGUGUCAAUAAGAAAGUGGCCCUGGACAAGGUAAAUUUCUGGGAUGGUCAGGAGAAGCUUCGCCCCUUAUCUUUGGAGGAAUUGGAAACUAGAAAGGCAGCAAAGGGGGACUUCGAAAAAUGGGCCCUAAUGGAGGAGGUUUCUUGGAGACAAAAAUCAAGAGAAGUUUGGCUUAGGGAGGGGGAUAGAAACACAGGCUUUUUUCACAAAAUGGCUAACUCCCAUAGAAGGAGAAACUGCCUGUCCAAGAUUAAAGUUGAUGGAGUAUGGCUAACUGAGGAGCAGGAGAUAAAGAGGGGUGUGGUUAGAGCCUUAAAGGACCAGUUGACUGACCCGGGGGGCUGGCACCCCUCUAUGGAAGGUCUGGAUUUUAAUAGAAUUGGUGAUGAGGAUGCAGCUGGUCUGGAGGAGGUGUUUUCAGAGGAAGAGGUCCUCAAGGCUCUUUCAGACCUGAACGGGGACAAAGCUCCGGGUCCAGACGGCUUCCCCAUUAGGUUUUGGCAAUUUUGUUGGGAUGUUGUCAAAGAAGAGAUUAUGGGUUUUCUGUUAGAGUUUCAUGAGCGCGGCAGAUUCGUUAGGAGCCUAAAUUCGACCUUCCUGGUCCUAAUCCCAAAAAAACCUGGAGCCGAGGACCUUAGAGACUUCAGACCGAUCAGCUUGGUGGGCGGAUUGUAUAAACUGUUGGCAAAAGUAUUAGCCAACAGACUUAAGAAGGUAGUGGGCAAAGUGGUGUCUUCAGCUCAAAACGCUUUUGUUGAAGGAGGACAGAUUCUUGAUGCUGCCCUUAUUGCCAAUGAGGCAAUAGAUUCUCUGUUGAAACGAAACGAGUGUGGAUUGUUAUGUAAAUUGGAUUUAGAGAAGGCAUACGAUCACAUAAAUUGGAACUUUUUGAUGGUUGUAUUGCAAAGCAUGGGAUUUGGGGAGAAGUGGAUUGGGUGAAUAUCCUGGUGCAUCUCUACAGCAACGUUUUCAGUUUUGAUCAAUGGCACCCCGAAAGGCUACUUCAACAGCUCAAGGGGGCUGCGGUAGGGGGACCCCAUAUCUCCUUACCUAUUUGUGAUAGGAAUGGAGGCCCUUAGCAGGCUGAUCCAUAGAGCAGUGGAGGGAGGGUUCCUUUCAGGCUGUAGGGUUGAUGGAAGGGGUGGGAAUGGGGCCUUAGUCUCUCAUUUGCUGUUUGCCGACGACACAUUAGUGUUUUGUGAAGCUUCUGAAGAUCAGAUGGUCCAUUUAAGCUGGUUGUUGAUGUGGUUUGAAGCCAUAUCAGGUUUGAGAAUCAACUUGGACAAAAGCGAAAUUUUACCGGUUGGUAGAGUGGAGAAUUUGGAAAAUUUGGCUCUUGAGGCUGGCUGUAAAGUGGGUAGGCUGCCUUCUUCUUAUUUGGGGAUCCCUUUGGGGGCGAACCACAAGUCGGUGGCUGUUUGGGAUGGAGUGGAAGAGCGAUUUCGGAAACGGCUGGCCUUGUGGAAGAGGCAAUUUAUUUCCAAAGGAGGGAGAAUUACUCUAAUUCGGAGUACAUUGUCAAGCAUGCCUAUAUACUUGAUGUCCUUACUCCGAAUGCCAAGAGUGGUGAGUCUAAGGUUGGAGAAAAUUCAAAGGGACUUCUUGUGGGGAGGGGGUGCUUUGGAGAGGAAGCCUCACUUAGUUAACUGGGAUACUGUUUGCAUGGAUAGAGAUGGGGGUUUGGGANNNNNNNNNNNNNNNNNNNNNNNNNNNNNNNNNNNNNNNNNNNNNNNNNNNNNNNNNNNNNNNNNNNNNNNNNNNNNNNNNNNNNNNNNNNNNNNNNNNNNNNNNNNNNNNNNNNNNNNNNNNNNNNNNNNNNNNNNNNNNNNNNNNNNNNNNNNNNNNNNNNNNNNNNNNNNNNNNNNNNNNNNNNNNNNNNNNNNNNNNNNNNNNNNNNNNNNNNNNNNNNNNNNNNNNNNNNNNNNNNNNNNNNNNNNNNNNNNNNNNNNNNNNNNNNNNNNNNNNNNNNNNNNNNNNNNNNNNNNNNNNNNNNNNNNNNNNNNNNNNNNNNNNNNNNNNNNNNNNNNNNNNNNNNNNNNNNNNNNNNNNNNNNNNNNNNNNNNNNNNNNNNNNNNNNNNNNNNNNNNNNNNNNNNNNNNNNNNNNNNNNNNNNNNNNNNNNNNNNNNNNNNNNNNNNNNNNNNNNNNNNNNNNNNNNNNNNNNNNNNNNNNNNNNNNNNNNNNNNNNNNNNNNNNNNNNNNNNNNNNNNNNNNNNNNNNNNNNNNNNNNNNNNNNNNNNNNNNNNNNNNNNNNNNNNNNNNNNNNNNNNNNNUGGGAGGCUGCUUGGGGUAAGGUGCUUACUAUGGACCAGCUUAAAAAGAGGGGUUGGGCUGUUGCUAACAGAUGUUUUAUGUGCUGUGAGGAAGAGGAGUCAAUUGAUCAUAUCCUUAUUCAUUGCUCUAAGGCAAGAGCCUUAUGGGAUUUAUUGUUCGCCCUUUUUGGAGUGUGUUGGGUCCUCCCUUAUUCGGCUAGAGAGACCCUUAUUGAAUGGAGGGGCUUUAUGUUGGGCAAGAAGCAUAGAAAGGUGUGGAAGGCAGCCCCGUUGUGCCUCUUUUGGGCGGUUUGGAUGGAAAGAAACAGGAUUGCUUUCGAUAAUGAGGACUUUUCGGUUCAUAGGUUGAAGAAUUCUUUUGUUUGUAAUCUUUGGGUGUGGACAAAAUCAAUUGUAAAUGUAGAUCCUCUCACUUUACCUAGUUUUCUUGAUUGGCUAGGAGCUAGAUGAGGGUCGAGUUUGUUUUCCUUUCUCUUGGGUGUGCUUUAAGGGUCCUUUGUAUACUCCCUGUAUGCUUUGGGCUUUCCUUUUGGUGCCCUUUUCUAAUAUAAUUCUGUUUUUGCCUAUCAAAAAAAAAAUAAUCAUCAAUAAACGAAACAAACCAACAAACUCCCAAAAUAUUAGGAACUCGUGAUGGGCCCAAAUAUCAUUGUGAAUUAAAGCAAAAGGAAAUUAUGAUCUUUUGUUGCUCAAAGGAAAUGGGGCACAAUGAUGUUUUGCAAAUUCACUAACAUUACAAUGAAAAGUGUCUACAUCAAUAUUCUUAAAAAGUAAAAGGAACAUGACCUUAAAUAUAUUAAAUGAAGGGUGGCCAAGUCGAAAGUGAUAAAGCUAAAUUUGGUCUUGAUUUGAAGAAGAGGACUCAGAUAAAAAAGAAAGAGGUAGUUGAUUCCCAUUGCCAACAUUGCCACUACUUGUAUCAAGGUAGUAGAGUUCGUUCUUUUCCUUAACAUGCCCAAUCUUCUCUCCCAAAACUCGGUCCUGAAAAACACAAUGAGUAGGGGAAAAGAUAACUCUACAAUUCAUAUCUUUUGUGAGUUAAUAAAUGGACACAAGGUUGGUUGAAAGCUUGAGAACAAGUAAGACAUUUUUAAGACUCAAAGAAAGGUUUACAUUGACCAUUCCCAAACCUGCAACAGUAGCUAAAGACCCAUCAGCAAUGGUUAUUUUCUUAUUGCUAGGACAUGGAAUAUAUGUGCUAAAUUUUUCUGAUGAAUGUCAUAUGCUCAGUAGCUCUUGAGUCAAUAAUCUAAGAGCUUGACAGGGACAUAGCUGAGACACUAAAAGCAUGAGAGAAAGGAGACUUACAUGAAUGUGCGAGAGAGCAAACACCCAUAGGUUUCUCCAAUGAACCCAAUUUUUUUUUCAUCUUUUCAAUGUCCUCCUAAUUCAAUUCUCCAAGUUUCGUGUUGUUGUACUUUGAUUGUUCUCUUUAGAAUUAUUAGCAUCAUCUACAUACACUUGGCUUCACUGUUGUCCCCCUUUAAAACCACUAGCACAGUUGAUACCCAUGGUUUACCAUAAAGUUUCCAGCAUGUCUCUUUUGUAUGCUGCGGUUUUUUACAAUAUGUGCACCAAACAUUGUCCUUAUUCUUAGAAAAAUCACAUAUGCCACUGUCAUUAUUGCCACCCUGUCUCGGGUUUAGGCCUUUGAAAUUACUAUCUCUUGGUUUUGAUGUAGCAAGGGCUGAACCUUCAGCUAGUUGAGAAUCAAUCAUAACACCUCAUCAUCCUUCCUCUGCUCGAAUAAUGGAAAACACCUCAUUAAUGGAUGGCAAAUCUUCCUUUCCUAAGACUUGAACUCAAACUUGAUCAAAUUCAAUUUAAGGCAAGUAAGAAACUUGAAAAUGUGCUCCCUUUCAACAAACUUUCUUAACAUUGCAUCAUCUUCACUACAUUUCAUUUGAAGAUUUUGGUAAUAAUCCAUUUCUUGCCAAAGACUUUUCAAGAGAUUAUAAUAUUCAAUGACCAAUCUUGUUCCUUAUUUAGUAGUUGAAAUUUUUUGCUUAAUUUUAUAGAUUUGAGACGCAUCACGUAUUUUAGAAUAAGUUUGUCUUAUUGUCUCCCAAAUCUCUUUAGCUGUGGUGAGAAACAUACAAGUGCCACUGAUUUCAAGCAACAUAGAAUUCCAUAACCAUGACAUGAUCAUGGAAUCCUCUUCAGCCCAUUGGUUGAACUUCAGAUAUUCAGGCUAUGGACCUAUGUCAAUUAGAUGACUUAGUUUGCCUUUCUCUUUCAAAAAGGUUUGCACUAGUUGAGACCAUUGGGGAUAGUUUCGGCCAUUCAACCGAUACGCUGAAUUGAUAUUCUAUAACUCUCCAAUGGUUUGAUGAGGCAAAGUUUCACCAAAGACGGCUAUGGGUGUGGCAGAAGUCUCAGACAUGUCAGACAUGGUGAAAUCCCAAAAAUUGCAAGUAGAGAUUGAAGCAAGAGAACGGAUGAAAGAUGAAAAAUGAAAUAAACAAAACACACACCAAUGAAGGCCGAAAGAAUUAGGCUUGAAAUUAACAACGAAGGCUGAAAAACUUGAACUAAAAUCAGCAAUGAAGGUUGAUGAAGAAUGUCCAAAGUGGCUUUGAUAUAAUGUGGGAGAAAGUGGUAAAAAAUUCUUAUUCAAUCAGCUGUUACAAUCCUAAUUUAUAUCCUAUAUUUACAAAGAAAUUUAAGGAAAAAAAUAAACUAAUAAUCCCUAUAAAUCAUGACAAUCCAUAUAAAUCAAGGAUUAUUCUUCCUAAUCUAAUAUACAGCUAUAUACACUUUCUUAAUCUAAUUUACAGUUAUAUACAAUUACAUAAAUGUAUACAAGAGACCCCAAUUAAGAAAAUUCAGAUUUCUAACAUUGCAUAUGUACUAUGUACCUUUUUUUUUUCCCUAUGGGUAAAAUAUGAGAAUAUAUUAAAGGGUGCAACAAUGCACAAACCUAAUAUACAGAAAGCGCUCAAAGGUAGAAUGAAAGCAAAGAGAACAACAUGGGAAAACUAACCAGACACACCACCUAACACCCCAGAAAAUCAGAUUGUUCCUAGCCAACUCUCAAGCUCCCAAAAAGUGUCCUGUGUACCUUAGGUGAGCUCUUUCUUUGGGUGCUUUGUUAUAUAAUAUUAUCAUUGCCUAUCAAAAAAGCACCAUCUUAUGGCUUUCUUCAACCCAUGGGUUAUAUAAUUCACUGUGUAAAUGAUCAAUAGCUAAAUUUUUCUUUUUCUUUGGGGGGAAUUUUCAUCUUUCAUGUUGUCAUUUAAGUAUUUCUUCCUUUAUGAUCUGGCUCUAAUUUUCCUUUAUGCACUUGAUCUUUCCAGGAUGACUCUAAACUUUAUAUCUUCCUUGAGCUUGUGACGAAAGGUUCACUUUUAAGCCUUUAUCAAAAGUAUCAUUUGCAGGAAAGCCAAGCCUCGGUCUACACAAAGCAGAUUUUAAAUGGUUUGAAAUAUCUACAUGAGCAAAAUGUAGUUCACAGGUGAUACAAAUGAUCUUACUGCUUAAUUGUUUGGUCAUAUUUAUCUAUAUAUUUAUUUCUGUUUUCUUGUUUUCUCAGCAUUUUUUUUUGAUGUAUUGCUUUGAACAUGUUUUGAUUAUUUCCGUUCUCUUGCCUUAGCCACCAAGAUGUCGAAUUAAUAUGCAUGAACUACACAAUACCUGGAUGCACAGCUUGCUUACCUCGAGAAAAUCGGUUCACUCUAUUGUGGAAGUUUUCCUGUUAUUCGAUUUUUUUUUUCCCAUCCUUGCUGCAAUGUUUCCAAAUUGAAAUUCUCAAUCUUAUUGGAGAGUGUAGUUGUUGCCAUUUGCUAUUUAGAGUUAUUAAUGAUUUUAUACUUUGUUUUACGAUGUUAUGAUGCCAGAAAUAGGUCAGAUUUAGCUGAGAAUGGAAAGGGGAACACACACACACACAGUGGACAUAUGUUCACCUCUGAUAACAGAUUUAUACUUUCUCUGACAUGAUAAUUGCACCUGCCCUCUUUCAGAAAAAGCAAAAGGGGGAAAAAGGAGUUGAAGGCAUGGAUGUUAAUCAUCUUCAUUUUGACAUAACUGUAAUGAGAUUAAUUUCUAUUCAAAGACUUGUGAGAAUAUCUUGAAGUUGUUCUGUGGACUUAACAUUUUGAGUGAUAAUUAAGUAUAGAGCACAGUAUAUCCCAAUAAGCUAUUCCUCUCCUAAAAUAUAUCGUUUGUUAUAUUUCAAGUUGUGAUUUGGUUUAUCUUGUAACAACUUCAUUUGUGAAUUACCUACAAGGAACCCCAUCUCCAUCUCUAUUUGAGUUGCAUCAUGCAGUUAGCUGCAUUGAACAUCAAUUUGUAUUCUGUCAAUGCUGGGUCUUGCUUGCAUCCAUGUCCACCUUUUUACUUUCCUAGGUGACUGCAUUUUAUUUCCCUUCAAGGAGUGAAUUAUAAGAGGAAGAAGCACUUUCUCUCUCACUUAGUCUAUCUUUCCCUCUCUCUGCAAAGAAUCUCAUCUUCAUUUGACUCAUUCUCAAUCUCCCUUCAUGGGAACUUUCGAACCUUGAAAUGGAAUUGAAAAUUGUUUGAUAUCUCUCUCUCUCCCAUUCUCCCUGCCCUUAUUUCUCACUCUCCCUUGGCCCCUUUCUUUCCCUAUUUACUCAUUUUCAACCUCCAUAGGAUAUUCUGAAAUUUGAAAUGGAAUUCUUUUCUCACUUUCACUAUGCCCUCUGCUUCCCCAAUUCCCUUAUAGAUUCAUUGUUGAUCUCCCUUCAUAGGAACUCUUGAAACGUCAAAUGGAAUUGAAAAUUUUUGGAUCUCUCCCUCUAUCCUGCAUGCUUCCUCACCCCCCUCUCUCUUCCUUUGCUACCUCCUUCUAUUGACUCAUUCUCAAUCCCCCUUCAUAGGAACUUUUGAACCCUGAAAUGGAAUUGAAAUUUUUUGGAUCUUUCCCUCCCCUUCUCGCUCCCCCUCUCUUCCUCUUCCCUCAUUGACCCGUUCUCAAUCUCUUUUCAAGAGAACUUUUGAACCUUGAAAUGGAAUUAACAAAUUUCUUGGCUCUCUUCCUCUCCUCUUUCCCUCUCUCCGUUUUUGUGAGUGUUUAGCUAGGUUGGCAAUUCCGGACAAAAUUCCUAAGUGUCCCCUAACUCGGCUUUCCUAUUCCUAUUCGGACUACUUGACUUUGAAGACUAAGACUUUGCUAAGAGGCCGAGGUAUGUAGUCAAGUGUGUGGUGAUUGGAUGUGAAUCAACCCGGUUUUUAAUCUUUAAAUGUGUUAGAAAGUUGGGAAAAAUGGUUUUUGGUGCAAGGCUUUCAUUCCUCUGUUUCUGGAUCGAUCCAGGUGUAGGGGUGGAUCUAUCCAACUAAUGUUUUUUUUAUCAAAUCUCAGCCAUUAGAUUAAGGGUUUCUUUUUACACUUUAAAAACCAAUCUUCUCUCAUUUUCUGUGUAGAGAGACUGCUGAAAACGUGGGGAGAGCAGCCACACUCCAAGUGUUCUUCAUUUUCUCAUUUUUGCUUUCCUAAUUUGGGGUUUUUGAUUGCAAAGAAAAUCCACUUCUCUUAAUGUUUUCCAAACUAGUUUUCAAUGGAUUUUUUUGAGCAAUAAAUGGGUUGAUUCAUUACUUCAUUCACAUCUCAAUCUCUCAUUCUAUUUGGGUUUGUGCAAAAACCCAUUUUCUUCUUGUGUGGAUUCAAGAAAAGGCCGAGAUUGAGCUUGGUGCGGACUCCAAGUGUGCUCCAAAAAGAGAAGCUGAAAAUGAAGGUACUAGUCAAGUAUUCCGGGAAGGAUUGGUUGGCUUGAGUUAGGUAAAACCUUGUACUCAGUUUUUAUUCUUCAUAGUGGAGUUUUCAAUCGGUGAUAGGCCUGUGGUUUUUGAUCUCUUCAGAGGUUUUCCACGUUAAAAAAUCCGGUGUUCAUUGUCUCUUUCUCUCACUCUAUAUUUUUAUUUAUUUUUGAGGAGUGUUGAAGCAUUUGCAUGUGUUUUGCAUUUAUAAAUUGUUGGGAGAGUGUUGAUGCAUACAUUAUUGCUUGUGGAUGUUUUGCUUUGUUGAAAAGUUAUUGGAAGAAAAAAUUCUUGACAUUAAGAUAGUCUAAGGUUAGGUAAUCUUUGUUGGGAGAAUUUUUAAAUUGUUCUACAACACCUAUUCACCCCCCUCUAGGUGUAGUUCAUUAUUGAGAUUCACAUUUUCAGUUUUCUUCCCCAACUAACUUAAUUUUAAUCUCUCUUCAUGUUUUGAACCAUGAAAAGCAACUCCUCUAUCUCUUUUUCCCCUUCCCUCCACCCCUUCCUUUCCUUAUUGAUUCAUUCCCAAUCUUCCCCAUUAGGAACUUUUGAACCUUGAAAUGGAAUUUAAAAAUUUUGGAUCUCUCCUCCCCUUUGUCCUAACCCACUUUUCCUCUCUCCCUAUUGACUCAUUCUCAGUCUUCCUUAACGAGAACUCUGGAAACUUGAAAUAAAAUUAACGAACUUUUCUCUCUAUCUUCCCCCUCGUCCUCUCUUCCCUUGAUUAGCUCAAUUUUAUCUAUGUUCAUGUUUUGAAUCAUGAAAAGAAGCUCCGUCCUCUUCUCCCUCAGCUUUGCUUCUCUUCCUUUUCUCUUUCCUUUUGUUCCUGACUGCUUUGAUCAUAAUCUCCUUCAUAAGAAAUUUGGAACCAUGCCAAGCAACUUCUCUCUUUGCCUUCCCCCUUUCCACCGCAACUCUCUGUCCAUUCCUCCUAGUGCAACUGACUCCACCCAAUCUUCUUGUAUGGAAACUUUUGAAUGAUUAAAUGUUUCUCUCUCCCUCUGUCCUGUCAUCUCCUUGCAUAAUGUAAACAUAGUAUUACCUCACUUCCUUCCUUCCAUCUUGCAGCAACUGACUCAAUCUCAAUCUUCCUUCAUGAGAACUUUUGAACACUUACAUCUCUCUCUGUCUCUCUCUCUCGCUCUCUCUCUCUCCCAUGUUGAUCUUGAAUAUGUAAACAUAGUACUUAUGGAGGGAAAUACAAGUUCUAAAUCUAUGUUGUUGUUUGCACCAUAGUUGACUACAAAUCUCCAAUCAAGUUCACUAAAUGACUGUCAUACAACCAAAGGAGCAAGUGUUGUGUGAAUAGUGUGGCUUAGAAUAGGAAAUAUCUAUUGGGUGAGGUGUAAUUGCAAUGCUUUUGUGCAAUAAUCACAAGGAUAGAACUAUGGAUUUGUGUGUGUGUGGUGAUGGUGGUGGGGGGGGGGGGGGGGAAAAAAUGAAAAAUUUGAAAACACAAUUUUUUGAAUAUUUUUCUUAAUUAUAAAUUUUUUUUUUUUUUUUUUUUGUUCUAAAAAUAAUCUUUUUUCUUUCAUUUUCAAGGGAAAUCCAAAGGGCAAAAAUAUUGGGGGAAGUACAUGGAUCUGUGAAAAUUGCGGAUUUUGGAUUGGCAAAGGUUGUUUNNNNNNNNNNNNNNNNNNNNNNNNNNNNNNNNNNNNNNNNNNNNNNNNNNNNNNNNNNNNNNNNNNNNNNNNNNNNNNNNNNNNNNNNNNNNNNNNNNNNAAGGACCAAGUGUUGUGUAAAUAGUGUGGCUUAAAAUAGAAAAUUUUUUUUGGGUGAGGUGUAAUUCCAAUGCUUUUGUCCAAUAAUCACAAGGAUAGAACUAUGGAUUUGUGUUUGUGUGGUGAUGGUGGGGGGGGGGGGGGGGGGGAGAAUAUGAAAGAUUUGAAAGCACAAUUUUCUGAGUAUUUUUCUUAAUUAUAGAUUUUUUUUUUUUUUUUUUUUGUUCUAAGACUAAUCUUUUCUCUUUCAUUUUCAAGGGAUAUCAAAUGUGCAAAUAUAUUGGUGGAUGUACAUGGAUCUGUGAAAAUUGCGGAUUUUGGAUUGGCAAAGGUUGUUUUCUUCAGUAGAGUUACAAUCUCCAUUGUUUCUAAUUGCUGAAUGAUGUAACAUAAUAUUUCUUGUUGUUUAUCUUCUCAGGCAACCAAAUUGAAUGAUGUAAAAUCUUGUAGAGGAACACCAUUCUGGAUGGCCCCAGAGGUUUGCUUCCUCCCUUUUGAUAUCUUCAUUUUUAUGAACAAUUCAUGUUCUGAAUUGGAUUGAGAACUAUAUUUACUCAACUGACUUUCAGCAUGCUUGUGAUGCAGUCUCUGGAACCAUCUUUAGUAAGCGUUUUAUUCAAAAAAAGAAGUGAUAUAACUCAACUAAAUUAUGGAGUAGUUCAGUUUUUUCUUGGAAAGCUGUUUCUGUCAAUUAAUUGAUUAGUUUUUAUUUUUUUCAAACUGUUGUUCGGAGCUAAGGGAGACUUAGCUGAUGUCAUCUCUUAUUAGCAUUUUUCUAUCAAUGCAUUUAGAUUUACCAUCAUGUAUGAGGUGUUAAUAAUUCCACACAACCAGCUACCAAUGCACUCACGUUAGUAGAUGUAUGGAACUGCGGAAUUCUCAUAUUAGUCUAAAUUGGUGAUUUCUUUUCUGAGAGGUGGAAGCCUUGGCUUCAUUAUUUGUUAUGGGAAAAUUAGUCUAAUACAAGAAGAUUAAUAUAAGGAUUCUGCAAUUAAGUCCUAGUUAAUUUACUCCAUUGCCAUCCUUAUAACCGAUUUUUUUUUUAAAUGUUUUUUUUAGAUUUUAAUUUAAUAUUUUUUUGUUUCUUUUUAAAAAAAAUUAAUUCUUAAUUUUUAUUUUUUGUGAUAGAUAAUAUGUCUUUUUCUCUUUUUCCUUUUCCCUUUUUUUUGGGUUCCUAUUGGUACUCUAAACCUGGAAGCUCUCACAUCCUCCCCACCAACCCCUUGAGGCCUUACCACCUGAUUGGGCCUUAAGAUCAACCAAUGAGGUAAUUGGUCCCACCAAACCUAUAAUCAAUCUUGUUAUUGCUUCCUAUAUUUUGCAAUCUUUUGUCAGAUUUGUUUUGAAGUUGGAGAGCUAUCAGUUUUAGUCAUGGAAAACAUAUAUUCAUAUUAAAGUGUAAAAAAUUUACUAACAAGUGAGGCCAGCAUUAGGAAAAUUAUUCAUCUCUAAAGGGGGAGGUUAACUCUCAUCAAGAGCACUUUAUCUAGCAUUCCUAUUUAUUUUAUGUCUUUGUUCCAUAUUCCGAGGAUAGUUAGAUUGAGGUUGGAGAAAAUUGAGAGGGAUUUCCUAUGGGGAGGUGGAGGGUUGGAGAAAAUGAUACAUCUUGUGAAGUGUGGUCCACUAUGUGUUUGGAGAAAAGCAAAGGCAGGUUAGAGGCUCAACAUCUCUUUGUUAAAUAAGGCGCUUUUGUGCAAAUGGAGUUGGCGGUAUGCCAUUGCAAGAGGUGCCUUUUGGACAUGAUUGAUUAGUGGCAAAUAUGGAGAGGAAGAGAGUGGGUGGUGUUUUGGUGAAGUUAGAGUUGGGUAUGGAGUUGUGCUUUGGAAAUCCAUUAGGAAGGAACAAAACACUUUCUUGGGCUUUUUUUCCUUUUGUAGCGGGUAAUAGGAGGAGGAUGAGGUUUUGGAUGGAUAAGUGGUGUAGGGAUGAACCGUUGUAUAUUUCCUUCUCUUCUUUAUAUACCUUAGGUGUUGCAAAAGAGGCUUGGGUGGUAGAUCUUUGGUUUCAACAUGGGGAGAGAGGUCAUUGAAACCCUUGUUUCUCAUGUUCUUUGAAUGAUUGGGAAGUGGAUGAAGUUGAGGAUUUAUUUUUCAAGUUGCAAGGAAAGGCAGUUUAUAAAGAGGGGGAAGAUAAGUUGGUGUGAAUGAACUUGUACAAUAAUAAGUUCUCAGUGAGUCAUUUAUAUGUUGAUUUGGAAUUGGAGGUUGUUAUGUUAUUUCCAAGGUGGGUAGUUUGGAAUUCAUGGGUCCUUUGAAAGUUAACUUUUUUGCAUAGGAGACGAUUUGGGGAAAAUUUCUAGUUUUAGAUUAGCUUAAAAAAAAAGGGUAGUCUUUGGUCAAUAGGUGUUUUCUUUGCAAAGAAGAAGAAUCCAUAGAUCACAUCCUCCUUUGUUGUUCUCUGGUUAGGAUUCUUUGGCAAUUGUUGUUUGAUCUCUUUUGUAUUCAUUGGGUGCAAGUUGUUAUAGUAAAGGCAACUCUUUUAGGGUGACACGUUUCUUUUGUGGGCAAAAGGAGGAAAAAGGUUUGGAGAGCAACUCCUUUAUAUCUAUUUUGGAUGGUUUGAAAGGAAAGAAAUCUUAGGUAGUUUGAAAAUAAAGAGCAUUCAGCUCAGUUUUUUAAGAUGGUUUUUUUAAGAAAUUUGUUUUCUUGGGUAAAGUUGUAUAUAGAGAUUGAUUCUGUCUUUACUUGAUUUUAUUGAGUGGUCGGGUUCUAGUUAAGGGAGGGGGUUGUUGGGGUUCUUUUCUUGUUUUUGUGCUAGGACACUUUUUGUAUACAUCUACUUUGGAGUGUCUUUGUGGCGUUUUUAUUUUUUAAUGCAUUUGGUUUUAUUUAUGAAAAAAAAUAAAAAAAUUAUGCUGGCAAUCAGCCCUUGCAUUGUUCAAGUGCUAAAGUUUGAUAAUUCCAUGUAAGAGCACACCAUAAAUUUGAAAAAAUAAAAAUUAAACAAAAACAAAAUGGUAGCAAUUCAAUAAGCAGCCUAGCAUCCUCUUGGCCACACCCUUUAGAGCAACCUAACAAUUUUGCAUUAUAGAACUACCAUAUCCUCUAGUUCACUUGAUUAUUGAUUUGGAUGGGUUUGUUAUUAAUACUUGUAACACCCAUAACAAAGUUAUAGCCAGACUAUGGCAUGUUGGAGUUGGCUGACAAGCAUGAGCAUGGUAAUAUUUCAGGGAACAAAGUUCAAGUUUAACUACUUGCAACACUCUUUCAACUUUGUUGUUUCUUUCAUUCAUGGAUAUUUGCUAGUUUCUUCAGGAAGCAUAUUUAACUGUUUUAAGUGGUUAUUGGAAUCUUGGAGUAUAUUUGGUGUUAAGUCCCAAAAUCUGGACUCUUUAACCUUUUUAAGCCCUAUAAAGAUGUUAAAACCAUGGAUCUAUGAAUUUUCAAUAACAGUACGACAUUUUAUUCAAAAAUCAUGUAGCAGUUGGGAUUCAUAACUCAAACCCCAAGUUUAAAUCUAGGCAUCCAAAUGAUUUUGGAAAAUUUACAUUAUGUUACAAGGCACAACAUGCUCAAGCGUUUCUUGUAGAUAGUUUGAGUUUAUGAAUUAUUCUUGUUUCUUAUAGAUAGUUUGAGUUUAUGAUUUCAUUGUGUAACUAUAGGUUGUUAAUUGGAAAAAUGAGGGCUAUGGGCUUGCAACUGAUAUAUGGAGCCUUGGAUGCACUGUGUUGGAGAUGUUAACUCGUCGACCCCCAUAUUCCCACUUGGAAGGCGUACGUAUGACAUUUCGUAGAUAUACAACAUUAUUUUCUUUAAUGUUUUUUCUUGUUUUGUUCUUAUGUUUGUGCUCUUCAAUUACUUGUUAUUCAAAUUGAUGAUAUGGAAAUUGGUUGAGUUUGGCUUUGACUUUGAAAAUGCUGAUGAUUUUAUAGUAAGGGUGAAGAUCUUGACCCAAAGUCUACCCCUUUUUGAAGGAUUCGAUAUAAAAACAAUCUACACCUGUAACAUCUCAAGAAUAAAAACACUCAAAUAAAAAAUAUAUCUAAAAUUAUUUGGAAUGGGUUGAGUCUAAGAGCUUCUUAGAUCCACACACCUUAUCAUUUCGUGAUUAUUAUUGGAAUGUAUCCCAAAUUCCUAAUUAUUAUUAAUUCCUUUUUGUAAAGAAUAUUGUAUAGAAUAUUUCCUAAGUUGAUAUAUCAUUGUAAUAUUAGAUUUUUUUAUAGAAUAAGGAAAGUUGUUAGGAAUAUCUCUAUAAAUAUUCUAGGUUAUAAGGAAAAAAAGUUAUAAGAUAGAGAUGAGCUUGUAGAGAUUAUACGAAAUGGAUAGAGAUGUGAGGAAGAACGUGAGAUAUCCGGUGGAGUGAGAGGGCUCAUGGUAGGGUAUGGAUACAGGGAGUGGGGAAAUAUGGGAUGUUUCGGGAACCCAAUAGUUGUAUUUGGUUUUGUCCUUUGUAAUAUGGAAAGGUUGGGUUGUUAGAUUUGGGAUAUAUAAAAAAAAAGGUUCAAUCUGAAGCCAUUUAUUUUUGGAUAAUUGGCACUUAUGAAUUAUACUUUUCCUUGUUUGGAGAAUGCCACUCAAUAUCUGUCUUGUCCUGGAUGUCAUGUAUGAAUACCAUGGAAUUAUCAAUAUUUUCUUUUAUGUUAUCAAACACUCCAAUUGACAAGUGCCUGACUAAAUAGGCUUGUAUCAUUGGCAACAACUUUUCUCAGUUGUCAGAUGACAUUUUGCAGUCACUCUAGAAUUUUGUUUUUAUUUUUUUUAAUUUUAAUUUUAAAUUUCUUCUUUUGUAACUUAAGUUUGUCAUAUAAUCUGGGUGAAGGAGCCUCACAAUCCUGAUUGUGUGACCUUCCCUGAUGAAGGACAGUGCAGAUGACACUGGAACUCAUGGUAGCAGAUUCAAAAUCUCGUUGAAUUGCCAAUUGAUAACGGUUGGAAACACCAGGCAUUUUAUCAUCAAAUUGGAAGUUGAAUGUUUCCAAAUAAGGUUUUGACUUGAUUAUUGCUUGUGUUAUCUAGCAAGAUCUAAAGGCACCCAAACUCAUCUUUGGGCUAGAAAACAGGUUUUUAUAGAAACAUCCUUGGCAUCAGGUUUGAAAAUAUUGAUCAUGCAUCUUGCUUUCCAAACUCAUCCUUGGCAUAAGAUUAUUGCUUUCCAAACAGCUAAGUUUGGAAAGCAAGAUUGUAGGCUUGUAGAUUUGCGCUCUUCCUUCAGAUCAAGUACUUUGUAUAUGCAAAUAUUGACCAUGCAUCUUGCUUUGUGUUGUCAUGCAUCAUCACUCAACCUUAUAUUCCUUGAAUGCUCUGUUCUUGUAUUCAGAAGAUAUGAUAGCCAGACUUGUGUUAAUAUGCUUCUUGAUAUUGCUGUAGAUCUUGCCGCUUAAGAAAUCAAGUUUUAGUUUUCUCCAUUUCAAGUCCUAUGCAAAGUUAAUUGGAAGGUUUCAGUUUAGAAAUGGGAAUGGAGGGGGAGAGAUCACAAUAUUCAGUGAAAGGGAGGAAUAAAAACUCUUGACAAGAGUGCGUUUUUGUUUCCAUGAGAACAGUUCUUUUAUUCCUAUUCUCAUUUCUAGUACAAGUAGACUAAGCACAUUUAUGAAUGAAAAAUGGAAUGGAUUUCCAGCUUCCAUUCCCAUUCCUAUUCCAGUGUACCAAACAUNNNNNNNNNNNNNNNNNNNNNNNNNNNNNNNNNNNNNNNNNNNNNNNNNNNNNNNNNNNNNNNNNNNNNNNNNNNNNNNNNNNNNNNNNNNNNNNNNNNNCCCUCCCUCCCCCCCCCCCCCCCCUCCCUCCCUCUUCCUUUGCCACCUUCUUCUAUUGACUCAUUCUCAAUCCCCCUUCAUAGGAACUUUUGAACCUUGAAAUGAAAUUGAAAUUUUUUGGAUCUUUCCCUCCCCUUCUCGCUUUCCCUCUCUUUUUCUUCUCUCAUUGACCUGUUCUCAAUCUAUUUUCAAGGGAACUUUUGAACCUUGAAAUGGAAUUAACAAAUUUCUAAGCACUCUUCCUCUCCCUUUUCGCUCUCUCCAUUUCCUUUCCCAACUAGCUUAAUUUUAAUCUCCCUUCAUGUUUUGAACCAUGAAAAACAACUCUUCCCUCUCUUCUUCCCCUUCUCUCCACCCUCUCCACCACCUUAUUUCCUUAUUGAUUCAUUCCCAAUCUUCCCCAUUAGGAACUUUUGAACCUUGAAACGGAAUUUAAAAUUUUUGGAUCUUUCCUUCCCUUUGUCCUAACCCUCUUUUCCUCUCUCCCUAUUGACUCAUUCUCAGUCUUCCGUAACGAGAACCCUGGAAACUUGAAAUGACAUUAACAAACUUUUCUCUCUGCCUUCCCCGUUGUCCUCUCUUCCAUUGAUUAGCUCAAUUUUAUCUAUAUUCAUGUUUUGAAUCAUGAAAAGAACCUUCUUCCUCUUCUCUCCCAGCUUUCCUUCUUUUCAUUUUCCAUGUCCUUCUGUUCCUGACUGCUUUGAUCAUAAUCUCCCUUCAUGAGAAAUUUGGAACCAUGCCAAGCAACUUCUCUCUUUGCAUUUGCCCUUUCCACCACAACUCUUUGUCCAGUCCUCCUAGUACAACUAUCUCCACCCAAUCUUCUUGUAUGGAAACUUUUGAAUGAUUAAAUGUUUCUCUCUUUCUGUCCUGUUGUAUCAUUGCAUAAUGUAAACAUAGUAUUACCUCACUUCCUUGCUUCCAUCCUGCAACAACUGACUCAACUCAAUCUUCCUUCAUGAGAACUUUUGAACACUUGCAUCUCUCUCUCUCUCUCUCCCAUGUUGUCUUUGAAUAUGUAAACAUAGUACUUAUGGAGGAAAAUACAAGUUCUAAAUCUAUGUUGUUGUUUCCACCGUAGUUGACUACAAAUCUCCAAUCAAGUUUACUAAAUGACUGUCAUACAGCCAAAUGAGCAAGUGUUGUAUCAAUAGUGUGGCUUAUACUAGGAAAUAUCUAUUGGGUGAGGUGUAACUGCAAUGAUUUUGUGCAAUAAUCACAAGGAUAGAACUAUGGAUUUGUGUGUGUGUGUGUGUGUGUUUUGGGGGUGGGAGAAUANNNNNNNNNNNNNNNNNNNNNNNNNNNNNNNNNNNNNNNNNNNNNNNNNNNNNNNNNNNNNNNNNNNNNNNNNNNNNNNNNNNNNNNNNNNNNNNNNNNNUUUUUUUUCUAAGACUAAUAUUCUCUCUUUCAUUUUCAAGGGAUAUCAAAUGUGCUAAUAUAUUGGUGGGUGUAAAUAAAUCUGUGAAAAUUGCGGAUUUUGGAUUGGCAAAGGUAGUUUUCUUCAGUAGAGCUACAAUCUCCAUUGUUUCUAAGUGUUGAACGAUGUAACAUAAUAUUUCUGGUUGUUUAUCUUCUCAGGCAACCAAAUUGAAUGAUGUAAAAUCUUUUAAAGGGACACUACGCUGGAUGGCCCCAGAGGUUUGCUUCCUCUCUUUUGAUAUCUUCAUUUUUAUGAACAAUUCAUGUUCUGAAUUGGAUUGAGAACUGCAUUUACUCAACUGACUUUUAGCAUGCUUGUGAUGCAGUCUCUAAAACCAUCUUUAGUAAGCGAUUUAUUCAAAAAAAGAAGUGAUACAUCUUGUGAAAUGGUCCACUAUGUGUUUGGAGAAAACCAAAGGCAGGUUAGAGGCUUAACAUCUCUCUAUUAAAUAAGAUGUUUUUAUGCAAAUGGAGUUGGCGGUAAGCCAUUGCAAGAGGUGCCUUUUGGACAUGACUGAUUAGUGGCAAAUAUGGAGAGGAAGAAGGUGGGUAGUGUUUUGGUGAAGUUAGAGUUGGGUAUGGAUUUGGGCUUUGGAAAUCCAUUAGGAAGGAACGAAACACUUUCUUGGGUUUUUUUUCCUUUUGUAGAGGGUAAUAGGGGAAGGAUGAAGUUUUGGAUGGAUAAGUGGUAUAGAGAUGAACCGUUGUGUAUUUCCUUCCUUUCUUUAUAUACCUUAGGUGUUGCAAAAAAGGCUUGGGUGGCAGAUCUUUGGUUUCAACAUGGGGAGAGAGGUCAUUGAAACACUUGUUUCUCAUGUUCUUUGAAUCAUUGGAAAGUGGAUGAAGUUGAGGAUUUAUUUUUCAAGUUGCAAAGAAAGGCAGUUGAUAGAGAGGGGGAAGAUAAGUUGGUGUGAAUGAACUUGUACAAUAAUAAGUUCUCAGUGAGUCAUUUAUAUGUUGAUUUGGAAUUGGGGGUUUCUAUGUUAUUUCCAAGGUGGGUAGUUUGGAAUUCAUGGGUCCCUUCGAAAGUUAACUUUUUUGCAUAAGAGACAAUUUAGGGAAAAUUUCUGGCUUUAGACUAGCUUCAAAAAAGAGGGUAGUCUUUGGUCAAUAGGUGUUUUCUUUGCAAAGAAGAAGAAUUCAUAGAUCACAUCCUCCUUUGUUGUUAUUUGGUUAGGAUUCUUUGGCAAUUGCUAUUUGAUUUCUUUUGUAUUCAUUGGGUGCAAGUUGCUAUAGUAAUGGCAACUCUUUUAGGGUGACAUGUUUCUUUUGUGGGCAGAAGGAGGAAAAAGGUUUGGAAAGCAACUCCUUUAUAUCUAUUUUGGAUAGUUUGAAAGGAAAGAAAUCUUAGGUAGUUUGAAAACGAGGAGCAUUUAACUCAAUUUUUUAAGAUGGUUUUUUUAAGAAAUUUGUUUUCUUGGGUAAAAUUGUAUAUAGAGAUUGAUUCUAUGUCUUUACUUGAUUUUAUUGAGUGGUUGGGUUCUAGUUAAGGGAGGGGGUUGUUGGGGUUCUUUUCAUGUUUUUUUGCUAUGACACUUUUUGUAUACAUCUACUUUGGAGUGUCUUUGUGGCAUUUUUAUUUUUUAAUGCAUUUGGCCUUAUUUAUGAAAAAAAAAAAAUUCAGCCCUUACGUUGUUCAAGUUGUAAAGUUCGAUAAUUCCAUGUAAGAGCACACCACAACUUUGAAAAAAUAAAAAAAUAAAAAAAUAAACAAAAAAAGAUGGUAGCAAUUCAAUAUGCAGCCUAGCAUCCUCUUGGCCACACCCUUUAGAACAACCUAACAAUUUUGCAUUACAGAACUACAAUACCCUCUAUUUCACUUGAUUAUUGAUUUGGAUGGGCUUGUUAUUAAUACUUGUAUCACCCAUAACAAAGUUAUAGCCAGACUAUGGCAUGUUGGAGUUGGCUGAUAAGCAUGAGCAUGGUAAUAUUUCUGGGAACAAAGUUCAAGUUUAACUACUUGCAACACUCUUUCAACUUUGUUGUUUCUUUCAUUCAUGGAUUCAUGGAUAUUUGCUAGUUUCUUCAGGAAGCAUAUUUAACUAUUUUAAGUGGUUAUUGGAAUCUUGGAUUAUAUUUGGUGUUAAGUCCCAAAAUGUGGACUCUUGAUCCUUUUUGAGCCCUAUAAAGAUGUUAAAACCAUGGAUCUAUGAAUUUUCAAUAAUAGUACCAUAUUUUAUUCAAAAAUCAUAUAGCAGUUGGGAUUCAAAACUCAAACCCCAAGUCUAAAUCUAGGUAUCCAAAUGAUUUUGGAAAAUUUACAUUAUGUUAUAAGGCACAACAUGCUCAAGCGUUUCUUGUUGAUAGUUUGAGUUUAUGAAUUAUUCUUGUUUCUUGUAGAUAGUUUGAGUUUAUGAUUUCAUUGUGUAACUAUAGGUAUUUAAUCAGAAAAAUGAGGGCUAUGGGCUUGCAGUUAAUAUAUGGAGCCUUGGAUGCACUGUGUUAGAGAUGUUGACUUGUCGACCCCCAUAUUCCAACAUGGAAGACGUACGUAUGACAUUUCAUAGAUAUAUAACAUUAUUUUCUUUAAUGUUUUUUCUUGUUUUGUUCUCUUGUUAGUGCUCUUCAAUUACUUGUUAUUCAAAUUGAUGAUAUGGAAAUUGGUUAAGUUUGGCUUUGAUUUUGAAAAUGCUGAUGAUAUUAUAGUAAGGGUUAAGAUCUUGACCCAAAGUCUACCCCUUUUUGAAGGAUUCAACAUAAAAACAAUCUACACUUGUAACAUCUCAAGAAUAAAAACACUCAAAUAAAAAAUAUAUCUGAAAUUAUUUGGAAUGGGUUGAGUCUAAGAGCUUCUUAGAUCCACGCACCUUAUCAUUUGGUGAUUAUUGUUGGAAUGUAUCCCAAAUUCUUAAUUAGUAUUAAUUCCUUUUUGUAAAGAAUAUUGUAUAGAAUAUUUACUAAGUUGAUAUAUUAGAUUUUUUUUAAUAAAAUAAGGAAAGUUGUUUGGAAUAUCUCUAUAAAUAUUCUAGGUUAUAAGGAAAAAAAGUUAUAAGAUAGAGAUGAGCUUGUAGAGACUAUACGAAAUGGAUAGAGAUGCGAGGAAGAACGGGAGAUAUCCAGUGGAGUGAGAGGGCUCAUGGUAGGGUAUGGAUACAAGGAGUGAGGAAAUAUGGGAUGUUUCGGGAACCCAAUAGUUGUAUUUGGUUUUGUCCUUUGUAAUGUGGAAAGGUUGGGUUGUUGGAUUUGGGAUAUAUAUAAAAAAAAAAGGUUCAAUCUGAAUCCAUUUAUUUUUGGAUAAUUGGCAAUUAUGAAUUAUAUUUUUCCUUAUUUGGAGAAUGUGACUCAAUAUCUGUCUUGUCCUGGCUGUCAUGUAUGAAUACCAUGGAAUUGUCGAUAUUUUCUUUUAUGUUAUCAAACACUCCAAUUUACAAGUGCCUGACUAAAUAGGCUCAUAUCAUUGGCAACAACUUUUCUCAGUUGUCAGAUGACAUUUUGCAGUCACUCCAGAAUUUUUUAAUUUUAAUUUUAAAUUUCUUCUUUUGUAACUUCAGUUUGUCAUAUAAUCUGGGUGAAGGAGCCUCACAUUCCUGAUUGUGUGACCUUCCCUGAUGAAGGACAGUGCAGAUGACACUGGAACUCAUGGUAGCAGAUUCAAAAUCUUGUUGAAUUGCCAAUUGAUAACGUUUGGAAACACCAGGCAUUUUAUCAUCAAAUUGGAAGUUGAAUGUUUCCAAAUAAGGUUUUGACUUGAUUAUUGCUUGUGUUAUCUAGCAAGCUCUAAAGGCACCCAAACUCAUCUUUGGGCUAGAAAACAGGUUUUUAUAGAAACAUCCUUGGCAUAAGGUUUGAAAAUAUUGACCAUGCAUCUUGCUUUCCAAACUCAUCCUUGGCAUAAGAUUAUUACUUUCCAAACAGCUAAGUUUGGAAAGCAAGAUUGUAGGCUUGUAGAUUUGUGCUCUUCCUUCAGAUCAAGUACUUUGUAUAUGCAAAUAUUGACCAUGCAUCUUGCUUUGUGUUGUCAUGUAUCAUCACUCAACCUUGUAUUCAGAAGAUAUGAUAGCCAGACUUGUGUUAAUAUGCUUCUUGAUAUUGCUGUAGAUCUUGCCGCUUAAGAAAUCAAGUUUUAGUGUUAUCCAUUUCAAGUCCUAUGCAAAGUUAAUUGGAAGGUUUCUGUUUAGAAAUGGGAAUGGAGGGGGAGAGAUCACAAUAUUCAGUGAAAGGGAGGAAUAAAAACUCUUGACAAGAGUGCGUUUUUGUUUCCAUGAGAACAGUUCUUUUAUUCCUAUUCUCAUUUCUAGUACAAGUAGACUAAGCACAUUUAUGAAUGAAAAAUGGAAUGGAUUUCCAGCUUCCAUUCCCAUUCCUAUUCCAGUGUACCAAACAUGCCUUUGGUGUCUAAGGGAAAAUAAUUGUGUUGCCUGAUAAUCAACCUUACGACUUGGAAUGCAGUCCAUCUCUGAUAUUAUAUUGGCAGGGGCAAGUGAUAUCAAAAAUUUACAGGAGUGAACCUCCCGAUGUUCCUGAUUCCUUCUCAUCAGAUGCCCGAGAUUUUAUCCUCAAAUGCUUGCAAGUCAACCCUAGUGAUCGGCCUACUGCUGGUGAGUUGCUGGACCAUCCAUUUGUGAAGAGGCCAUCUGGCCCUCAAUCUCCUCGUACGAGUGGAAUACAACCUUAAGUGCUUUUGAUCUAGCUACGGAGCAUCAAAUACAUCGAGGUAAAAUAAAACACCUUUUUGGAGUAAUUUCUUUUCUUUAGCAGCAUUGAUCCAUCAGACACUGGAGUUUGUCCAAUCCAGCUGGAGGAAGUACAUCCCUAUAGUAUGACUUUUUAAUUUAUUUAUUUUUUCUACUUUAGAACUCACUCAUCUUCCUAAAUACAAAAAUUCUUUAUAUUUACACAACAAUUUAACUUCAACAUCUUUUCAUAUAAGAAUUCCUUUUCAUAUAAUAUUCCUUACUACCAAAAACUAAUUCUAAUUAAAUGACUUUAAUUUAAUAUAUAUAAAUAUUAAGAUAUAUACUCCUAUAAAUAUAGUUCUUAAAGAUGUUAAACUCCUUUAAAAAGCAUCAAAUGGUAAUAAAUAAGAACUAGAGAAAAACCAUUCAAAUACGAAGUGAAAUCCAAAAUAGAAAUGUGAGGAAAAAAAUUAUCAUUGACUCUUGACUCUUGCCAAACCAACCCACUACCAUCCAAUGUCAAAUUGUCUAACAAAUGGGAAUUGAAAGCAUAGAAGAGAAUCAUUGACUCUACUUACCCCAUUAUCUUAAAAAUGUUGUCUCUGCCCUCCUUUCAUUAAGUUUCUUAAAAAUUUCAAGCUUCUUUAUCAUAUAAAGUAUAAAAGAGAAUCAUUCUUAGCCCAUUAUCUUAAAAAUCCCACCCUUCUCUCCUUUCAUAAAGUUUCCUAGAAAUUUCAAGCUUCUUUAUUAUAUAAAGUAUAGAAGAGAAUCAUUGAAUCAUUGUAGCCCAUUAUCAAGUGUUGCUUCUCCUUUCUAAAGGUUAAUGUCCUUGUAGCCAUUCACAUGUGUUUCAAGAAAAAUGAAGUUAUUUUGCCCCUAGGAACUAUAGAAAUAAAAUUUUGUUAAGAAUUUUAAAAUAUAAAAAUAAAAAAAUUUUAAAUAAGAGUAUUUUAUAUAAUUUUAUAUAUUUUUUAAAAUUAAAUAUCCAAUUUUUAAUUAUCUCAAAAGUUGGAGAAGCUCCAAAAAAGAAGAAUAAUGUCUUGCAAUUAGAUAACUAAUUCAAAAUAAUCUGAAUACUUCUUAAUCCACUUGUGGUUAACAUUCCAUUAAAAUUAUGUCAAAUUUAUUUAAAUUUACUUGCAUUUAUUUAUUUAAAAUUAUUCAAAGCAUCUCAAUACAUUAUUCAUUUUUGUUUUGAAAAAAAAUUUGUAUCACGUUUCUAGAAAAGAAUUAUUAAUAUAUAUUGAUUUUCUUACAAAUAUUUUUCAUUAAAUUUUAAAACUUGUUUUUACUUAAACUUUAAAUGGGUUUGUAUGCUUGUGUUUUUAUUUUUUAAUCAAAUGAGUUCAUUUAUAAUAUGGGAAUAUCUACUUGAACUCGGUAUUUUAUUUAUUUCCUUUUUUAACUUUAUUUUAGUAAAUGCAUCCUUGAUCAAUAAUUUGAUGAUUGUUUUAAAAUCAAAUAGUGAAGAUAAAAUUUUGAUAAUUAAAAAACAAUUGACUUGCUACAUCACUUACAUGAAAUAUUGAUUUAUUGUUUUAAGUUUGGUAUUAUAUUCAAUUCAUCAUAAUAAGAUUGUUUUUUUAUGUAGAAUAAUAAAUAAAUUAAGGAGAACUUUAUUAAAAAUCAGUUUUAAUAGAAAAAUGUAAGUUGGAUAUUCAUUUUGAUUAAAAAUAAAAUUAUAAUUUGAUUUAAUUAGAAAAUUAUUUUUUUUUCUAGUUAAUUUAAUUUUAAUUUGUAAUCCAUGUUAAUAGGGGAAAAAAGAUAGUUUUCAUGUCUUUUUAAUUGAAAAAAAUAAUGAUUUUGGUUGUAAUUUGUGAAUUUAUUUUAAUUUGUAAAAAUAAAAUAUUAUUCUAUUAAUUAAAUCAAUUUUGAUAAGAAUACUUAAUUUUAUGAAUAUAAUAAUAAUUGUUAAAGUAAUCUUGUAUGUGCAUAUUUUAAAAAUCUUGUAAAAAAUAAACAAAAAGAUAAGAAAAUAUGCAAACAAAAUUUUAUGUAUUAGAAAUUUUGUAGGGUACAAUUCUUUGGAAUAAUACUCAUUACAAAAGAAUAUUUUCUUUUUAUUCAAUCACUUUCAUCAUAAUCUAGUGGAUAACAUGUUUUCACUUGCAUUUGUUUUUAUAUUAAGCUUUUAUAUAAGACUUUAUGUCAUGUGCUCAUAUGAACAACUCUUGUAAUGUGUAGAGUCGCUUGCCUUGGAGGAUAUAUAGAAGCUCUCAAUGCAUACCUUAUAUGCUCAUCUCCACUACUAAAUAUUAUGUAAUCUAUUCUUGUUGUCAAGGGUUAAAGAACGUGAGUUGAUGCAGUCAAUCAUUGACUCAUCUUUCUAUUGCUUGGUAUUUGUGAACUACAUUAUGUUUAUCGGUGGUUGGGAAAAGUAAUUGUCUUCAUGCUUCAUUUUAUCCCAACUAUCAAUAGGCUUAGGCUCAAGAUCCAUGUACCAAUUAAAAGCACACAUUUGGAGGGAACACUCAAAUUGUUUAAGAGGUCACCCUCAUGCUAGCAUUGUUGCAAGUUUGGAUGAAUGAGACAUUGCAUUGCUUUGGAAUUCCUUUUCCAUCAAAUUAUUAAAACUUUGGAGGUUAAUAACUCAUAGGUAUUUGUUGAUUAUCAAUUUUUGUAGUGCAAGGUUUAAAGCACACGAGUGUACUUCAUGACGAUCCACCGUACUAUGCUUUGAUGGUGUUACGUAUCAUAUUUUAAAUCACUCAUUUAAAUUGGAAAUCUAUUAAUUUUUCAAUGAAAAUAAUUUAAAUUUGGCUUUAAGUUAUUUCUCGGUUAUAUGUAGAUAUAUGAGCAUACACUAGGUUUUUUUUUAAUAUUUAUUAUUUGAAUUUUAUUUUAUUCAUAAUCUCUUUAGAAUAUUAUUUAUUGGAAUUAAUUGCUAUGUUGUUAUUCUUCCAAAAAUAUUUUUUUUUGCUUAAAAAAUAAAUUUCUUCGAACACUAAAUUCACUACUUUAAGUUAAUAAAAUCAUUUCCUCUUUUUUUGGUUUCCUUUUAUUUAUUUAUUUUAAAUUAUAAUAUUUAUCAAUAAUAAGAUUUGUCUGUAAAAUGUUAAAAAAAAAAAAAUCAUCCUCUCAUUGUUUAACUUAUUUUUUAUUUUUACUUUUUUGUAUUUAUAUUUUAAUUUUAGUUUUAUGUUUAUUUUUAAUAUUUAUUUUUCACUUCUCGGUCAGAAUUUUUCUUUUUUUAUUUAUUUUAAUUUUUUAUUAUUAUUUCUUGUUGACAUCCUUUUAUAUAUAUAAACGUAAUAAUAAAAUAAAACACCAUGAAUAAAGUGAAGGAAAAAACUAACAUGUGAAAAAAAAUUAAAAAACUUGGUGAAGUGUAGUGCGAGAGCCUAAUGUCUAAUGAUGAUGAUGAUGAUGAUGAUGAUGGAAUAACCCCACCAAACCCGAAGAAAAGCAAAAGGUGAUAAGAAAAAGAGAAAAGUGAGAAAAGAAUAAAUAAGAAGAAAGAGUUGCUUUUAACUUUCUUCAUUACUGUCCUGAAGGUCACCGGAAGUCACCUGUCAUCCCAACUUAUAGAGAGAUGCCCCUAAUUUUCCUCGUCACUUUUCAGAAGGUCAUAGGAAGCCGCCUGCCUUCCCAACUCUUUAUGUAUAGAUAAAUGAUAAUAUUUAUUAAUAAUAAGAUUUAUCUAUAAAAUGUUAGAAAAUGAAUAUAUCAAUCCAGUGGAUUUAAUUUUUACUUUAUAUAUAUAUAUAUUUAUCAUUUAAUUUUUGCUUUUAUUUUUUUUUUCUUUUUAGUCUUAUAUUUAUUUUUCACUUCUCGAUCAAAAUUUUUACAUUCAUUUAAUUUUUCUUUUUUACAUUCAUCCUUCAAACUCCUGCACUUUACUUCUCGAUCAAUAUAGAGAGAGAGAGAGAGAGGGAGAGUGAGUGGCCCCUAACUUUCCUCAUCACUUUACAAAGUUCACAGGAAGCCAUCUGCCUUCCCGAACUUUUUAUAUUGUAAACUAGGGUUGCUCACUAUCUUCAAGAGAAACCAAGCCUCAAACGGUCUCUUUUAGCUUUGAGAAAUCAUGCUAAUUUAGUGAAUGAAAUUCUUACUCAAUUUCUUUGCCAAAGAAACCGUUCAUUCUGAUAUGUUUUUUUUACAAAUGUUUUAUUUCUUUUCGGUUUUUUGUCUUGAGGUAUUUUUUCUAAAUAAUUUGUUUUUUUGGAUAGAUCAUUUUAUAUAUCCUUGUUAUUUUAAAUAAAACAAGUUUCCAAUGACGAUUUUUUUUAAGAGUUUUUAAUGUGAAAUUUUCUAAAAUUUUAUCUUUUUGUCAUAUUUCCUUUUGUUAAUAUUUUUUUGCAAAGUCAAAGAGAUAAUGUGAAAUAAUAACUAAUUUAAUAUAAGGUUAGCAAUUUAAACCACACAACUAUAAAAAUGCAAGUGAAAAUAGAAGUGAAGGUGAAAUUCUUUGGUUGGUCAGAUGAGAGGACUUGGUAGAGAUAAUUUUUAGAUGUAAGUAAGUAGAAAUGUUUAUAGGAUGGCGAAAGAAUUAGUAAAGAAAUUUGUUGAAUGUAACACAAAAAUUUCUUAGAUGAAUUGGUAAAGAAAUUUGUUGGAUGUAAUGGAAAAAUUUAUUAAAUAAUCACAUGAUUAGUAGGUAGAGAAUUUUCUUGGCUGGCCAUAAUAAUUAAAUGUGAAUAGGUGGACAAAUUUCUUAGAUGGUCACACAAAUUAGUAGAUAGAGAAUUUUCUUCUAUUGUCACAGUAAUUGAAUAUGAAUAGGUGGACAAUUUCUUAGAUGGUUACAUGAAUUGCUAGGUGAGAAUUUUCUUGGAUGACCAUGCACAAUCAUCGAAUGUGAAUAGGUGGAAAAGUUUCUUGGAAGGUGACGAAGAUUGGUGGAAAAAUUUUCAAUCAAGUUGAGAAAUUUCUUCCAUGAUAACAAGAAUUGAUGGAGAAAUUUCUUAAAGGUGGAUAAUUAGGUUGAGAAUUUUUUUGGAUGGCAACAAGAAUUGGUGAAGAAAUAUUUUGGAAGGAUAGAGGAAACUACAAAAAGUUCAAUUUGUUUCAAACAACAUUAAGAAUGUGUUUAGUAAUGUUUUCAUUUGAAGUACUUUUAGUGAAUGUGUUUUUUCUAGAAAUAUUUUUGGAAGAAUCACUUGUAAAGUGUUUUAGGAAACAUUACAAGCGAUUUUUUAACAUUUUAAAUGUGUUUUCUAAAUUUUAUUAAAUACUUGGUUUUUCUUCAAAAAAAAAUGUUUUUUGUUUUUAUGCUAGAAGUGAUUUUUUAAAUUUUAUCAAAUAUGUGAUUUUUCUUCAAAAACGUUUUUUAUGCUAUAAGUGCUUUAUAAAAGCACUACCAUGAGGACCUUGACCUUUUGCCUCUAAUAAGGCUAAAGUGAUGACUAGUUGGUGAUUGCGUAUCUCUACUAGUUUAUAAUAUAAAAAGUUGGGAAGGAGGUGGCUUUUUGUCAACUUCUGAAAAGCAACGAGGAAAGUAAUUGAAUUUCGAUUAUUUAUUCAAUUACUUUCUCCACCAAGUUUUUUUUUUGUAUUUAACAAUUUUUUCCUUCACAUAAUUUAUUCAUGCUCUCCUAUUUUAUUAUUAUGUUUUAUAUAUUUUUUCGAAUAUAUAUAUAAGGACAUCAACAAGAAAUAAUAAUAAAAAAUUAAAGUAAGUAAAAAAGAAAAUUUAUGAUCGAGAAGUGAAAAAUAAAUAUAAAACUAAAAAUAAAAAAUAAAAAUAAAAUAUAAAUUUUAAAAAUUAAAAAUUAAAAUAAUUUAAAGAAUAAGGGGAUGGAUUGAUAUAUUUAGAAUUAGUGAUGUAUUUAUUUUUUAAUAUUUUAUAGACAAAUUUCAUUAUUGAUAAAUAUUGUAAUUUAAAAUAAAUAAAUAAAAGCUAACUGGAAUAAGGGGAAAUGAUUUUAUUAACUUGAAGUAGUGAAUUCAGUGUGGGAAGAAACUUAGUUUUUAAGAAGAAAAAAAUUUUAUUUUGGAAAAAUAAAAACAUAGCAAUUAAUUCCGAUAAAAACCUUGAUAAUAUUCUAAUGAGAUCAUUAAUAACAUAAAAUUGAAAUAUUAAAUAUUAAAUAAUGUUUUUGGAAUCGGAUCGGAUAAUAAAUCAAAAAAAUUAUUAAUUCACGUUUCACUAAUUGGACUAAUAGUUAAAUCACCUAGAAUUGAUAAUAUGGUAAAUAUAUAAUUUAUAUAUUAUUAAAAUUAAAAAUAAAAAGAUAUUUAAAAUAUAUAUAACCAAAUUAAAAAUCAAUAAUAUUUAUUUUUUAUCUUUAAUAUUAUUAAAUUAAAUCAUGCAUAAGUAUAAAUAUAAUAAUAUUUUAAAUAAUAUUAAAUGAAAUAUAUAUGGUAUUUAAAUGUAAAUAUAUUGAAACUAAAGUAAAAUUAAAUUAUUUAAUUUUAACUAAUUUUAUAAAUUUUUAAAAUAUUAUUUUAUUUUAUUUUAUUUUAUAUUAUAAAUGUUUUAGAAAAAGAAUAUGUUUUUUUGUUUUCCAUACUUAGCGUCAAAAUGCAUAUAUCUUAGUGGUUCUCUGUGGUAUUCCUUAAGCUCUAGGGCUUUGAGCAAUAAAGUAUUUGAGAUCUCAAAUUUAAAAGAGAACUAAAAAGAGGUUUCAUAAGAUAUUCUUGUAAAUUUGGGGAAGCAUACAAAAUAUUAAAUAUGUAUUCAAAGUUCAACAAAAGUAAUUUGAGCCAAAAACUUUACCUUAAAAAAUUUCUAAUACAAAUAAUUUUGUUUAUAUAUUUUUCUGGAUUGUGAUCAAAUAAGAAAAAAAAAUUAUUAUUUUGUAAAGAAUAUUACUCUAGAAAAUUGUACCUUAAAAAUUUUCUAAUACAAAUAAUUUUGUUUAUAUAUUUUUCUCAUCUUUUUACUUAUUUUUUUAUAGGACUUUCAAAUUUUACGCGUACAAAUUUCUAGUAUGCAAAGUUAAGACACAACACCUCUGAGUCCUAUGACUACAGCAAAGCAAAGACAUUCAUUGCUUGAAGUAAUAUUUUUUUAUAAAAAGAAUAUUCUUUCAUUGGAUGAUUUUAAUCACAAUCCAAAGAAUGAUGAUACCAGUUUCUUCUUCAAGUUGACAUCCAAUUCAAGACUUAUUUUUGAAUGACAUUUGUUGAAUUUUGGGAAUGAUGAAGAAGAUAUGUAUGGUAUUUUCAUGUGCUUUACUAUACUAAUAUUAAGAAGGACAUGUUACAAAGUUUUUUUUUUUUUUUUUCAUGUCAUUCAUUUUAUUUAAAUAAUUAUAUUUUUUUUUCUAGUUUAAAAAAGAGUAUUUGAUCUCUCUUAAAUCAUUCACAAAAUAAAUUAAUUUUUUUAAUAAAAGUAAUUUUUUAUUUAAAUUAUUCCUUAGUUAUAUAUGUAUAUAUGUAUAUAGAAAAGAUUAUUUUUUAAUAUUUAAUAUUUGAAAUUUAUUUUAGUAAUGAUCUCUUUAGAAUAUUAUCACGAUUUUUAUUGGAAUUAAUUGCUACUUUCUUAUUCUUCCUUCUUCCAAAAUAUAAAACUAUUUUUUUGCUUUAAAAAUAGAGCCCUUCCAAUACUAAAUUGACUACUUCAAAUUAAUAAAAUUAUUUCUUCUUAUUUUAGUUUACUACAAUUGGUCAAUAAUAAGAUUUAUCGAUAGAAUAUUAGAAAAUAAAUAUAUUAUUAAUUCUAAAUAGAUGAACCCAUUCUUCUUUAAUAAAUUUUAUUAUAAUUAUUUAAUAAACAAUUAAUAUCUACCUAUUUUAUGAUUUUAUUUUAAAACAUUUAUAUUUAUUUAAAUAAUUAUAUUAAUUGGUAAAAUCAUAUUUGUUUUCUUAGAGAGAGGAUAAGAUGAAAUUUUAUUAUUUGUUUAAAAAAACAUAACAUUUCAAAUUGUAAUUCAAAGACAUACAAUUUAUAUCAAGUUUUAUAAUAAAUUAAUACAUUAUUUAUUUAUUUCCUAUAUUUAUUUUUAUUAAUAGCUAACUUUGUUUAAAUUUGAAGUUACGUCUUAUAAUAAUUUAAUAAAUUUAUUAUUUACUUUUAUAUUAAUUUUUUUCUUCUUCUUUUUUAUCAAUAAAUUAAAAUAUGAAUUCAAAUAUAUAACGAUUGUUUUUAAGAUAUUGAAAUUAGAAGAAUUAUCAUAUGUCUAUACAUAUCUUCUAAUAUUAAUAUUUGGAAUAAAAAGUUUAGAUAAUACAUAAUAAGUAAUUAAUUAUUUCUUAUUAAAUUAAUUAGUCAUAAUGAAUAUAAUUAUAAUUAAUUUAAUUUAUUGUUUACUAUUAAAUAAACAAGCAUAUUUUAUUAUUUGUAGAAUUUUGAAAAGUAAAAUACCUAUUCAAAUAAGAUUUAUAAAUUUUAUAAAAUUAAAUCAAGAAAAAGUAUACUUUAAUCAUAGUUUUCUUCCAAAUAUGGAAGUGGGGACAUUUAUGAAUAUUGAAAAAAAAGAAUAGACCUGUGUGACACAUAUCAUAAUUAGAAAAUAAGUAAGUUUUAAAUUAAAAAGAAACUUUAAUUUUAAGUUAGAUAAUUAUUUGAAUUUUGAAAUCAAUGUAUCAUUAUCUAUAAUUUUAUAUAAAUACAGAAAUUAUUUAGAGUGAAAAAGGAAAAGAAAAAAAGAGUUGGAUAGUAUUUUCUAGUUUUGUUGUGAUGAUAAUUAGUCAUCAACAAAUCUAUCAAAAGAACAAUAUCUUCAUUAGGAAAAUGAAGUAAAACAAUUAUUAUUUUUUGUCAUCAAUAUUCUAAUCUUCCAAAUGAAAGGAUGGUAGUUUAAAAAAUAUAUGAAGAAAAUAAAAUUAAAUAAUAAUAAUAACAAAAUAUAUUAAAGAUGAUAGUAAGAUAGGAGAGCAUGAAUAUAGUGAAGAAAAAAAAUGUUAAAUAAAAUAAAAAACUUGGUGGUGUCCCACUUGAAAAUAGAAAAAAAAAAAAAAAAACGAAGGUAAUAAGAAAAAGAAAAAAGUGAGAAAAGAAUAUCUAAGUCAGUGGAGAGAGAGAGUUACCCUUAAUUUUCCUCGUCACUUUUCCGAAGGUAGUAGGAAGCUACCUGUCUUCCCAACUUUUUAUAUUGUAAUGUCCUUUUUAUAUUGUACAUGCUUUUCUAUACUCACAGGAUGUCUUAUAAAGUUUUUUUUUUUUCAAUUUAUUCAUUUUAUUUCUUGGAUUGAUUUUCAUGUGAAAAUUCAUUUUAUUUAAAAUAAUAAUAAUUUUACUGAUUUUUUUUAAAUAUUUGAUAUCUCUUAAAUCAUUCAUAAAAUGAAUUAAUUUUUUAAUAAAAGUAUUUUUAAUUUAGAUUUAAAUUAUUUUUCAAUUAUAUUUAGAUAUAUGCGUAUAAAAAAGAUCAUUUUCUAAUAUUUAAUAUUUAAAAUUUUAUUUUAAUAAUAAUCUCUUUAGAAUAUUAUCACGAUUUUUAUUAGAAUUAAUGGUUACAUUUUUAUUCUUCCUUCUUCCAAAAAUAUUUGUACUUCAAAGAUAAAGCUUUUCCAAUAUAAAUGGACUAGUUCAAGUUAAUAAAAUCAUUUCAUUUUAUUUUAAUUUAUUUUUUUAUUUAUUAUAAAUUAUAAUAUUAUCAAUAAUAAGAUUCAUCUUUAAAAUAAAUAUAUCAAUCCAUUCCUCUUUCUUUUAAUAUAUUUUCAUUUUCAUAUUCUGGGCCAGCACAUAUAGUUUCUGUCUACUUUAACUUUUUAUUAAUAUUUUUUUAUGUGCUUAAAGAAAAAAUAAAAUAUUAAAUAAAAUGAAAAACUUGGUGGGGAAGUGAAGUAGAGGAGCGUAAUGAUGACGAUUGAAUGGCCCGAGAGAGAGAGAGAGAGAGUGGGUCAGCUGCUUUAAUUCAAGAUUGAAUGACCCGAGAGACACAGAGCUGUCCCUAACUUUCCUCUUCACUUCCUGGAAGGCGCCUUGCCUUCCCAACUUCUUAGAUUAUGAGUUAGGGUUGCACAAUCUCCUCAUUUACUCACUAUCCUGAAGAGAAAUCAACCCCUCUAAACUGUCUUUGUACUUUUGAGAUAGAAACCCAGAAUGGCUUCCACAAGCUCCUUCAGAGCCUCUUCUUCUUCUUCUACUCCUUCCAUCCCUCAAACAAGUACUUAUGAUGUUUUCUUGAGUUUUAGAGGCGAAGACACCCGCUAUAAUUUCACUGAUCACCUCUACAAAGCUUUGGUUAACAGAGGCAUUCGCACCUUCAGAGACGAUAAACUCAGGAGAGGAGAAGCGAUCGCUCCAGAACUCUUGAAAGCCAUCGAAGAAUCAAGGUCUUCCGUAAUUGUUUUCUCUGAAAACUAUGCUGGUUCGAGAUGGUGUUUGGAUGAGUUGGUAAAGAUCAUGGAGUGCCACAAAGAUCUGGGACAUGUUUUCCCAAUUUUCUAUCAUGUGGAUCCAUCCCAUGUACGAAACCAAGAAGGAAGUUUUGGAAAGGCCUUUGCCGGUUAUGAAGAAAACUGGAAGGACAAGAUACCAAGGUGGAGGACGGCCUUGACGGAAGCAGCCAAUCUUUCUGGAUGGCAUAUACUAGAUGGGUAACUAUAAUUUCCUUUCAACUAUUUGUAAGUAUAGGAAUGAGUAGUUUUGCAUUUAUAGAGUGAUGAUAAGCUCAAAUUUUUUAUUUGGAGGUCUACUACUUAAGCACAAAUUUCUCCUCAAAAUGCUUUUAGUUGAAGUCUUUUAUGUGUAAAUGUGUUUAAUAUUCUUUUAUAGGAAAUGUUUUCACUAUAAGUGUUUUCUAGAAAAUCAGCUAUCUUUUCCACGAAUUUAUUUUUUCUAACCUUUUUAUAAGUGUUUUUUUCCUUUUUCUUUACUUUUUAUAAAAAGAAUAGUAGAAUAACAAUUAUAUUGAGUUAGAAUUCAUGAUAAAUGGUAGAAUGAACUUAUUAAAACCCAAUUAAUGAGUUUUACUAUUUUAGGUCAAUUUAUGAGAAUCUAUAUCUAAACUAAUUUAAUCAAAAUUUAUUACUAAUUUUUCAAUUGUCAAGAUUCAAUCCACAUUAAUGUUACAAAAAUUAAUCAAUUUAUUUGAAAUUUUGUUUGAAUAAUUAUAUAACAGGUAACAAUAAAAUUAAUGACUAUUACUAUCUGUUGAAGAGCUUCAAAAUUUUCAAUUAACCAAUCUCUUGUGUAUUCAUAGAACAACUUAAUCAAAUUAUGUAACAAGUAACAAUAACAAAAUUAUUUGACCAAAUAGUUUGAUUAAUUAUGUGACAAUUACUAAUAACAAAAUUAUGUGACGUAAAUUAUUUAGUAGGAAUUCAACUUCCCUGAGAGUUUGUGUGUGUGUAUAUAUAUAGACAAUAAAGAACAAUGGUUAGGCACUUAAUUUUCUUACAGAUGAUGCUGAAGAAAUCAACUCAAAAUAAAGAUAAAUGAAUAACUUUUUUGCAAGCCUUUAAUUUUUUUUUUUUAUUAUACAAAUCAAUAAUAAGGAGAUGAUCUUGCAGGAUAGAUAAGUUUUGAAGCUUGAGGAAUUGAAAAUGGGGUCUUUAAACUAAAAACUUCUUAUAUUAAGAGGUUGAGUACUAUAUCUACAACGAGGCUUCAGGCAUUACAAGAUAUAAAACGAAUGUCAAAGAAUAAAAUAUUUGCUCCUGCAAGGUUUCUAAUUGCCAUGGGCUGUUAAAGCGUUUUGGAAAUGUGCAUAAAUGAUAAUGCCACACAAGGAGCACAACUAACAAAAUUCAAAAUUUAUGUUUUAUUUUUUAUUCUCAUGAAUACUUGAUACAAAGAAAAAUGUCCUAAAAAUGUAAAUGAACUAAUAUCUUUGAUAGGUAUUGUUCUACUUUAAUUUAUUUCUCGUAAAUUUGUCAAACUUAAUGUGUUUUAUUUACCAUUGUGGCUUAUUGCUUAAAAUGUUGUACUCUUAUAAUUGGCAGGUACGAGUCCAAUCAAGUUAAAGAAAUAACUGCUAGCAUAUACCGUCGAUUGAAAUGUAAGAGGCUUGAUGCUGGUGACAAUUUAGUUGGUAUGGAUUCCCAUGUAAAAGAGAUGAUUUUGCGGUUGCAUAUGGAAUCAAGUGAUGUUCGUAUUGUUGGGAUAUAUGGAGUUGGUGGGAUAGGUAAGACUGCCAUUGCAAAGGUUAUAUAUAAUAAACUUUCUUGCGAAUUUGAAUGGACGAGUGUGGACCCCGCAUUUCGAUUGCUCGAUGUGUUUCCCACUCGAUGGCGAGCUCGAUUUUUAUUUGAAAUAUUGAUUUUUAUUGAUUAUUUGAAAAUGACUUGGAGUCGCCACUUAUUUUUGUUUUAUUUUUUAAAGGGUAAACAAAAUAAGAAAGAAAAACCCUAAGUGUGACUCCUUAUUUUGGAAAAGGCGGUCUGUGAAAAACCGGAUCGGGUUCGGGGGUCAGGUUACUUAUCGGGAAGGUACGGUACGGACCGUAGCACCCCUCUAAGUCCCUAAUGUCGGGUCUCUACUAAUAGAAUGAAGAUGAUGUGACAGUCAACAAGAAAAUCGAUGAAUACUCAAAUCGAUCAUGCACAAUAUGAGAAGCAAAGCAUGUAUAAAGAAUGAGCAAAAUAUGAAUAGAUGCGUACCUGGGCGGUAAUCACGAAUGCGCUAUCAUGAAACAUGGUUAGUGAACAAUGAACAUAUAUAAUAAAGCGCAUAUCAAGGAAUAAAGUAAAUCAAUCACAUGUGGCCAAUGAAGCAAACAAUCAGUUAAUCAAUCUUGAAAUCUCAUAUGUAGGCCCCCACCAAAGCCCAUUUAUUUUGCAUGAACCAAAUCUGUAAAUUCCAUCACUAAGAAUUACAAAAUUUGAUUUUUGCUUAUUUUAAAACAUUUAAAAAAAAAAAAAACAAAGAAAAUGAAAAAGGAUUGCCAAAGAGAAAAUGGCAACCAAUGUUAUUGGAAAAACGGAAUUUUUGAUGAAGGAACAUAUAGAGUUGCGAUUAUUUAAAAAGAUUAAAAUCCGAAAAAAUUAUUUGAAUGAAGGGAUUUGGAAAAUUAUUUUCAAAACUAGGGAUGGUGACAUGAGAGAAGUAAAAGGAGAUGUCAUGUGGCCACUAAGAUUUGCAUGGUGAACAGGGCCAUGCAAAGAAAAUCCCUUUCUUAGCCCAUUUGAAAAAAACAGGUCAAUUUCUGAAUCUGUGGCUUCUCAGCAAUCCUUGACCUGGGCAGGUAUGUCAAGACCAUGAACGUACCUCUCCCCUAUAUUUUGCCCCAGCAACCAAAGCACCCAUAUCCAAUGCCAUAGGUCUCACUUCAGCGAGAUUACUAGGAACGCCCCCCUCUUACAAUUUUCUGAGCUAAUCUUUCAACAACAGCAGUCUUACCCACACCUGGUUCUUCAAUAAGAACAGGGUCGUUCUUAGUUUCCCUUGGAAGAAUCCUGAUGACCCUCCAAAUCUCUUCGUCUCGGCUAAUGACAGGAUCAAGCUUUCCAGUUUACUCAACAAGGCCACACCCAUAAGUCUUCAAUGCUUGGAAUGCAGUGUUCCCAAAAGCACUUUCCUCUCCGGACAUUGGCGUCUUGUGAAGCUACUGGCACAAUGCCAUUUUGAAGGAUCACAACAACACUACGAUACACUGGUCCAUAAUCUAACCUCCUUAUUGUAGUGGCUGUUCAAACGGGAUCACUAAACAUGACUGGCGCAUUCUUGUCAUUCAACUAAAACGGUUCAUACUCCCCACAGUAAUUAUCAUAUCCAAAACCUGGACUUUUAUAUCCAGAAGCAACACUUGGAGAUUGGCCCAUGGGUCCUGAAACACCAGCAUCGACCAGAGCAUCCUGAGGACCUGUAGCUCCAUAGGUUGCAUUUGAAACGAAGUCUGCAGCACCAUAUCCAGAAGGAGUUUGGUUGUUCCCAUAAACAUGAUGUGGCGACAAUUUCUGCUGCUCAUCCGAUAUAUAGCUACUGCCGGCAGAGAACCUCGAGGUUCCAGUACUAUUAUGUAAAGAUAAACCAGCCAAGAAGAGACCCAGCGCCCAAGGUACAUCUUUUCCCGUGACCUUUCUUUAGAACCAUUUCCACGUAAACAUCUUGACUAUGUUUUAAGCUUCCAUCAGGUAAGUGUAGCUGAGGUGAUCUUGAAUCUUUUGAAGGCUAGGUACAACACGUCAUGUCUUGGAGGUGUAUGGAUCAAAGGUAUCGUGACUUUGCAUCUUCAAACCAGAGGAUGAUCCCUUAGGUUGACAGUAAACCCCUGUAUUCGUGCCGAUCACCUUCAGGUAAAAGCUUCCUUUGGCGUCAACAGUGGUCAAGGCCACGACCAUGGCAGAUUCGGUGAUGAUGCCCAUCGACGGUGCUACGCAAGGCAUUGAGAGAUAGACAUUGCGGCUGAAUUUAGUACCCAGCUGGACUGAGUCGACAGUGAAGUGGUGAUGGUGGAGGCGUUUCGCCGCCGGCGGCUUGCCGCCGGCGUCGUUCGAGGGCAGCUUUGCUUGUUACAGUCCAUUGGAGAUUCAAAAGUUAAACACCAUGCACAAACAGGUAGGCAACAAAAAUACACCCGCAUAUGAUUCACGCACUAUCCGAGACUGUAUAGGUGCCACGGCCUGACGUUCUUUUCGUGCUCUUUGAAUAAAUCAUAUGAUGCACAAUCCAAUGCAUGAGAAAACCGGUGCAUGCAUGAGGGUUGGUGUCAUGUGGAGUAAAGAGAGAAACUAUAAUAAUGAGAUGGAAAUAUUAGAAAAUGGGUAUGAAGAAUGAGUGAGUCAAAUGGGUUGUAUAGUGGUAUGAAGAUGAGCUUGGAGCAUGAAGAUAAAGGUUAAGAGAUGGGUGCAAUAGGUAGCAGAAACUGGUGAGAGAAAAGGGGUAUGUAUAGGGGCAUGGUGGGUAUGGGCAUGAAAUGUACGUUGAAGGAUAGCCCUAAGUGCAUGCAUGAUAAGAGACAAAUGAUAUGGGAGGAUAUUUGAACUCUGUACAUGUGGAUAUCAUGCAUUUCAUCCCCUUAAAGUUGCACCGAAAUUCCUUACUCAUCAUCCCAUUGAUAUAAGCAAAACAGAGUCCAAUGAAAACACUGCUUCCUAAAGAAAAAUGGUGCCUAGCACCAGAACCUGAAAGCAGACCUCUCAAAUCGCAAGCAGCUCCAUCCGCAGCAUCUCAGAAUAUCGAGCAGGGCUCAGAUUGUUUGUAUACCUAAACUCAUCCUCACAAAAGAGAGUUGAUAUCUGAGGCCAAUGGAUCCACUCAAAGUACAGAUCUUCCAAGCUUUCUGGUAAACAAAGACCAUGACCAAUUGGAAUGAGCUCCAGCUGACCAUACGUCUCAAUUCCAUCAAAUUUUCUGACCAGAAAGUUUCCUGUUUGAUGAAUUCUAUAGCUUCAGGACUUUCCUUUGAAAAGGAUGCGGCACUGUCACCAUUCACAAACUGAGAAAGCAAGCUUUGGAAGGAGUAAUGAUGUUGGAUAUCAAAAGGAGUAGAUGUUAAAUGGAGGGUACAAAACUGAUGAAGCAGACAUGAUGCUUUUUCGAAACCUUCUACAGACUGCAUCUUAAAAAAAACACUGUGAUAUUCCGGGGCAUAGUUACUUAGCAUCUUUCAUUCCAUUCAUCAACGGUCAUUUUACCUCAAUCUCCACUGAUUCAUGUUUCAUCUCUGUUCAUCUUCAAAUCUUAUUCAGUCUUUUCCCUCUGGAAGCAAUUCUAUAAUGCAAACACCAACACCCCACGUUCUGCUCAUUUCAUUGACAUUCCCCCGUGAGCUUCCAUUCACUAUUAGCAAAUAGCCAUCCUAUACCACGAUGAUUCCAUCAACACUGUUGGCUACUCAGAGGCCAUCAAAUGAACCCGAAACUGGAGAUUCUCAAUCAGUAAGGGCACACUGAGAUAGAAUAGACCUGAGUUGACCCACUGACAACUCUUAUAUGGCUUCCUCAGGCAGAGAUGAGAAAUCAGAUGUGUGCCAUGGAUGAAUACCAAGAACAGAGAAAGAUAGCCAAGACAGAGUACAAUGGAUAGGAACCAAAUGAAUCCAUACAAGCCCCCUUUCCCAUAACCAUCAAUGAGCCCAGAUGUAAAAAUGGAUUAAAGCAAAUUUCAAACAAGUUUUUAAACAAAGAAAACAGAGGUGGGAAUACUGAUAUCUCAUAAGAGAUCUCAAAAUAGGGGAUACGAAACAAGUUAGAGAUCAAGCAGCAUGUGAGAACAAGCAAGUACAAAUUCCAUGAGAAAAAAAUAAAUAAAUAAAUAAAUAAAUAAAAAGAAUAAACGAGAAGCAUACCACCAAUCACCUUCAAACACUAAAGCAGAGUUUCAUGAUGCCUAAAAAAAAAUUGAGACGGCCAGAACAUGGAAGAACUAACCCAUAGAAAUAAUACCUGAACCUUCUUCUUUUCAGUUUGCCCUUCUUCUCUCCAAAACGGCCAGGUCCCCUCCACUGCAGCUGCCUCACCUCUCUAAAAAAUAUCUCCUCACUGCAACCGGAAUCCCCCCAUCUCCUAAAAUCUCUCCUCCACGACCCCAAAAAUCCUCUCUGAAAAGCCCCACCACUCUGCCUGUAGGAGACGCUCCUCUAACCGUCUGCAGCUUUUUUUUUUUUUUUUUUUGCAGAUUCUUUGGACACGUGUCGACCUCUGGUUGGCCAUCAAAAACACCACUCUGGUGCCCCAACAGCCAACCAUGCAUGGACAAGUGGCUCCUUGAGAUCGUGACACUUGGCAAAAUCAAGCUGCAGAAAAUGAGCCCCAAAUGGGGGUCAGGGGAGUCAAAAUAUAAAUGGUGUUGCUCGUAGAGCAGGUAUGAUAAAGGACAUUCUCUUAUCUAAAAGAGUUUUUAUGGUUCUUGAUGAUGUUGAUGAUCCAAGUCAAUUAGAAUAUUUACUUGGACAUCGUGAAUGGCUUGGAGAAGGAAGUAGAGUCAUCGUAACUACUAGAAAUAAACAUGUGUUAGCUGUACAAGAAGUGGAUGACUUAUAUGAGGUUAAGGGAUUGAAUUUUGAAGAAGCUUGUGAACUUUUCAGUUUGUAUGCCUUUAAACAAAAUCUUCCCAAAUCAGAUUAUAGAAACCUCUCACAUCGUGUUGUAGGCUAUUGUCAAGGGCUUCCAUUAGCUCUAAAAGUUCUAGGUUCUCUCUUAUUCAAGAAGACAAUACCUCAGUGGGAAAGUGAAUUGCGUAAAUUGGAUAGAGAACCUGAAGCGGGAAUUCACAAGGUGCUUAGACGAAGCUAUGAUGGAUUAGAUCGUACAGAACAAAAUAUAUUUCUUGAUGUUGCAUGUUUUUUUAAAGGUGAAGAUAGAGAUUUUGUGUCAAGAAUAUUAGAUGCUUGUGAUUUCCCUGCAGAAAUUGGAAUAAAAAAUCUAAAUGACAAGUGUCUUAUAACUCUCCCAUACAACCGUAUAGCUAUGCAUGAUUUGAUACAACAUAUGGGUUGUGAAAUUGUUCGUGAAAAAUUUCCUGAUGAGCCAAACCAAUGGAGCAGAUUGUGGGAUCCCCAUGAUAUUCAACAGGCACUUAGAACAUCUAAGGUAAGAGCCAAGUGCAUAAAUUCACAUAAACUUCAAUAAUAUCAUUCUUGUAUAAGAACUUACAUAUCCAUAUAAGUUGAGUUAGUUUGUAUUUAUGUUUACCUUAUCCUUGUUAUUUUUCAGGAAAUACCAAAAGCUCAAACAAUAUCCUUGGACUUGUCUAAGUUAAAAAGAGUAUGCUUCGAUUCAAAUGUUUUUGCAAAGAUGACUAGUCUUCGAUUGCUCAAAGUUCAUUCAGGUGUCUAUUAUCAUCAUUUUGAAGGUAUUCACGAGAAGGAUUAUUAUGCUAUAAUAAAAAAUACUUCUAAAAUGCGACUUGACAUGAAAUUCGAAUUUCCUUAUGAGUUAAGGUAUCUUUAUUGGGAUGGAUAUCCUUUAGAUUUUUUACCAUCAAACUUUGAUGGAGAGAAGCUUGUUGAACUUCACUUGAAGUGUAGCAACAUAAAACAGUUGUGGCAAGGGCAUAAGGUAUUAUUAUCAUUUAAUAAUGACUUCUUUAUCUUUGUAUUGAUUUUGAAAUUUAUGAUUGUUAUGUCUUUAUUGAAACCAAUUUUCGUUUGGCACAGGAUCUUGAAAGGUUAAAGGUCAUUGAUCUAAGUUGCUCAAGGAAUCUCAUUCAAAUGUCAGAAUUCUCAAGCAUGCCAAAUUUGGAGAGACUAAUUCUUGAAGGUUGUGUAAGCUUGAUCGAUAUUCACCCAUCUGUUGGAAAUAUGAAGAAGCUUACUACCUUAAGUUUGAGAUUCUGUGAUCAGCUUAAGAAUCUGCCAGAUAGCAUUGGAUACUUGGAGUCUCUCGAGUCUCUUGAUCUCUCUGAUUGCUCAAAGUUUGUGAAAUUUCCGGAGAAGGGAGGGAACAUGAAAAGUUUAAUGAAGCUUGAUUUAAGAUUUACUGCUAUUAAGGAUCUGCCUGAUAGCAUUGGAGACUUGGAAUCUCUUGAGUCUCUUAAUCUCUCAUUUUGCUCAAAGUUUGAGAAAUUUCCGGAGAAGGGAGGGAACAUGAAAAGUUUAAGGCACCUUUGUUUAAGAAAUACUGCUAUUAAGGAUCUGCCUGAUAGCAUUGGAGACUUGGAAUCUCUUAUGUUUCUUAAUCUCUCUGGUUGCUCAAAGUUUGAGAAAUUUCCGGAGAAGGGAGGGAACAUGAAAAGUUUAAUGGAGCUUGAUUUAAGAUAUACUGCUAUUAAGGAUCUGCCUGAUAGCAUUGGAGACUUGGAAUCUCUUAGGCUUCUUGAUCUCUCUGGUUGCUCAAAGUUUGAGAAAUUUCCGGAGAAGGGAGGGAACAUGAAAAGUUUAGUGGAGCUUGAUUUAAAAAAUACUGCUAUUAAGGAUCUGCCUGAUAGCAUUGGAGACUUGGAAUCUCUUGAGUCUCUUGAUCUCUCUGAUUGCUCAAAGUUUGAGAAAUUUCCGGAGAAGGGAGGGAACAUGAAAAGCUUAAAGUGGCUUUAUUUAACAAAUACUGCUAUUAAGGAUCUGCCUGAUAGCAUUGGAGACUUGGAAUCUCUUUUGUCUCUUCAUCUCUCUGAUUGCUCAAAGUUUGAGAAAUUUCCGGAGAAGGGAGGGAACAUGAAAAGUUUAAUGAAGCUUGAUUUAAGAUAUACUGCUAUUAAGGAUCUGCCUGAUAGCAUUGGAGACUUGGAAUCUCUUAGGCUUCUUGAUCUCUCUGAUUGCUCAAAGUUUGAGAAAUUUCCGGAGAAGGGAGGGAACAUGAAAAGCUUAAAGAAGCUUUUUUUAAGAAAUACUGCUAUUAAGGAUCUGCCUGAUAGCAUUGGAGACUUGGAAUCUCUUGAGUCUCUUGAUCUCUCUGAUUGCUCAAAGUUUGAGAAAUUUCCGGAGAAGGGAGGGAACAUGAAAAGUUUAAUGGACCUUGAUUUAACAAAUACUGCUAUUAAGGAUCUGCCUGAUAGCAUUGGAGACUUGGAAUCUCUUAAGUUUCUUGUUCUCUCUGAUUGCUCAAAGUUUGAGAAAUUUCCAGAGAAGGGAGGGAACAUGAAAAGUUUAAUUCAUCUUGAUUUAAAAAAUACUGCUAUUAAGGAUCUUCCCACCAACAUUUCUAGGUUGAAAAAUCUUGAAAGACUUAUGCUCGGUGGCUGCUCAGACCUGUGGGAAGGAUUAAUAAGCAAUCAGCUUUGCAAUCUGCAAAAACUUAAUAUCAGUCAAUGCAAAAUGGCUGGACAAAUUCUGGUGCUUCCUUCAAGUCUACAAGAAAUAGACGCAUACCCUUGCACAAGCAAGGAAGAUUUAUCAGGUCUGCUCUGGCUUUGCCACCUCAACUGGUUGAAAUCCACAACGGAGGUAAUUUAAUAUAUAUAUAUAUAUAUAUAUAUAUAUAUAUAUAUAUAUAUUUUAAUUAUGCCACUUAAACCUUUUUUUAUUUUAUUUGAAGUCAAUAUUUACAUAAUAAUUUGUGCAGGAGUUGAAAUGCUGGAAACUCGGUGCUGUUAUUCCUGAAAGUAAUGGAAUUCCAGAGUGGAUAAGGUAUCAGAACAUGGGAAGUGAAGUAACAACAGAGCUUCCAACGAAUUGGUAUGAAGAUCCUGACUUCCUAGGAUUUGUUGUAUCAUGUGUUUAUCGGCAUAUUCCUACAUCUGAUUUUGAUGAACCUUAUCUUUUUCUCGAGUGUGAAUUGAAUUUACAUGGCAAUGGAUUUGAAUUCAAGGAUGAAUGCUGUCAUGGAUACUCGUGUGAUUUUAAAGAUUUGAUGGUAUGGGUUUGGUGCUAUCCUAAGAUUGCUAUUCCGAAAGAGCAUCACCAUAAAUACACACAUAUUAAUGCUUCAUUUGAGAGUUAUUUGAUAAACAUAAAAAAAUGCGGCAUCAAUCUUAUAUUUGCGGGAGAUCAACAAAAUCAUAUGCCCAUGUUGGAGCAUCCUCAGAAUUCUGGUGACAAUGGAUCAGCAUUACAAGAUACCGAUGGUAAUGUUCAUGGGGCUAAUCAAGAUGAUGAACACUACCAUAUUCCCAUCGUGUUAGAUCUUCUUGGGAAUUUUGGUGACAUUGGAUCAGUAAUACUUGAAGGCACUGAUGGAAACCGUAAGAGAAGACGUGAUGAUUCCUUACCCGAUGUAGUGGAGGAGCCACAUUAUAAAAGAUUGGGAGCACCCAACACCCAUCUCUCGCUUUGAACUCCAUCAGUAAGUGCAUUAUCAACCCUUUUUCAUGUAUUCUAACUUCUCUCCUUUUUAAAUUAUUUUUAAAGUUAAUAAACUAUUUUUGUAUAUUUCUUUAAACUCAUUUCACUUAUUUUUCUCCAUUAUAUAAAAAUUAAAUAAUUUAAAAAUGUAUACAUCUCUAAUCAAUUUUAAAUAUAUUUUAUUUUCUUUCAUAUUUUCUAUAGAAAAACCAAGCAUAAAAAAUAAUUUUUCUCAGUGUUUUUUUUAUUUCCUAAGUACUCUCUAAGAUUCAAACAUAGUUUAUAGUGAUUGAUAUCAUAACUAUGCAUGUACCACGUUUUAUAGAAUUUCUUCAUUUUCAAAAAAUAUGAAAAAUAACUUCAACUAACUUUGAAAGUCAUCAUUAGUUUAAAAACAUGUAUAGUUUUUUUUAUUUUUUUAUUUUUUUUUAUUUUUUGUACAUAUAUAGCAUAGAUAUGGUAGAGUGAAUUGCUUUUCUUUUCUUUUUUUUCAUUAUUUAUUUAUUUAAUUAGUUAUAUAAAAACCUCUACAAAGUGAUUAUGAAGCUCUAGGGAUUCUUCAUUACCUUAUUAGAGAUAGCAUUAAUUAAUUAUUUGUUUAAUUAAUUUUUUUUAUACUUGUUUUUAAGAUAAAAUUUGAAUAAGUUAUCAAAAUUAGUUAGAGAAGAUCAUGUACACAAAUUAGAAGUUAAAUUUGAAUGUAUUAUGAGGUAGAUAUAUGUAAAAACUUAUAGUGUGUUUGGUAGUAAUUCUGGAAAAUGUUUUUAGUAUUUUUAACAUUUGAAUGAUAAAAUUUUUCAAACGUUAAAAAAGUUAGAAGUGCUUUCUAAAAUCACUGUCAAACAGGAUCUAACGUACUCUUAAUAUUUUUAAUAUUUGAAAAUUUUUAUCAUUCAAUUGUUAGAAAUAUUAUAAAUGCUUUCUAGAAUCACUUUCAAACACACUCUUACUUGAUGGCAGUAAAUAAUGAAACUCCCAUAUAUUGAUUUUAAUAGUUUUAAGAGUCAAAUUGUUUAUAGUUUUUGUAUUGAAGAAUUAAAUUUCUUUAAGUAUGCUAAAACAUUUUUAAACAUGCAUACUUAUUGUCUAUUUCUUGAGAUGGAAGUCUUGGAUUAAUCUUAUAUUUACUUAUGUGAAAUUUGUGAUAUGCUCGUGAAGUUUACUUAACAAAUGAUCAUACUAAUCUUAAGUGAAAUUUGUGAUAGUACCGAUCAGAACGAAAUCACAUGUGGUAGCUGCAGGUGGACUUCAUGUUUUUUCCUAACAACUGAUUGGUAAGUCAUUUUGUUCAUUUAUCCUUUUAGUACGUGUAGAAAAUUGAUUAAAGCCUCUUCAACUUCUUUACUAUUUUCUCUUUCCCUUGAUCCCUGUUUUGUGCGAUUAUGUUUGGUUUUUGGAAAACUUAAAGGAAAAUAUAAGGAAAAGAAAAUAGAGAAAAAAAAUUAAAAGGAAAUAAAAAGUGAAAAAGAAUAAAAACAAGAUUUAAAGUCAAUCAAUUAUUUUCAUAUGUUUCUUCAAUCUUAUUUCAAUUAUUUUGCUUCAUUAUAUAAAAAUUAAAUAAUUUUAAAAUGUAUAUAGUUCAAACAUAAGUUUUAAAAUGUAUAACUAAUUUUAAUUAUAUUUAAUUUUUCCAUAUUUUUUACAAUGAAACCAAACAUUUAUCAUUUUUCUUGACAUUUUUUUAUUGUUUCCUUGGUACUCACUAAAGUCAAACAUAAGUUUAAACCCACUAGAGUGAUCCAAUUGGUGAAGGCAAAUAUUGAGAAGUGUGGUCCCACUAAGUGACACAUGGUCCUGAGUUUGAAUCCUACCACUAAUGAUACUUUGAAUUUAUCUAGUGCUAGUUAUUGUGACGCGAUUAACACUUUGAGGUUUGGUUCCCCAUAGAGUCCUAUAGGCUUAGCCAAGGAAGGUUUUUCAAUUAUUAAAAAAUAAAAUAAAACAUAAGUUUAAUGUUUUAGGAGGUAAAAAAAAAAAGUGGUAGCGCAAUUGACAAUUAACUAGGAUAUAUAUUUUUUCUCAUGUGCUUGGUAUAAGGCACUAAGUAUCAUUAUAUUAAAUCCUCCAUCUACCGCAUGAUAGUUAGUUAUAAAUUCCUUACUAUUAUUAUAGGUAAACAAUAAUUUAUAUAUGUUUAAAUUAAUUCUUAAGUUAAUGGUUAAUAUCUAUUAAUUAUGUUUUUAGUUCCUUUGAUGAUUAUGUUAUAUUUGAACAUUUUAGGGGUAUGAUUUUAGCUUCAUUAGCAUGAAGUGUAUCUAAUGAUAUGUGAUUCCCUAUCACUAUGUUUGAUUUCAAGAAAGUAUAAGGAAAGAAAAAUCCUCAUGAAAAUUAUUUUCUCAUGAAAAAAUCCAAGUACGAAGGAACAUGAAAAUGAAUUUUGGAAAUCAGACACAACCUUGUGAAAUAUACUUGUGUUAAUAAUUACAGUGUGUUUGUUGUACUAUGUUAAUGACAUUGAAAUGUUGUGUUUUAUUCUUUAGCUUUAGGUGGAAACAAGGACAAUGAGGAGAAGUUAAUCUCAAGAUGCAAAUGAGAUUCCAAAUGUUGCUAAGGUGGUCUACUCUUGCACAUGAUUAGUCUCUUACAAUCAUGACCAUCAAGAAAGAUGGUACAAUUUGUGUAUUGAAAGUGUGAAUUAGGAAUGUUAAAAAAUGAAAACUUGAAUUGAUAUAUGUUUUUGCCCAUAAGAUGUGUGGUUAUGGUCAAUUCUUGUGGGUAUGUAAUUGACCUUGAUGUUGCAUAUGAAGCAUGUCACCCUCUCUGUAUCUUCAAGUUAGUGGUUGGAGCUUCUAUAGAUGGUGGAAGACAAGUGUCACCAAUUUAAGUAUUUCUUAAGCUCUCAUGUGGCACUUAGACAAUUCAAGUCUAUUGAAGUUGUUGCUAAGUCUUUCAUGUUGUGACAAAGGUUUUUCACAUUUCACACAUUAUAAUCAUCACAUUUUAACUCAAGUUUUUAAAAGUAUUAAAUUAAUACCAUUCCCUAAUCUUACUCGGCUUGGUUUGUCAACUUCGGUGGUUUAUUACUUUUUAGAGCCAACUUUCAACUUAAUCAAUCCAACGUAAUUGUUAUUGAUUCAUGGUUAAUAAUUCUCGAUCUAAUGUUAUGAUUGUUUUUUAAAAAAUUUGAGGAAAAUAAAAUAAAGAGAAAAAGUACAAGGAAAGGAAAUGUGGAGAAACAUAAAAGAAUUAUAUUUAAAAUUAAUAAAUUAUUUUUAUUUGUUAUUUCAAACCUAUUUUACACACAAAAUUAUAAUAAUAUUUAAUUUUUUCUCUAUUUUCCAUGAGAUACCAAAUAUAAAACAAAUAUUUUUUUUAACAUUUUUUUUAAUGCUUUUUGGAAACUAAACAUAACUUAAUACUUGUCUUUGUGUUUCAAGAUACCAAUAAUACUUCUUGAUAAAAUCAUAUCUAUUAAUGUGGCAUGUAUACAUGUGUGGGAUAUUCAUGGUUCAAUACUAUCACUAUCUUACAAUUGUGGAUUCUAAUUGAAUUUUAUGAAUUAAUGAUAUGAUCUUUCUUCAAACAAAAUGUCUUUGUGAGUUGAAUUAUUUCAAUUGGUCAAACCUCUAUAUUCCAAAUAUUUCUACUUUGAUUAAUCAAGGUCUUUGUGAGUUGACUUUAAUUUGCUUUUAAAUAUCAUCUAUUAAAGUAUUUUAGAUGCUUCUUUGUUUUGUGUAGUAUUGUAAUAGAUUAUGAGAUAAUUGUAGACCAAAUGAUAUACAAAUUAUCUCCUUUAUAGAUGUUUUUUCACUUGCUUUAAAGCUAAGAUUUUGUAAACUAGCUUUUGUCUUUUCUUAGCUUUAAUUUUUUUACUCUAAAACACCCAAAUAAAGUCAUUUAGUUUUGUAUGUGCUAUUUUCUUUAAAAGAGAAACUAAAAAGGGAUGCAUCCUAGUAUAUAGUUGAAGCAGAGAAGGAUUUUAUUCUAAAAUUAAUAUAAAAAAUAUACUUUGAUAAUAUAAUUUUAAACCUCUUUUAGAUGGUGUUUGGUAAACCAACUUAAUAAUUUAAUAUAACAUAAUAACUUAAUUUGUUAUUAAAUAGAUUAAUUAUUUUUGGUAAAAUAAUUUAAUAUUAUAAUAUAAACAUAGUAUUAAGUCAAAAUAGUUAACUUAAGGGUAUUUGGCAAAUCAACUUAAUGACUUAAUAUGAUUUAAUAAUUUAAUUUAAGUCAUUAAAGAGAUUAAACAUGUUUGAUAAAAUAACUUAAUAUUACGACUUAAAGUUAUUUUUAACUUCAAGUAAUAAGUCAAAAGGGUUAAUUUCAUUGAGACCCCUUGAGGUUUGAUAUAAAUAUACUCAAUUACUGUUGUUUUCAAAUUUCAUCAAUUAGCACCCUUAUGAAUUUAUUUUGUUUAAAAAAUUUAUUUUUUUAAGAGAUUUCAAGUAAAAAUAUUUUUGAUAGGAGUGUUUAAUAAUUCACUAAAAACUAAAUUUUAUUUGUUAAAAAAUAAAAUUUAUAUACAUAAUACAUUUAUAGGGAUGUUAAUUGAUGAAAUUGAAAUUUGAAACUUAUGAUGACUUAAUGUAUUUACACUAAACAUGAAGAGUCUCAAUAAAAUUAACUUUAAGUUAAAAUAGUUAACUUAUUCUUAAUCUCAAAUCUUUUUUACCUUAUUUGUCUACAUUUAUUACUUAUUUUUUAUGAUUGUACUUGUAUCUUUAAUACUUUAAAUAUGAAUAUUUAACAAAUAAAUUUAUUAUUUAGGAUUAGUGAAAAUAUAAUUAUUAGUUAAAAUUAAUAAGGAUGAAUAUGUCAAUUUGACAAUUUAAAAUAAAAGUUUUAAGUUUACAGUUUAAGAACCAUUUAACUUAAAAUCAAUUUAAAUCAUUAAGUAAUAAGUAAUAAGUAAUAAGUUUUACCAAAUGCCCACUUAAAUAUAGCUUUUAAAUGAAUUAUUUAAUCAAAAGACAAAUAUAAAAAAAUAAAAAAUAAAAUAAAAAGGAACACACUAAACAGGCAUCAUAAAAUCUUUCACAUGAUUUCUUUACUUUUUUAUUCACCUUCUUAGAAGACGAUUUUAAUAUUUCCUAAGAAAAUUAUGAAAACACAAAAUUGGUGUUUCCAGAUUUUCUAUUUUUAUAAAACUCUAUUUUCUGAAAUAUUGAUUUAUGUUUUCUUUACAAAUGAAAACAAUUUAAACAAAAAAGUGAUUUAUAGUUUCCAUUUUUAAAAUUGAUUUUCACUUCUUUUGACUUAAGGCAUUUUCAAGAUAAGAAAAAAAAAGGAAUAAAAGCUAUUUUUAGAGAAUAAAAAUAAAUGAAAAACAUUUUCCAACCGAAACCCAUUGUUAAUGUUUUCAUCUCAUUGUGCCUUUUUCUAAUCUCCAUCCCGCACUUUGAUGGGCUAAACUCGAAAAUGGAAAGUUAUAUCUUGGCACUUGCUUUAAUUUACAUUUGUUAAAUUGGUUUUGACAUACAUUUUUCAUAAUAAAUGCAAAACAAUAGCCUGAGUUACAAACAUGAUUUCCAUGGUUUUUUAGGUCUCUAAUCACAUAAAGUAUUGAUUCCCAAAUUAAUGAUGCUCUAAAUUUAGUGCAUAGGGCAUUCAGACUCUCAGUUCCAUCAACAUCCAUUUUCAUUUUCUCACCUGCCAAAACCUUAUUGUACAAAUUUCCAUUCAACCUUCAGAUCCAUCCCAUGUUCCAUUUUCAAUCCUAGCCACAUUGUUACCAUAGGGCAAGUUGCUAGUACCAAAUAUUUAAGACAAGUAUACAUACAAUGCAAAUCAGUCCAUUACCCUAAAAGAAAAGGAAAAAGAAAAAGAACUUGUGUCACAGAAAGGAAUAAUCUAUUGGGUCAGUGGCUUGUAUCCAAAGUGAUACCAAACUGUGCUGACAAGGAGCCUUUGUAAGAAUCUGAUACAGCUCCUGCUGUUUCUGAAAGGUUGCUCUUCAUCUCUGAAAUUUUUGAUACCAUGGGCUCUUUGUAUUUCGAAACUGAGUCAACCAAAGCAUAGAGUUCCCAAGCACAUAUCUGAAUUUCAUCCUCAUUUUGCUUGAUUGCUUCCUGCAACUUCAAUUUGGACAUCUUCAUGACGACAUCAAAGUCUAGUCAGAAUCCCUUGAAUUUUUCGAUAAUAUUCACAUUAAUCAAGAACAAUUAUAAAGCCAGGUAGAAAUUUUUAGCUCUGAAAAGGGAAACCAACUUAUGUUAAAAUAAGUUUCUUUCAGGUUUACGAGAUCCACCCUGGCAAUAUUGAUAUCCUUAACUAACUAUUUAAGAGAAGAAAAACAAAAUUAUACCUCCAGAACAUCUGCCACUUCUCUUUCCACAAUAUCUACAUUAUGGGUUUCUAUCUCAACAUCCUCCACCAACUUCUUAGCUUCCAUUGCACAUCUGGAGGUGUAGUUUUGCGUUUCCUUCUUCAAAAAAUUUAAUUGAGCUUCCACCUGACAAAUUGAUCAUUCAUCCAUGGUUAACCUCAUACAACAAUAGCCUAAAAAGAAUUCAUUCUGAUGCCUUGUCAAAAAUCAACCAGAAGAUAAAUAUCCAUGAACGAAAAACAAUUAGAUUAAACAAUGUGUAACCCAAUAAUUUAUGUUGCAAAAUCAAGUUAAACAUCAGAUCCAUCAGAAACAACGAGAUGCAUGAUACUAUUCGAUAGCUUAUUAAUAAAAUCACAUUAUUAGGAAGACACUACUCAAUAGCUCGACACUAAUAAUGGAGUUCUUUAAUAAUGGAAUAACCUUACAUGGCAUAGUUAUGCAAGCAUUGUUUAAGCUAAUGUCAAAUAUAGUCAAAGCCUUGACAAUAAUUUCCAAUCAGCAAGUUGGAAAAUUACUUGCUAAAAAAUAUACUUGGAAAAGGAAUCAAAUGUAGUCAAUCCUUUGUAGGGACUAAUUAUCAUCCAAAAAUAAUUUUUCUUAAGUGUUUUAUAAGCCAUCAAAGCUACUUUGAAAAUUUGGGGCCUGACAAUCUAUGUGCAAUAACAAUUGACAUCUCCAACAGAUUAUUUUUUCUUUUUUAAUCCAAAACAAAUCAUUCAUUGAUAUGAAUUUAAUUACAAACCAAGGAUGAGAAACCCUUUCAAAAUAUAAAGGAUGAUUAAAAAUUGAGGAAAAAUCUAACAAAAGUAGCAAGAUAGCUAUACUAAUCAAGGACGAUACAAGAACUUGAAUAUAGCGACAAUGUACACUUGAAGGGGGUAAAACAUACCUUACAGAAGAGUCCAUUUGCAUGGCUCCACAUUUAGCCAAUCAAUCUGCAACCUGAUUCACUAAAUGAGGGGACCAAUAGAAGGAACAACCCAAGCUACUAGCUAGAUCCAGGGUUUUAGGGAGCUACAUGUCAUACAUCCCAAGACAUGUGAUGGGGGAAAGCCUUUCAAAGUAUAUUCAAAAAGGAAAGGAAGGCACAAAUAAACUUUAAGUGGGAUUAGUAUUAGUUAGAAUAAAAUUAGAAUUAGUAUUUAUUGGAAUCAAAUUAGGAAUAGCUAAAUAAUUUAGAGGAGACUUAGAGUCAUAAUAGGUUAUAUUAGAAUCCUAGUAGGCUUUGAAUUUCUUAGAGAAGCCUAUAAAUAAAGCUAAUUGAUGUAAAUCAAAGUAAUGGAUCGAUAAUUAAUAAUAUAACGUUUCCUUGCAUACUUUGCAAUUUUGAAUGGUAAGACUCUUGAUUUUCUUCUAGGUGAGACUCUUAGAAGGCCUUAGUGAGACUCAAAGCUUUCUAGCUCUUCUUCUCCGUAUCUUCUUUCUCAAUGUUUUUUCAUUUUAUUUUUCUUUACCAUAAACUUUAUCCUUUAUUCCUCACCUUAAAUGGUUAAACCCUAAAAAAUAAAAACCGUAGCCCACUUAUUUGAUUGUAGGCAACCAUCAUAGGGUUGUCUUACGUCAAUAUGUCCAACAAUUUAAUCAUCCCUUUUAAUCCAAUUUGAAAAUAGCACCUAUUCUUAACUGAAUUAUACUAAAGCAUAUUUGGGUCACUUUUCUAAAGCACAUGUCUGGUUUCCAAAAGUGGACACAAUUCUAGAAUUAUGCAAUUGGAGUAUGUGCAUCUAGGGCAUCCUGAAGAUAUGUGCAUUCUGAAAAUGAACACGUAUUCCUAUUUCUUCUCCCUCUUCUCCCUCUUCCCUAUAUUUAUUAUUUAUCAUAUCUUUACAUCACCUAGGUACCAUAUCAAAACCAUACAACAAGCUGGCCCUUGAUCAGCAUCCAUCUGACCCUGAUCAAUGGACUUCAGAAACAAUGGCAUGCACCCUACAUUUAACUUCCAAGUCCUCUGGACCAAUUUGACAUAACUAUGGUAGCACACUUUUUGGGUCACCCUUUGUAUUAGUUCAAAGGAACAUUACAACCUGAGCUGUCCAUUGAUGCCAAAAAGCUGUAAUGUGGGUAAUACAUGCUUUGCUCAUAUACAAUAAUUGUUUUUAGCAAUGGAUACAAAAUGGAUGUCUAUCUAAGGCAUCCAAAAGCUAAGAUUUUAUCUACAACCAGAAGAGUACAACCCCUAAAGUUGAAUGGAUACAAAAUGCCCAUGAUUGUCCCUUAAUAAUAACCCCUAACCCACAACCGGCUCCGAUUUCCCAAAAAGCAACCUUCCCAGGAAGUGUUUCUAGGAGGAAUAACAAACUUAUCUCUCAACUUAUCCCCUUCAUCACCCACAUAGUUUUAAAAGGUGCAAGGCGCACCUAAGAUGCAAAGUUUCCUAUAGCUUAAGCACAAGGCGCAACACAAGGUGUGCGUCUAAGUGAAGUGAAAUGUGACCUAGAAUACACAUCAAUUUUAUAAAAUAUGAUUCAAAAUCUAAUCUGAUCAAUAAAAAAUUUAAAAUUCGAAACAUUUAAAAGAAGCAUUCAAUAAAAAAGUAAUGAAAUUAUAUACAUUUCAGUAUAUAAUUAGAAAUUUAAAAAAUAAAAGUGUUUACAAAGGAAGAGUAAAGCUGACAAGGCACACUUUUUCAAUAAGGCACAUAUCUUGGCAAGCAAGCGCUAUAACUUGGGAGUGGUGGCGCCUUGAGCCUAGGCGCACUUAAAGCACGCCUUUUAAAACUAUGAUCACCCAUUAGACAGAUGGUUAGACCAGGCAGCUCUUGCUUUUUUUUUUUGAUAGGUAGACCAAGCAGCUCUUGCUAUUAAAUUUUGAGUGACAACUGCUUGUGUAACUGACACCAUUUGCCCUUUGUACCAAAUUUUAGAUUGACCAUCGGGUGGUACUAUACUCCUUUCCAAUUAUUUUCCCUCCCAUAUUUCAUUUGAGUCAUUCUGGAAUUUAGCAAUAUUCUAUCCCAAUGGAAUUUCUAGGAACAACAUUUUUCUGUCAAAAUUUGAAUACAUCCAAAUUAUCACCUUUUUGAAUUCUAAUUGUAGUCCAAUCAAUUUAACCGCAGUAAUUGAUUUUCCAAGAAAUUUUCUUAUGUGCAUUCAACUACUAGCAAUUCAAGAAAACAUUUUUUUUUUUUUGGAUAGGUAAAUCACAAUUAAAAAAACAAAUUAAACGAAGGGGCAAGCAAGAUUAAAAAACAAUUGUCUUUUAGAUUGCAAAGAAAAUACCAAAGAAGCUUACGGUUACAACUUUAGUUUUCCUGGAGUGGCAUCCAUGCAAUAUAAUGACCAUGCAAUUGUAUAUGCUACUGCUGGUACUUUAGAAAUGGUAUUGCUAACAAAGUCAGACCACUAGGUAAAGAAGACCUGCUUUGAUUUGUUAUAUAGAUAGAUGGAUACAAAGAGAGAGAGACAGAGAGAGAGAGAGCGAGAGAGAGUUUGGCCUUUUCUGAGAGCAGCAAAAAGAGGUUGAGUUAAUUUGUACUUCAGUUAAUUGCAUAUUCAAUAGGGGAUCAUUGGCUCCAACUAUGUGCCCACCCCCUCCAUCUGUAUCCUUAUGUAUGUGUCUGAGAAUUUUAUGGGUCUGUCAUUCUUUCCAAAAUUUUUAUGUGCUGAGGAGUUCUUCUUUCUUGUAACAUGAUCAAUCUUGUUAUUUGUACCAAAGAUAUUCAGGAAUGUCUUUGAGAAUUUUAUGAGUAGAGGAUUCAUCAUCCUCUCCAAAAUUUUUGUCUUCUGGAGUUAAUCUGUAUCUAACAUCACCAAUACUUUUACCCUUCUUUAAAAUUUUUAGGAAAACAAAGUGAAAAUCUGGCUGCUCCGGUUGACACCCUAAAAGCAUAUAAAAAAGGCAUAGUUUUUUAUUCUUCGUGAGAGGUAUAUAAAUGCAUAGCUGCUGAACAAGAAAAAUGAGUUCUAAUUCACUUACUUCAUCACAACUAGUUUGAAGUGCAGCAAGACGAUUUUUUUUUGCUUCAAUUUUAGCAGCAUUUUCAACUGAUUGUUCCUGAAGAGAAAUCAACUCUUCCAACUUUAGCAUAGAGCAUUUUAUUUAUGUCAUCAGCAAAGGAGUCAAGUGCAGGCUUAAGCGUUGAUUUGUAAUCAAUUCCCAAAACCUCAGCAGGCAAAGACCCUUUGGCAUUCAAAACAUACUGCAAACCAUUUCCUAACUUUAACCUGGAAACCAUCCAAGAGAAAAUACUUCAAUCACACAAUAGAUUGUAGUUUAAUAGGUUGAAAGAGUUGCAUGAGGUGGCAUGCUAAUUUUUCAAUUCAAAGAUGCUCCUGAAAAUUAAGUAUUUAGUGUUGUCUCUUCAUGGCUAUUAGUUUACUUCAAAAAGUUAAAUAGAACAUGGUCCCAAGGGAAACAAUAGGCUCCUAAGGCAGGGCUCAGGAGGCAAAGGGUUGGGUGGGAAUGGGAAGGUUCCAAGUUGAAAUUCAUCUACCGAGAGAGAGAGAGAGAGAGAGAGAGAGAGAGGGGAGGGGGGAAGAGGGGAGGCUACCUCAAAAAAAGAGGUUGCCAAGGGCAACUGUAUCACCUAUCUCUUUCUAAAUAAAUUAUUAGAAAACUUGUGAGGAUGGAAGUGUUAAAUGGAGGUUUUUUUUUUUAAAGCCAAAUCGAGAAUGAACAUUAACUAACCUUAAAAACCUUUUUAUUUUUCUUACUUUGACAAAGCUCCAGAAUGGUUAGCAGUUUGAGAGUAACACUUAGCUCAAAAGGUUAAAGAAGAUGAACAAACAUGAAAUCAUAAACCAAUACAAAAGAUGUAAUGCACCCAAAAGAUAAAUGCACGUAAGGCAAAUUACAACUCAGAAACUACCCAUUGUUGGUGUUGAAUCACAACCCAAGUAAACAAAUGAAGUUUGAGUUGGCUACGUGGAAAUAAUGCAUGUGACUCAAGAAGACAUAAGCCAUUGAAUGAUUCAGCAACUACAUUCACCUGGUCUGAAUUUUUGUCGACUGAAAUUUUAUUUUUUUGUUAGGUAAAUUUUUUUGUCCCUAUUGGGAUUUGAACCUGAAACUUCCACAAACCCUCCCAAACCUUUACCUCUUGAGCCAGGCCUCAAGGGCAUGUUCACCGGAAUAAUUUAAGCAGAGAACAGCAGCUGGAUCCUUCUUAGGAAUCAUCAACUAGUCAUGCUGUAACUACAGAGCCAGAUCCUAUGUUCUCACUGAAGUUAUACUAAAAUGUUGUAUAUGUUAAUGUAUUUGCUAAGAACAGGAAAAUAUUUCAUAUCACCCAUAAAUGACAAAAAAAAUCUUGUAAUCUAAUUCAUGGAGGUAGAUAACCUAAUGUUGAUAAGAAUCACAGUAGACUUCAAUGGAAUAGAGAAAAUUAAUUCCAAGCAACACCAAACCUAAGAAAGAACACGAUUCUACCAUGUUCAUUAAUUAUCAGAAAGCAUACUGAAGAUUACUAGAAAGACUUUAGAGUAUGCAACUUAAGAAAUUAAGAAAAUCCUAGUGGAGUGGAUUAUAGAGGUACCAAAGCCAAACAAAGAGGAUAAGGAAAAGAAAACCUCCAGAGAGCCUGGUUGCAUUCAAUUGAAAGAGCUUCAAGCUCCUUAAACUUGUGCCCAAUUGUCGUGUCAACAUCCCAAGACUUCUCCUCCCAACCAUUCCUUGCAACCUCAGCCUCCGUGAUAUCUCUCUCAACUGCCUGCAACUCCCUCUUCAUCCUCUCUGCAUCUCUUGCAUUAAACGUCUGCAACUCAACCCUCUUCUUCAGCUCUUCAUUCUCCUCGCAAAUUCUAUUAUUCUCUUCAACCUUCACCCCCAACUCCUUCUCCUUCUCAUCCAAAAUCUUCUCCACAGAUGCAAUCCUUCCUGAAAAUUCUGCAAUUAUUGCAUGAAAUUUCUUCACAUCCUCCUCCAACACCCCCCUCUCCUUCUCCACAACCUCCUUAGCCGAAGGCCCCGACCUCAAUUCCUCCAACCUCCCCUCCCUCUCUGCCACCUCCUUCUCCAAUGCCUUCACACCUUUCGCCACUGCGUCCCUCUCCCUUUCCAACUUCCCCAUAAACUCCCUACCCACCGCCUCCAUCCCAUCAUCAUCCCCGCGAAUAUAAUGCAAGUAACUAUCCAAUGCAUACACAAAAGUAUUGUCAAAAUACUCCAAAUUCGACACAAGAUGGUCAUUAUACAAUGCGAUUUGAGCCAACCAAUGCAUUACGCCUAAAAGGGAAGGCCAAACAGGCGGGGUUCCGGGGGCUUUGAGAGCGGACUUGUUGAGCUUGAUCGGGCAAUUGAGAUGCUUGAGGAGGAUAGGAAGAUCGUCUUCAAGUUUGGUUGUGGGGAAAUCGNNNNNNNNNNNNNNNNNNNNNNNNNNNNNNNNNNNNNNNNNNNNNNNNNNNNNNNNNNNNNNNNNNNNNNNNNNNNNNNNNNNNNNNNNNNNNNNNNNNNUGAGGGGGAGAGGAGAGGAAUGGGAGGCGAGAAAGGAGUUGAUGGUGCGGAUGGCGGAGAGUUGGUAGGACCGGUUGGUGAGGGCAUCGCCGGCGGAGGAGCGGUUGAUUCCAAGGGAGGAAGGGUGGCUGCUGGCGAAACUAGCGUCAGAGUUGCGGCUGAAUUGGCGGUGGUGGUCGACGGAGGGAGGUGGUGGCGGCGGUGGGUGGAUAGAGUCCUUCGGACGGCGGCGGCCGGUGGCUUUCAUCCCCGGCUGUGAUGGGCGUCUCUCUCUCUUCUGAGUUCUUGUGAAUUCUGAAUCUCUCUUUCCCGCCUAUGGGCUACUGGGAAAAUGACACUGCUUUUUAAAUUUUAUUUUUGAAAACAUUUUUUUUAAAUGAAUUAUUUUUAAAAAUAUUAAGAUAUUAUUUCGUAUUUUAAUAAUAUAAAAUAUUUUCACCGAAAGGAAAAAACAAAUCAAAUUACCGAAAAAACACUGUUGACUGAUCAAGGACGGGCGGGCAGCAAAGUAUUGAUGAACUUCAACAGGUUAGAAGGAUGAAAGGUGCUGAUUGUGUAUUAGUUCAAUUCUUCUUUAAAUCUAUUUUCCAUACAUCUUGAUUAACCUCUAAGUAAUUGCAUACUCAGAUUAUGCAGUCAAAAGCAAUUUCAUAUUGAUCCAGCCUGCAUACGUGAGGUUCAGGAGAUCUCUCUUUCAAGUCAGUUCCAACAUAAGCACAUUGUUCAAUAUUAUGGCACAUUCAAGGUAUUUUUCAAAUUUUUCUUGUUGGAUUGGCUUCUUGUUAUGUACCACUCUUGGAAUCAGGGCUACCGUUUGCAAAUUUGCAUUUUUUGNNNNNNNNNNNNNNNNNNNNNNNNNNNNNNNNNNNNNNNNNNNNNNNNNNNNNNNNNNNNNNNNNNNNNNNNNNNNNNNNNNNNNNNNNNNNNNNNNNNNUUUGGGAGAAUAAUAUCGAUAUAUAUAUAUAUAAAAAACCCUACAUAAUGCUGCAUGCAAGACACAAAUUUAGGAACUUGAUCUGGGUCUUGUAGAGUUGUUGCAUGAGUCCUCUGGCAUCUUUGUACCUCAGAGGACUUAACUCGCUGCUAGUGCUGGGUUGGGCCUAAUUUAUAGGGAAGAAACAUUGGUGGAGGCAGUUGAUAAAGCCCAGAGUUGACGGCUGUUAACACUGGUGAAGAGGACGGGAAAAUUUUUAGCUUUGAAGAGUUACCUCAUUCUCUUAACUACAUCUGUGCUCAAGUGGCAGAUUACUAGUCCUAAUAUUCCUCAGAAUGCUCCUGGCUUUAGGAAGAAGACAUGAAUUAUGGCAUCAAUUUGGGCAUACGUCCCUCCUCUGCAGUAAAUCUAGAGUGCCAACUAAAACUUGGGACUGAUAAUUUGUUGCUCUCACUUGGGAACCCCCAUGCAGUAACAUUAGUUAGGUCUUUUCCUCAUAGAAUAACCAUGAAAGUCUUUGUGCUUAUUAGUAUAAUGGCUACUCUAGUGAAGGCCCAAUGUUCAAGAGGACUUAGAAAGGAUCUUAAUGUUAUGGGAUUCAAAAUCCUUAGAAGGCAUGAAUCUUUGGUGGUAUCUGUCUUAAGUUCAAUUAAAAUUCGAUUGAAACUUAUCUGGAAGAUCCGUAGGUGUUUGAGGUUUUGGACCAAAUCAAUUGCAGCUUAGGGAGAAGCUGAGUAACUGCUCAGGGUAGCUUUUGAUUUGGUGCACUGAGGAGAGUUCAAUGUUAUUGGGUCUUUUAGGGAAAAGCUAUUUUGUCUAGAAUUCCCAGUAGCGUGAAUGACACUGAUGAGCUAAUCAAAAGUUGUGGCUUAGUUGAUUCAUCUCUUAGAGUGAGGCCUUUCCAUGGUCAAACAAGCAAGAAACCCCAGUUUGAAGAGGUUUGGUAGGUUCUUGAUCUCAACAGAGUGCAACAUCAUUCAAGAAUCUUACCUAGGCUAGUAUUUGAUUAUGGUUCCAUGAUAUGGAGGUUAACUAAUUAGAUGAUUCUCACCCUCUUUUCUUUUGAAAAUAUGUGGUUGCUGCACCCAAAAUUUGGUGAUAUUAUUAUGGAUGUUGCAUGAGAUUCAGGUCUCAGUAUGGGAAUGAUAGAUUUAUUGUGUAGCCUUAAGUCAAUCAAAGCUUUCUUUGAAAUAUUGAAGAAAGAAACUUUUGAUAUUUCUGGCAAGAGGAACACUGUGAUAAUCACACUUGAAGGAAUGGGUCAUAUGAUGGAAGAACUUUGAUAUCUUAGAAUGAAAAGGAAAAUAAGGUUGGAGGAAUUAUGGGAGGGAAGAGCUAGAGACAAGAGUCUAGGUUGAAAUGGGUCAGGGAGGGUAAUUGCUACUCAAAAUUGUUUCACUGGGUGGAUAAAUUAUGGCAGGUAGAAGAAGCUAGAAAGGAAUGCCUGGGUAUUUGAAGAUAGGAAGAGUUAGUCUACUGAAUUUCAGGAGAAUUACUAUGGAUAUUAGUUACCAAGAAUUUAUCAGAAUUCCCUUCAACAUCAGUUACGUUCCCAAUUGGAAUAGUAGUGAGCUGCUUUGACAGUUGGUGUUUUGAAGCUUAAUUUUGCUGAUGUUCCUUGGAAAUUGGGAUUGGAUGGCUAUUGGCAAUCUAAUAUAGGAUCACAGGCAAGUUUAUUCAAGGUUCUCAAAGAAAGCUGGUUUUGGGCUGACUAUUGAAGCAAAAAUUUCUUGCUCUAAUGGUGGAGGUGGAUUAACUAAUAGUUUUAUCUUGGGUGGCUAGUAGUCGGAGAGUGUUGUGCGAGAUACAAUCAUUGGGUGCUGAGGAUCAUGCAAUUUGAUAGUUGUGUUCUCUUUUCCCUGGAAGCCUAGAUCCUUGAAUUAGAAAGGCUAUUAGUUGGCCAAAAAUGGAUCCUGUUCUUGGUUGGUUUAACUGGGGAUAUCAUGCCCCGUGUUUUGGUGGUUAAUUUCCUUAAGGUUGGGCAGCGAAAGGCUCUCUGGUGUGCGGACUUCUGUAUUUGUCUUUUUAUAAGCCUGUGCAAUUUUUUUGAUGGAUUUGUUUUGCUUGUUCCUUUUUACAAAUUCUUUGUAUAUUUUCUUAAUUUCUUCAUAACUAAAAAUAAACAGUACUAAAGCUCUGUUUAGAUUGACUUUUUGGAAGCAAAAAGAUCCUUUUUAAGUCUAAUAAGAUCUUCAAUAUGUGUUUUUGGCUUCACUGAAGUACUUCUAACCUUAAAAGGAGUUCAACACAUACGUAUGGGCAAGCUGUUUUUCAGUUUAUGUGGGAAAUUGUUUUAUGUUUAGUGAAAUCACACCAAUGCCAAGAUUGCCCCUUUAAAAUAAUGGUUUUAGCUUUAGCUUCAGUUCCUCACCAAAGUUAAAGGCAAAAUAAUAUCCUCAAACAAGACCUAAAUCUGAGGCCACAGCAGCACUGUUGCAAUCUUCAUGAGGUUGACUGAGUACAUGUCUCUGUUAGAGAGUUAAUAGGGAUUCUGAGUCUAUGUUGAGUAACCAAGGUUUUGCUUUUAGAGUUGUUAUUAUUUUCAAUCAUAUUUUUGGAUGUUAAUCACAAAAUUUUAUUUCAGAGGCUAUAGAAGGAUUGCCCUGACUGGAUGACUCUUAAAGUGGCAUGUUCUGUUUUAGCUGCUUGAUGAGAACUAAACCUUAGACUAAAAUUCAUGAGGGGGUCUCUUGAGCUUCCCAUCUGUUAUUUUUCAAGUUCACUUUUUCCUCUAAAGAACCUUUUUUUAAUCUCUCAUCUACUUAUCGUAUCAGCUAUUUUAUCAUGGUAUUUGGCCUUAUUGUUGUUUCAAGCUAUGUUCUUGCCUUGUAGGUCUGCUUCUGAAUGCAUGUUUCUAAACAUUCAUGCAUCAUAUGCAUCUUUUAUUUCCCUCGCAGGCUGUCUAAUUGACAGUCUAAAUACUCAGUAGUUACAUUUUUCUGUUCUUUGGGGUGAAUUAGUAUUUUUCAUGUUUUUGUUGUUGUCUGUUCCUUUAUGAUCUGGUUCUGGUACUGCAUCAAGAGGAUUGGAGUUCAUGUCAUAUUUUUUUUCUUGCUUACUCACAAAAUGUCUUGCCAUUCCAGGACAAGACCAAACUUUAUAUCUUUCUUGAGCUUGCAACUGGAGGUUCACUUUUAAAUCUCUAUCAAAAGCAUAAACUGUCAGACUCCCAAGCCUCUAAAUACACAAGGCAGAUUGUGAAAGGUUUGAAAUAUCUACAUGAGCAUAAUGUAGUUCACAGGUGAUUCAAAUGAUCUUACUACUACAUUUUUUGGUUAUAUUGCUUGUGCUUUAUUUGUUUAUACCUUGCUCUAUCCACAUGCCAUUACUGCUUGAAACAUGUGCUGAUUAUUUCAAUUAUCUGCCUUUGCUACCAAGAGAAUUGCAUAUGCAUAAACUAAAUGGCCUUCUUACUCAGGGAAAAUUGGUUCACUCUGUUGAGAAAGUUCUUCAGUUUUUAUUUUAUUAUUUUAUUUUUGUUUUUAUCUUCUUGAAACCUUCAAUAUUAUUUGGAUUGCACCGGUUAGCCCACUUACUGAAUUCUGUGAUUACAGACUGCUUGGUGAAGUGAAAAGUUCAACACUCCCACCUGCCCUCUUCCAGGAAAAGAAAAAUGGAAAAACCAAAAACAAAAAGAAGAGUCAGGAGCAUGGAUGUUAAACAUGGUCAUUGUCUGAUAACUAAGAUGAAACUACCCAAAGCCUUGGUAUAGAUAUAGAUAUCCCCAAUUUUCUGUGUACCUUACAUUGUGUCUUCACAUGUGGGGUUUACGUUGUUUGUUUUGAGAUUAUUGUGUAUCUUAAUAGUUUAAUCCUUUCAUAAAACUCCAUGUAAGUUAUGAUAUGAGGUGUGGUCCAUUUCCAUUUGACUUCAUGCAAUUAGCUGUAUUAUAUAUCACUUUGUAUAUUCUGCCUCAGUGCUUGAUCUUGCUAUAAUAUAAUUUUUUUUUUCUUUUUUCUUUUUUCUUUUUUCUUUUUUAAUUUGUAAGUCAAAAUUUUCUUUAAAAGCAACAUAUAAGAAAACAUACAUAAUAAUGAUUCAACUUUCUCUCUCUCUCUGAUUCACUUGAUUUGAGUGUCUCUUCAGGAGAGUUUUUGGGUCAUGAUUACAGAAUGGAAACCUGAAAAUUGAAAGAAUCCUAAUGCAAAAGCCAUUUACAAUGCUACAAACUCUCUCUCUCUCUCUCUCUCUCUCUCUCUCUCUCAUAUGAUUGAGAUGGUAAAUGGCAUAACUAGCAAGGCUAGAACCAUGGAGGGAUGUGAUCAUGGGACUCAGAAGUACCACCAGUAGGUCAUAAGGGAAAUUAGGCUUAUUGAUUUGGUCAUGCGCAACAAAGGCCAAUAAUUGCAUUGUUAAGAAGAGAUGGGUGGACAUUGGGAAUCAAUUGAGGUUACUUCAGGAAAUUAGACAUUUGGAAUGACAGUUGAAGCCACAAUGUUGUACAUUUACUUACACAUAAAUUGUUUCUGUUGUAAGACUAAUAGGUUCUGUAUCAUCUUCGAGGGAUAUCUGGUGGAUGUAAAUGGAACCGUGAAACUUGUGGAUUUUGGAUUGGCAAAGGUUAGUUUCUAUUUACUAGAGUUAUCUCUCUAUUGUUUCAAAAUGCUAGACUUCUAAAUAUUAUAUUUCUGGUUGUAUAUCUUUUCAGUUUUGCAAAUUGAACGACAUAAAAUCUUUUAAAGGGACUGCAUUCCGGAUGGCCCCUGAGGUAUCUUCCUCUCUUUCAUUCCUUCAUUUCUUAAACAAAUCAUGUUUGGUUUUGAAUUGAGAACUAUAUUUUAUGGAACUGUACUCGGUAGAAUCUUCUUAUACCAUGAAGAAGCAUGCAUGCUUAAAAUGUAGGCUCUGAAACCCUUGCCUUUUAGCAGGUGGUUGCGUCAGAAAAGGAAAUGACAUGAUUGAAUUGGGUUAUUGAAUAGCUCGAUUAUUGGACUGGAGCUAUCCCAACUAACAAAUUGAUAAGUUGUUGUUUUCCCAAAUUGUUGCUCUUUCUAAGAUUUUAUCCUACAAGGCAUUUAGUCCAUGCCAUGUCUUAUUACCAAUGCAUUUUGAUUUAGCAUCAGUCAUUAGUAUCUUUCUGUACAACUGCCAAUAUACUGACACUAAUAGAUGCAUGGAACCACUGAGUGCUCAAUUGAUGAGGAUUUUCCAUUCAAAUCUGAGAAUUUAGGCAUCAAGCUACCUUUUUCCAUUAACUCUCUCUACUUCUAAGGGUGGUUAAACCCUUGCUUCAUUAUUUGGUAACAAAAAUUAGUACAUCACCAGAAGAUUGGUAGGGGGAUCCUACAGUUAGGGAUGCAAUGAAGUGGAUUGGAACUGAGUGACCCAUCCUUCUUCCUGAGAACCCGAUUUAGUACAUUUCAUUCCAAAGCUGCUCCAUUGGGACAAAUUCUUUAACUUUCUGGACUGCAGGUUUGUGAAGAGAUGUUAAAGCCCUGGCUAAAAAUGAAAUAGUGGUGUCUGUUUUAUAAAACAAAAUAUGGUCACCAGCAAUCUACAUUUUAGCUCGAUAUUGCCCUUCUGAAAUAAAUUUCUGACUCUUUGCCCCUGAGAAUGAAUUGUGGUUUUGCAACCGCCCAGAUCUGUGGAUUUGAAUCAGUUUUUACUUUGAAAUCAUGCUCAAACACCCUCGUCUUACAACUGUGUUUAUUUAUAAAUCCUGCACCAGUUGGGAGUAGAACUCUUAAAUCCCUGUUCUAAAUCAUGUCCAAACAUGUUAUAAGUCUUUGUGUUAACCAUAUUUGAAAGUUUUUUACCAAGGACAUUUGUCAUUAUAUUAUGUGGCACUGGCACAGGAUGCUCCAAGCAUUAUGGUUUCUUAUAAGUGUUGAUUUUACAAAUAAUUUGUGCCACUGUAGGUCAUUAAUGAGGACAAACAAGAGAACGAUGGUUAUGGGUUUGCAGCUGAUAUAUGGAGCCUCGGGUGCACUGUAUUAGAGAUGUUAACUCGGCAACAUCCAUAUCCCAAAUUGGAGCCGGUAUGUAUAAGCUUCAAUGGAAACAAAUAAUCAUUCCAACAUUACAUUCUUAUAAUGCAUCCAAACAUAAGAAUUAGAAUCACCAAAUCUAUUUCUAUUCAAGAAGAUAUAGGAAUGAAAACAAAGUUUUUAUUCUUAUUCCUCAUUCCCAUAUACUAAACAUGGCUUGAGGGCAAUGGACUGAUUUCAAUGGUAUGUAUACUUGUCUUAAAUAUUUGGUAUUAGCAACUUGCCCUAUGGUAAAAGUGUGGUUUGGGUUGAGAAUGGUAUAAAGAUGAGCCUAGGGUUGUCAAUGGAGCCUGCAAAUAGCUGUUGGAUUUGAAGGUUGAAUAGGAAUUUGCACAAGAAGGUUUUGGGAGGUGAGAAAAUGAAAAUGGAUGUUGGUGGAACUGAGAGUAUGAAUGUCUUAUGUACUAAAUUUAGUAACACUCUUUCAAAAUAUACAAUAUAAAAUUAAGAAAAUAAAAUUUAAUUCAAUAUCUGUAAAACAGUAUUGGGAGACCGCAUAUUGGACGUUGUUUUCAUAAUCUUGUGUUUGUCCUAAGUCUUAACUCUUAAUAGGAAAAAACAUGUUUUUGAUGGAGUAUAUUCCCUGCAAUGAGGUGUACUUGUCCUUAACCUCCUUUCAAAGUCGAAUCAAAAAACAAUGUUAGGAAUCAAAAUCGAAUCAAAAAGAGGGAAGUGAGGGUUUAGAUAUUAUCUUGUCCGAGACCAUCCAACCUUGAUUAUAUAUAAAAUUAAUUUUAAAAAAUAAUUUUAUUGAUUUUUUUCUAUUAUCAUUUUUAACACAUAAAAUAUUAAAAAAUUAUUUUUUAAAUAAAAUAAGUUAUAGAAACUAUAAUAUUUUACUUAUUUAUAAAAUAUAUUUAUUUUUAAUAUAAUUUAAAAAUUCUAAAAUUAUUAAUUUUUUUUAAAUAAAGAAAAUACAAUGAGUAUGGUGGCCAUGAAAAUUACUUUGUAUAAAUGUGAUAGGAUUGAUAUGGGUAACUCAUCGUCAACCCAACUAAUCAUCAUCCUUACAAUUAAAAUUUUACGUAAAGGAAGGGUACAAUUGGUAUUUUUAUUUAUUAUAAAGAAAGUAACUGAAAUGGCUUUUGAAACCCGAUGAUAUCCAAUUGGAGAUAAAUUCCCAACUUCAAAAUUAGUAAAGUUAAUUUUUUUUUCUUGAACAAAUUUAGGAACUUUAUGAAUGUCACGUUGUUGCAAGUGUUUAUACUAUAAAAAUAUUCUUAAAUAAUUUUAUUGGUAAACAUUUUUAGGAAUAAUUAAAUUAUUUUUAAUAAAAAAUCUUGAAGUAAUAACAUAAUACAUCGAAUAUUAAUUUUUUAAAUAUAUUUAUGUAAAUUAUAUAUACUUAUUUCCAUCCAUUGAAGAAAUUCCAAUGUUAGUGGAUGGGUGAAAAAAAUAUGAACAAUAAAAAAAGAAAAAAAGUUGAUAAUAACAAUUGCAUAACUAAAAAAGUAUUUGCAAUUUAGAAUCAAUCAUUUGAUGGUUAAUUUUUGAAAGAUAUUAGAAAGAUUAGUUUUGAAGAUUAUUGUGACUUAUUUUUCAAUUAUAUUUGUAGGUAUUCUACUUCGUAGUUUCCUUUUAAAAAAUGAUAAUAAUAAUAAUAAUUUUCUCUUAUUUUAAUAUCUUUGGUACAAAACAAUAAUUUGAUUUUUCUCUUAUUUUUAUUUCUUUGAUACAAAACAAUAUUAUAGUUUAUAUUUGGACCACCAAAAUGCAAUAUGAUUUAGAAAAAGGUAAAAAGUUUUUUUUAUAAAUUAAAUUUGUAUUAUAUUUAUCAACAUUGUAAGUUCUAAAUUUGUUAUACUUCAAAUAUUUUUCUUAAAAAUGUAAUAUAUUGAUCAUAAGAAAUCAAGAUUAAAAAACCUGAGAAAUCAAAUAUUUUUCUUAAAUAUUUGUUGGUGACAAAAAAAAACAAAAGAAAUUAAAAAUUAAUAAUAGAAAAAUGUGUUUUGUAUUAUUUUAUAUGAAAUAACUACCAUUCAUUAGCGCUAGUUCCAUUAAAUGCUUUAUUAUCACACACUUAAAAGAUGUUUAAAAUCACAUUAUUAAAAUAUAUAUUUUAUAUUAAUUUGAGACUAAAAUCCAUCUUUAUUUCAAGUACCUACAAACUAGGAUCCAUUUUUUUAAAAAUAAUUUUUAUUUAUUUAUUUUUAUUUUCUCUUUUAAAGAAAAUGAUGUAAACAAAACUAAAUGUUCAUAUCUUGAGGUUAUGUUUGAUAUGUGGGAAUGAAGAGUGAUAAUAGAUAUCUUAUUCAUUUUCACAUUUAUUUUUAUAUUUAGAUAACUCAAGUUACUUAUAAAUGAUAUUUCAAUUUAUCCUAUGAGGUAUUUUGAUUCUAUAAAACAAUUUGUUUUUAAAGAUAUUUUUCAAAAAUUUAAAAAUCUAAACCUUUUACUGAUAAGUUGUUUUUAAAAAUAUUUUAUUUUGAUUUUAUAAGAAACGAAUUGUAAAUUCAAGUUAUAUAAUAUAAACUAAAUUUAAUUUGUGCCUUAUUAAAAAUAAAAAAUAAUUUGUAUUUAUAAAUAAAUUAAAAAUAAAUAUUUUAAAUAAAAUAUUAAUAGUAAUAUUAUAAUAAAAUCAUAAAUUAUAUUUUUUUAAAUAUUAUAAAAAUAUGAUAACGUAAUUGAUUUAUUUUGUUAAUAAUAAUAAUAAUAAUAAUAAUAAUAAUAAUUCAAAAUUAAUAAUUGCUAAUACUAAUUUAUUUUAAAUGAAUUUAAAAUUAAAUAAAGUUUAAUUUUUUAAGUAUAAAUGAGUCAAAUUUUUCAUUACAUACAUACAUUUAAUACUCAAACAUGGUAUUCUUAAAUUUUUUAUUUAAUUUAUAAUUAAUAAAUCAGUUUUUUGAAUUUCAAAUUAUUAUUAAAAAUUAAAAUAUUUAUUAAAAAAUUCAAAAUAUUAAUUAUUUCCAUUAUUUUUUAUAGUCCUUAUAUAUAUUUUUUGAGUUUCAAAUUUUCUUUUAAAAAAUUAUUAAACUUAUUAAUAAAUUUAAUACAAAGUCUUCCUUAAUUUGAAUUUCUAGUAAAAAAAAAUGGUUUUCUAUUUUGCUUUGUUUAUAGAGCACGAUAAUCAAAUAGUGGUACAAUUUUUUUUAAAAACAAAUUUGUUUGUAAAUCAUAUGUGCAAAUAGUUUUUAUUAUUUAGCAAAAACGUUAUAGACCCUCUAUUUUGGCCCUAACACACACACACACACACACACACACACACACAUAUAUAUCUAUAUAUAUAUAUAUAUAUAUAUAUAUAUAUAUAUAUAUAUAUAUAUAUAUAUAUAUAUAUAUAUAUAUAUAUAUAUAUAUAUUUAUUAUUUUUUCUCUCACCCCACUAUUUUUUUAGCAUGUAUUUAGAUCCAUUUUUGCUCAGUUUUUCAUCAUCCCGGUCCAUGUUUCACAUUAUUGAUUUUUGAGCUAUAUUUUGGAGACCAUUUAAAGGGUUAUUUCAGGUCCUAGCAUGAUUACCGGACGCCCAUUAGGAUUAGUUUUUUUUUAGGGUUUGCUUUUGGAAUUUUAGAGCCUUUGAGUAGUUGGGUUGGGAUGAGGACACGUGUACUCAUUCUAGCCUUCCUUUGUCUCUUUUAAAGGCCUUUUUGGCCUUUAGUGAAGGGUUUUUUUUUUUUUUUUUUUCAGUCUUUUGGCUCAAGUUUUCUUGGAGGGGGUUUGCUAGCCACCUUUUAAGGGUAGUGGAGAUGCUCUCUAUAGCUAAGGAAAAGGGACAGAGAAUUGAUUUUUAUAGCGAGAAUGAGACAGAGAGCAAGGGGUUUAGGGGAGUUUUUGGGAAAAGUAGCAGACGAAGAAAAGUUGUGGGCGAGGCAUUGUGGUGGUGAGUGGGCUGCAGAGUAAGACGUUGCAGGGGGGGCACCAUCUAUUAUGAUGGGGAGUCUUAGAAAAGAGGGACAUGAGCUACAGGCCAUCUCGGGGAGGCAUUAUUCUUCUUUAUUCUUGGUGAGAGUAAGAGAGGAGACGUUAGAGAGAGUAAAAUAUCUUUCUUUUGGUGGUUUUUGGUUUUGAGUAGAGGAGAAGAAUAGCAUUAAGAGAAGGGAAGCAGAUGGGACCCUUCCAGGAAUGGAUAUUUUGAGUUCCCUAUUCAUCUUCAUUUAUCAUAAUUGUUAGGGUGAAUUCACAAUAUUUCAACACACACCAGGAUUUUUCUACCAUUUCUUUGUGUAAAAUUAAAUAGGUAAUAGCAACUAGCAGUAAUAAAUAAAUAAACUUAUGCAAUAGAAAAAUAAACCAGACACCAAAAUUUUUAUAUGGAAAACCCCUCAAUGCGAAGGAAAAAACCAUGGGACCUAGUCUAGUUCAAACUCCACUAUCAACAAUAUUGGGUUACACCUGUCUUCUCUAGAAUAAUCUCUAGAGGCUACUAAAUACAUCAAGAGCAUAUAUAGCCUUGGAUUAUAUAAUCUUUCUUGGUAAAAAAACAAGGAAAAAUGGAGAAAGAACACCCAAAAACACGUUGUUACUGUUCAUGGGCAAUAACACCAGUUCCCGAGCUCAAAAUCUGAUCUCCACCUUUUAGAUUGUAGCUACUCGAGUUUUGAACCUCUCCUCCAAAUUUCAACUCGAUCGAACCAUAGAUGAAGCGGGAUUGGCUCUUUGAUGAAAUCUGGGCAAUGAGAUGUGUUUUUUUUUUUCUUUCUCUCUUCUCUCUGUUUUUUCCUUUUUUUUUUUCUUUUUUUUUUUUAAUCUCUUCUAUUUUUGUUUAUUUAUUUAUUUUAUUGUAACUGACUUAGGCCCCAAGAAUAUGGGGCUCACUCCCUCACAUACGAAGGAGCCUAACAAAUCUCCAAUUGGAUUCUAAUUGAUUAAUUAACCUAAUAGGGUGUACUAAUUAAUCAAUUAGCUUAAUCCAAAGACCUUGUUCACUUACCCCUGUGCAACCUUAUGUUAUUACCAAAAUGCCCUUAUACAUAAAGUGAACCUAAAACCAAUCUGAUCCUCAUAACCUAUGCCAACAAGGUAUAUGAGCUCAAACCGGGGACCAUAACUCCAGUAUUUUAUGUAAAUAACAACAAGACACUGUAUACUCGGGUCCGUGACUUGUUAUCCAUUGUGUUCAGUCUCCCUAUGAACUAAUGUCCAUAGUUUAACAAGGUAAAAAUUGUCAAUAUUUUAAGACUACCUUUAUUAUCAUUGAGUUAUAGAUCCUUCUAUUAUGUGUUCAACUAAAAUGUCUUAGCUCUCAAAGAGCCUAUGUCAAGUUCCACUUAAGGAACUACUAUAACCAUAGUUUCCAUUAACACACCUCCUUAGAACCACCCAAGGGGACACAUUGUCUCCAUCCUAUGAGAUAUCAUGGUGCUUCUAUUAAGAAUACCUAUUGCUACCAACUUCCAUCAAUAGUGACCCAAUCCAUAAGGAAUAUAUGAUCAACUUACAAUCUCACCCAUAGGUCAAAACCAUUGCUAACUUUGGCUUAAGCUUCAAUAUUCUCUUAAGGUUGAGAGACAACACAAUGAAGUAGCUUGGUAAGGUCACGAAUACUUGAUAGCCUUAAGUCAUGACUCACCAUAAGUCCUGUCCAAUAUGUAACCAUACACACCAGUGUACUCACCAUGGAAAACUCAUCUCGAUAUUCAAGACCAGUUAUCCCUCCAAUUAGAAGGUGGUGGUGCACUAUAGCCUCUAAUAAGUUGUCUAAACCCACGAACCGACUUUGAACAAGUCAUCUAUUUGCAAGGAACCCAUGACUUGGAUUUUCCCUAUAACUCAUAAAUGCACUCAUGUCACACACACUACAAAAGAUGUAAACAAGAAUACUCAUAAAGUGUAAUGCAUGGAAUACAGAUAGAUAAAAGUGAAAUUGGAAUACCAUUAAAUAAAUAAGGAAUUCCAAAUCUAUUACAUCAUGUCAUGCUUUUAAGAGUUCCAUCCUAACACAACCUUCACAUUUCAUGGACAGUACAAAGCGAGAAUUUGUUUAGGUUGAUAACAAUUUUCAGAGUGCCUUGUCUUUGAGUUUAAAACCUUUUCCUAUAUUCAAUGAUUCUAAUGUGAGCUCUAGCUUCCUUGGUCUUUAGUAGUCAGGCAUGCAAUUUUCAUUGGAAAGUAAGUGGAAGAGGUGUCUUGCAAAGUCUAGUAAUGUGUACAUUCAAGCUGAGAAGGCAUGAGGUACUCCCUCGAUGACUAUUAGGUUGUAAAAAAACAGUACUUGGCUUGUCCAUGUGAUUUGCACUCUUGAGAGAUAUGUGAUUGGAUUAUCCUAGAGCCCAAUGGAAGAAAAUGGGAAAUCAUGUUGCCAUGAGCAACUGCAGAGGGAAUGAAAGUGAGAGAUUAUGCUUAGUGUGGUCCUGAUCCCACAUCUAUUGUAGUUAUGACAGAGGAUGGCAUUACAACUACUGGUCAUAUUAUUAUAGGAGCAUUGCCAAUCGUUGUACAUAUGACUAGGAAAUCCAACCUGUGACACAAUAAGUUCAAUUGUGGUUGGAAAUUUAUAUAGAAUAGUAGCUAUAUUUCUCAUCCAAGGAGUUGUUCCAUUUGCGAUGAUGAUAAAUGGGAAGUUAUAUGUGAGUGCCCUCUGCCUAUAGAAAAUGAUAAUAAGAAAGACUAUCCAUGUUCUUUUUUGUCCAUUCCAUCAAAUUUGACAUGUGAUUUCAAACACAAAAAGAUCUUCCAAUAAAUGGAAUGAAGAAUAGUUACCUGCUAUGCUCAUUUGGGAAAAAGACUCCAAAUUUGGAAUUAGAAAUGAAAAGUUGCAAUGGUUUCUUGGUGCUGUGAAAGCACAUCCUAAUGAGUUGAAGCUUGUGGGGGUCAUUACCAUUUGGGGUCUGCCAUUACUAAGGUGGGCAUUUUCAGGGAUGUUGUAGUUCUAUUUGGGUUAUGUCCACAUGGUUGAAUUUGAAAGCCAUAGAGUUGGGGCUUGAUCUUCUUGGAUCACAAGCUCCUGAAAGAGAUUCAAACCUUUUUUUUCCAAAAUCAAGAAAAUUUAUUAAGAAGCAGUUUGGAAUGUACUUUUUUCCUUCUUUGCCAAAUGGCAGUAAACUAUUUAAUAAAAAUUAAUUAAAUUUUUAUAUUAAAAACUUUAGUUAAAAUUAAUUAGAAAAUGUGGUAAGAUAAAAUGAAGUAAAACGAACUUUAAAGGAUCUUUUAGACAUUUUAUUUAAUUCUUUUAACUAUGACAUCAUUAAUCAACCAUGAAAAUCUUUCAAGAUUUGAUAACAUCAUUCAAGCGAUUGUUAUGCUCCAUUAUGGUCAGGUGGUGUUAAUGUAAUUUAAAAAAUUUAAGGGUGGUUAAGUGCAAUUGUCAAAUAGCUGAGGGGGUUAUGCUAGGGUACCGAAAAUCACUUUUCAGUACCAUACCCACUUUUUCUGGCUAAUAGGAUUAAGACAUAUGGCAUGCAAAAUAAAAAAAUUUAAAGAAAACCAAUUCUUCAGGUUACCCAAUCGGUUGCCAUGGGAAUUAAUCCCAUGCAACACACAUUUUUAUACUUAUUACAAUAACCAAUUAUAUUUCAAUGACCAAUUAUAAAAUCAUGUUUAAUGUAAUUAUUUCGUUUGGAGAAUUUCUUUUAUGAAACAGAAAAAUAAAGAAAAUUUUGGAAAAAGAUAAACAAUAUAAUUUGGUAAUAUAAUUUAUAAAUUAAGGAAAAGUAAAUUUAAUUUAUUUUAACAUUAAAUAAUUUGUUGAUAAAAUUUGAUGAAUAUUUGAAGUGUGAAAAACAAUAUAAUUGGUUUAUGAAGUGAAAAAAUGGGAAGAAAUAGAAAGAAAUUUUAUAAAAUAUAUAUUAACUUAAAAUUUAAUUAGUUGUGUACUAAUUAUUAAUUGAGAAUAUAUGACUAAAUUAUUUCUUAGCGUUUAAAUUGAAUUACACAACAAAAUUGGUUGAAAUAUUGAAAAUAUGAAAAAGGUAUAAUUACUAACAAUAUGGAAAUCCAAACCCCUCGCCGAUUUUUUUUGUAAAUUUCCAUUCUGAAUUUUUCAAGGAUCCAUUUAACACCCUCAAAAUGGACUGAACUUAUCUAAACAAAAUCUAAGUCAUAUGAAAUCCCAAUUAAAAAAAAUAAAUCAAAGAAAUGGAUAGUAGGGAGGGCACGAAGAAUGUGAGAUUCCCUCACUAAUUUGUUAGUAUUUACUGAUUUUGAUUUUUUCGAACAUCAUUUAAAUACCUACUAAGUGUAAUGAAAAAAAUUCAAAAAAUGUAUAAGCCAUACGAAGUCCCCAAACAUAUUUAACAUAUCAUAUAAUCGGAGAAUAGAGAGGGCUCCUCAUAUUCCUCAUACCCUUGCUAAUUUUUUAGUAUUUUUGGAUUUUUAUUCUUUCGAAAAUCAUUAGACUACUUCCUAAGUGUAAUGAACCUAUUUAAACAACAUCCAAGCCAUAUGAAGUCGCCAAAAUUUUUAAAAAGUUCAAAGAAGUGAAGAAAUGGGAGGGUACGAAGAAUGUAAGGACUCAUCACAUUCUUCGUACCCUUCCUAAUUUUUUAGCAUUUUUGGAUUUGGAUUUUUUCGAAAAUCAUUUGAAAACCUCCUAAGUGUAAUGAACCUAUUUAAAUUAUAUCUAAACCAUAUGAAGUACCCAAAAUUUUUAAAAAAUUCAAAGAAGUGUAGAAAUGGAAGAGUACGAAGAAUGUGAGGAUUCCUCACAUUCUUCGUGCCCUUCCUAAUUUUUCAGUAUUUAUGGAUUUGGAUUUUUUUGGAGAUCAUUUCACCAUCUUCUAAGUGUAAUGAACCUAUUUAAACAAUAUCCAAGCCAUAUGAAGUCCCUAAAAUUUUUAAAAAGUUCAAAGAAGUGAAUAACUGAGAGAGUACGAAGAAUGUGAGGAUUCCUCACAUUCUUCGUACCCUUCCUAAUUUUUUAGUAUUUUUUUAUUUGGAUUUUUUCGAAGAUUAUUUGACCACCUUCUAAGUGUAAUGAACCUAUGUAAAUGAUAUCCAAGCCAUAUAAAGUCCCUAAAAUUUUUAAAAAGUUCAAAGAAGGGAAAAAAUGGGUGGGUACGAAGAAUGUGAGGAAUCCUCACACUCUUCCCACCCUUCCUAAUUUUUUAGUAUUUUUGGACUUGGAUUUUUUUAGAGAUCAUUUGACCACCUCGUAAGUGUAAUGAACCUAUUUAAACAAUAUUCGAGACAUAUGAAGCCCAAAAAAUUUUAAAACGUUCAAAGAAGUGAAGAAAUGGGAGGAUACGAAGAAUGUGAGGAUUCCUCACAUUCUUCGUACCCUUCCUAAUUUUUUAGUAUUUUUGGAUUUAGAUUUUUUCGAAGAUCAUUUGACAACUUCAUAAGUGUAAUGAACCUAUUUAAACAAUAUCCAAGCCAUAUGAUGUCCCCAAAAUUUUAAAAAAGUUCAAAGAAGUGAAGAAAUGGGAGGGUACGAAGAAUGUGAGGAAUCCUCACAUUCUUCGUACACUUCCUAAGUUUUUAGUAUUUUGGGAUUUGAGUUUUUUUGGAGAUCAUUUGACCACCUCCUAAGUGUAAUGAACCUAUUUAAACAAUAUCCAAGCCAUAUGAAGUCCCUAAUUUUUUUAAAAGUUCAAAAAAGUGAAGAAAUGAGAGAGUACGAAGAAUGUGAGGAUUCCUCACAUUCUUUGUACCCUUCCUAAUUUUUAGUAUUUUGGGAUUUGGAUUUUUUCGGAGAUUAUUUGACCACCUCCUAAGUGUAAUGAACCUAUUUAAACAAUAUCCAAGCCAUAUGAAGUCCCCAAAAUUUUUAAAAAGUUCAAAGAAGUGAAGAAAUGGGUGGGUACGAAGAAUGUGAGGAUUCCUGACAUUCUUCGUACCCUUCCCAUUUUUUUAGUAUUUUUUUGGAUAUCAGUUGACCACCUCCUAAGUGUAAUGAACCUAGUUAGACAACAUCCAAGCCAUAUGAUGUCCCUAAUUUUUUUAAAAAAAGUUUAAAGAAGUUAAGAAAUGGGAGGGUACAAAGAAUGUGAGGAUUCCUCACAUUCUUCGUUUCCUAAUUUUUUUAGUAUUUUUUUAUUUGGAUUUUUUUGAAGAUCAUUUAACCACCUCCUAAGUUUAAUGAACCUAUUUAAACAAUAUCCAAGUCAUAUGAGGUCCUCAAAAUUUUUAUAAAGUUCAAAGAAGUGAAGAAAUGGGUGGGUAUGAAGAAUGUGAGGAAUCCUCACAUUCUUCGUACCCUUCCUAACUUUUUGAAAUUUUUGGAUUUGGUUUUUUUUCAGAGAUCAUUUGACCACCUUCUAUGUGUAAUGAACCUAUUUAAAAAAUAUCCAAGCCAUAUGAAGUCCCUAAAGUUUUUAAAAAGUUCAAAGAAGUGAAGAAAUUGGAGGGUACGAAGAAUGUGAGGAUUCUUCACAUUCUUCGUACUUUUCCUAAUUUUUUAGUAUUUUUGGAUUUGGAUUUGUGGAUCCUACAUAUAAUCUUUACUUGGGACAUUUUAUAUUUCUCGUAGUGUAUAAUUGGAUUUUCAAAAUAGGGUAGCUAGGAAAAAUAAUAAAAGAAAAAUAAAACAGUUAAAAUCAUUAGAAAUAAUUUGGGCCCAUUGAAAAGAAAUGUGACUUAUGAAAAGCUUGAUAUGAAUGUUUAAUAUCGUCUACAACUUAUCCAAUGGAUAAAUUUGCAAAGAAGGUCCAACCACUUGCCCAUAUAGUCGUCUUCAUCAUCAUGGGCAUGAACAACAUUAUCAUCAAUAUUCUUUGUUAUUGACCUGAUUGGAGUAUGGUCGCAACCUGUACUUAAUGUUUUGUCACUACCUCUCUAUGCAUUAACAUUAGCAUCUUCAAGUACUGAUUUGUUGUCACAGCUUCUCUGCACAUUCAUGUACUGUGUCAUUGUUGCAUGAUUGUGCUUGACUCCUACAUAUUCAAGUAAUAUAUUUUAUUACGACUAUCUAUAUGAACAAAGUAAAUUAUUUAAAGUUUUUUUAGUUAAUUUAUCAUGUUAUUUUCAAGAAUAAAUGGAAAUUACUUUUAGCAUCUCAAUCACAAGUUUGGUCAUUAGGAAAAAAUUUAACUCUUCGAUAAAAUGCCAUGGUCUAAUUCAAUGCAGAAGACAAAUUUCCCCAUCUACAAAUGAGGUUUAUUACAUAAACAAUGGCCUACCUCAAGGCUCUAACAAAAGAGUAAAAUGUCUAAUCAAACCACGAUGUCAAAAUAGGGAUUGUCGAAUCGAAUAAUAUACAUUUUCAAUUAUAAGAUUCAUAUCAUUUACCCCAAAAAAAAAUUAUUCCCUAAACAUAUAUAACCUGAUAGAGUUCGCCACCAGGUCAGUCUAGUGUCAUUGCAUUCACCAUCAUACUUGAUCUUUUUGCUAGAGGAUUAUCCCUACCUUGUGUACUACUAUAUUAGAACUUCCAUGUUUGGAGGACAACAAUUCAACCUUAAGGCCUUCAAUUCCAGCUUUAUUAUCUAUGCACCUACUCAUAAUAGAUAUAACUGCUACCACCCAACUAAAUGUUGGUUUAUAUGGAUGUUGGAUUAGCAAAAUGAUGUCUCUUUAAAGUAAGAGCAAUUAGAUGUAGCAAAAGACCAAAUUGAGUAUCAAUACAACAAUCUAUGUUGGAAGCCAAUCACAUUACAACUUCUAAAAGUAAAGAUUAAUCAGUCAACUGGUUACAUGUAACCGGUUGACUAAUUAUCUCUAUCGGUAGAUACUACCAAAGUGUUGAUGCAACACCCAAAUGGGCAAUGGCUACCGGUAGCAAAAAAAAUGGAACCGGUUUAUUUGAUGAUCGACCGAAAUUGGACUUUCCUUUUGUUUUCAUUUAGGUAUGUGAUCUGGCGAUCAUACAGUUAUGCAUAAAUAUUAAAUACUAAAAAGCAAGAACUUGAACAAUAUCACCUUUCAUCAGGAUAGAAGGUUAAUUACCUUAUGAAAACUUAUCAAAAGAGAAUAGUUUAGCAUAACAAUUCAAAAUUUAUGACAACAAUCAUCUCUUCCUACCAAGAUCACCUAGCUAUUGUACAUGGCCAUUAUUUUAGACCUCCUUGUCCUACAUGCAUCAUCCAUUGCUGUUGUGACUAUACUUCCACCAACAUUUAGUUCUUGUACCAUUAAUAUAACACAUUUACACAUUCUUCUUUAUUGUGCAAGAAAAUUACAUGAAAGCCACAACCUUAGUCCAUAGUCACUAGUAGACCAAAAAUUUUAUAUUUAAAAUAAGCUUGUUUUCAGAUUGUAGCCAUCAUUCAGGAUAUGCAAGCAUAAAUAAAAUGGAGUAAAGAACUACUUUCACCACUUCAAUCACAAGUUUCGCCAUUAGUAAAAAAAUUUUAACUUUUCUAGAAAAUGGGAUGAUCCAAUUCAAUCCUAUUGCCACUUUACCCUAUUGAAACCUGAAAAAAAAUGCACAUCAAGGAAGUUAACGCUUCUAGAAAAGAAGAAUAUCAUAUUACUAUACUUUGUGCAUUUUGAGGUAGCUGGAUCAAAAAACUUGUAUAGGUCAAAAGAAACAAGUGUAUCAUUAAAAAAGAUUGUCAUUCUAAUUCCAAGUUGAUAAUCCUAUUGAGUACAACUGGAAGUUUAGUAUCCUUUAAAACCUACUAGACCAUUUAUUGGGUCUUACAAUUAGCCUACAUAACAGGCCAUACUAGAGUUCCAAUAUUUAAAUGGUCUUCUCUACAACCUAGCUCAUAACUUUUAUUUACUAGGUUUGAAAAGUUUCUUGAUUGUGGACUACCAAAGAAAGAAAAAUCCCUCAAUUGUGAGCAUCACAGGAUCCUCCAAUUGAAUUUGCAGAUAGGGAAAGAUUUAUGGCUAAACCCAGAUGUUGCUUGACGAAGUAGGAGGAUGUCUUAACAACAAUGGUAAGAGCAUGGUGGAGUAUGAUUGAUGCCUAGACUAGGUUUCUUUGGGAAGACCCUUCUUAGUAGCCUCAACUGCUGCUUUCUUUGCUUUGAUAUCAGCAACAAUGGCAUCGAUCUCAGCUUCUGCAAACUUAAAGAGUAGCAUUCUUCUGUAGAAGCCAGAUUCCAUUAGAGUGUCAUUGCAUUCUAUUUCAUUUCUCAACAAAUGACCAUAAAGAACUUCUCAACUAGUCAACUAAUCUAGCAAAUGCACAUCAAGUUCAAUAUAGGGUAACAAUUACAUCUUAUUAUACUUUGCAGCUGGCAACACUAUUCAUCAUGUAACCAGUUUCUUGUUUGCUAGGCAGCAUAGCAUUUAGGAGGGAAUGAGGGUUCCAAUCUUGAGUAGGGAAUUUGGACUUUGUAAUUAUAUCAUACUAAAUAGAUGAUUCCUAAAAAUCAAAACUCAAACUUCUCUAUAACUGAUGCUUUAAGUAAAGCAGUGAGAAACAAUGUCAUUGUUAGUAUGGUAAGUAAAUAUUGUUAUGAAAUGCAGUAAGAAAUUUCAACUUAGAGUAAAUUGAUAAAUAAAAUGUAGUAAUUUUUUGUUGUAUUACUAUUACCUAAUACAAGAAUCAAAUUCUUUGGUAGUUAUUAUGAAAAGUCAAAUUAGAAAGCCAAAGAAGCACUAGGCAGGUAAUGGAAGUUGCGAUUAUAAUAAGUGAAUCAUCAGAACUACCCAGUCCUUGCUUCAGUGCAUCUGGUCCAAAAACAGAGGCUAGUAUCAUGCUAUUCUUAUAUGUAGCUUUCAUUUUUCAUUUUUGAGUUAUAGACUUCUUUAAGGGAAGAGCUCUAAGUUAAAAUUUUAGCAUAGGACCUUAAUUGCCUGUUAUUAGGGCUUUAACUAGAGUGGAUCAUGUAGGAUGCAAUUGAGAUUGUAGGAAAAUUUAUAAAAGAGAUUAUAGGAAUAUUUUGAUUUUUUUCUUUUUUUUUCUUCAUAUUGUUAUAAGCUUAUAAAUAUCCUUGUAACCUCAUUCAAAACGUCAUGAACAUGAGAUUAAUUCUCUUGCCUUCAAUAUGGUAUCAAAGAAUGGUUGCCCUACAGCUGCCAUCUUUCCAUCCUAAUUAUGCCAGCAUCUUAUUCCCAUCUAUCAGUCCUUAACCCUCAACCCUCAUAUUUAAGUCAUUAGUCCUCCUUCAUACCUAGCUAUUCACUAUCAUCUUAAAGUCUACUUAUGCUGAUGUUAUUUUUCACGGCUUUUUUUUUUCAUCUCUUGGAUGUCUAUUCAUCUUCUUGAUCUCUUGUUAGGAUCUUGAAACUUAUUUCUUUCUCAGACAUCAUGUGUGACAACAUUCCAACUAAAGACAUACUCUUCUAUGGCUUUAUGACUCAUUCAAAUAAAAUGGAUCUAAUUAUCUUCCAUGGUUUUCUUCAAGGCAUGUGGUAGGAUUUCUUGUAUUUGGUAACAUAAAUCUACAUAUGCAAAGUUGAUAGAAACUUGGGAAGUAAGGGAUGCACUAGUCAUGAUUUGUGUUUGGAACAACAUAGAACUAGAGGUAUUGUGUCUCUUAUCUCAUUUUUAGUAAGGAUAUUUGUAAUUGGCAGAGAUGUGUUAUUUUUCCACAAAUAUCUUGCUUACCCAAAAAGGCAUCAGUCUAACAAUAUUACAUUAUUACUUGGAAUUAAAGGACAUGUAGGAAGAGUUGAAUGUCUAUCCCCCUUUGACUUUAGAUCUAGAGAUUCAAAAGCACCACUAAGAAUAAUUUUGCUUGGCCAAAUUCAUCUUUGGUAUUUGGCCAGAGGUUGAACUCACAUAUUACAACAAGUCAUGGAUGAAGGUAAUCAGAUGACAACUUACAAAAGUAAAGCUUAACCGGUUGACCGGUAAUAUGCUACCAGUUUACUAAUUAUCUCUACCGGUAGACACUACCAAUGUGUUGAAGUAGCACACAAAUGGGCAGUGGCUACCGAUAGCAAAAAAAAAAAAAAAAAUUGCAACCGGUUAAUUUGAUGGUCGACCGGAAUUGGACUUUCAUUUUGCUUCCAUUAAGCUGAUGAAAAAAAGACCAAAUUGAGUAGCAAUAAGCAUGUAUCUUCAUUUAUUUUAAUAAGAAGAUAAGCAUAAUACAUUUAAAAAGGUGUUUAACAUAGAUAGGGCCCACAUCUCAUGUACACACAAUAUAUACAAGCAAUGACUAGAAAACACACUACCUCACAACUAUGCUUACCAAUCCCCAUACCAUCCACAAAAUCCAAGAAGGACAACAAAUGAAGCCCCAUGCCCCACAUAAUCACACAUAACUUCAAUCCCCAUACCAGACACUUGAGCUUAUAUGAGGAAAAUUUCUGAUGGGAAAGGUGUGCAAUGAUAUGCUCUUUCAAAUGACUUGCAUUGGAAAUUAAGGAAUACAUAGUUCACAAACAACUCCCAAGUGUCAAAAUUCAAGCAAGCAUGAAGCUUGGGAAGAAAUAAUAAUGCGUUGAUAAUUCAAAUUACUGCAAAACUAACAACUAGUCAUCAAAAAGCAACACAUGCCUUAGGACGCCGUAUUCUGUCUUUGAAUACUUGCCGACACACUUCAAUGAUAAAUUUGCCUUUGUAGAAAAUUCAGCCUAAAGUGGCACCUUAUCUUUGUGUUUCAGACAAACAAGAAAGAAUUUAGAACUUGAAAUUUUCUUAGUAAAUCCCAGACCAUAAUAACCUUGACACUCCCACUAAUGGAAUCAUCAGGUACACAAACUAAAUGUGCAUCUAAUAUUCCAUUAUAUUAAUCCUUGUCACUACAAUGAGUUUAAAGUGUACGCUAAGCUUUUUAAAUAAUGGUACUGCCUGCUUGGAAUUAGACAUAUAGUAACAAUAGUUCAUUUGUAAGUAAUAAGCAUAUUGAUGGUGAAAACACACUUUUUCUACCAUUACCUUCCAAAGAUGAAAAUAAUAAGAAUACAAAAGCAGAAGUGGAUGGCAAUUUAGCAGGAGGCCCCAUUUGGUUAUUCCUCUCCUCAUGAGUGGUAACUCCACUAUGAGAUUUAUUUUAGUACAACCCUAUGGCAAUACGUAUUACGUAAUAGUUUUUCUUAACCAUACACAAUUUGGUAUGACUAAUUUUUUUUCCCCAUAGGUUGGCAUGGGCUCAUUUUCACUAAACACUAUGAUUUGAAGAUCACAUUUUUUCACACUGUUAAUUAGGUUCUGCUCAAAUAACACAGUUUUUGAAAUAUCAUUUGAAGCUGAAUUCUCCUAGCAUGUUCAUAAUCAGUUUACAUGUUCAUUUGAAUGAACUCAAUAUAUGAAAUGUAGGUGAUGCGAUCGGUGAUGGAGAAUACAAUCAAGCAGGAGUUUGAAGUGAAAGAUGAGGAUGUCGUCAAUGACGAUGCAUAUACUGGUGGCAACGAUUUGAAAGAGAAGGUGUUGAAGGGUAUUUCAGUUGAAGAAGUAUACAAAUUGCAAUUCGAUUGCGUAGAUGAGAUUGAAACAUUUUACAACAUGUUAGCCAAAGUAACCGGAUUUAGUAUUCGAAAAGAUGAUUUGAAGUGAGAUAAGAAUGAAGAUAUAAUAUCUCGAAAGUGGGUGUGUUCUAAAGAAAGACAUUGAGCGACAAAGUUUAUUGAAAAUGACAAGCGACAGUGUGAGCCACGAUCGUUGACUAGAGUUGGAGGUGAAGCUGCCUUUCGUUUAGGCUUGAAUAGAAAAGAUGGAAAGUGGAUUGUAAAGGAAUUUAUAAGAGAACAUAAUCAUACUUUGGUUGAUGCUAUCAGCACACAAUUCCUUCGGUCUUAUCAGAUAGUAAGUAAUCCAAAUAAGGCAUAAGUUGAUGUUUUGCAUAAAGUAGGUGUUAAAACCAAACAAAUUAUGGACUAUAUGGUCAAACAAUCAGGAGGACAUCAACAUGUUGGUUUCACAAAAAAAAAUAUAUACAAUUACAUUGAUGCAAUGCAUAGAAUUGAAAUUAAAGACGGUGAUGCGGAAGCUGCAUUGGCUUACUUGUGUGGAAAGAUAGAAAUGGAUUCUUCAUUUUUUUACAAAUUCAACUUCGAUGAAGAAAGUUGACUAGCAAACUUGUUUUGGGCUGAUUCAACUGCUCGAAUGGAUUAUCCAUGUUUUGGAGAUGUCCUAGCAUUUGAUACAACCUAUAGGACAAAUGCCUAUAAAAAGCCUCUAGUAGUGUUGGUUGGUGUUAAUUAUCACCACCAAACUAUGGUAUUUGGUUGUGCGUUAUUGAUGGAUGAAAGUAUUGGUACAUAUGAAUGGGUGUUGGAGACAUUUCUUAUUGCAAUGAUGAAUAAGAAACCCAUAUCCGUAGUAACUGAUGGGGAUAAAGCUAUGCGUAAGGCAAUUAAAAGAGUCCUACUCGAUGCGUGUCAUCGUAUGUGUUCAUGGAAUUUGCAACGAAAUGCAUUCUCAAAUGUGCAUAUUAAGGACUUCACAAGCAUCUUUGCAAGGUGCAUGUUCAUGCAUGGGAAUUCGAAAGAAUUCAAAAAGGUUUGACAUGAAAUAGUUUAAAAGUUGGGUCUUAAUGAGAAUCGUUGGGUAACCAAGAUUUAUGGGAAACAUAAAAGAUGGGCUGAGGCGUAUUUAUGUGGAAAUUUCUUUGGAGGGAUGAGAAACGCAUAAAGGUGUGAGAGUAUGAAUGCAUAUCUAAAUAGAUUCUUAAAAAUCAGUUUGUGACUGUAUGAGUUUGUACAACAAUUUGAUAGGGCGAUAAUGAGAAUACGACAAAGCGAGGCAAAGGCAGAGUUCGAGUCGAACAAUUCUUCACCUGUGCUUUCAACCAAACUAUCCAUACUAGAAAAUCAUGUUGCGACGGUAUACACGAAAUAAUCAUUUCUUAAAUUUCGUGAGAAGAUGAAGAAUGCAGAGUUAUUCUUUGUGGUAGGCCUUGUAAGUGAUGAUUCAAUGCGGACAUAUGCAUUAUCUAAGUUUAGACACCCGAACUUAAAAUAGGAAGUCCAAUUUUGCCUGAAUAUUGUAACAUUAAAAUGCUCAUGCAUAAUGUUUGAGUCAAUUGGCAUCCCUUGUUGCCACAUGGUUGUUGUUAUGAAGGUGGAGCAUUUGGAAGAGAUUCCUCUUUCAUUUAUUUUGAAGAGGUGGACAAAGUUAGCAAAGGUGCAUACAAGAUCAGCACCGGUGAAUGAGACGGAUAAUGACAUGGAUCAGUUUGUACCAUAUGGGUCAUUGAAUUCGAUGUGCAACAAGCUCUCCUACUAUGCGUCAAAUACGUCAUCUUCUUUUCUAGAAGCGAAAAGUGAAAUAGAAAAUUUGACGGUGAGAAUGGAGGAACUUUCUAACAGUAAUUUGAAAGGGAAGAAAGUAGCAACAGAUGGAGCCACAAGUCCUAACCAAGUUCGUGAUCCAAAUAUUGUGAAGACUAAAGGAAAUCCAGGCAAAGUUGCAAUUAAUUUUCAAAAGGGAAGAUAGUGUAGUCGUUGUAAAAGAGUGGGUCACACAAUUCGAAAGUGUCCAGAAGCUAGAAUCCCUCAUACCGGUAAUAAACGUGAUAUGGUAUAUUAGAUUGAAUAAGAAAUUGUCGCUAAGAUGAAGUUUUUUACCUGUACUUACAUAAAUAACUAAUAUAAUUGUUUUCAUUGCAUUAUGAGUAUGUAGCAGGAAAGUAAUUUGUCUUCCCAAUGUGACAUUCGUAUGGAAAUGAUGCCUUCAACAAAUUAAUCAGUUGACAUGUUUGCAACCUUACCUGUAUGUACAAUAGGCUUGUUAUAUAACAACACAAACUUUGAUAACAUCUAAUUGAACAAUAAUUGACAACACUUAAUCAUUGCAAAAUGCAGGGAAUGCUAGGGGAGCAUUUGUCAAAUGACCGAUCUGACAUGUAUUUAGAUUUUGGUGUACUUAGCAAUGUAAGCUCGAGAAUAAAAAACACUUUUGACAUGAAUUUUCCCUAUGCAUUAUUUAAUGAUUUGGUUGAAGUAAUUGGAAUGGAAUUGGAUGGCUCAAUUUUAAUAAUGGAAUGUGCAUGUGCAAAUAGCAGGAUUUCAGCAAUAUGAACAAACUAUGACAAUACCAUGUCAAGGUGGGGAUCUAAGCAAAUAUCCAAAAGAAAAGGAUAUGCAACCUUUUUUUAUUCCUUAACGGAGUAAACAAUGGCAGGUAUUAAAUCAGUAUUUAUAUUAGUUUACGUUAUCGCUUUGGCUAAUAUAUACUUUUAAAUUAACUAUUUAAUGAAAAGUCUGAAUUCCGAUCAAGAGUCAAGUUGAUUGAUAGAAUGCAAUAUCCUUGAUAUUUACAAUUUAAUUGAUAACAAGUGAUAAAUGAUUGGUAAGCUGAUUCAUUUAUAUCACAUCCAAAAAAUAGUUACGCAUGCGGAUAUAAUUAAAUUCAAAUGUGGUUAAAGUUUGACAAUUAGGUGGUUAUGAGUUAACUAUAGGAAAGUAAUCGAUAUGAUGUAAUUCAUAUGAAAUGGUAAAUGUUGUGAUAUAACUCAAAAUGGGUAAAUCAUAGUUUGGUAGUUUGGAAUUGCAUUUUCCAUCACUUCCAAACCUUUUAAUUAAACUUAAUGGCUUAGUCACCAAUGUUUACUGAGUGAAAAGUUUUCAGUACCACCUAUAGCCAUUUAUCGAACGGUAGUUAUACUUAGAAAUUGCAUGAUAGCAUUCAAUAAGUCAACCGGUUAAUAUUUGGCUUCAACCAGUUGAGAAAUCUUCUCUGCUGGUAGACUCCAUUCCUCAACCGGUUCACAUUGGUGAAAAAAUUCCUCAACCGAUUGAGAAAUUUCUUCUGCCACUCACUUCAACUCCUCAACCAAUACAUAUUGCAUCAAACUUUUGUUGAACCGGUUGUUAAAAUUCCUCAACCGGUUCGGACAAAUCCUCAGCUGGUUGACAUUGCAUCCAUAUAGUCAUUAUCCGAUUGAGGAUUGUUCUCAAUCGGUUGCCAUAAUUCUAUGGCCGAUAGACAUUGAACUAAGCUGAACCGGUCAACCGGUUCUUACUGGCUUUACGUCAUUUCUUAACCGGCCUCCAUUGCCUUUACAAGUCGUAGCUAUAAUUCAUACCUACUAAAAAUAUUAGUCGCCUAACCUAUACUCCUACCGGUACUAACUAUAUAAUUUUGAGCAUAGAUAAAUGAAUAUAUAUAUAUAUAAGGAAAAAUCUAAAUACCUAAAAGAUCGUAGAAAAUCAAACAUGUCGAAAAUGAAUGAUGCCUAUAUAUUACAAUUUCAUUUUGCCUACCAUAUUGAAAGAAGAAUAUAACAUAUUCAAAUUAAACAAACUUGGUCAUGAACAAUGUAUGGUCAUGCAAGGUCACAACUUCCCAAUAAACAUGAAGAUAUGUGGAGAUGGAAAUAAUAAAUAUUAGAAAAACAACAAAUAUCAUAAUAAUAACUUUUUCAUUGCUCGUGUAGACUUCUUUGUACAAACAAUAACCACAAUGGUUUUUUUUUUUUUUUUUUUUGUUUCUCUCGUGUAAAACUAAAUCACUUGCUAUUUCCCAACGUAUUUUAAUAGAAUUACAUAAGUCAGAGCCCGUCAUCGAAUCACCAUUUUUGAAUAUCUGUAUAUGUUUAAUGAAGGAGCCUAAUCAAUGGAGAAUUGAAAGACAUCUUUCCCUAUGUCAUACAGUUUGAAGAACAUUUGACAAAAUUCAACCUAAUUUAUUUUGAAAGUGUUAAUAAAUAUAGAAGAGAAAAACAAAACAAAGUAAAAGGAAAACAAAAAGCUAAAAGCAUACCACUAUUUUGACACUCUUAAACCGGAACUCGUCCCGACUCUUUUUUAUUGUAAUGAAUCCAAAAUUUGGAUAUGAGAGUUUUUAAAGUCAAUGACGCACAAAUACCAAUGAUCGAGGCAAUUGUCAUGCAUUGGAAUAAAUAGUUGUAAAGUUAGAAAAACAAUAUAUAUGAGUUGGGCCACAAAAUAUCUACUAUAUUAUAGGUGAAAACAAUAUCUACUCUAAAUUUGAUAUAUGCAAUUAAACAUUACUAACCUUCUCGCAAUCAUCCAAUUCGCUAAUGUACUUACUCAUGAUGAAUGUUUUUCUAUCAAAAAAAAGAUGAAGACUCCUGCACAAAAUCAUUUGCUAAUAAUAAAACAUAAUACGAAUAUUAGUAGAUUGUACUUAAUAUGUAAGUAAACAACAAGAGAAAUAUGAGCUUACUGAAAAAUGUCGUGGGAAUAUACUUCGUAUGCUUAUGAAUUGCCUCUUAAAAUAAUUUAGCUUUGAGGCUUCUAGAUUUAUUACCUGUUGUUAAACAAUAACUUCAAUAAAUUUAUUUAAUUAAUAUAACAUGCAUUUGAUAUAAAUGAAGUAGGUACUUACAACAUCCAUCAAAUUUUGUUUAGGAUGUAAGCACUCAAAAUGUCCACGAACUCCAUGAACUCCAUGUUCAUGAUCAAAGUUAACAAGAAGCCCACUAAAAUAAUAAUAUAUUAAAGCAUUCUUGACUAAAUUGGAACCAUAUGAAGACUAAAAUUGUAACAACACAUCUAUGAAUGUUCUAGACACUACAAACCUUUUUGACAAUGCUUUAUUGAAAACAUAAUCAACAACAACAGAUUGAAGUACAUUGAAUGAUUGAGCAUCCACCACGUCUUCACGAAUGGACAUGGGGAUUAACUAAAUAAAAAAAACAAGACAUAAUUAUUAGCUAUAUAUGUUGAGUAUCAAAAAUAAGAAUAUGAUAUUAAACUAUGUGUAUUAUACCUUUAAUGCUUGACAUUUUCCAUUUUCCUUAAAUUAUGUACAAACAGGGAGACCUUGAAUUUACUUGGUUUCCUCUUCCUUGAUGUACGUGUUUUCAUGACUUGAUCGGGAUAACCACAUAGUGCUUGUAAUGGUUCCUAAUAUGGAAAAUGUCAUUAAUAUACAUCUAUUUACUAUGUAAUGGUUUAAGUAGUUGUAAAUAAAAUAUUUUUUUUCUUUUAUAUGAUACAUACCUUUCCAUAAUCUCUUCUACUGCUUUUGAUUGGAAUUGAUAAAAUAUCUACAUUUUUGUUCGGAAUGAUAUUUACUUCAAUUGAUGUAGCACAUGCAUCUUCAUUAUUUCCAUUCAAGUCCUUAGUGCAUAACUUCUCAAUUGACAAAGUGUGAACAUAAUGUUCAUUUCCUUUCUUAUUGUUCUUAUCUUCCAAACUUCUCUCGCAUGAGAGAAUAUCAUUCUUUGUUCCCUCCUUGUGCAUUCUCAAAGGUUUUUCGCUUAACCUAAGGAAGAGACCUUUCAAUGUAGUAUAUUUUUCCUCAAAUUCAGUCAAAACUUUUUCAUAACUACCAUUACUUGCACCAUGACACAAAUCAAUUAGAUGUGUCUUUAAUUGUUGAAAGGUUUUAUCCAUCUCCAUUAAGCUCCCACCAUCAACCUAGUGAUAUUUAGGAACUUGAUUAAUAAUAUCACAAUACAAGGGUUCACUAUUAAUAUUGAUACUCACGAUGAAUAUUGUAAAACUUGUUUAAUAACAUCUUUUUUUGCAUUGAUUUCAAAUUUCUCAUCAUUCUCAUUCUCCCCCUCCAUUGUCAUCGCACUUCUAUCAACACAAUCCCUUAUCUCAUUUUGUAUCACCCAUAUUUUGACCUACAAUAUAUUCAUCAAAAUAUAACACAUCAGAUUAAAAAUCAUUAAAAACUUAAACCAAUAUUAAACAACUUUCAAAACUAUAACUUACAUUGUCAUCUGCAUAUCCACCUAGUUUUUUCAAUCUUCGUUUCAUGUCCAGUGCUUCAUCAUCUCCCCAAGCAGUAAUCCAAGGACAAAGUCGAGUAUAUAAUGGUAGAAAUUUCUCUUCGAACGAUAUAUGCUCGUGGUAGAAUAAUUGCGCUUAUUUGACAUAGAUAUAUAGUUAGUUAACAAAUUUUAUUAUAACAAAUUCGAAAUUCACUAUGAUGUAAAUUAAUUACAAGGACAUUACCAUUAAAAAUAAUAAGCAACUGCAAACCCGACUUUGUUGUUUCCUCUUAAACUCUUCAAUCCCGUGUACAAGAUAAGACAACACAAAUUCAGCCCAAUUCAUCUUCUUUAUUAAAUUGAUGUCUUCCACAAGAUGUAAGAAAGAACGUUUCACAAAUAGCUUCAUUAUUGGGCACAAUAAUGCACCCAACACAAAUAAUACAAAACGAACUUUGAAAUCGUUUCCACCUUCUUUAUCCUCCCUAAUUUGAUUUUCUAACAUCACUAAUGGCAAUCGCUCCUUUUAAUCAUAAUAUUUUUUUUAUAUAUAAAUCAUUCUUAUGGCUAACAUCUUUGUUCAUGCCAAUCUUCAACCCUCUUGCCCUCAAUCCCAUAAUAAAUUCAACAUCAAUGGAGGAUAAUUUGAUACAAGUAUUAUUCAACUCUAACAUGUAAGUGUUCGGGUUGAAACUAUUUAUCAACCAAACACAUAACCCAUGAUCAAUUUUCUUACAUCGAAGUUGCAAGAGGCUACCAAAUCCUAUUUCUUCUAUGGCUGCUCUUUGCUUUGGUUCUAAUUCUUCAAUAAUUUUAAUCACUCGCUUGGGUGAGCAUCGAGUCUAAAGAUAUAACUGAAAAGAUACACAAACAUCAAACAUGUUUACAUUAAUAUAAUUUCCAACAAAUACAUAAAUAAUGAAAUUAAAUAUUCAUUACAAAAAAUUACAUUUGGAACCACACCCUUUUAAAGUGAAUAUUGUUUUGAACUUUCUUUGGACUUUGCCAUGAAAUCUUCUUUUUCUACUUUUGAAAGUGCAUUCCACUUCUUGCCCAAUUUUUUCCUCAACUACAUUAAUUGGUCACAUACUUUAAAUUCUAAUUUUAAAAUGUAAUUAUAUUAGACACAACAAUAUUACUCCUUACAUCAUCAUUUAUCUUCACUUCUUUAUCAGGCUCUUUGAUCAUGGUCAAUUGAUUGUUACUACAAAACAAUUUCAAACAAAUUUAACUAUAACAACCACAAAAAAAAUACAUUAAAAAACAUAUUCUUUUACAUAUUUCUAUUUUCCCUUACUAGUAAUGUAUCCAAGCUCUAAUAGGCCUAUUUGGAUUUCUAACAACUUCAACACCAUCGCAUUCGCUCCUAAAAAUUAAAUCAAAUCAUUUAAGUCAAUUUUUAUAAUAUGAUUUUAGAUAUAAUAAAUCAAACAUACUUUCACCACCAGUACAAAAUCCUCCCUAAAUCUCUAUACAUUUUAAAUGGUCACAAAAUUAGCAUAUAAAUUAUUUUCAAUCUCCAAUUAUGGAUCUAACCACACUAUUUUUCAUUAAUGUGAUCAAUCCAUAAAUCUAACAAAAAACAUGAAAUAUAAUGGAUACAAUAUUAUAAAACACAUUAUCAAUACUCACAUUUUUUUCCUUAAUAUAGAACUCGACAAAUAAUUACAAUACAACCGCCUUUUGAUUAACAAAAAAUUGUGUCCUUUUUAGCUUUCUUUCUCUUAGUACUACACAUCUUCUUCUUCUUCUUCUUCUUCCAGCUAUGUCUUCAAUUCGGGUCUUCAAACCACAAAAUUUAGAACCCGAAAACACCCCUUACACCUCUUAAACAAAAUAUAAAAUAUGAAGAAAAUACAAGGGUUAUGGAGAUGAGAGGGAUGAGCGGGAAUAUCGCACUCUUUACUUCAAAACUCGAAAAAACCCCAAAUAUGAAAAUUAAAUAGGGACAUAAACAGAAGGAGGAUACGAAGAAAACUUGGAAAGAUGCCACCCAAAACGACUACAAUAUCUCACCCGAAAACACCCAACAACAUGAAAACAUCCAACAAUACACGAAGACAACUGAAAGCACCCAAAAAUAAUAGCCGAUGGAGAUGAGUGGAAAACACAAGUACCCGGAGAAGACUCGAGUAUGGAGAAGAGAGGAAAAUAUGGGGAAACUCGGCAAAAGAGGGAGAAAACAGCAACCCGGCCCGACUGUGGAGGAUGAGUGGAGAAGAUACCAAAUUAUGGGGGGAAAAUGGGAAAAAGAGGAGAGAACAAGAGGGAGAAUAGCUGCCCGGUUCAGUAAUGGAGGAUGACUGGAGAAGAGAGCAAAUUAAGCGGGGAAAAAAAGGGAAAUGGGUGAGAGAAUAGAAUGGGGAAAAACAGCUACAUGGCCAGCUAUGGAGGAUGAUGAGUGGAGAUGAGAGCACGGGGACACAAACGGGGGAAAACAGGAAAUGGAUAAGAGAAUAGGAUAGGGAACAAUAGCUACACUAGCCGACUAUGAAGGAUGAUGAGUGGAGAUGAGAGCACGGGGACACAACUGACUAUGGAGGAGAAGAUGGCUGGCUAUAGAGGAGAAGACGGUCAGUUAUAGAGAAGAAAAGAGGGGAAAUAUGGGAAAAAUGGUUGACAGAGGGAAAGAACAGGAGGGAAGAGAGGGGAAAAACAGGAAAAGAGGCUCAGAGAAGGAGAGGACAUAAGGGGGAGGUACUCGAUUAUUAUUAUUUUUUUUCAUUUUUUCUUUUUCUUUUGGAUGGCUAAGAUUUAAUCUCUUUCAUCCAACGCCUAAAAAAAAUGAGGCAUGCUACCUUCCCCAACACCAUAGAAUUUUCCUUGAUAAAAAGAGUCCCAUAUUUUAAAUCUAACCCAUCAUUUUUUUUCCUAAGAAAUUACUAAUUUUUAUAAAUAAAAAAAAUGUACUUGCUUUUUAAAAAAAAAAAACUUCCAUCAAAAUAAUAUAAAUAUCAGAGGAUAUUUAUAUCAAAAAUAAUUUUUUUAAUUAAAAACUUAUAUUUUCUAUUUUUAAAAUUUUAUAUCGAUUAAUUAAAACAAGUUAAAUAAAUUUAAAAUAAUAUAUAAAAAUAUUUUAUUAACUUUAAAUUUAUUUUUUAUUUUUUUUCUUUGUAUUUUUUUGUACAUUUCCUUUCAAAUUUUUCCAAAAAGGAAACAUUACUAAAAGAUCAUGUCAAGUACAAGAACUAAUCCUUUGAUAUGGAUGAAUUAAAAUAUAUUUUGUUUAUACUUUUAUUUUAUUUUAUAAAGGAAUUAAUAAUCAAAGGUUUAAUUUAAAAUAAAUAUUUUAUUUUAAAAAAUUUAAUUUUAUCAUAGAAAAGAUUUAACAAUAAAAAGUUCAUAAUUUAUAAAUCACUAAUCCUAUUUUGUCAUAAGUGAUUAGUUAGGUUUCUAAUGUUAAAUGAAUUCAAUAGUUUUUAGUUGGUUUUAAAUUUUAGAUGGUUCGAAAGUUAUAUUAUCAAUAUCACUUAAAAAUGAAAUCCUCUGUUUUUCUUUUCAUUUUUCAAUGAUUAGUUAUUUUGUCAAAUUCUCGCUUAGUUUCAAUUUUCAAAUAGUUUUGUUUAAUGUUUAAUAUAAACAACUUUAACACUUUGCAACAUUCUAAUGUCAAAAAAAAAAAACACUUAAUGAGAUUAAUCUUUAAUAGGUUUAUAAUUAAAUUUAAAUUUAUUCAAAUAUAAAAAAAUGGUGAUGUGGGGGCUUUCCCCAUAUAGCCACGUGGCAGGCCACUCUUGGUCUACGUGGCAUUCUUCUAUCUCUAUCCAGAUGAUCAUCAUCAAACCAGAGUCUCCUAUUCGACCAACGGGUAUCAGAGACUAGUCACAUUGUGCUCCUCUAAACUACACGAUGCAUUCCAGGUAGAUAUCUUGGCCCACUCCUGCAAGCAAUCAUUCCCCCAAGCCAUGAGUACAUUUGACGGGAUGUAACCCUGCCUUCACAAUUGAGUUGCUAUACGCUAUGCCAUACUUUCUACAGAGUAAGGUGACAAGUGAACCAUCAUGUCAUCCCCACUAGCAGCCCCUGUUAGCCGCCUAAAUGGUGAUGAUUGCCCUGCCACGAACUGUGCUGCCAUCAUGACUGCGAAAGUUAAGAUGUCACCUCAGCGCAGAUGUGACCCCAUCCCAGACACUAUAAAAACCCUCACACAACCAAAAUCCAAGAACGUAAUACAAGAAGCCCGAUAUAGCUCUAGAGAAUAAGCGAUUUCUCGAGCUAGUUUUAACUAAUUGACUUGGGCUUCGAAGGGUGUGUCCGGACAACUUGUCCGAACAUCUUUUUACAGGAAAGAAAAGAGAAGUCAAUCUUCACCGACUGUAUUCAGUCCUUUCUUGCUAUAACGGGGAGAAGCAUCAUCCCCAAUUGAUUCAGCAUUAACAUCGGCAUCAUUUGUGGGAAGGAAACAAGAAUGUCAACACCCUCAAGAAGUCGAUCGUUUGCCAUGGGCGACGAAGGUUACUUUGACUAGCGUGAGAGUAUGGAAAGAUGCUAACGAGAAAGCGAGCGACAAGUGCAAGCCCUGCUCCAAGAAACAAGAAGACUCAGAGAGGAGAAUGAGGUGUUGCGAAUUCAAGCAUCUUUGUCAGGCCCCUCUCGUAGCCAGCAACCAAGGAGUUAGUGAACGAACUCCAGGAAAAAUGAGGAAGCAACAUACCCUAGAAACACAGAGUCCCCCUUUGAUGAGCAUGGUAUACGACCUGAUGAAGGACCCCUAUCGGCCUAUCACGCGCCAUAGGACGAAAACUCUGAUUCCACUCGUGUCUCAUCUAAAAGGAGAUGCGAUAGGAAAUCCUAACUAUUAGAUGCAAUGCACGCAAGGUUAGGGCCACAGGUGCCCGGUAUGGAGAAACCACGUAUAGCCACGACCCAGGAGGUAUACCCUGCCCCAUUUGCUGCACCCGCUAUACUGAACUGGCCUCCAUACCCAACACUACAACAAUUGGAAGAGGAUAUGGUAAGUAGAGUUCCCCUCGGCUCUGCCAGCAGGCGACUAGACAACAUGCUCUCCAUGCCUUUUAGCUCUCGCAUUAUCAAUUACGAACCCCUGAGAGAGUUCAUCGAGCCAAAAUUCUCUACGUAUGACAAAUUCAUUGAUCCAUUUGAUCACAUCAUGCACUACAGAUAGCUCAUGACCCUUGACAUAGGGAAUGACGCACUGUUGUUUCUAGCUAGCUUCCAAGGUUAGGCCCUCUCGUGGUUCCACCACCUCCCAAUGAAUUCCGUCGACAACUUUCGGGACCUAUCGAAGGCCUUCGUGGGACAAUAUCUAUGUUCAACACAACACAAACAAAACAUCAGCACCCUGUAAAACAUAAAGAUGUAGGAGAAUGAGUCGCUGAGGGAGUUCGUAAAGUGGUUCGGGCAAGCUGUACUCUAGGUAGAGUCUUACAGCAUAGACAUUAUUAUCCAAAUCUUUAAAAUGAGUAUCUGUCCGGGCACACCUUUCUUCAAAUCUCUCACCAAAAAGCCCUAUGUAACUAUGGACGAUCUAUUCAGAUGGGCAAACAAAUAUUCCAUGCUUGAGGACAAUGUCCGUGCAGCCACCCAGUAGAUCCUGGUCACCAGUCGACCUGCCAAAAAUGUUGAGGCUAGGAAUUCCAAAACCGCAAGCCAACGAAGGCAAUCAAAUAAGAGGUAGGACAGACAACGCCAACCAAACUAGCCCAACUUCAUCCCACUCAAUGUUUCAUACGAGAAGCUCCUCCCCAUGAUCCGCAAGUUAUCCGACUUCAAGUGGCCAGAGCCCCUAAAAAUGGAUUCAACUAAGAGAGACCGCAACAGAAAAUGUGCCUAUCACAAAGAGCACGAACACACUACGGAGCAAUGUAGUAGUCUCCAUUAUUUGGUGGAGAAUCUAGUAAGAUCCGAAUGCUUGAGACAAUACGUUCACUCAGAAGGUAAAAAUGGGGUGACAUCCCGAAGUCCAACCACCACGACCCCCGCAGCUUCUAUAGCUCCUAGGGUCGUGAUCAACUAUAUUCACGGCGGACCUAUCAACGAGGAAUACAACUCUAAACAAAAGAGAUGGAUGCUACUUCAAGCCAUCUUCGUGCGAGAGCAAGUUAGCUCCAUCAAGCCCAGAUUAAUCAGCAGGAGCAUGCGCUCAAUAGAUAGGGAAAUCACUUUUCCCCUAGUAGACUCCAACCGAAUAUUACAAUCGCAUCGGGACGCCCUUAUCCUAUCAUUGGGAAUCAGUGACUUUGAUGUAAGGUGGAUCUUAGUCGACCUAGGUAGCUCAGCCGACCUCUUACAGGUAUCUAUAAUUAAACAUAUGGGGCUUUCACCAUCGAAUCUGGAAAAUCCUGGACGGAUAUUGUUAGGAUUCUAAGGAGCUUCAACAAUGUCUCUGGGCGACAUUGUGCUGCCCGUCCAGACCGGCCCCAUUGCCCUGAAUAUGCAGUUCUCAAUAGUAGAAGACCUAUCUCCAUUCAAUGCCAUAUUGGGGCGCACCUGGCUGUAGAGCAUGAAAAUCAUUCCUUCUACUUAUCAUCAGAUGGUGAGUUAUCGCAUCGAAGACGGACAGAUUAAUCUCUAUGGAAGCCAACUAGCAGCUCGAUAGUGCUACCAAGUGGCAUAGAAAACCGGAUCUAGUAGUGAUAAUGAGCCACCUCCAAAACUAUGAGCGCAAUCUUUUAAUAGCAAUUACAAUAUCCGACGAAGAAAGAUCCCCUGGUGGCCGACCCCUUGCAGACUAUUAAGAUCUCGAAGAAGGAUGAUCAUUUUACCUACGCAAGCUCCCUCUUAGAGUUGAACGAGGCGCGAAGCCUUGAAGGAGUACUUCACCGGAACAAAGAUGUCUUCGUCUGGACACACUCUAACAUGCUCAGGAUUCACCCAUCAAUUGCCUCCCACCAACUUAACAUUCUUCCAUUCUCAAGACCUAUCCGCCAGAAGGUCCAACAAUUCUAUUUGGAUAGGCAAAAAAUCAUUCAGAAUGAGAUAAACAAGUUAUUGAUAGCCGAAUUUAUCAAAGAGGUUAAGUAUCCUGACUAGUUGGAAAACGUGGUUGUAGUCCUGAAAACAUUGGGGAAAUGGCAAGUCUACGUUGAUUACACUAACCUCAAUGAUGCCUACCCUAAGGACAACUUUCCCCUCCCCCGAAUAGACCAAAUAGUGGACUCCACCACUGAAACACAGAAUGCUCUCCUUCCUACAUGCCUUUUUCGAGUAUCAUCAGAUCCCUAUGUAUCCACCAGAUGAAGAAAAAAUUGCCUUCAUAACACCACAUGGGCUCUAUUACUACAAAGUCAUGUCGUUUGGACUCAAAAAAGCUGGAGCCACUUAUCAAAGGCUGAUGACUAAAAUUUUCAAACCUCUAAUCGGACGCACAAUAGAGGUAUACAUUGAUGACAUUGUAGUGAAAAGCAGGACCAAGGGUGAACAUGACCAACACCUAGAAGAAGUCUUUCACUUGUUGAGAGAAUACAACAUGAAGCUCAAUCCGUCCAAUUGCGCCUUUGGAGUGAGUGCGGAAAAAUUCUUGGGGUUCAUGGUCACUCAAAGGAGCAUAGAGGCCAAUCCAAAUCAAAUCAAAUCAAAGUUGUCAUAGAGACAUCCGCCCCAUGCAACAAAAAGGAAUUGUAAUGCCUCACUGGCAAACUCACUGCACUAGGGUGCUUCAUAACCCAGUUUACAAACAAACUAAGGCAUUUUUUCCUUGCAUUAAAAAGAGCCAGCGCGACAUGAUGGAAGGAAGACUUUCAGUUUGCAUUUGAAGAAAUCAAGUUUUAUCUCACACAAUCGCCCAUUCUGACCAGCCCUCAACUCAGUGAACAUUUGUACGUGUACUUAGCAAUCUCCAACUGUGUGGUUAGCACUGUUUUGUUUUGCUGCAUAUCGGACAAAAAGCAAAAGCAUGUCUACUACAUCAGCAAAGCAAUGUUCGAUGCGAAAACCAGGUACUCAAAGAUGGAGCAGAUAGCUUUGGCCUUGAGAAGCGCUGAGUAGAAACUUUACCCCUAUUUCCAGGCUCAUCAAAUUAUCGUGCUCACCAGCCAACCUCUCAGAAGUAUUUUGCACAAAUCUGAUCUAUUAGGAAGAAGGCUGAAGUGGGUCAUAUAAUUGAGGGAGUACGGGAUCAAAUAUUAGCCUAAGUUAUCCAUAAAAUGAAAAGUCAUGGUUGACUUUAUAGUUAAGAUCCCCCAACAACCCUCUCAACUCAAAGAACCUGGUAGAGAGGGAUGAUGGAUUCUCUUCGUCGACAGAGCCUCCUGGACCUCGGGAUCUAGAAUAGGCCCCCUCCUACGAUCACCAAUUGGAGAACAGCUAGAACAGGCCAUCCGACUUGGGUUCCCAGCAUCCAACAGUGAAACCGAGUACGAGGCCAUCCUAUCCAAACUAAACUUUGCACUUGCUCUCUCAGCUUCUAAGAUCGAAAUCUGCAGUGACUCUCAACUCAUUGUUGGGCAUAUUCAAGGGGAGUACAAAGCUAAAGAUGGAUGUAUGACUCAGUACUUGAUUAAAGUAAGAGGUGCCCUGAAUCAAAUGAAUGAAUGGGCUAUCAAAAGGAUUCCUCACAUAUAAAAUGUACAAGUCAAUGCCUUGGUUGGAAUAGGUACUACACUCCUCGUGAAGGAGGCAAUAUUAUUACCCGUCCAUUUCCAAAUCGUUUCCUUAAUUGUAGUCAUACCUGUCUGCAACGCUAAAGAGGUAGGUGCGGAGUGGGCACAUGAAAUUGAAAAUUACCUCCGGACAGGUGACCUGCCCGAAGAGAACAAACAUGCGCAUAGGGUCCGGGUGCAGGCUACCCGCUUCACCUUAAAUGGGGAUUAUCUCUACAGGCGAUCCUUUGGAGGUUCAUACCUCAGGUGCUUAAAUAGAACGGAAGCUCAGUAUGUAUUAGCAGAGCUACAUGAAGAAAUAUGUGGCAAUCACUCAGGAGGACGAACCCUGGUGCACCUUACCCACUCGCAAGGAUACUAUUGACCCACCAUGAAACAGGAUGCGAAAAAUUAUGUCAAGAAGUGUGACCGGUGUCAAAGGCACGCACCCAUUCCUCACAUAUCAUCUGAAGUUCUCAACCUAGUUACAAGCCCUUGGCCAUUCGCAUAAUGGGGGAUGGACAUAGUAGGACCCUUACCCGUCACAGCCACUCAUAAGAAAUUCUUGCUUGUGGCCACUGACUACUUUAGCAAGUGGGUAGAGGCAGAAGCUUAUGCCAACAUCAAAGAUAAGGACGUCUCUAAGUUUGUUGGGAAAAACAUCAUCUGUCAGUUCGGAAUUCCGCAAACAAAUUAUAGCUGAUAACGAACCACAGUUUGACAGUGUUGAGUUCAGGACCUUUUGUUCAGAGCUAAAAAUAAAAAAUCUAUACUCCACACCACGAUAUCCUCAGAGCAAUGGAUAAGCGGAAGCAACAAACAAGACCCUGCUCUCCGUACUAAAGAAAAUGCUAGAAAAAGCCAAAUGGAAGUGGGUAAAAGAACUACCCGGCGUCCUGUGGGCUUAUCGAACAACACUUGGAUGACCAAUCGGAAACACUCCCUUCGCUCUUGCCUACGGGAUGGACGUAGUUAUCCCAACAGAGAUAGGCAUGCCCACAACCUGAACUGUUGUACAAGACCAAAGGGACAAAUGUCAAGAACUUGAGAGACACUUGGAUUGGGCAAACGAGGUGAGGGGGAGUGCAGCCAUCCGGAUGGCCUCCGAUCAACAAAGAGCUACUGCCUACUACAACCGGAAAGCCCAACCCCAUGCCUUUAAGGUUGGAACCUUAGUCUUCAAAAAGCUCCAAGCUAAUUGGGAGGGGCCUUAUAUUGUCUUGAAGGCUGGAGAAUCUAGGGUUUACCAUCUACAAAAGCUGGAUGGAAUGCCCCUGCUCCACUUAUGGAAUGUAUCUAAUCUAAGGCAAUACUAUCAGUAAAGUAAAAAAAGAAAAAGUGCACAAGAAAGAUAGUGAAAUAUUGCAUUCGCAUUCGUAAGUGAGAAAUUGUUCUUUACAAGUGUUGGCCAGACAAAUCACGGCGAAAUACAAAUGACUUAAUAAUAAAUAAAAAAUGUUUUAUGGCUCGACCGAAGAGUCGGCCAUAGGAAGAAUCUCAUCUCUUCAAGAAGAAUCGUCGGGUACCUCCCCCUUGUCGUCUGAAGGAAAGGAAUGAGUAUCUUAUGUGAUGUCGUUCUUCUUCAUACAACAUCGAUAGCCAUAGAAGAACAUUUCGUCCACUUGCUUUUGAUACUCCUCCUCCAACUCCUUCUUUUGAUCUGUGAAUCCGGCCCAGAGUUCCUCCAACUUUUUCUUCAGUUGGGCAUUCUCCUGCUCGACCUCUUUGCACUUGGCCUUAGUGGCCUUGCCCUCCUCUCUCAACCGGUCAGCCUCAGCAUGGACCGACUCCUUCUCCACCUCCACCAAUUUCAAAGCCUCGACUCCCUCUACAAUAGCCUUCUAUGCAGCGGCAAGGUCGCUCUCCACCUGUUCCAGCUUAAUGCAGAGCUCUUCACCGCCGCCCACGCGAUGGGUGAUGAAAGCCCUCAAAGCCUCAACAACCUCCAAUAGCUCAAAAAGUAGAGCGCGUUGUCGCAUCAGGUUGCGAACUCUGACCACCACCUAAAGGCGAUAACAAAAAUAGAGUAAGCUCGGGAUUAAAGUUCACAUUAUAGCAUAAGAAGGAAGGCAUAGUAGCUUACCACUUUUGCAGUCUCUUGAGUCAUGCAAUCCUGCAAUAGUUGAAUACGGGAGACCGUAGAGUUAGGCGUUCCAAGUGGAAGUUGGGUUGUGAUAGAGAUGAGGAGGUCGCCGCCUAAGCUCACCAAAACUCGGUUAGUGAAAGGAAAAAAGUCUAACAUCUUUGUCGAAUGCAACUCAACAUCAGUGAAGCAAGGCACUCGCCUCAGCAUCUCUAUCAUUUCCUCCUAGCUCGGAAGAGGAACGGAAGUAAGGGCAUCCUUCUAGUCUAAGUAUUCCUCGAUAGGAACCGGACCGUCAGAUGCCCCAUCUUGAACAGGGCAAGUCUCAUUCCUAGUAAGAGACGAGGCAACCAACGCGUUGUUGGACCCUGUAGCAUCUGGAUGGGGCAUUGGCGUCUGGGGAGCAUCUAUGAUAGGCUCUUCGUGAACCUCCUCUGGAUAGGAUCUUUUGGCAGGAGAAGAAACCACCUCAAUAGGAUCAGAUAGUCGUUUGCAUUGUCUCUCCCUAAAGCCCGACCCUCAAGUUGGACGUCGUAUCUUCCUCCACCUCCGGUUUGUAUAUGAUGACGAGUAUCACAGGCUCGAAUUUGGAACUUUGAGGAUCCAAGUCACUCCGUUCAAACCUUGGAAGGUCCAAGUCACCUUCUGAAUCCGGAACAAAGCUAUUUGUUUAUAGAGGUACAGAAAAAGUAGAAGCGGAAAAAGAUUCAGAUACCGAGGCUAGUACCUGAACCACCUUAGUGGAAGACUUCUUCUUCUUAAUUGGAUGGCGGACUACGAAAGAUAAAACAUGGCGUUUCUCACUGCAACCCUUCCUCAACUUUCCCUCUUGUCUUUUCUUCUCCCUCUGAUCAAGGUGCUCCUGGUGAGCUCUAGCGUUCGCCUCAUGUGCUUCUUUGUAGAAGGAGAGAUCCUUCAAAACAUGAUGUUUCCCGAGCACUAUGACCUUUGGGAGCCGCCUAGGGAUAAUGGGGAGAAUGUAAGGCUGGGACUCAUGGAUAACCGCAACCAAAUUCCAGGCAAUCAAAAGCGUCUGGUGGUUCUUUUUGUCGAAAGUGAUCACGAACAGCUUGUUCAGUAGGUCGAACGAAGCUUUCUCCACCCACUCGACCAGUCGACCUCUUCUGUCCUUAUCUGCAUCAAUCAAAAUGGACAGUGUUAGCACUAAAGUGAUAUCAGUUCAACAAAUAAAGACAAUUGAAGAAUCGCUUAAAGCCAUCCCUACCAGGAAUUUUAAGUGAUUCGUCCCAUUAUAGUCGUGCCAUUUGAUUCUGGUCCAGAUGGGUGUUAUCAACAAAAUUUAUAAAACCUAAAUCACCUUACACUAGGGUAGCAUAGCUAACAUAGUAUAGUGGCUCUAUGAUCGUCCACAGGGAUGGGUUUUCAUCAUACAGUUGACUUAAAUGAAGGAAAUAAAAUAGUGUUUUUUCUUAUGAAAAAUUAGCUUUUAAAGAAAAUGAAUUGUGGUUGCAAAGAUUGAUUUUAAGUUAAGCAAAAACAAUAAGUGAAGUUAACUAUAAAGAAAAGAUCUCUUAGAGCUUUAGGUCACUAGGAUUGGGUUUCUUAUACAAAUGGGGAGAUUCCAGAUCUUCUUCUCGCGUUGGGGAUAAUAAUAUAAAGGAUGGUUAUCUCCCGAACCGAUUUUGUAUUUAGCAAUUAAGAUUUGAUCCCAAGGGUUCAUGAAAAAUAAUAGUUGUUUUCCAUUAAUGGCUUCAAACACUAAAGACUCUCACCUUGAACCACCUUCCAAUGGCUUGUAAAUGAUAACUAAUAGACAUCCAUGGAUCUAACAGUAAGCAUCCAUAGAAUCCAAAAAGCUUACCAAGUAUUGGCCAUUCAAGGUGUUUUUAAGGGAUUUAAAGCUAAACCUUAAAAUAAAAACCAUUAAUGGUUAACAACUACUUUCAUUUAAAGCAAGGACAACUCCCAUCUUUGCAUUCGGGUCCUUCACCUAGCUUCCAUCACUCCAAGAAACGUAAAACCUAGCCACUCAUCCCAUGAGAAAUCAUCCUUAAAGGUUGUUUGGCUAGGAAGAAGAGUGAAAACAAAAUGAGAAGGAAAGGCAAAGCAAAAGCUUUGUAUGUUUCUUACUCCUCGAAAUUUACAAGUUUUCAAUGAAAUACAUACAUAUAUAUUUCCCUCUCUCUCUCCCCUCUUAUAUAUAUGCUACCUAAAAGAUAUAUAAAAAGAUAUAAAAGAAAAUAUCUAGGUUGGUUAUAAGGAGAAAUUAGGAAAUUACACAAAAUAUUUGAAGAUGAAAAUCGAACAGAGUCGGUGCACAGGAAGAUUUCGCAUACCAUGCAAAAUUUGGCAUGGUGUGCGAAAUCCUUUGGCUACCUCAAGUGGUUUCGCAUGGUGUGCGAAAUUUCGCACAGCCAUGCAAAAAUGUUGUUUGUUGGAUUUCUUCCUCAGGUUUUCUUCCUUGCAUCUCUGAUUGGCUUGGCAAAGGGCUAUGAAGUGCUCUAAAGCUUGGAUUAUUCAUGUAUUUGAGCUUUAACUUGCAUUGCCAUGGAUUUCACAAAAUUCUCCCUCAUUCUUGGCUUGGUUCAAUAAUCAAAUAGCUACCAAAAACAUUAAAACUGUCAAAAAUUGAUUAGUAACCCUUGCUAGGUUCCUUAAUGUGCCAAUUGAGUUAAAAGGUAUUAACUACUACUCAAAAGUAUUUAAAAUAGUUAGUUUCAAGCUAUAAAAGAGUACUUUUUGAGUAGUAAUCAUUAAGCGAAAAGUUUGGAUGGAAAUCCCUUUCCGAAUGCUCGACUAGGCCAUCCCACGGGCCCCAAACCAGGAUAUGCCUUUGGCUCUACCCUUAUUCAAGUUCGGGAGGUCGGUCACCAAUUGGAGAGAUGGGAUAUGAGCAAACAGGUUGAAGAUAUCUUUUUUGCUCUUCUUGAUGGUAUAGAUAAAGAGGACCUCUAAUAGGGAGAAGUCCAGACAGAAUAACAUGUCUAGGAUAAUGCAUCCCAUCAGCACUCGGACAAUGUUGGGAUGGAUAAAAACGUGAGGAAUUUGGAUGCAGUGUAAAAAUUGUUUGAAAAUAAACAGGAGAGAGAAAUAGAGUCCUGCGUUAAACUACUCCUUGAUGAAGAAAAUAACAUCUCGAGCUUCCUUCUCAGUAGAUGUCAGAUCUUCAUCCACCAAGUGAACGGAGAUGUCACUCAGAAUACAGAAGUGCUCUGAAACUCCCAUUCAAAAAUAAGCUCGGUAGGCUUUUCCGAUUAGGGGCGUCCGAAGCUUGCACCUGUCCGGCCACCCUUCAUAACAACAUUGGUCGAGGCAAUGUCCUUUUUCACUGGCAUACUAGAAGCGAUGGGCCAAGUUAGACCUGCACGAUACAAUGUCGAAUGUUAAAAAAUAGCCACCCGACCUUACCACCAAAAGGCAGUGCCCCUAAAACACACAACAAGCGAUUAUACCAGACUUAGGGUCUGCCCUAUUCAAGGCAUCCGACCGACCCUACCUAUCAGCGAAAAUCCUAACUAUGGAUUUUUUUUCUCUAUGACACCUCAAACAAAGGAAAAACAUACUGCAAACAAACUCUGAAAAAACCCCAACAAAGCAACAAACAUGGCAAACUCUAACCCUAAUAGGGGUUAGCAGGUCAUGCCAUUAACGAGACCUGAUGGCCCAGAAAGACCACAAAUCUAUUUUUACAAGCCUUGAAGCAACCACUUCGCAGUCGACCAAGACCCCCAAACUCCAAAAUAAUCCCCAAACAGCAACAAAUGAAGCUAUCAAGAAAAAUGGAAAAUCGGGGAGUAGUAGAGAAGAAAAACGAGCAUACCAGGAAAAUGUCUUCAACAAAGUGUCGAAGUCGAUCUGUAAAAGGCAAGAAAGAUUAGUCAGAAAGUUCGCUGAAGAAGGAGAAAUGCAGCACAACAAGCCAAAAGGACAAUGACUAUUUGAAUAUGGGAAGUGCGAAACGAAAGAAAAUAGACUGAAAGGACAAAAGUGAAACGACUAGAAAAUGUACUUCUUAGGGAUUAAUUCCCUAUUUAUAAGGAUAGACGCCCUAGAAAUUCCAAAUGACAAGACGCUUAGAAGUGCAUUCUCCAAAGCGACGCGUCGUUUGAUGACAACCUCGAUAACAACGCCUCUCCUUAACACCCUCAGAUGCCACGUGUCCUAAGGUUACUAAAAGGGUUUGAAAAAUGUUUUAACCUGCCAUUUCUGUCCAGACGAAAUACUCGAGUUAAAAUGAGGGAUUGUGGGGGCUUCCCCCAUAUAGCCAUGUGGCAGGCCACUCUUGGUCCACGUGGCAUCCUUCUAUUUCUGUCCGAAUGAUCAUCAUCAAACCGGAGUAUCCUAUCCAGCCAGUAGGUAUCAGAGACCUGUCACAUCGUGAUCCUCUAAAUUGCACAAUGCAUUUUGGGUAGAUAUCCUGGCCCACUCCUACAGGCAAUCAUUCCCCCAAGCCAUCAAUAUGUUUGACGGGACGUCACUUUGCCUUCGCAGGCGAGCUACUACAUGUUGCACCAUACUUUCUGCAAAGUGAGGUGACAAGCAAACCAUCAUGUCAUCCCCACUGGUAGCCCCAAUCAGCCACCUAAAUGGUGAUGAUUGCCCUACCAUGAACUGUGCUACCAUCAUGACUGUGAAAGUCAAGAUGCCACCUCAGCGCAGACGUGACCCCGUCGCAAACACUAUAAAAACCCUCAUACAACCAAAAUCCAGGUACGCAAUACAAGAAGCUUGAUAUAGCUCCAAAGAAUGAGCGAUUUCUCGAGCUGGUUUUAACCAAUUGACUUGGGCUUCGAAGGGUGUGUCCGAACAACUUGUUUGGACAUCUUUUUGCAGGAAAGAAAAGAGAAGUCGGUCCUCACCUACUGUAUUCAGUCAUUUCCUACUAUAACAAGGAGAAACAUCAUCUCCAGUUGAUUUAGCAUCAACAGGUGAGAGUUAAACAUGUAAUUUAUAAGUAUCCACCUCAUUCUCAUUAAUAGACACAAAAAAUAUUAACAUUUCAGCUAUGUUCAAUUCCCAAAAAAAUUGAGGGACAAUAUAAAAGAAAGAAAAUAAAAAAGAAAAAUAGAAAGAAAAAAAAAGUAAAAAAUAAAUAAAAAAUAAAUUUAAAGUUAAUAAAUUAUUUUUAUAUGUUAUUUCAAACUCAUUUCACAUAUUUUUCUUAUUUUAUAUGAAUAUUAAAUAAUUUAAAAAUAUAUACAAUUUUCAUUUAUUUUUUAUUUGAUUUUGUAUUUUUCAUAAUGAGAUUAAAAAUGAGAAAAUAACUUUUUUAAUAUACAUAUUUUUAAUACUUUUUGAAAUCAAACAUAGAAUAAAACAUUUGAACAUGAAAACCACUAAAUUCAAUAUACACUCAACAUUUGUCAAAAUGGAAAAGAUUAACGCUUACUGAGUGAUGGCUUUGUACACUCUUCCAAAACUAUCACUUCUAGAAACCUAACAUUUUCCCAAGAACUGUCAUGGAUCUUCAAUUUCCCAUUGUCAAGGGUUUUAGUAAUAGCCCAAUGCUCUAGUUUUGAAUUUCCACCCAUUCGUUUAGCAACGAUCGGCAUGAUAUUAAAUAAUCAUCAUUAUAAUUAUGUGAAGGUAUAUUUGCAUAAUCAUCAUCAACGUUGAAAUGCAUGCAUAGUACCUGAAAAAUUAUAAAGAUCCAUUAGAACCAAAAAUAAAAAAUAAAAAAUCUAAGCCCAGAGAAGGAUAACAAGGAGUUUUGAAUAUUGAGAAGACUGUUGACACAAUGGAUUAUCUUGAACCUAUAGAGUAACUACAAUACUUUGGAUGUAAACAAUUAUGUUGAACCAUAUCAAAAUUUGCUAUUUACAUCUUCUCUAUACUUUAUCUCUUCUAACAUUUUAUAUUAUUUAGUAUUUAUUUUAGUAUCUAUUACUUGCAUAUUUGUAAAAUUUCUAAAAAUAGACUAUUACUAAUUCACUCCCUUUUUAGGUGAUUACCUAAGUUUUUUAUAGUAAACUUCAGAAUAUUCACUUUCAAAGAUUGUCAUGAGCUCCCCUAAAACAUUAUGUAUUGUAAAUUUAAGAAGUAAAAAUAAAUAAAUAAAUUAAACAAUUGUUGUGAUUUUAAUACUUACUCAUUUCCUAGAACCUUAACUUUUUCCAAAGUGUCAUAGAUCUUCGAUUUCUCAUUUCCAUGGGUGGUAGAAAUAGCCCCAGGCUCUAGCUUUGAAUUUCAACCCACUUGUAAAGGCAACCUUUGUCUAGCAAUGACCCGUAUGAUGUGGAUAAUCAUCAUUAUCAUGGAAAAACAUACGUAAACACCUUCAAGAUUAUAAAAAUCCAUUAAAACUUGAGAAAUAUAGGUAUAAAGAAGGAUAAGAAAAAUCUUGAUUGAGAAGAAUGGUGAUAUAGUAGAUCAUCUUAAAACCUACGAAGGAGCUCCAAGGCAUAGUGUGCUGAACCGCAUUAAAAAUUGUUAUUUGCAUAUUCUCUACCUUUUAUCCAUUUACUUUAAGUAUUUUAUAAUAUCUAGUAUUUAUUUUGAUAACAACUAACCAACACAUUUGUAAAAAUUCUAAAAAUAGACCAUCAAUAAUUCACCUUUUUGGCUGAUUACGUAUGGUUUCCAUGAUAGACUUCACAAUAUUCACUUUCUAAGAUCAUAGUGAGCUCCCUCUUUUAACGGGAUGGGGUAAGGUUUAUGAACUAAAGCUAUGAAUAAAUAAAAUUGCAAGGAUAAUUGCUCACAGUUUUAAAUUGCAGAAUCCAUUUCUUAGAGUUUUUCGAAAACACUUCUAGUAUAAAAAACAUUUUUGAUAUAAAAAAAUAGAUAUUUAACAAAAGUUUCAAACACUUUUAAAAAGUCACAAAAACCAUUUCUAGUGUUUUUUUCGAGAAAUAUUUGAUAGAUGAUUAUCCUAAAAUAUCUUAGAGAGAAAGUAAUUCAAAUGAAAAUAUGUUCAAACUUAGGUGGUGUUUUAUUGAUUUAUUUUUACUUAAUUCUAAAUAGAAAUUAAAACUAAAUAGUCAUUAAAUAGUGUUAAGUAUGAAGUUAUUUGCUUUUAUAAUAUUUUAUUUCUAUUAAGCAAUAAAAAAUAAAGAAAUUUUUUUAUUUCUAUUAAAUAUUAAAAUAUAAAGAAAAACCAACAUAUUAUUUUUUGCAUUUAGAAAAAGUUAAAUAUUUUGCUUUUUUCUAUUCAACAAAAAAAAAUAUAAAAAGCCAUAAAAAAGUAGAAAAACAAAUAAUUUAAAGUCUGAAAGUAAAUUACUUUAAGCAAAAAAUUUAAGAAAACAAACACCCUUUAAGUAUCCACCUCAUUCUCGUUAAUAGAAACAAGAAACAUGAUACGAAGAGUGCAUUUGAUAAUAUUUCUAUUCCAAAUGUUUGUGUAAAAUUAUUUUUUAAAUGAUCACCUAUUAAGUGCUUCUUCAAAAAUUAAUAUUACAAGUAAUUUUUCAAUUUUUUAAAAUGUGUUUUUCUAAAUUUUACCAAAUCUCGUAUUUUUCUUCUACUCAUAAUUCAAUACCCAUUCAACAUAAUAAGAGGAGAGAUUGACGGGUGAUGGAUUUGUACACUAUCCCAAAACUCCCAAGUCCUAGAAGCUCAACCGUUUCCCAGAAGUUAUAAAUCUUGAAUUUCUCAUUCUCAUAGAUUUUAGCAAACGCACUAGGAUCUAGCAUUGAAUUUCCACCUGAAUACAUGCUGGUAGGCAUGGUAACAUACAAUGAUUUAUCCUGUAAGAAGAUCUACCAAGAACUAGACUAUUGUGAAACAAACUUUUGAACAGUUACUAGGGGGAGAAUAACACUUACUGGGUGAUGACUUCGUGCAUUCUACCAAAACUCCCACUUCCUAGAAGCUCAACCUUCGGCCAAGAACUAUCCAUGGAUCCUCAAAUUCCCAUUCCCAUGGGUUGCAGCAGUAGCCAUGGGCUGUAGCUUUGAAUUUCCACCCACUGGUUUGAAAGCCAACUUCUCUUUAGUGACGGCCCACAUCAUAGGGCUAACCAUUUCCAUGGAUGAGAGGACCGAAGCUUAUACCACUUCAAUCAUUACUUCGAUCGAAGAAAGAGGCAUGAUCAGGAUAAUCAGAUGCGUCAACGAUGCGACCAAACUGAGAGAUUUUCUCACCAUUAUCGCUUCCCUCAAAGAAAGCCACAUGAUUUUGGCCCAACCAAGAGAUGCUUUGGUUGAUGAUAGCAAAAGCUCCUGCUUCAAACCAUCAAUAAUAUAUCAAUGGCCCGCCGGAUCUACCCUCUUCCCAUGAAUUAUUUAUUUACUUGAGGAAUGAGUCAAGCUUAUAAAUUAUUUAUAGGUUAAUUUCAUUCACCACCCCUAAGGUUUUGAUUAAAUACAUCUAACUCUCACAGGUUUGAAAUUUUAUCAAAUACCUCAUCUAUCCUUUUCAUUUUUUAUUUUCACUCAGUCUCCCUUCUUACUCAAAAUAAGUGAAGUAUAUGAUGAAAUUUCAAACUUCUCAGUAUUAGAUAUACUUAGCCAAAAACUCAAGGAAGGUGAAUGAAAUUAACCCAUUAUUUAUUUGGUUGGCAGAGUAGUAAAUGAAGGUUCUUAUCAUGCUUGAAGUCAGACAUAGAUCCGAAACUUCAAUUUUGAGAAACACUUUAAAAAAAAAAAUGAUAAAGUAUUAAUUUUUUUUAUAAAGCCUUUGAUAGAUUAUUAGUUUAAAGAUUUUUUUAGAGGAGAUAGCAACACUCUGAAACUCUCACUAUUACUCCACUCAAGAUCAUCAUUCAUUUAUAAAAAAAUGUCACCUUAUAUUUGUUUCUAAAUCUUUAAUUUAAUAAAUAAGAUUAAAUAUAUUGUGUUUAAUUCUUUCUACUUUAAAAAUAAAAAAUAAAAUUAUAAAAAUGGAUCUAAUUUCACUUAACUUUUUUAUUUUCAUUUAUGUUAUUCAUGGCCUCCCAAGAACCUCUGCAGAAAGAGUUCAAAUCAGAAUCAAAGAAAAAUACAAUGGAGUAGUAUCGUAUGACUUUCUAACCUACGAAGAACUAAUAAACUUCGUAAACCAAGAAGUUUAUCUCUUUGCCCGCUUAUCAAAGUUAAUGUUAAGAUCAAGAAAGAUCUUAGAACCUCAAAGAAAGAAUUAGGAUCUUUUUGUGCGGGUAUGAGAAGAUUCUUCCACCCUCUAUUAAAAAAGAAAAUAUUAUAGGUCAAAACAUAGAAAACCAAAAUCAAACUGAAAAUACUCAAAAUAUAGAGGAAAAGAAAAACAAGAUUAUCAAAGAUCAAAAUCUAAAGAACAUUCAAAGAAAAUAUACAAAAGGGAAAUAAAAUUUUUCAAAUGUGGUAAAAAGGGACACGUAGCCCCAAACUAUAAAAUCAAAGAAAUUAUAAAAGACAUAGACAUACGAAGCCUUCUCAAGGAAUAGAUGACUAAUCUAAUCAAAUCAAAAUCUUCUAACUAAAUGUCCUCAAAGACAACAAGUAGUGAGGAACAACUCCUUCUAAUCGAAGAAGACUCUUUUGAAACCUUUGAUGACCUUUCCUUAAAUCCUCUUGCAACUGUGUAGAAAAUUGCCUUUGUAAUAUCAAAACUAUUAAUGUCCUAACAAGUGAACAAAACCUCUUAAUAAAAAUGAUAGAUAAAAUUCCAGACCCUCAAAUCCAACAUGAAUAUAUCAAAAAAUAUUUAGAAUUUCAAAAACAAGAAAGAGAGACUAGGGAAGCAAAUACAAAUCAAUAUAGUCUAAAACCUAUUUUGGAUCAACCUCUAAACCAAAAACAACAAAUAUUCAAGAUCUUCAAAAUGAAAUAAGUCAAAUUAAGCUUCAAAUUAGAGACUUAAUAAUUCAAAAUGAAGGAUUAGACAUUAGGCUUCAAAAAUUAGAAAAUCAUCUAAUAACCUUUAAACAGGAAAAUAAGUUAAAAACAGUAGGAUAUCAACCUGAAACCCUUACACAUAGAUUAUAAAAUUUCAAAUGUAUACAUAUGCAAUCAAAAUGUUUGUUAUAAAACCUCCUUCCUUCUAGUAAAAAAUAUGCAACAAGAAGUAAUAUUGGGAACACCUUUCUUAACUCUACUUUAUCCAUUUAAAGUAGAUAAAGAAGGAAUAAAAACAAUUAUAAAGGGCAAACGAUUUGUUUUGAGUUUGCUAGUCCUAUCAAACACAAAGAACUUAGCCUUCUCCACAAUGAUGGAAUGAAGCAACUGAAUUUAAUUCAAAAGAAAAAAAAACAUAUCAAAUUCCUAAGUAAAGAAAUUCAUUAUCAAAGAAUAGAAGAAAACCUCCUUCAAAGACAGAUCCAAGAUAUAAUAAAUAAAGUCAAAAACCAAAUUGAAACAUAACUAUGCUCUUCAGUUCCUAAUGCUUUUUGGGACACAAAGAAACAUGAAGUUUCUUUGCCUUAUAUAGAAGGAUUUAAUGAAAAUCAAAUUCCUACUAAGGCAAGGCCCAUUCAAAUGAAUGAACAUAUGUUAGAAUAUUAUAAGAAAGAAAUUUAAGAUCUCUUGGACAAUAACCUAAUAUGAAAAAGCCACUCACCUUGGAUUUGUGCGGCAUUUUAUGUUAAAAAGCCUUCAGAGAUUGAAAGAGGUGUUCCAAGACUUGUAAUCGAUUACAAGCCCUUAAAUAAGGUCCUCAAAUGUAUUGGGUAUCCAAUACCUAAUAAACGAGAUCUUAUUGGACGUCUUCAUAAUGCUUUGAUCUUUUCAAAAUUUGACAUGAAGUCUGGAUUUUGGCAAAUUCAACUUCAUGAAAAAGACAAAUACAAAAUUGCAUUCACAGUUCCAUUCGGGCACUAUGAAUGGAAUGUGAUGCCAUUCGUUUUGAAGAGUGCUCCUUCAGAAUUUCAAAAUAUAAUGAAUGGCAACUUCAAUCCCCAUACUAACUUCUCUAUAGUAUACAUUGAUGAUGUACUUAUAUUUUUUUAAUUCCAUUGAGCAUUAGUUUAAACAUCUAAACAUCUUUCAAAAUAUUGUUAAAGAAAAUGGUUUAGUGGUUUUAGCCCCUAAGAUUAAACUAUUUCAAACCAAGAUUAAGUUCUUAGGAUUCGAAAUAUACCAAAGGAAAGUCAAACCUAUUCAAAGAUCUAUAGAGUUUGCUAGCAAGUUUCUUGAUGAAAUCAAAGAAAAAACCCAACUUUAAAGGUUUUUAGGAAGUCUGAAUUAUGUGUUGGACUUCUACCCAAAUCUUAAAACCUUAAUCAAACCCUUCUAUCAUAGGCUUAGACAAAAUCCCAAGCCCUAGACUCAAGAACACACAUAUAUAAUCAAAAUUGUCAAACAAUAGUUUAAAAGUCUUCCUUGCUUAGAAAUCCUUAAUCUUUUAGUAUUUCCUAUUAUAGAAACAAAUGUCUCUAAUAUAUGGUGAUUACUACUCAAAAAGUGUUAUUUUAUAGCUUGUAAUUAACUCUUUUAAACACUUUUGAGUAGUAGUUAUUACCUUUUAACUCAAUUGGCAUGUUAAGGACCCUUGCAAUCGUUUCUAAUCAAAUUGUGUUAAGUUUUGGUGUUUUUCAUAGCUUUUUGAUCACUAAAGCAAUCCAAGAAUGAGGGAGAUCUUUGUAUAGUUCAUGGAAAAGCAAUUUGAAGCUCAAAUUCAUGAAAAAAACUAAGCUUUGGAGCUUCAUAACCCUUUGCCAAAGCCAAACGAGGAUACAAGGAAGAAAAUCACAGAAGAAAUCAACCAUCCAGCAAUUUCGCAAGUUGUGGAAUCCAACUUGCAAAAUUUUCUCAACUUGGAAAUAGGAAGAGCAAAGAAAUCGCUGCAAGAUAGAGAACUAAUUAGUUGCAGGACAAUUUCGCAACUUGUGAAACCACAAUUUCAACUUGCAAAAUGGACAAUUUCAACUUGCAAAAUUUUCGCAAGUUGCGUUUGAACUUGCGAAAUCCACCUGUAAUCUGAGAUAUUUGCGCUCCUACUCCGUUUGAUGUUUAUCUUCAGAUAUUUGUGUGUAAAUCCCUAUUUUCUCCUUGUAACCCACCAAUGACAAGUUUUUUUAUUGGAAAAUUAGCAGAAGGGAUGAAUAGCCUCUCUAUAUAAUAUCUAUUGUAAUGUUCUUUUAAAAAGAUCUCUAGGGAGUUUUUCUCGAAGACGAACUUUGUAUAGUUUUUCAGAAAGUAAUACACAGAGCUUUGCUCUAUCUUACCUUCUCAUUUUGUUUUCUCUUUUAUUUUUAUUUCUAGCAAAUCAAACUCUGAGGAUGUUUUCCUAGAGGAUGAGUGGCUAGGCUUUUUGUUUCUUGGAGUGAAGAAAGCUAGGUAAGGUUCCGAAUACAAAAGUGGAAGUUUCGUUGUUUCAAUUUUUAAUGAAGAGAAAGUGUGACCCGUUAAUGGUUUUUAUCUUUUUAAUUAACUUAAAAUCCCUUAAAAUCACCUGGGCCAACACUUGGUAAGGCAAGUGGACUCCGUCCGUUGAGAUCCACUAAUUUAUCUCUUGCGAGCCUCUGAAGGUGGUUUAAAGGUAGGAUUAUCUAGAAUAGCCAACACUUGGUAAGCUUUUGAACUCCUAGGAGACAUCCAUUAGUUAUCUCUUGCGAGCUUUUGACGGGUAAUCCAAGGUUAAGGAUCACCUUGAAUGGCCAAUACUAGGUGAGAGGUAUGAACCAUUGCAAGACGAUUCAGUGACAGGGAUUUAGUGUUUGAAACCAUUAAGGGGAAGCAUUUGUACCACACCGGUUCAGGAAAUAACUAUAUGUUAAAUCUCCAAUGCGAGGAAAAGAUCCAAGUGACCGGAAUCUCCCUUUUUGUAUAAGGAACCUGAGCCUAGUGAUCUAAAACUCCAAGAAGCACUUUUCUUUGUAAGUAAUUUUAGUUACUUUAUUUUUUGUUUCACUUAAAACCAACCUUUUCACACAUACUUAUGUUUUCUUUUAAAGUUAACCUUGAAAAGAAAAAACACCAAUUUAGUUUUUGAACUAAUAUCAGUUGUAAUUUGAAAACCCAUCUCUGUGGACGAUCCUAAAGCCACUUUGCUAUGCUAGCUAAUGCUACCCUAGUAUAUGGUGAAAUAGGUUUAUAAAUUUUGUUAAUUACUCCCGUUUGAGGACUGAAAUCAAAGCACACCAGUUGGUUAAACACCAAUCAACAGGGCAUACACCAGCUGGGCACGAAUCAAAUGGUGCCGUUAUCGGGGAUGGUGCCAACUUUACAGUGAUAUAACCUUUUCCAAAACACUUGUGAUCUUCAUGACAAGUUUGAUGACUUUUCUCUUCUUUUACUAACUCUUUUUAAUUGUUUUUUUUACUUGUUCAUAUUUUAGCCUAUCUUUUAAUUUAGUUUUUAGUUAAUCUUAGUUUUUUUUUUGUAGUAUUGUUUUCUUUUGUUUUCUUUGUUUUUGUUACAGUUGUUACUAGUUGUGUAUGCCAUAUUGGAUACGAGACAGUGGAGGAAGACAUGUGAAAAUUGAAACACCUCACAAAACAGGGUUGGAAUUGUGCUUGAACAUCAUGGAAGCUACACCUGAAGAUCAGCAUAGUCACCAUGGUCAGCAGGACAAUCCUAAUGCAUUCAGAUCAAUGAGGAACCGCAUGCAUCCACCUCGUAUGAGUGCACCAUCAUGCAUAGUGCCUCCUAUAGAGCAGCUAGUAAUCAGACUACAUAUUGUGCCACUUCUACCUACUUUCCAUGGGAUGGAAAGUGAGAAUCCCUAUGCGCAUAUUAAAGAAUUUGAAGACAUUUGUAAUACAUUCCAAGAGGGAGAAGCUUCAAUCGACUUGAUGAGGCUAAAACUAUUUCCUUUCACUCUAAAGGAUAAGGCCAAAAUUUGGCUUAAUUCUUUAAGGCCAAGGAGUAUCUGAAAUUGGACUGAUUUGCAAGCUGAAUUUCUCAAGAAAUUUUUCCCUACUCAUAGGACCAAUGGCUUGAAAAGGUAAAUUUCAAACUUCUCAAUUAAAGAGAAUGAGAAAUUCUAUGAGUGUUGGGAGAGAUACAUGGAAGCUAUCAAUGCUUGUCCUCACCAUGGCUUUGAUACAUGGAUAUUGGUGAGCUACUUUUAUGACAGUAUGUCUUCCUCAAUGAAACAACUCCUAGAGACUAUGUGCGAAGGAGAUUUCAUGAGUAAGAAUCUGGAGGAAGCCAUGGAUUUCUUGAAUUAUGUUGUUGUCAAGAUGAUGGGAUGAACCAAACAGGGGAGAAGUGGGAAGAAUGAAGUUUCAACCAAAUGCUCUUAAUGCUAAGGUUGGGAUGUAUACCUUGAACGAAGAUAUUGACAUGAAAGCAAAAGUUGAGCUAUGACAAGAAGAUUGGAGGAGCUAGAACUGAAAAAGAUACAUGAAGUGCAAGCCAUUUCUGAAACACCAGUGCAAGUUAUGCCCUGUUCCAUUUGUCAAUCUUAUGAGCACUUGGUGGAGGAGUGUCCUACAAUUCCAGCUGUUAGAGAAAUGUUUGGAGAUCAAGUAAAUGUUAUUGGACAAUUCAAGCUCAAUAACAAUGCUUCAUAUGGAAAUACCUACAAUUCAAAUUGGAGGAAUCAUCCAAAUUUCUCCUGGAAACCAAGAGCACUUCAGUACAUGCAACCAGACCAAGCAUCUCAACAAACUUCAAAUCUUGAGCAAGCAAUAGUGAAUCUAAGCAAGGUCGUGGGAGAUUUUGUUGGAGACCAGAAAUCCAUCAACGAUCAACUCAGUUAAAGAAUCGAUAGUGUAGAGAAUACGGUGAAUAAAAGGAUGGAUGGAAUGCAAAAUGAUCUAUCUCAGAAGAUAGAUAAUCUCCAAUACUCAAUCUCAAGGCUCACCAACCUUAACACAGUGCAAAAGAAAGGAAGGUUUCCUUCUCAACCUCACCAAAACCCCAAGGGUAUCCAUGAAGUGAAGGCUCAUGAGGGAAAAUCUUCAUAGGUGGGGGACAUCAAAGCCAUGAUCACUCUGAGGAGUGGUAAAGAGGUUGGGCUGCCAACACCUAAGCUACAUGAUGAAAUAGAGAGUGAAAAAGAGACAGAGAAGAUGGAGGAAAUCAAAGGAAAGAAGAAAGGGAGCAGUGGAAGGAAAGAGGACCAUGAUUCAACAGUGAAUGAAGAUCCGGAAAAGAUAGUUAUCAAUGAAGAUGUGAUGAAGAAACACAUGCCUCCACAUUUUCCUCAAGCUUUGCAUGGGAAAAAGGGAAUCAACAAUGCAUCAGAAAUUCUUGAAGUAUUGAGGCAAGUGAAGGUCAACAUCCCAUUGCUAGACAUGAUCAAACAAUUGUCGACUUAUGCAAAAUUCCUGAAGGACUUGUGCACUAUAAAAAAAGGGUUGAAUGUGAAUAAGAAAGCCUUCUUGACUGAGCAAGUAAGUGUCAUCAUACAGUGCAAGUCUCCAGUGAAGUAUAAAGAUCUGGGUUGUCCUACCAUCUCAGUGAUGAUUGGAGGGAAGUUAGUGGAGAAAGCUUUGUUGAACUUGGGGGCAAGUGUGAAUUUGCUACCAUACUCUGUCUACAAGCUAUUGGGACUUGGUGAAUUGAAGCCAACAUCAAUCACUCUAUCUCUAGUAGAUAGAUCAGUGAAGAUUCCAAGAGGGAUGAUUGAAGAUGUCUUAGUUCAAGUUGACAAUUUCUACUAUCCAGUGGAUUUUGUUGUUCUUGAUACGGACCCAAUUGUCAAAUGAACUAAUUAUGUUCCUAUCAUACUUGGAAGACCAUUCCUACCUACAUCAAAUGCAAUCAUCAAUUGUAGGAAUGGACUCAUGCAACUCAUGUUUGGCAACAUGACAUUAGAGCUCAAUAUCUUCUAUAUGUGCAAGAAGCCAAUCAAUCCGGAAGAAGAAGAAGGUCCAGAAGAGGUGUGCAUCAUUAACACUUUAGUGGAGGAGCAUUGUAAUAAAAAAAAUACAAGAGGAGUUGAAUGAAAGUCUUGGGGAUCUUGAUGAAGGGUUACCUGAACCCUCAUAUUUGCUUGCUACUCUACCACCUUAGAGGAGGAUAGAAUAAAUUCUACAUUUGUUCAAUGAGGAAGAGACACAAGAAGCUGUUAAAUAGGAGGCCUCAAAGUUUAUUCUGAAGCCACUACCCACGGAGUUGAAGUAUGCAUACCUAGAAGAGAAUAAGAAGUGCCCCGUUGUUAUAUCUUCAUCUCUUACCACUCUUCAGGAGGAGUGUUUACUUGAAGUUCUCAGAAGAUGUAAGAAAGCAAUAGGAUGGCAAAUAUCUGACUUGAAAGGUAUUAGCCCUUUAGCCUAUACACAUCAUAUAUACAUGGAAGAAGAAGCUAAGCCAGUUCGUCAACCUCAAAGAAGAUUGAAUCCUCAUAUGCAAGAGGUGGUGCGAGCUGAGGUUCUUAAGCUACUUCAAGCCGGUAUUAUCUAACCCAUAUCAGAUAGCCCAUGAGUAAGUCCUACUCAAGUAGUGCCAAAGAAAUCAGGGAUCACAGUGGUGCAAAAUGAUAAGGGAAAAGAAGUUGGUACAUGUCUCACUUCAGGUUGGAGGGUGUGUAUUGAUUAUAGAAAACUGAAUGUUGUGACAAGGAAGGAUCAUUUUCCAUUGUCAUUUAUUGAUCAAGUGUUGGAGAGAGUCUCAGGCCAUCCUUUCUAUUGUUUCUUGGACGGCUACUCCAGGUAUUUUCAAAUAGAAAUUGAUGUUGAAGACCAGGAGAAGACCACUUUCACAUGUCCAUUUGGAACAUAUGCCUACAGAAGAAUGCCUUUUGGUUUAUGCAAUGCACCUACAACAUUCCAAUGAUGUAUGUUAAGUAUUUUCAGUGAUAUGGUGGAGCGUAUUAUGGAAGUUUUUAUGGAUGAUAUUACCAUAUAUGGAAGCACAUUUGAGGAAUGCUUAGUCAACUUGGAAGCUGUUCUGAACCGAUGCAUUGAAAAGAACUUAGUGCUUAACUGGGAGAAAUGUCAUUUUAUGGUACAUCAAGGAAUUGUCCUUGGCCACAUCAUCUCCAAGAAAGGCAUUGAAAUUGAUAAAACAAAGGUGGAACUUAUUGUCAAAUUGUCAUCCCUAACAACUAUAAAAGGAGUAAGGCAAUUCCUUAGCCAUGUUGGGUUCUAUAGAAGGUUUAUUAAAGAUUUCUCUAAACUUUCAAAGCCUCUUUGUGAACUAUUGGUGAAGGAUGUUAAAUUCGUAUGGGAUGAGAGAUGUCAAAAGAGUUUUGAGCAACUAAAAUAGUUCUUGACAACCGCUCCAAUAGUGAGGGCUCCUAACUGGCAACUACCUUUUGAAGUGAUGUGUGAUGCCAGUGACUUUGCUAUAGGAGUUGUUCUGGGUCAAAGAGAGGAUGGAAAGCCCUAUGUGAUCUACUAUGCAAGCAAAACAUUGAACGAAGCGCAAAGAAACUACACAACCACAAAGAAAAAAUUGUUGGCUAUAGUUUUUACCUUGGACAAAUUUCAUGCUUAUCUGGUAGGGUUUUUCAUUGUGGUUUUCAUUGACCACUCAGCUUUGAAGUACUUAUUGACAAAGUAAGAUGCAAAAGCAAGGCUGAUUAGAUGGAUUCUCUUACUACAAGAGUUCAAUCUCCAAAUUAAAGACAAGAAAGAAGUGGAGAAUGUGGUAGCUGACCACCUUUCAAGGCUGGCUAUAGCGCAUAAUUCCCAUGGUUUGCCUAUUAAUGAUGAUUUUUCGAGGGAGUCACUCAUGUUGUUAGAAGAUGCUCCUUGGUAUACUCAUAUUUCUAACUAUCUAGUUACUAGUGAAGUUCCAAGUGGGUGGAAAGCACAAUAUAGGAAGAACUUUUUCUUUUCAAGUAUUGUGCAGAUCAAAUAAUAAGGAAGUGUGUCCCUAAACAAAAGCAAUAGGGGAUCCUCAGUCAUUGCCACAAAAGCGCAUGUGGAGGCCACUUUGCCUCUUAGAAAACAACCAUGAAGGUGUUGCAAUCAGGUUUUAGUUGGCCAUCACUUUUCAAAUAUGCUCACACCAUGUGCAGGAGCUAUGAUAGAUGCCAAAGGCUUGGGAAGUUAACACGUAGGAACCAAAUGCCUAUGAACCCCAUUUUAAUAGUUGAUCUUUUCGAUGUUUGGGGCAUUGACUUCAUAGGACCUUUCCCUAUGUCUUUUGGUAACUCUUACAUUUUGGUGAGGGUAGACUAUGUUUCUAAAUGGGUUGAGGCAAUCCCAUGUAAACACAAUGACCACAAAGUUGUUCUCAAGUUUCUCAAAGAGAACAUCUUCUCAAGAUUUGGGGUGCCCAAGGCCAUAAUCAGUGAUGGAGAUACUCAUUUUUGCAACAAGCCUUUUAAAACUCUCUUAGCCAAGUAUGGGGUGAAGCACAAGGUAGCUACACCUUACCACCCUCAAAAUUCUGGGCAAGUUGAGUUAGCAAACAGGGAAAUCAAGAAUAUAUUGAUGAAGGUAGUGAACACGAGUAGAAGAAAUUGGUCUGUUAAGCUCCAUGAUUCACUAUGGGCAUACAGAACAGCUUACAAGACUAUUCUUGGCAUGUCUUCUUAUCGCCUAGUCUAUGGCAAAUCAUGCCAUCUCCCUAUGAAAGUUGAAUACAAGGCUUGGUGGGUAAUUAAGAAGGUAAACAUGGACUUGAACAAAGUCGGGAUGAAGAGAUGCUUAGAUCUUAAUGAGAUGGAGGAAUUGAGAAAUGAUGCCUACAUCAAUUCCAAAAUUGCAAAACAGGGGAUGAAGAGGUGGCAUGAUCAGUUAAUAUCUAACAAAGAAUUUCAAAAGGGACAAAGAGUCUUACUCUAUGACUAUAGGCUCCACAUCUUUCCAAGAAAGCUCAAAUCAAGGUGGAUAGGCCCUUUCAUUAUUCACCAAGUGCAUUCCAAUGGAAUAGUGGAACUACUCAAUUCCAACAGCACAAACACUUUCAAAGUCAAUAGUCACCGUCUCAAGCCAUUCAUGGAGCCUUUCAAUCAAGACAAUGAGGAAGUCAGUCUCCUUGAGCCACAACAAUCUUAACCAAAAAGGGGUAGAUGGACUUAGUAUUUCUAAAGACUAACCAAAGUCCAUGUUUUUUGUUUCAAUUUUGUUGAUUUAAAAGCUUUAUUAUUUGUUUUAAUUUUAAUUCUAGCUUUAAUUUAUUUUAUUUUGAUCUAACUUAGACUUUUUGGAUGAUCAAAAUUAGAAGGAACUUCAAAGGAAUUGAAGGAAAGCCUUAAAGAACCAAAGAAGGAGAAAAAGCCUGAAAAACAAAGCAAUAUUUCAACUUGCAAAAAUUUCGUAAGUUGAAAUUCCAACUUGCGAAAAUGGGGGCCAACUUGCGAAAUCCUCAAAGCUCAAAUUCGCAAGUCCACCAUUCAACUUGCAAAAAUUUUCGCAGCCUGCGAAAGCACCUCCAAGCACACAUGUGCCAUUUCGCAAGUUCGUUUUCCAUUUUCACAGCCUAUGAAUCAACUUACGAAUCAAGUUGCGAAAUGGGGCAACUUGCGAAUUCCAGGGAACUUGCAAAAAUGCCAACCGUCAUUAAAUCCAUAUUUAAACCCCUAAUUCUUCCAUUUUCAUUUUGCACAGCCAUUCCAAGUUGCGAAAAAGCCCUAUCAAGUUGUAAAGCCCCAAAUUCCAGAGCAUCUCCUCCAUUGUAAGCCCUAAGGUCGUGCAUCUGAAGAGGAAACGCCUCCGCGUACCCAACAUGCACCCUGUGGAACACAAGCCGAGAAAUUCCUCUCCAUUUCAGCCAUGGCCAAGACAAGAGGAGCCCAUGUCGUGUUUCCAUCAACUCGCAAUCCAAGGCCAAGAGCUUUACCUGCACGGGAUUCCACAUCUGAGGCCCCAUAGGCCCCUACCAUUCCACCUUUUGAGGGUAGAGUGCGAUCUAACCCUCCUCAGCAUAGGUAUGAAACGAGGAGACCACCCACUACACUUGGGGCAAGCACUUUGCGCCCCAAGAGAUCAGUUCGUCACCCUCCUGCAAAGAAAGCUAAAGUUUCAGGCCCAGGAGAGUCAUCUGCACCUCCACACCCUCAGCCGCCUGCUAUAGAGUCUCAGAUUCCUUCUAGGAUGACUCCAGAAGCAAUUAUCAAGCGACCUAUGGUUACACAACCACCUAUUGAGGGAAAUUUGGAUUACAGAGCUAGGCUAUUCCACUCCAAGCUAUGUUUUGAUAUGUAGACUUUCAAACAGAAGCCGAAGCUUAGAGAUUCAUUCCGCCUACUACAGAGAUACCAUUUGGAGCACCUGAUGACUCCUAGAGACUUCUUCUAUCCUAGAGUAGCACUAGACUUCUAUCAGUCUAUGACUACUCAUCACGUCCAGAAUCCUAAUGUCACACUUCACUAUUGAUGGACGCCAUGGUAUCCUUGGAGCUAGACAGAUUGCAGAGGCCCCGCAUAUUCCAUAUGAGCCUGUGAGUCCAGCAGAUUUCAGAGAGUGGUCCCAUUUUUCUCAGAGAGACAUGGUCCGUAUAUUGUCCAGGGGGACCUCUACACGCUCAUUUCUUCUAAGGAAAGAGCUUCCACCUGGGAUGCUCCUUGUAGAUGUGGUGUUGCGCUCCAACAUCUUUCCACUUCAGCAUAUGGUGCAAAGUAGAGGAGCUAUAUUGGAGUUUUAUUCCGAAUAUCAGAGGGUUUCUGCUUUGGCCCUCAUCAUUUGAUUAUGACCUCUCUUCUCCACUUUGAAGAGAAGGUCCACAGGAAGAAGCUCCAAAGAGCAUAUGCCAUUCCAUUACUUUUUCCCAGGCUACUCUGUCAGAUAUUAGAGCAUUUGGGUUAUCCUUCUGAGCCUCAGCUUGAGCGUCACCGCAUUUUUCGAGAGCUAUUCACUCUUAACAAAUGAAAUCAUUUAACGGCCUAUGUUGCACCUCCAAGAGCCCCAGAUAUGCCAGCACCUCUAAAGCCACCACAGGAUGAGCAGCCACCACAGACACAACAAGCACAGUAGGCUGAGAUACCUACAGAGAUCAUACCACCUGCCCCUGCAGCACCUUCUACAGUGCCCACACCUGAGGCUACAUCUUUUGCUCCUCCUACCACUCCUAAAGCUCCACCAGUUGUACCAGUUACAUCAUCACCUCCUCCAUCUAAGUCCUCUAUCACCAUAUCCACUUCAGAGUUUAGAGGCCUAUGUGAUACAUUGCAAACAUUGAGCACCACUCAAGGUGCUCUCUUCCAGCAGAUGGCAGUCAUACGUGCACAUCAGGAUCAGCUUAUUACCAUGCAAACCCAGCAUACUACCAUCAUUAGUCAGAUACAGCAGCAUUUGGGUAUUCUGCCACCACCUGAGCAUGAUAUGCCUAGCCCAUCAGAGCCUACAGCUCCAUUUAAGGAAGCUACUCCAGCAGAGCAGACUAUGCCUCAUGAGGAGACUACUACAGCAGAGGUCGAGACUCCUAUCCAGAGCACUCAGGAGACCACAGUAAAGUCAUUGUCUCCACAUGAUCCUCCCACCACUACCUGAUCAUCUAUAUACUUUUUGUAUUUACUUAUUAUAGCAGAACUGUUAAUCUCAUGUUUUUUAUGUUUUCUAUAUUGGGAUUGGAUGUAGUACUUGCGCAUACUUUCUUAAAGUAAUACAUAUCCAUCAUUUUUUAGUAUACUUGGCAUAUUUUUAUUUAUUUCCUCUACUCAUUAUUUUUUUUUUAGUUUUUUGAAUCAUGUGGUUUCUCCUAUACAAUUCAGACUCUAUUCCACUCAGGAGGUACCACUUCCUCCCUUUAUUUUCAAUUACUCUUCACACAUUGAGGGCAAUGUUUAGCAUGGUUAGGGGGAGUUGAGAAAGGAAGUAUUUUUUAUAAUGCUAGGUUAUAAAUGGUAAUUUAGUUACUUUUUGUUUAAAUUUUUUUAAAAAUAAAAUUAAAUACUCUUCAUGGUUAUCAAGGAAAAAUUCUCAAAAUGAAAUGGGAGAAAUUGAAUUUUUGUCUUUUUACUUGACUUAGAGUUUGUAUUAUGCUUAUUAAAGUUGAUGAACUGUUGAAAAUUCUAUUGAAUUCAACCUUAUUUCUUCCACUUUAAGCUUACCACACACUGUGCACACUAGGUUCCGAUUAUAAGAUGAAAAACUAUUUCACCCAUUGACUUAGGAAAUUUUAAACUUGGUACCUUUGACCUCAUUUUAAUAAUUUUGGGACACCUUAGAAAAGGCCGAUGAGCCUUUGAAAAGAGAAUAAAGAAAAAAAAAUGUUUUACUUGCCUUGAAACCCGAGCAAGGUCUGAGGAGUAUAUGGUAAAAAUCUUUAAAACCUGAUGCCCUAAACCUUCAUUGGUUGGGAGUCACCAACCUCAAUGCUCGUUACAAGGGUGAAUAGGUGGAGUUUAACAUACUGUAGGUGCUUGGGUAUUGAAUUCCAAUCUCAAAAGUCCGGGGUAAAAUCCGAGGAGUUAGUAGUCGAAAGAUCCUUAAGCUUGAUGCCCUAAACCUUAAUUAGUUGGGAGUCAUCGAUGGACCCCCGUUACAUGGACAAUUUAGAAAAGAAUACCUUUAAGCUUUGUACUCCUACAAGAAAAAAAAAGUGUGAAAUAAAUGAGAUGUGUUCUUAGCCUAUUGGAGGUUGUCAGUUUGCUAAGAUUUGAAAAAGAGCUAAGUUGGGGGGAGAGAUUAGUUCAGCAUACUAUAUUCAGAAACUAAUAAGUAACACUUAGAUUUUUGUGGAAGAGUAAGGAUUGACCCUUUGGGAGUGGAAAUUCUUUUAAAGCUUAAAUUUGCAUAAUGUCUUCUCUUUAUGAAUUGUGAUUAGGCAAUUUAUUUGAUAACUCUUGUUGAAGUUUGAGUUUUAUAUCUUUAAUGUUCCAUGUGAGAGUAUGAUCAUCAUGCCACUUGAAAUUUUUUAGAAUGAUCAGCAUGAUGUUGCAAAUUAUAGUACUAUUUAUUUUUAUUUUUCUCUCUUUCAUUACUAAGGGACUAGUAAUAUGUCGGUUGGAUGGAGUGAUUACUACUCAAAAAGUGUUAUUUUAUAGCUUGUAAUUAACUCUUUUAAAUACUUUUAAGUAGUAGUUAUUACUUUUUAACUCAAUUGGCAUGUUAAGGACCCUUGCAAUCGUUUCUAAUCAAAUUGUGUUAAGUUUUGGUGUUUUUCAUAGCUUUUUUAUCACCAAAGCAAUCCAAGAAUGAGGGAGAUCUUUGUAUAGUUCAUGGCAAAGCAGGUUGAAGCUCAAAUUCAUGAAGAAACUAAGCUUUGGAGCUUCAUAAGCCUUUGCCAAAGCCAAACGAGGAUGCAAGGAAGAAAAUCACAGAAGAAAUCAACCAUCCAGCAAUUUUGCAAGUUGUGGAAUCUAACUUGCGAAAUUUUCGCAACUUGCGAAAUAGGAAGAGCAAAGGAAUCGCUGCAAGACAGAGAGCUGAUUAGUUGCAAGACAAUUUCGUAGCUUGCGAAACCACAAUUUCAACUUGCGAAAUUUUCGUAAGUUGCGUUUGAACUUGCUAACUCCACCUGUAAUCUGAGAUAUUUACGCACCGACUCCGUUUGAUGUUUAUCUUCAGAUAUUUGAGUGUAAAUCCCUAUUUUCUCCUUGUAACCCACCAAUGACAAGUUUUCUUGGUUGGGAAGUUAGCAGGAGGGGUGAAUAGUCUCUCUAUAUAAUAUCUAUUGUAAUUUUCUUUUAAAAAGAUCUCUGAGGAGUUUUUCUCGGAGACAAACUUUGUAUAGUUUUUCAAAAAGUAAUACACAGAGUUCUGCUCUACCUUACCUUCUCAUUUUGUUUUCUAUUUUAUUUUUAUUUCUAGCAAAUCAAACUCUAAGGAUGUUUUCCCAGAGGAUGAGUGGCUAGGCAUUUUGUUUCUUGGAGUGAAGGAAGCUAGGUAAGGUUCCGAAUACAAAAGUGGAAGUUUCGUUGUUUUAGUUUUCAAUGAAGAGAAACUGUGACCCGUUAAUGGUUUUUAUCUUUUUAGUUAACUUAAAAUCCCUUAAAAUCACCUGGGCCAACACUUAGUAAGGCAAGUGGACUCCAUCCAUUGAGAUCUACUAGUUUAUCUCUUGCAAGCCUCUAGAGGUGGUUUAAAGGUAGGAUUAUCUAGAAUAGCCAACACUUGGUAAGCUUUUGGACUCCUAGGAAACAUCCAUUAGUUAUCUCUUGCGAGCUUUUGACGGGUAAUCCAAGGUUAAGGAUCACCUUGAAUGGCCAAUACCAGGUGAAAGGUAUGAACCAUUGCAAGAUGAUUCAGUGACAGGGAUUUAGUGUUUAAAACCAUUAAGGGGAAGCAUCUGUACCACACCAGUUCAGGAAAUAACUAUAUGUUAAAUCCCCAAUGCGUGGAAAAGGUCCAAGUGACCGGAAUCUCCCUUUUUGUAUAAAGAACCUGAGCCUAGUGAUCUAAAACUCCAAGAAGUACUUUUCUUUGUAAGUAAUUUCAGUUACUUUAUUUUUUGUUUCACUUAAAACCAACCUUUUUACACAUACUUAUGUUUUCUUUUAAAGCUAACCUUGAAAAGAAAAGACACCAAUUCAAUUUUUGGAACUAAUAUCAGUUGUAAUUUGAAAACCCAUCCCUGUGUACAAUCCUAUAGCCACUAUGCUAUGCUAGCUAAUGCUACCCUAGUAUAUGGUGAAAUAAGUUUAUAAAUUUUGUUGAUUACUCCCGUCUGAGAACUGAAAUCAAAGCACACCAAUUGAUUGAACACCAAUCAACAGGGCAUACACCAGUUGGGCAUGAAUCAUAUGGUAUGGUGGUAUUCUCAAACAAAAUUUUCAAAAUCAAAUGUCCAUUGCCUAUUUUUAUUCAAGAAUAUGGAGUGGACCCCAAGAAAACUAUUUAACUAUUAAAAAAGAAAUUUUGGCAAUUUUUUUAUACAUUCAAAUAUUUCAAGAAGAUGUUUUUAAUAAAAAAAAAAAUUCUUCUUUGAGUUGAUUGCAAAAGUGCCAAAGAAAUUAUUCAUAAGGAUGUUCAAAAUAUUAUUUAAAAAUAGAUUUUUGCUUGAUGGCAAGCACUUUUAUCUUCUUUUUUUUUUUUGAAAUUGAAUUUGUAAAAAAAGAUUCAAACUCUCUCCCUGAUUUUCUCUCUCAGGAAUUUCUACAGGGAAAAUGAGCAACUCAAAAUCCAACAAACACAUGCCCAAUUCAAAAGCAUCUUAUGUUAUACUUAUUGAAAAACCUAAAGUUUCGAAGACCCAAUCUCAAACCCCUAUUUCAAACCAAUUCCAAGUCUUAGGAAAUAUUCCUAAGCCUUCUCAAACCUUUGCCUAUGCAACCCAAACCUCAAAAUAGGCGUCUUGCAAUUAUGUUACAAAAGGCCAUUUGAUGAAGGUGUGGAUUCUUGAAUCUCACCACUUUUCAAAGUCUGGUUCGUUGGACAUUACAAAAAUAUUUUCAAAAGGAAUUUUUUUUUUUCAAAAUGAUUUAGUCAAAAUAAGAAAAUUUUAUGAGUUUAUCCUAGUUGAUAUUGACUCUGUGGAAAUCACUCAUAUACAAAACAAGGAUUCCACAUACAUUUGCUAUUCAAAAUGUAAAAUUUUCAAAAUUAUUUUCAGAAACCCAAUGGGGACAGUCUCCUGAUACCUAUAACAUGUUUCUCAAAACUUCAAACCAGCAUCAUACGAUUAUCAUGAUUAUGUAGAUGCUUGGUUUUACACAUUUUUCUUCAAUUUUUUUUUAUUUAUCAUUCUUGGUUCUUCCAAUGGAAUGAUAAAAUUAAAAAUGACUUUUCAAAUUCGUUUCAAGAAUGGUGGCUAUGUUUUGGCACCAUCCCUGAAAUCUUUUGUCCUCAAAUCAAAUCUACCUAUGAUUAUUUCAAAGAGCAUGUUAGGAGAUUGAUCCCUACUCCUUGUUUUCAAGCCCUUUUCUUCACUUCUAGAUUCCAAAUCCCAUGGAUUCUAUGUUGGGACUUUGUCAAAACACAAAUGAUCAAAAGUUCAUUUCCCACGCAUUUGGCAAAGGAAUUUAAAGUCAAAUGGUGGUCAAACUUUGUACCUGCCACUUCCUAGUAACUUCCUCAUAUAAAAAAUUGGAAUGCAACACAUGCUCUUUCCAAUAUUGAAACACUUUUUCAAAUACCUUCUCUUCUUUCAAAUAACUUUAUCCCCUCUCAAAAAGUCUCUCUUGCAAUACUUUCUUCAAACAAGUAGUUUCAGGCUCAUCUCAAGUUUUUAUAGCAAUAAGCCACUAAAACCUUGUCAUAGCUUGGUUCUGCUUAUGAUGACGACACUACUUCCCCAAGCUUUAAAGAGCCUUAAAAUGAAGACAUGUGCUAUAAAAUGCCAUACAUGGCCUUGGAGUGAUGCUUCAAAAGCCUCUUCAAAAACAAUAUUCAAAUCUCUUCAAAAGUCGGAAUUGGGAGGUCAUGUCAACCGACAGUUGGUAGUUCUCUCCUUGGAUUAUACCUUCUAAAGAGAUUUUGGACAUCGUGGCAAGCUUUUAAAACUUUUCAAGACAAUCAAAUUUUCAACAACUAGAUGAAACUUUCAUCCUGUUGUGGACUUCAAAAUUUUCAAAUCCUGGUGGACACCUCAACAAAACUGCCUACAAAACAGUGGACUCAAACUUGUGGAUUUCAAAACCAUUGACAACUGGCAUAUGAUGACAAGUUACUUUCGAUGGAUCCAAAGUCUUUCAAAUUCGUGGAUUUUAAAGCUUUUCAAAUAUGUCACUAGAGCUCUAUAUAAGGGGUCUCUUCCUUCAUUGUGGGACAUUAGCCAAAAUUUGUGAGAGUUGAGAGAAACUAGUUGUGAGAAAAUCCAAAGCCUUGUAAUGAAGAGUUCUGCUUAAAGAAGCUCUACUCAAAGUUUGUAAUUUUCAAAAGUUUGCGUGUUCUCCUAUUUUAAUAACAUUUUAAAUUCCAAAUUCAAUUUUUGUCUUUCUUAUUUUAAAUAUCUUGUUUGAGGAUGAUGAACUCUAUUGAAUCUUUGUCUAGUAGACUGGGUUUUAAGUGAGACUGCUUGUGACUCCUCCAGUCUUUACUGAGAGAAUUCAUCAAAGUUCAUAUUGAUUUUGAAAUUUGAAGUCUUUCAUCUUUCUCUUUUGAUUUCAAUUUCAAUCCUACUAAAAGUUGGUAUAAGAGCCAUGUCUUGUUCAUUUCAUUAUUUAAAUUUGCAUUUUAAUUUAUGAUUAUUUGUUUUAUGAUUCAAACAGUUAGUGUUGGUCAGUCCUCAGUUAGCGUUGUCAUUUGUUCCUUGAUUAUUGAUAAAUGAUUAGUCUAAAGACUUUUUUAGAGGAGAUAGAAACACUGUGAAACUCUCACUAUUACUCCACUCAAGAUCAUCCUUCAUUUAUAAAAAAAAACAUCUUAUAUUUGUUUCUAAAUCUUUAAUUUAAUAAAUAAGAUUAAAUGUAUUGUGUUUAAUUCUUUAUAAUUUAAAAAUAAAAAAUAAAAUUAUAAAAAUGGAUUUAAUUUCACUUAAAUUUUUUAUUUUCAUUUAUGUUAUAAAAUGGCAAUAUAUAUAUAUAUAUAUAUAAACCCAAGUGAUACUUCCUUGGAUUUAAAAUAAAAAAAUUAAUAAAUAUAUAAAUUGAAUGGAUAGAUUAUAACACAACCUCGAAAAUCAUAAAGCAUGUGCCUUAAAAGUAUCAAAAGUAUGGCAUUAUUCAAAAAGAGUAGGUAAUAGCAGCAGAUAUACCUAGUGCCUAAAAUUAAAAAUAUGUCUAGCCUUAUUCAAAAGUAGCCACUAGAAAGUGCCUUAAAAAAAAAAAAAGAGUGUUUAGCUAGGUUGGCAAUUCCAGACAAAGUUCCUAAGUGUCUCCUAACUCAAUUUUUCCAAUCCUUCUAUGGACUACUAACGAAGAUCAAGUUGUUGAAUUUGUCAAGAGACUAAGGUAUAUAGUUGAAGUUGGAGUUGGAUGGAAUUGAAUCAACCAUAUUAUUUAAAUGUUGUUUUACUUAAAUAUUUUUUAAGGAGUUAGGAAGGUUUAGGAAGUUGUUUUUUUUUUACUAAAUGUUCAAAAUGCACUGUUCCAGGAUCGGUCCAGCUUUAGGUUGGAUCGAUCCAACUUACAUUUUUUUGAUGAAAUUUCAUCCGUUGGAUCAAGGGCUUCCUUCAAUUUAAAAACCCAAAACUUGCUUCUUGUGUUGUAUGUAGUAAGAGACAUAGCAACAACCAUCCCCUUUGGUUCUCUUCUUCUUUCCUAUUUUGGAGUGUUUGGUUGUCAAGAAAAUCCAACUUUCCUAUUGUUUUCAAUGGAUUUUCUUGAGGAAAAAAAUAGGUUGAUUCAUUCUUUCAUUCAUCUUUCAAUUUCUAAUCUAUUUAGGUUUGGCUAAAAACCCAUUUUUUUCUUGUGUGGAUUCAAUAAGAGAUCGAGAUCAAGCUUGGUGUGGACUCUAAGUGUGCUCCAAAAGAAGAAUGUGGGAAGUUGAAAGUGAAAGGUACUAGUGAAGUGGUCUAUGAAUGAUUGGUAAGCUUGAGUUAGGUAAAACUUUGUAUUCAACUUUUGCUUUUCAUAGUGGACGUUUUUUUAUCAAUUGUAGGCCUGUCGUUUUUUUUUUUUUUUUUAAUCUUUUCGGAAGUUUUCCACGUUAAAAUUUAGUGUCAUUGUCUCAUUGUCUCAUUCUACUCUUUGAUUUAUUUUCAGUUUUUGAUAUCAUUGGUUACUUGGGCAUAUAUGUUGAAUGGAAGAAAAAUGAGUUGAAAUAGGAGUGAUUAUCCAUUGGAUAUCUUGAAUAAUUUUUCUAUUCAUUUUGGUAAUGAUAUCUUGUAGUAAUUGGAAAUGAGUUAAGAAGAGAAUUGUUCUUAUGAAUUAAUUUUGAGAGUGUUGAAGCAUUUGCAUAUAAAUUACAUUUAUAAAUUGUUGGAAAAGUGUUGUUGCAUUCAUACUUGCUUGUGAAUUUUAUUCUUUGUUGAAAAGAAGUUCAUAGACAUUGAGAAAUUUUAAGGUUAGGUAAUUUUUGUUGGGAGAUUUUUUUAAGUUUGUUCAACAACACCUAUUCAAUCCCCUCUCCCCUCUAGGUGUAAUCCAUUAUUGAGAUUCACCUUUAAAAAAGUAUAGUACUAGUAAAAAAAAAAAAGAAAAUAAAGGAUAGUAGCAUGAACAUUUAAUCCUAAAGUGUCAAUAGAUGUAGAUAUAUUUUUAAAAUAAAAAUAAUAAUACCUUUAUAUAAGAUAUAAUAAUUUUUAGAGAUUUAUAUUAAAAAAAUAGUGAUUGUAAAAACUAUUUUAAAAAUUUUAAGGUAUAAAAAAUAUAAAUUAAAUUUAUUAUUUUUGUAUAAGACUCUGCUUUUAUAUAAAAUAUUUUUAUUUUAAAAAUAAAAAAUAAAAAAUGUAUUAGACAUUUAAUAAUUUUUUUAACCCUCUAAAUUAUAUGGGUUGUCUUUCCUCCUACUAUGUCUAAAAUAGAUACUCUAGUGUACUCUUUUGACUUUUUGACUCAAGAAUUUUGAAACUAAAGUUUCUAAAAUUAAGAUUCCAAGGAUUUGCUAAUAGUUGGCAAGGUAAUUGAUUUUGGGUUGAAAGGGUUUAGGGAUGAUGUUUGAAUUAAUGAGUCAAAGGUGUAAGUAUUAAUAAGAAUGUGUAUAAGUUCAAAAGUGUAGGUAGCAGUAGGGCCUGGGUAGAACAGAUUGGUGUUGAGAGUGAAAAGAAGUAGGCACUAAAAUGCACGGGAGCGCACACACUUGCUGAUGGCUGAUUUGGUUUUUUCUUUUUUUUCUAAUUUUUUAUUAUUUUGUUUAAUUGGAAGGAAGAAUGUGCAUGCACCAUCCACACAUGCCUCCAUUGUUUGGUUAAUUGUUUUGUUUUGUUCCUUCUCUUUUUUUUUUCUUUAUUUAAUUUAUCCUCUACUUUCUUUCUUGCCUUUGUCCUUUUUUUUUAACUCACUUUCUUAUGCAACCCAACAAAUUAAUUAGGCCGCACCUAUGCUAAGCUUUCAUCCCUUGGGUUGGCAUUCAUCCUAAGCUCAAGUUCAUUUGUUCAACCCUUAUCCCAUAUUCAAUCCAAACUGUAAUAUUCAAGCCUAUUUUUGAAUCUCUAGUUUGACCAAUGUUGGAAUCAUGUAAGCAAGGUAUCAUACAUGUUAAGAUGUGGGGAAAAAUGGUUAAAACUAUUUCUAACCUUUGUCGCUUUUUUUUUUCUAUCGUUUUUAACAUGUGUUUCCACGAAAUCGUACAAGCAGUAAAUAUUUUUGUUAAUUAAUUUCUUUCCUAUUAACUAACUAAUGUUUGUCAAAGACAUUAAUAACAUCAACUACUAACUAGGUCUAUGAGAUUGUUGUUUGGUAUUGAAAACAUACAUAUAAAUAUUUAAAAUUAUUAAGGGUAUUUAUAUCAAAAAAGAUUACUCUUUCAACAAAAACAUGAGGCGCAUUAAAUUCAUAAAUAUUUGGAUUAUUUUAUUUUUUAAUCAAUUAAUUUUAUUAUUAAUGUCAAUAAAAUAUGAAAUUUAGACCAUUAAACACCAAUAGUCUGUCUGCCCAUUGAUUCGACUCAUGGUAGCUUAGCUUUAAAGGCGUAUCAACAAAAUUUAUACCUUGAAUACUAUUACUAAAGUAGCCAAGCUACUAUAGCAUAGUGGUUCUAGGAUCGUUCACUAGGAAGGGUUUUCGCAAACACAAGUGAUAUUCAAAUUAGGAAAAUAGGUGAUUUUCUUAUGGAUGUUAGCUUUAAAAGAAGAUGUAAAUGUUUUAGAAAGAUUUAAACUAAUCUAAGCUAACAUUAAACACUAAAAUGAAAGGGUGUAAAAACAAGUUUCUCAAAGAUAGGAUAGCUAUGCUCUGGCUCUUAUGCAAAUUGGAAAUCUUAGGAUAGGCUCCUCGCGUUGGGGUUGCAACUAUGGUGAUGCUUGCUUCCCGAACCGGUAUGGAUUUAGCAAAUCAAGUUUUAAUCCUUGAAAAUGGCAAAACAGAUGGUAGUGAAUUUCAUCAAUGGUUAUUCACCUUAGACUUCCUUUGAAUGGCUCGUAAGAGAUAACUAAUGGUCUAAAGCCAAAAGCUUACCAAAUAUUGGCAACUCAAAGUCAUUCCAGGUGAUAAACUCACCUUUCAAUGGCCAUUGAAAUUGGUUCUAAUGGAUUAAUGCAAAACUCGGAAUUGAAAACCUCGCCUUCCAAUAGCUCGUAGGAGAUAACUAAUGGAUAGAAAUCCAAAAGCUUAUCAAGUAUUGGCCGUUGGAAGUUGUCAAAAGGAAAUAAAAACCAAACUUUGCAUUAAUGAACCAUUAAUGAAAAACGACUACCUUACCUUCCGGGUGCGAGAAAUUUCCAUGGGAUUGCAUCCAAGCCAUCACAUAACAUCCAUACUUUGAGAAACUAAAAGUUUUAGCCAAUCAUCCUUUGAGGAAAAACCCUCAGAGGCUGUUUGGCUACUAAGAAAAUAGAAACGGGAGAGCUCUGUAAAAAUUCUAUAUAUUGAUCGAUAUUCAAUUACAACGGAUGCAAGGGAAUAUAUAUAGAGAAGUUUUUCCAAUCCUUCCUAGCUAAGAAAUCUUAUGAUUGGUGUAUUACAAGGAGAAGAAUGGAAAUUUAUACAAAAAUAUCUAAAAGAAAAGAUCUUGUGUGGAGUCGGCAGAAACAGGGGAAAAUUCGCACGUUGGAGUUCCAAUUUCGCACCUUGGUUUGAGGUGUGCGAAAUUCCCACACUUUGGACUGAGGAAUUUCGCACCUUGCACAGUGGUGUGCGAAAUUGUCCCUCAGCUUGAUGCAGUUGUCUUCCGAAGGCCAUAUCUUCCUCAUUUCAGCUCCAAAUCAUACACGGUUUGAAGCGUUGAAUUCUUGACUUCCUGAGCUUUGAAAUGGUAUAUAGCAUGUAGAAAAUGGACUUCAGGAAGUGCUCCAAAAGUGUCAAAGAAGACUGCAGCUGCUGUCCUCUAUUUUCCUCUUUGCUUCUUUUUGCUUCUCUUUGCUUUUCUCCUUGCAUACUUUGAACGACUUUGGCAAAGGGCUAUGGAGCUCCAAAGCUUGGUUCUUCAUGAAUUUGAGCUUCCAAAAGCUUUGCCAUAACUUGUCCAAGUAGCUCCUCCAUCAUUUGGCAUGCUUGAAUUGAUUCAUAAGCUGAUAAAAACAUGUAAACUUGCCACAAAAUGGUUAAAACCAAUUACUAAGGACCUUAAUGAAUUAAUUGGGUUAAAUGAAUAUGAUUACUACUCAAAGGUGCUUAAAACCAUUAUAAUUAGGUCUACAAAAUAGCACUUUUUGGUAGUAAUCACACCCCCCAACCGACUCAUUGCUAGUCCCUUAGCAAUGGAGGAGAUAAAAACUAAGUAAACUAUAAUAAUUACAUAAAAGGGAUCAUGCAAGUCACUCCAAAAAAUGAUAUGAGUGGCAUGAUUGGAUCAAACUCUCACAUGGCAAGUCAAGGAUAUAAAACUCAAUCAUCAAUAAGAGUCAUCAAAUAACUUACCUAUCACAACAUGCAAAGAGCGGGCAUUAUGCAAAUUUGAGUAUCAAAAUAAUUUCCACUCCCAAAGGACCAACACUUAAUCUUCCACAAAAAUCUAUGUGUUAUUUAUUAGUUUCCGAAUAUAGUAUGUCAAACUAAUCUCUCCCCUCAACCUAGUUCUUUUCAAAGCUUAGCAAACUAAUCAACCUCCAAUAGGCUAAGAACGCACCUCUUUUCUUUCAUAAUUUUUUUCUUGUAGGAGUGCAAAGCUUAAAGGCAUUCUUUUCUAAAUUGUCCAUGUAACGGGGGUCCAUCGAUGACUCCCAACCAAUCAAGGUUUAGGGCAUCAAGCUUUAAGGAUUUUUCAACCACUAACUCCUCGGAUUUCACCCCGGACUUUUGAGAAUGAAUUUUAAUACCCAAGCACCUACAGUAUGUUAAACUCCACCUAUUCACCCAUGUAACGAGCAUUGAGGUCGGUGACUCCCAACCAAUUAAGGCUUAGGGCACCAGGUUUUAAAGAUUUUCACCAUAUACCCCUUAGACCUUGCUCGGGUUUCAAGGCAAGCAAACAUUUUUCUUUUUCUUUCUUUUUCCAAAGGCUCAUUGGCCUUUUUCAAGGUGUCCCAACACUAUUAAAAUGAGGUGAAAGGUACCAAGUCUAAAAUUUUCCUAAGUCAAGAGGGAAAUAGUUUUUCAUCUUAUAAUCGGAACCUAGUGUGCACGGUGUGUGAUAAGCUUAAAGUGGAAGAACUAAGCUUGAAUUCAAUAGAAGUUUCAACAAUUCAUCAACUUUAGUAAGCAUAAUACAAACUCUAAGACUAUGGCAAUAAGAUAAGAAUUUAAUUUUUCCCAUUUACUUUUGAGAAUUUUUCCUUAAUAACCAUGGAGAGUAGAAUAAAAACUUAAAAAAUUUUAAAAUUAAGCAAAAAGCAACUAAAUUAAAAUAACUUAGCAUUAAUAACAAAACUUCCUUCCUCAACUCUCCCCCCAACCAAGCUGAACAUUGUCCUCAAUGUUUCAAAAGUGAUUAAAAAAAUAGAGGGAGGAAGUGGUACCUCCUGAGUGGCAUGGAGUCUAAGUUAUGUAGGAGAAACCACAUGUUUCAAAGAAAACAUAAGAGUUAGUGAGUAGAGGAAAUAGAAAAAUGCCAAGUUUAAACAAAAAUGAUGUCUAUAUAUGAUGUAUCAUCAGUAAUACAUCCAAUCCCAGAAUAUAAGACAUCAAAACAUGGAUUUAUGUAUACUAAUAUAAUAAGUAAAUACAAAAAAUAAAGAGAUGAUCAAGUAAUAGAAGGGUCCUGUGGAGCUGAUGCAUUUGUGGUGGCCUUCUGAGUGGGUUGGAUCAGGACUUUGGCCUCUAUUCUGGUAUUCUCCUUGGAUGGCAUAGUCUCCUCUGUUGGGGCUCUCAGUUGGAGCUAUGGGCUUUGAUGGUUUUAGGAGGUAAGAAAUGGAAUGAGAGGCUUGGUGUGUGAUCCCAAGGUGCACGGGGCUGUUCUCUCCUCUAAUGCAUGUUCCUGAGGCUUGGAAAGGAUUUUUCGUGCGAAAUUCCCGCUUAGCUUUGUGUAGUCUGUCUUCAAACGGCUAUAACUUCUUCGUUUCAAAUCCAAAUCAUGUACCGUUUGAAGCACUGGAUUCCUGACUUCCCAAGCUUCAAAAUGAUAUAUGGUAUGAAUAAUUUGAGCUCCAGAAAGCACUCCAAAAACGUGUCCAACAGUAGCGAAAUGGGGUGCGGCUGCAACAUUUCCAUUCAGCUUUGCACAGUCGUCUUCAAACGGCCAUAACUUCUUCAUUUCAAAUCCAAAUCACUCACCGUUUGAAGCAUUGGAUUCCUGACUUCCCAAGCUUUAAAAUGAUAUAUGACAUGAAUAAUUUGAGCUCCAGGAAGUGCUUCAAAAACGUGUAUAACAGUAGCGAAAUUUGGUGCGGCUGCAGCAUUUCCGUUCAGCUUUGCAUAGUUGUCUUCAAAUGGCCAUAACUUCUUCGUUUCAAAUCCAAAUCAUGCACCGUUUGAAGCGCUGGAUUUCUGACUUCCCAAGCUUUAAAAUGACAUAUCAUAUGCAUAAUUUGAGCUCCAGGAAGUGCUUCAAAAAUGUAUCCAACAGGAGCAAAAUUUUCGCACCUUGGACUGGAAAUUUCGCACCUUGGAUUGAGGUGUGCGAAAAUGGCACCCUUUGGACUGAGGAAUUCGCACCUUGUUUCGCACGGUGCGAAAAUGGGCUUGAGGUGUGCGAAAUGGCACUCGUGUGCCAGGAGGUGGUUUCGCACGGUGCGAAAAUUUUCGCACCUUGAAUUGAGGUGUGCGAAAUUCCCGCUUAGCUCGGUCCAGUUUUCUUACAAUGACUAUAACUUUUUCAUUUCAACUCCGAUUUGGACACCGUUUGAAGCGUUGGACUCCUGACUUCCCGAGCUUCGAAACGGUAUAUAGUAUGUAUAAAAUAGACUCGAGGAAGUGCUCCAAAAUAUUUCCCGAAAGUGGCAAUAGAACCAAUGGCCAGAAUUCUCUCUUCUCUUCCUUUCCUUUCAUCAUUUUUGCAAUUCCUCCUACAAUGAUCAUCCAAAAACAUAUGUUAAAAAGAAAGCAUAGAAUUUAAAUGAAGCUGAUAGCAUGUACCCCAAAAAGAAGAUGAACUAUUUAGCUCAUCCUCACUCACACACCCACUUCAGGCUGAAUUCCCCCUGGAUCCCAAACAAAAUUGGCAUCCUUCCCAUUUGGUCCAAGGGAAUUCGUUUCUCUUCUCUUCCCUAGAGAAGUGGAUGCUUUAAAGGGUUCAAGUAACCCUUUAUCAUCUUGAACCUUAUGAUUUUCAAUGGAAGGUUGGUCCAUAGAGUUGUCAUAGCAAUCCCCCACCAAAGUGUCGAUCUUCAACACUUUCCUUGAUCUUUUUGCAUUGGUUCCUUGAAGGUUAUGGUGGGGUUGAGGAGGAAGCUUCCUUUUCCCCCUUGCUAUGUCGAGAUUGGUGAGCUUCUCAAUGGAGUCUUGAACUUUUUCUAUCCUUAGUGAUAGAUCAUUAUAAACCCCCUCCAUUCUUACAUUUAUUGAACUCUCCAUAUUAUUAAUCUUUUCAUUAAGCUGAGAGUUGAUCUUUUGUUGCUCACCUACAAAGUCCUCCAUGACUUUGCUUAUCUUCAAAAUGGCUUGCUCCAAUGAAGAUGUACUCAUUGAUGGUUGAGGUUGAGGUUGGGUUGCAAGGUUGGGAUGGUUUAUAUACUCAAAUGAAGUUGGCAUGGCUUGUGGUUGUGCUUCAGUAUGCACAUUCCUCAAUUCAAACUCUUCUAUCCUUCUAGCCAUAGAUGCUAGCUUUGCCUUCAUGCUCAUGUCUUCAUUCAAAGCAUACUUACUACCCCAUUGGCUUUGUUGAGCUUGCCUUUUCCCUAAUUCAAUCCGAUCCCUCAUGGAUAAGUAUGCAAAUUUGUCCUUCUCAUGAUCAUAAUGAGAGCUUUGAUCUUCAUGUGGAAUGUCCAUUUAUAAAAAAAAAAUGAUAUUCAACUAAGGCUCUUUUCUUCAACUUGUACCAGGGUUCCCUCUUGGUCUCGAAUCCAACAAGGAAUGCACAAAUUGAAAUUAAAACAAAAAUAAAAGAAAAGAAAAUAAAAAAAUUUAACUAAAUAAAAACUAAAAAAAAAAAAAAUUAUAAGAAAACUCACCAAACUUGUGAUGAAGAUCACAAGUUACCCUUAAUGGUUGCUUCACUGUGCUUGUGGCACCUUCCCCGGCAACAGCGCCAUUUGAUUCGACUCAUGAUUCGAUCCCCGGCAACGGCGCCAUUUGAUUCGACUCAUGGUAGCUUAGCUUUAAAGGCGUAUCAACAAAAUUUAUACCUUGAAUACUAUUACUAAAGUAGCCAAGCUACUAUAGCAUAGUGGUUCUAGGAUCGUUCACUAGGAAGGGUUUUCGCAAACACAAGUGAUAUUCAAAUUAGGAAAAUAGGUGAUUUUCUUAUGGAUGUUAGCUUUAAAAGAAGAUGUAAAUGUUUUAGAAAGAUUUAAACUAAUCUAAGCUAACAUUAAACACUAAAAUGAAAGGGUGUAAAAACAAGUUUCUCAAAGAUAGGAUAGCUAUGCUCUGGCUCUUAUGCAAAUUGGAAAUCUUAGGAUAGGCUCCUCGCGUUGGGAUUGCAACUAUGGUGAUGCUUGCUUCCCGAACCGGUAUGGAUUUAGCAAAUCAAGUUUUAAUCCUUGAAAAUGGCAAAACAGAUGGUAGUGAAUUUCAUCAAUGGUUAUUCACCUUAGACUUCCUUUGAAUGGCUCGUAAGAGAUAACUAAUGGUCUAAAGCCAAAAGCUUACCAAAUAUUGGCAACUCAAAGUCAUUCCAGGUGAUAAACUCACCUUUCAAUGGCCAUUGAAAUUGGUUCUAAUGGAUUAAUGCAAAACUCGGAAUUGAAAACCUCGCCUUCCAAUAGCUCGUAGGAGAUAACUAAUGGAUAGAAAUCCAAAAGCUUAUCAAGUAUUGGCCGUUGGAAGUUGUCAAAAGGAAAUAAAAACCAAACUUUGCAUUAAUGAACCAUUAAUGAAAAACGACUACCUUACCUUCCGGGUGCGAGAAAUUUCCAUGGGAUUGCAUCCAAGCCAUCACAUAACAUCCAUACUUUGAGAAACUAAAAGUUUUAGCCAAUCAUCCUUUGAGGAAAAACCCUCAGAGGCUGUUUGGCUACUAAGAAAAUAGAAACGGGAGAGCUCUGUAAAAAUUCUAUAUAUUGAUCGNNNNNNNNNNNNNNNNNNNNNNNNNNNNNNNNNNNNNNNNNNNNNNNNNNNNNNNNNNNNNNNNNNNNNNNNNNNNNNNNNNNNNNNNNNNNNNNNNNNNUAUGGAUUUAGCAAAUCAAGUUUAUCCUUGAAAAUGGCAAAACAGAUGGUAGUGAAUUCAUCAAUGGUUAUUCACUUUAGACUUCCUUGAAUGGCUCGUAAGAGAUAACUAAUGGUCUAAAGCCAAAAGCUUACCAAAUAUUGGCAACUCAAAGUCAUUCCAGGUGAUAAACUCACCUUUCAAUGGCCAUUGAAAUUGGUUCUAAUGGAUUAAUGCAAAACUCGGAAUUGAAAACCUCGCCUUCCAAUAGCUCGUAGGAGAUAACUAAUGGAUAGAAAUCCAAAAGCUUAUCAAGUAUUGGCCGUUGGAAGUUGUCAAAAGGAAAUAAAAACCAAACUUUGCAUUAAUGAACCAUUAAUGAAAAACGACUACCUUACCUUCCGGGUGCGAGAAAUUUCCAUGGGAUUGCAUCCAAGCCAUCACAUAACAUCCAUACUUUGAGAAACUAAAAGUUUUAGCCAAUCAUCCUUUGAGGAAAAACCCUCAGAGGCUGUUUGGCUACUAAGAAAAUAGAAACGGGAGAGCUCUGUAAAAAUUCUAUAUAUUGAUCGAUAUUCAAUUACAACGGAUGCAAGGGAAUAUAUAUAGAGAAGUUUUUCCAAUCCUUCCUAGCUAAGAAAUCUUAUGAUUGGUGUAUUACAAGGAGAAGAAUGGAAAUUUAUACAAAAAUAUCUAAAAGAAAAGAUCUUGUGUGGAGUCGGCAGAAACAGGGGAAAAUUCGCACGUUGGAGUUCCAAUUUCGCACCUUGGUUUGAGGUGUGCGAAAUUCCCACACUUUGGACUGAGGAAUUUCGCACCUUGCACAGUGGUGUGCGAAAUUGUCCCUCAGCUUGAUGCAGUUGUCUUCCGAAGGCCAUAUCUUCCUCAUUUCAGCUCCAAAUCAUACACGGUUUGAAGCGUUGAAUUCUUGACUUCCUGAGCUUUGAAAUGGUAUAUAGCAUGUAGAAAAUGGACUUCGGGAAGUGCUCCAAAAGUGUCAAAGAAGACUGCAGCUGCUGUCCUCUAUUUUCCUCUUUGCUUCUUUUUGCUUCUCUUUGCUUUUCUCCUUGCAUACUUUGAACGACUUUGGCAAAGGGCUAUGGAGCUCCAAAGCUUGGUUCUUCAUGAAUUUGAGCUUCCAAAAGCUUUGCCAUAACUUGUCCAAGUAGCUCCUCCAUCAUUUGGCAUGCUUGAAUUGAUUCAUAAGCUGAUAAAAACAUGUAAACUUGCCAUAAAAUGGUUAAAACCAAUUACUAAGGACCUUAAUGAAUUAAUUGGGUUAAAUGAAUAUGAUUACUACUCAAAGGUGCUUAAAACCAUUAUAAUUAGGUCUACAAAAUAGCACUUUUUGGUAGUAAUCACCCAUUAAACACCAAUCCAUCUUUUUAGUCAAUUGACUUGGCCCAUUCUAUAGUUGUGAUGUCCAUGUCCACCGUCUAACUCAUCUCCUAAAUUUUAUUGAAGUGAUGUUUGUGUCAAUAGUUAAAAUCACUCACCCACACCCCACUUGCAAGUUGCAAGGGAUUGACCCAUCACUACUCUUAUUUAUCCUUACUAAUAAAUGUUUUUUUUCCUUUGUUUUCCUUAUUCAUCCACCUCAAAAUCUCUUUCUAGAAGGUCUAAAAUAAAAACAAUGGAAACCAUUCUUCGAUAUAUAACUUAUAAAUGUUUUAUUUCAAUUAUUUUUCGUAUUUAUAUAAUUAUUUUUAUUUUUUUAAAUAACCCUUAAAAAAAUAAGUGAUAACAAGGCAACUAAAAUAGAUUUUUCAAAAACAUCAUAUUUUUGGAAUAAGUUUUUUAAAAAUUAUUUUCUAUUGGAAAAUUAGUAAUGAUGGUGUAAAAACUUGGUAAAUAAUUUUUUUGUUUUAAUAAUAAAAAAAAAAUUUAAAUAGUUUUCAAACAUAAUCCAACCAUUUAUGUUAUUUUUACCUUCUUUUUUUCAGGUUCAAAAUUUCGAGUUUUCUGUGGACAUAACAUAAAAAAUAAUUAUUUUUCAAACUACGACCCUUUUAAGUUUCAAAUAAAACCCGUCUUUUUUAAAAUAAGUUUACAAUAGGAAAUGAAUUUGUCUUUUAAAAUACAAAAUUUAAAACAAAAAAAAAAUAAUGAUGAAAAGUAUCAUAUUUUCAUAUUUAUUUUUUGAACAACGUCAUCUUAACAAUAUUAAAAAAAAAAAAAAAUCCUUAAAAUUUCCCCCUAAUGGCCCACGAUGUACUUCAUAGCUUCAAUUCCAAUAUCUCAAAUCAAUCUCAAUUGACUAUUGCCAUUAAAUCCUUAUUAAUUAUCUAUUAGAAUGCCCGGCCUUCCCUCAUUCAUUUUUUCACAAAGUUGGUCAACGUUCAUUUAUUUUUUUUUCAAAUAAAUCAUUUAUUUCUCUCAUAGCAAGGAAUAAUUUAAAUUAUUUAAGUCUUUAUGUAAUCGUGUAACAUUGCUAAAAAUUAGGAAAUAGACUAUUCAUGCACAUGAUCUCAAUAUCCCAUGUUCACCCUAAAUCGAUUAAAAAAAACCGUUUAAGUCAAGUCCUAUGUUGAUAUUCGUAAAUGAAAAAGAAUCUAAUAUAAUAUUAAACUUCAUAAAAAUUGGGAUAAAAUAUUUAACAAAUUUUGAUAUAAUAUUAAAUUAUCAAUAACAUUAAAAUUUAAAUGUUACGUGAUACAUCAUCACAUCCAUAUAAUAAAUCAAUUUAAGCUAAUGUUUUAUUUAAUUCUUAAUUUAUUGUUUUAUUUAGUGUCUCAAUAUGUUAAAUAAAUAAAUAAAUUGUGCCCUAAUAAUAAUAGAAUUUUUUUUAUUAAAUUUUUGGUUAAGAACUAAUAUUUUAUAUAAAUUUUAUUUAAAAAAAUCAAUAAAUCACAAGUGAGUUGUGAAACUUGUGAAUCGUAGACAACCAUUUUCGUGAUAUUAAAAAAUUAAAAAUAAAUAAAUAAAUAAAUAAACAAAGCCCCACUUGCAGUAGUGCCCGAAUGAAACAUGCGGGGUUGUAGGUACGAUACCAUGGAGGUCACAUGUAUGGGAACAUUCCACAAGUCUUCUAAAUUGUCAGGGAAAGGCGUCCCUCAUGGUGGUCUCCACAUCGGACGACCCAGAUAGACCGGUGCCUAAACUGAAGGCUGUCACACGUUUACGUGUUUGACCAAGUCUCGCGAGUCUACGCGCCAAUCACCAACCUUAAUUUUAAAGGUUCCUCCGCCCAAUCCUAUGAUGGUACCAUGCGGUCACCUUCACCUUUCCCUAUCCCACUCUCCAUUACACAGCGCGUGGUCACACUCUCCCAAAAAAGGUUCCCAUCCGAAAAAUUCAAACAAAUUUAAAGUACUAAAAAUGGGAAAAUAUUUAAAAUAUUUUUUAAAUAUUUAUUUUUUAUAUAAAAUAAUUAAAUAAAUGAAAUGAUUUUCUUUUUAAUCGUUUUAAAACAGUUUUAAAAAAUAAAAGUGAAAAUAAUUGAAAAAAAAUAUACAAUAAAUUUUGAAAAUAGAAUUACGUUGACAAUAUUCAAAAUGCAACUCACUAUAGGGCGCGUGAGCACAGGACUUGUAGAACACGUUUUAAGCAUUAUAAUAUUAUUUUUUAUUUUCCAUGGAAAAACACGUUCAAAUCCAAACAAUCGGAAUUGGAAUGCCAUGAAUUUCCACAAACCGUGUACUUGCAAGUUGGAAGAAGAUUCAUUUACAACCAAUUACAAUUUUAUUAUUAAUGGGCAGACAGACUUAAAAGUAGCCAUUGGAAAGUGCCUUAAAAGAAAUUAUAAUAUUAAUAAAAAAAAAGAAAAUAAAAGAUUUUAACGUGAACAUUUAAUCCUAAGUAUCAAUAGAUGUAGGUUCAAACAUAUUUUCUAUUUUUUAUUUUUAAAAUAAAAAUGAUAAUAACUUUUAUAUAAGAUAUAAUUUUUUUAAAUAAAUUAUAUUAAAAAAAUAGUGAUUUUAAAAACUAUUUAAAAAAAUUUAAGUAUAAAAAAUAUAAAAUAAUUUUUUUUUAAAUAGAUUAUGCUUGAAUGAGUCAAAUGUGUAAAGAUGAAUAAGAAUGUGGAUAAGUUCAAAAGAGCGGGUAGCUCUGAUCCAGCCGACCCGAAUGGGAAAUUGAGAAAAGAAAAACAUUCUUGGAAAGUGGUUCAGUUCCUUGGAAGUGGGUAUUUUGAGAACCCAACAAGUGUUCAUGUACUUUGAAUUUAUGUUCAAAUCACUUGCUUUGAGAUGGGGUUUUGAAUCGGAAAUGUCAAUGUUUCCGGUGUGAACAUGCAUACAGAAAUUAGUAUUACGUACAAAACAGGUUGAGGUAAAAAAAAAAUCAAAAUCAUGGAAAAUUCAAAGUCUGUUUAACCGGAUGUUUUAAAAAUAGUUUUUUAUUUUUUAAAAUAGAGAAUAAUUCUUACAUUAUCUAAAAAUGAUUUUUAAAAAUAAGGUAGAAUGAAGAACAAUUUUUAAAGAACACGUAAAAGUGUUUUCAUCCCUGGUAAAAAUCAAAAGAAAAAUAUAAAAAAUUUAAAAAAAAAUCUUGAAAAUAAAUAAAAUUGAAUAUAGUAUUAUUUUCUUUCUCUUUUUAAUAUUAAAAAAAAAUCUUAAAAUAUGAUUUUUUCUUUAAAUUACACAUACUUUUUAAAAUUUCAUUUUAACUUCUUUAAAAUUUUUCUUUGAGUAAAUUUUAAAUCAAAUUGUAUUAUUUAUUAUUAAACUUAAUUUCAAUGGUAAAAGAAACAAAUUCUUAGGAAUAAAAUUUAAUAUUAUAUUGAAUUAUUUAAGAGGAAUAUAUAGCGUAAGUCAUAUUAUAUUUUAACUUAAUUUUAAUUAUUAUUUGCCUACCGUGUUGCUUAUUUACAAUUAUAUUUAAUUUUUAUUUAUUUGUUUAGAAUAUUUAUUUGUUUUUCUAAAGCUUAUUUAAUGAUAGAAGAGUAUUCAUAUAUAUAUAAUUUUUGACAAAAAAAUUUAUUAUAAAAAUGGUUGAAAAACAAUUAUGAAGAAUUUAUAAAUUAUUUAGGAGUGAGAAAUCUUGAAAAAGUGCAAUAGAAAAAAAGAAAAUUCAUUUUGUGAUGUGGAAGUCUAAACAAUGAGAAGAUGUAUGAAAUUGGAAGAUUGGACAUAAUAAGUCAAUUGAUUAGUAGAACAAGAGAGAGUUUCAGACACCUAUAAUAGUGUCUAAAUGUAUAGUUUUAAACACUUUAAGUAUGCUCAGAAGUAUAGGCCGGACAUUUAUAAAACAUCCCCUCAUGCAACACAAACAAUAUUCAUAGUACCUCUUUCUUCCAACUCUAAAAGUACAAAAAGAAAUAUAAAAGAUAUCACAAAAUGCAUACCUUUGCACUUGUACCAUUAUUAGAGAUGAUUAUUUGUUUGUCCAAAGAAACAAAACUUUAUUGAUAAAUUCUAUUAGGAUUAUAGAGAGAUUAGAAGAAGAGAAGUGAAGAAAGAAGAUGGUGGUUUGAGAAUUUCAUCAAAGGGUGUUUUUAUCCUAAAAUAUGUAUUAUUUCGAUGGAUUUAAAGAUCAAUUUGGUGGAUGCAAAUAUAAGUUAUGGAAUUUUUUUACAAAAAAAAUAUCCAUCAAUAAAAAGAUUGAAAUACCCUUGCAAAUCAAUAUGCACCCACAUUCUUCCUUUCCUUUAUCAAAUUCUUUUCUUCCAAUCUCUCCACAACCUUAAUAAAUUAAAAUAAUUUUUUUAAAAAUAAAUGGUUUAAAUUUUUAAAUUUUGAAAAUUUAAAAUUUUAAAAAUACAUAAUUGUUGGCAGAUCGGAGGGUUGGCUUCAUCCAUCAACUCCUCUUGUGUUCGUCGUGGACAUUUGGGUUAAUGCACUAUAAGAUUAGGGUAUGCGUCUUUUUUAACAGCACUUGCUUUUAGGAAAGUUGAUAGCGUCUGAGGUUCUACAAUAAUUUUAUUCAAAUCCAAAACUUGUAAUAAAUUAAAAAUAAAAAUAAACCUUUUAAAAAACAAAUUUAAGCUUUUAAAUUAACUUUUGGUUUGACCUUUCAAGGUCAACACUCCCACAUCAUUCUUUUCUUUAGACUUUUUUUUCCCACUUUUUCAUAUGUUUCUCAUGUCUAAUUAUGUCUAAAUUAAUUCUAAAUACUUUCUAAUUAUUUUACAAAAAAAAAUUAUAAAAAAAUAUAUAAGUAAUAAAAUCUAAAAAUUUUCAUGUAGAACAAACUUAAUAUUAUUGUAUGGAUUUUAUAAAAAUAUAUUGAAAUUAACUUUCAACUUAUAGCAAACAACUUUUUAUGAUAAAGAAGCUUAGGUUUGGAGAGGAUAAAAAAAAGGGAAAAGGAUAAUUCAAAAAUAAUUAAAUGGAUUAAUAGGAUUUAUAUUUUGAGGUGGAUAGGUAAGUAUAGUGGAUAUGCAGAUAGUUUUAUUAGAUGUUUGGUGCCCCUGUUUUUAAGUAUUUUGGCCUACAACCCUAAAACCCAAAGUAAUUCUCACCAAAAAAAAAAAAAAAAAAAUUUUUUUUUUUUUUAAUCUUCAACUCUACAAACUCUCAUUUUGAACAUGCACUUUUUAAUUAAUUAAUUUUUUCUACUUUAGAACUCACUCAUCUUCCUAAAUACAAAAACUAAUUAUAAAAUAAAAACUAAUUCAACAAUUUAACUUCAACAUCUUUUUUUUUAAUAAUUCCUUUUCAUAUAAUAUUCCUUACUAACAAAAACUAAUUAUAAUUAAAUGACUUUAAUUUGAUAUAUAUAUAUAUAUAUAUAUAUAUAUAUAUAUAUCAAUAUUAAGAUGUAAAAUCCUAUAAACUUACACUUUAACCACUUGAGCCCAACAAGUGUUUGAUUUAAAAAUUUAUAGUUAUUAAAGAUGUUAAACUCCUUUAAAAAGUAUCAAAUGGUAAUAAAUAAAAAUUAGAGAAAAACCAUUCAAAUGAAGAGAUUUCAUCUAUAAUACGAAGUAAAAUCUAAAAAAGAAAUGUGAAGAAAAAAAUUAUCAUUGACUCUUAACUCUUGCUAAACCAAUCCCACUACCAUCCAAUACUAAAUUGUCUAACAAAUGAGAAUUGAAAGCAUAAAAGAGAAUCAUUGACUAUUGACUCUACCAUCCAAUGUUGAAUUGUCUAACAAAUGAGACAAAUGAGAAUUGAAAGCAUAAAAGAGAAUCAUUGACUAUUGACUCUACCAUCCAAUGUUGAAUUGUCUAACAAAUGAGAAUUGAAAGCAUAAAAGAGAAUCAUUGACUAUUGACUCUACCAUCCAAUGCUGAAUCGUCUAACAAAUGGAAAUUGAAAGCAUAGCAGAGAAUCAUUGACUCUACUUACCCCAUUUUCCUAGAAGUGUUGCCCCUCCCUUCAUUUCAUGAAGUUUCUUAGAAGUUUCAAACUUCUUUACCAUAUAAAGUAUAAAAAAAAUCAUUCUUAUAGCCAUUCACAUGUGUUUCAAGAAAAAUGAAGUUAUUUUGCCCCCAAGAACUACAGAAAUAAAAUCAUGUUAAGAAUUUUAAAUUAUAAUAUUUAUCUAUAAUAAGAUUUAUUUAUAAUUUUUUUUUAAAAAAAUCAUCAUCUAGUUGUUUAACUUAUUUUUUAUUCUUACUUUUUUGUAUUUAUAUUUUAAUUUUAGUUUUAUGUUUAUUUUUAAUAUCUAUUUUUCACUUCUCGGUCAAUUUUUUUUUAUUUGCUUUAAUUUUUUAUUAUUAUUUCUUGUUGAUAUCCUCUUAUAUAUAUAUUAGAAAAAUAUAUAUAAAAGAUAAUAAUAAAAUGAGACACCAUGAAUAAAGUGAAGGAAAAAAAUAAAAAAUAAAAUAAAAUCAAAAUAUUCGUGGAGAAGUAAGGUGCUCUUAGCCUAAUGUGUAAUGAUGAUGAUGGAUGACCCACCAAACCAGAAGAAAAGCAAAAGGUGAGAAAAGAAUCAAUAAAGAGAAACAACUACCCUUAACUUUUUUCAUCACUUUCCCGAAGGUUACUGGAAGUCGCCUUCCUUCCUUCCCAAUUCACAGAGCCCCUAAGUUCCUAACUUUUCUCGUCACUUUCCGGAAGGUCACAACAAGCCACUGCCACUUGCCUUCCCAACUCUUUAUAUACAGAUAAAUGAUAAUAUUUAUCAAUAAUAAGAUUUAUCUAUAAAAUGUUAGAAAAUAAAUAUAUCAAUCCAGUGAAUUUUAUUUUUACUUUUUUUUUAUAUUAUAUAUUUAUCCUUUUAUUUUUUAUUUUUAGUCUUUAUAUUUAUUUUUCACUUCUCGGUCAAAAUUUUUAUUUUCUAUUUAUUUUAAAUUUUAUUUUUAUUUCUUUUUUAAGUACUUAUAUAUAAUAAUAAAUAAAUAAAUAAAUAAAUAAAUAAAAUAGGAGACCAUGAAUAAAGUGAAGAAAAAAUAAAAUUAAAAACUUGGUGGAGAAGUAAAGUGCACGGGUUUGAAGGAUGAAUGUGAAUAGGAGAAAAAGAGAACAAGAGAAAAGCAAAAGGUAAAAGUGUGAGAAAAGAAUCCAUAUUCUGAAAAUGAAAGGAUGAGAUAAAAAUAAAAUAUAUAAAAGAUAAUAGUGAAAUACGAGAGCAUGAUUAUGGCGAAGAAGAAAAAAAUGUUAAAUAAAAUAAAAAAUUUGGUGGUAUCCCAUUUGAAAAUAGAAGGAAACGAAGGUGAUAAGAAAAAAAGAAAAGUGAGAAAAAAAUCUCUAAGUCAAUAGAGAGAGAAAGUUGUCCCUAAUUUUCCUCAUCACUUUUCGGAAUGUCACGGGAAGCUACCGUCUACCUAGCUUUUUAUAUUGUAAUAUUUUUAUUUAUAUUAUAACCACUGUUUUCUUAUACUUAUAGGAUGUCUUAUAAAGUUUUUUUUUUAAAUUUAUUUAUUUUAUUUAUUGGAUUGAUUUUCGUGUGAAAAUUUAUUUUAUUUAAUAAUAAUAAUAAUUUUACUGAUUUUUUUUAAAAAUAUUUGAUAUCUCUUAAAUCAUUCAUAAAAUGAAUUAAUUUUUUAAUAAAAGUAAUUUUAAUUUAGAUUUAAAUUAUUUCUCAAUUAUAUUUAGAUAUAUGCAUAUAAAAAAUAUUAUUUUCUAAUAUUUAAUAUUUAAAAUUUUAUUUUAAUAAUAAUCUCUUUAAAAUAUUAUCACGAUUUAUAUUAGAAUUAAUGGUUUACAUUUUUAUUCUUCUUCCAAAAAUAAAAUUAUAAUGGACUACUUCACGUUAAUAAAAUCAUUUUUUUAUUCUAAUUUAUUAUAAAUUAUAAUAUUAUCAAUAAUAAGAUUUAUCUAUAAAAUAAAUAUAUCAAUCCACUCGUCUUUCUUUUAAUAAAUUUUCAUUUCAUAUUGUGGGUCGACACGUAUCAUUUCUGUUUACUUUAAUUUUUUAUUAAUAUUUUUUAUGUGCUUAAAGAAAAAAUAAAAUAUUAAAUAAAAUAAAAAACUUGGUGGGGAAGUAAAGUAAAGGAGCGUAAUGAUGACGAUUGUAUGGCCCGAGAGAGAGAGAGAGUGGGCCGGCUGAAAAAAUAAAAUAUUAAAUAAAAUAAAAAACUUGGUGGGGAAGUAAAGUAGAGGAGCGUAAUGAUGACGAUUGUAUGGCCCGAGAGAGAGAGAGUGGGCCAGCUGAAAAAAUAAAAUAUUAAAUAAAAUAAAAAACUUGGUGGGGAAGUAAAGUAGAGGAGCGUAAUGAUGACGAUUGUAUGGCCCAAGAGAGAGAGUGGGCCAGCUGAAAAAAUAAAAUAUUAAAUAAAAUAAAAAGCUUGGUGGGGAAGUAAAGUAGAGGAGCGUAAUGCUGACGAUUGUAUGGCCCGAGAGAGAUAGUGGGCCAGCUGAAAAAAUAAAAUAUUAAAUAAAAUAAAAAACUUGGUGGGGAAGUAAAGUAGAGGAGCGUAAUGAUGACGAUUGUAUGGCCCGAGAGAGAGAGUGGGCCAGCUGAAAAAAUAAAAUAUUAAAUAAAAUAAAAAACUUGGUGGGGAAGUAAAGUAGAGGAGCGUAAUGCUGACGAUUGUAUGGCCCGAGAGAGAGAGAGAGAGAGAGUGGGUCAGCUGAAAAAAUAAAAUAUUAAAUAAAAUAAAAAACUUGGUGGGGAAGUAAAGUAGAGGAGCGUAAUGAUGACGAUUGAAUCGGCCGAGAGAGAGAGAGUGGGUCAGCUGCUUUAAUUCAAGAUUGAAUGACCCGAGAGACACAGAGCUGUCCCUAACUUUCCUCUUCACUUCCUGGAAGGCGCCUUGCCUUCCCAACUUCUUAGUUGCACAAUCUCCUCAUUUACUCACUAUCCUGAAGAGAAAUCAACCCCUCUAAACUGUCUUUGUACUUUUGAGAUAGAAACCCACAAUGGCUUCCACAAGCUCCUUCAGAGCCUCUUCUUCUUCUUCUACUCCUUCCAUCCCUCGAACAAGUACUUAUGAUGUUUUCUUGAGUUUUAGAGGCGCAGACACCCGCUCUAAUUUCACUGAUCACCUCUACAGUGCUUUGGGUAGGAGAGGGAUUCGCACCUUCAGAGACGAUAAACUCAGGGAAGGAGAAGCGAUUGGUCCAGAACUCUUGACAGCCAUCGAAGAAUCAAGGUCUUCCGUAAUUGUUUUCUCUGAAAACUAUGCUCAUUCGACAUGGUGUUUGGAUGAGUUGGUAAAGAUCAUGGAGCGCCACAAAGAUCGGGGACAUGCUGUUUUCCCAAUUUUCUAUCACGUGGAUCCAUCCCAUGUACGAAGGAAAACAGAAAGUUUUGGAAAGGCCUUUGCCGGUUAUGAAGGAAACUGGAAGGACAAGAUACCACGGUGGAAGACGGCCUUGACGGAAGCAGCCAAUCUUUCUGGAUGGCAUCAACGGGAUGGGUAACUAUAAUUUCCUUUCAACUAUUUAAAUGAGUAGUUUUGCAUUUAUAGAGUGAUGAUGUGGAUUGAAACAUUUAUAAAAAUACAAAAGCUCAAAUUUUUUAUUUGGAGGUCUACUCCUUAAGCACAAACUUAUCCUCAAAAUGCUUUUAGAUUAAGGUGGUGCAUGUUUUUUUGGCUGAAUAGAAAAAGUCAAAUAUUUUGACUUUUUCUAUUCAGCUAAAAAGUAAUCUAUUAACAUCAUCCAAUAUAAUUAAAUUAAACUAAUGGAUAACAAGUUCAUUUUAGUAAACAUGUUACUUUUAGCUUAAUAGAAAAAAUAAAAAUAUUUAGCUUUUUCUAUUCAGCAAAAAAAAACAAAACAAACAGCACUUCGAGUCUUUUAUGUGUAAAUGUGUUUGAUAUUCUUUUAUACGGAAUGUUCUUAGAACAAGUGUUUUUUAGAAAAUCAGCUAUCUUUUCCACGAAUUUAUUUUUUCUUCAAAAACACUUUUAGAUUAUAAGUACUUUUUAAAAGUAUUUUUAGAGUGCUUUGAGCAGGCAAUUCUAUUUAAAUGCUUUUAGUGAAAGUUUUUUUAAUAAAUAUUUUUGGGAGUAUAUCUCAAAGAAUUAUUAGAAGUGAUUUUUUUUUUACUUUUAAUAAGUAAUUCUAAAUUUUUUAUCAAACGUCUUAAUAUUUUUUCAUAAAGACACUUUUUAUACUUCCCAAACAAACUGUAACUUGAGGUUGUUAACAAGGGGCAUAUAUUUGUGUGCUCAAAAUUUAAAAAUAAAAUAAAAUAAAAUAUUGCUUUUUAGGGCUUUAUUUAUAAGUUGGGUUUAUUCAAGUGUAUCAUUUGGGCAGCCGACUAUGUGUCAUGAAUAAGGAGAAAAUAGGAAAUUGGAGUAUUGAUUUGACCAUUGAAGCAGCCAAUUUAUAUGGAUGACAUCGAUAUUAAUUUAAUGAGCAUGCAAUUUAAGUUUCUUUCACUUUUCAUUCAUUAGUGGGUUUUGUUUAGGAAUUAAAUUAUUAUUAUUAUUGUUAUUUAUUACUAAUAUUAGUGUUUUUUGUUGUUGUUAAUAGUAGUUGCAAUGACAGUAGUAUAAAAAGAAUAGUAGAAUAACAAUUAUAUUGAGUUAGGAUUCAUGAUUAAUGGUAGAAUGAACUUAUUAAAACCCAAUUAAUGAGUUUUACUAUUUUAGAUCAAUUUAUGAGAAUCUAUAUCUAAAAUAAUUUAAUCAAAAUUUAUUACUAUUUUUUCAAUUUUCAAGAUUCAAUUCGCAUUAAUGUUACAAAAAUUAAUCAAUUUAUUUGAAAUUUUGUGUGAAUAAUUAUAUAACAAGUAACAAUAAAAUUAAUGACUAUUACUAUCUAUUAACGAGCUUCAAAAAUUUCAAUUAACCAACCUCUUGUGUAUCAAUAGAACAACUUAAUCAAAUUCUAAAAAUAAUUUGAUUAAUUAUGUAACAAGUAAGAAGUAACAAUAACAAAAUUAUUUAACCAAUUUUAUUUGAGGACAAGUUGAUCAAGUAGUUUGAUUAAUUAUGUACCAACUACCAAUAACAAAAUUAUGUGACGUAAAUUGUUUAGUAGGAAUUCAACUUCCCAGAGAGUUUGUGUGUGUAUAUAUAUAGACAAUAAAGAACAUAGGUUAGGAAGUUAAUUCUUUAUAGAUGAUGCGAAAGGAAAUCAACUCAAAAUAAAAUACAAAUGAAUAACUUGUUUACAAGCCUUUAAUUUUUAAUUUUUAUCAUACAAAUGAAUAAUAAGGAGAUGAUGUUGUGGGAUAAAUAAGUUUUGAAGCUUGAGGAAUUGAACAUGGGGUUUUUAAACUAAAACUUCUUAUAUUAAGGGGUUGAGGCUUCAUGCAUUACAAGAUAUAAAACGAAUGUCAAAGAAUAAAAUAUUUGCUCCUACAAGGUUUCUAAUUGCCAUGGGUUGUUAAAGAGUUUUUGAAAAGUGCAUGAAUGAUAAAGUAAUGUUUCGAUUCAUAAUCAUUGUCCUCUAUCAUGGCACAAAAUUUCCAUUUGAAUCUAAUGCCACACAAGCAGCACAACUAACAAAAUUCAAAAUCCAUGUUUUAGUUUUGUUCUCAUGCAUACUUGAUACAAUGAAAAAGGUCCUAAAAAUGUAAAUGAACUAAUAUCUUUGAUAUAUUCUAUUCUACUUUAAUUUAUUUUUCGUAAAGAUGUCAAAUUUAAUGUGUUUUAUUUACAAUUGUGGCUCAUUGCUUAACAUGUUAUUCUUUUAUAAUUGGCAGGUCUGAGUCCAAUAAAAUUAAAGAAAUAACUGAUAUCAUAUUCCAUCGAUUGAAAUGUAAGAGGCUUGAUGUUGGUGCCAAUUUAGUUGGUAUAGAUUCCCAUGUAAAAGAGAUGAUUUUGCGGUUGCAUAUGGAAUCAAGUGAUGUUCGUAUUGUUGGGAUAUACGGAGUUGGGGGGAUGGGUAAGACUACCAUCGCAAAAGUUAUAUAUAAUGAACUUUCUUGUGAAUUUGAAUGUAUGAGCUUUCUUGAAAAUAUUAGGGAGGUUUCCAAUCCCCAAGUUUUAUAUCACUUACAAAAUCAACUUCUUGGUGAUAUCCUAGAGGGAGAGGGGAGUCAAAAUAUAAAUAGUGUUGCCCACAAAGCAAGUAUGAUAAAGGACAUUCUCUCAUCUAAAAAAGUUUUUAUGGUUCUUGAUGAUGUUGAUGAUCCAAGUCAAUUAGAAAAUUUACUUGGACAUCGUGAAUGGCUUGGAGAAGGAAGUAAAGUCAUCAUAACAACUAGAGAUAAACAUGUGUUAGCUGUACAAGAAGUGGAUGUCUUAUAUGAGGUUAAGGGAUUGAAUUUUAAAGAAGCUCAUGAACUUUUCAGUUUGUAUGCCUUUAAACAAAAUCUUCCCCAAUCAAACUAUAGAGACCUCUCACAUCGUGUUGUAGGCUAUUGUCAAGGGCUUCCAUUAGCUCUAAAAGUUCUAGGUUCUCUCUUAUUCAAGAAGACAAUACCUCAAUGGGAAAGUGAAUUGGAUAAAUUGGACAAAGAACCUGAGAUGAAAAUUCACAAUGUGCUUAAACGAAGCUAUGAUGGAUUAGAUCGUACAGAAAAAAAAAUAUUUCUUGAUGUUGCAUGUUUUUUUAAAGGUGAAGAAGAUAGGGAUUUUGUGUCAAGAAUAUUGGAUGGUUGUCAUUUCCAUGCGGAAAGAGGAAUAAGAAAUCUAAAUGAUCGGUGUCUUAUAACUCUUCCAUACAACCAAAUACAUAUGCAUGAUUUGAUACGACAGACGGGUUGGGAAAUUGUUCGUGAAAAAUUUCCUAAUGAGCCAAACAAAUGGAGCAGAUUGUGGGAUACCCAGGAUAUUCAACGGGCACUUAGAACAUAUGAGGUAAGAGCCAGGUGCAUAAAUUCACUUAAAGCUCUAGUUGAAGAUAUAAACUUCAAUAAUAAUACCAUUCUUGUAUAAGCACUUACAUAUCCAUAUAAGUUUAGUUAAUUUGUAUUUAUGUUUGCCUUAUCCUUGUUAUUUUUCAGGGAAUAGAAGGAGUUGAAACAAUAGACUUGAACUUGUCUGAUUUUGAAAGAGUAUGCUUCAAUUCAAAUGUUUUCUCAAAGAUGACUAAUCUUCGAUUGCUCAGAGUUCAUUCAGAUGACUAUUUCGAUCCUUAUUCUCAUGAUGAUAUGGAGGAGGAGGAGGACGAGGAGGACGAGGAGGAGGAGGAGGAGAAGGAGAAGGUAGAUCGUUAUUGUGAAGAAAUGAUUGAUUCUGUAAUGAAAACUGCUUCUAAAAUGCACCUUGACCCGGAUUUUGAAAUCCCUUCUUUUGAGUUAAGUUAUCUUUGUUGGGAUGGGUAUCCUUUAGGUUUUUUAUCAUCAAAUUUUAAUGGAAAGAACCUUGUUGAACUUCACUUGAAGUGUAGCAACAUAAAACAACUAUGGCAAGGGAAGAAGGUAUUAUUAUCAUUUAAUAAUGACUUUUUUUCCUUUAUAUUGAUUUUAAAAUUUCUAAUAGUUAUUUCUUUUAUUGAAAUUAUUUUCUUUUGGUACAGGAUCUUCAAAGUUUAAAGGUCAUUGAUCUAAGUCACUCAAACAAGCUCGUUCAAAUGCCAGAAUUCUCAAGCAUGCCAAAUUUGGAAGAACUAAUUCUUAAAGGUUGUGUAAGCUUGAUCAAUAUUGACCCAUCUGUUGGAGAUCUCAAGAAGCUUACUACCUUAGAUUUAAGGGGGUGUGUUAAGCUUAAGGGUUUACCAAGUAGCAUUAGCAACUUGGAAGCUCUUGAAUGUCUUGAUCUUACUAGGUGCUCAAGCUUUGACAAGUUUGCAGAAAUUCAAGGAAUUCAAGGAAAUAUGAGUAGUUUAACGCAUCUAUAUUUGCGCAAGACUGCUAUUAGAGAACUUCCAAGUAGCAUUGACUUAGAAUCUGUUGAGAUUCUUGAUCUCUCUGAUUGUUCUAAGUUUGAGAAAUUUCCAGAGAACGGAGCAAACAUGAAAAGUUUAAAUGAUCUUCGUUUAGAGAAUACUGCUAUUAAAGAACUCCCAACAGGUAUUGCCAACUGGGAAUCUCUUGAGAUUCUUGAUCUCUCUUAUUGCUCAAAGUUUGAGAAAUUUCCAGAGAAGGGAGGGAACAUGAAAAGUUUAAAGAAGCUUCGUUUUAAUGGUACUUCUAUUAAGGAUCUGCCUGAUAGCAUUGGAGACUUGGAAUCUCUUGAGAUUCUUGAUCUCUCUUAUUGCUCAAAGUUUGAGAAAUUUCCAGAGAAGGGAGGGAACAUGAAAAGUUUAAAGAAGCUUCGUUUUAAUGGUACUUCUAUUAAGGAUCUGCCUGAUAGCAUUGGAGACUUGGAAUCUCUUGAGAUUCUUGAUCUCUCUUAUUGCUCAAAGUUUGAGAAAUUUCCGGAGAAGGGAGGGAACAUGAAAAGUUUAAAGAAGCUUCAUUUAAAAAAUACUGCUAUUAAGGAUCUGCCGGAUAGCAUUGGAGACUUGGAAUCUCUUGAGAUUCUUGAUCUCUCUAAGUGCUUAAAGUUUGAGAAAUUUCCGGAGAAGGGAGGGAACAUGAAAAGUUUAAAGAAGCUUUCUUUAAUAAAUACUGCUAUUAAGGAUCUGCCGGAUAGCGUUGGAGACUUAGAAUCUCUUGAGAUUCUUCAUCUCUCUGAGUGCUCAAAGUUUGAGAAAUUUCCGGAGAAGGGAGGGAACAUGAAAAGUUUAAAGGAGCUUUAUUUAAGAAAUACUGCUAUUAAGGAUCUGCCUGAUAGCAUUGGAGACUUGGAAUCUCUUGAGUCUCUUGAUCUCUCUGAUUGCUCAAAGUUUGAGAAAUUUCCGGAGAAGGGAGGGAACAUGAAAAAAUUAAAGCAGUUUCUUUAAUAAAUACUGCUAUUAAGGAUCUGCCAGAUAGCAUUGGAGACUUGGAAUCUCUUGAGUCUCUUGAUCUCUCUGAGUGCUCAAAGUUUGAGAAGUUUCCGGAGAAGGGAGGGAACAUGAAAAGUUUAAAGGAGCUUUAUUUAAUAAAUACUGCUAUUAAGGAUCUGCCGGAUAGCAUUGGAGGCUUGGAAUCUCUUAAGAUUCUUAAUUUAAAAAAUACUGCUAUUAAGGAUCUUCCCAACAUUUCUAGGUUGAAAUUUCUUAAAAGACUCAUCCUCUGUGACCGCUCAGACAUGUGGGAAGGAUUAAUAAGCAAUCAGCUUUGCAAUCUGCAAAAACCUAAUAUCAGUCAAUGCGAAAUGGCUCGACAGAUUCCGGUGCUUCCUUCAAGUCUAGAAGAAAUAGACGCACACCAUUGCACAAGCAAGGAAGAUUUAUCAGGUCUGCUCUGGCUUUGCCACCGCAACUGGUUGAAAUCUACAGCAGAGGUAAUGUAAUAAUUUUUUUUAUUUAAUUAUGCCACUUAAACCUUUUUUAUAUAAAGCCAAUAUUUACAUAAUAAUUUGUGCAGGAGUUGAAAAGUUGGAAACUCAGUGCUCGUAUUCCAGAAAGUAGUGGAAUUCAAGAGUGGAGGAUAAGGUAUCAAAACUUGGGAAGUGAAGUAACAGCAAAGCUUCCAAUGAAUUGGUAUGAAGAUCCUGACUUCCUAGGAUUUUUUGUAUCAUGUGUUUAUCAGCCUAGUCAUAAAUCUACUCUCAAGUGUGAAUUGAAUUUACAUGGCAAUGGAUUUGAAUUCAAGGACAGAACCUGGUGUGACUGCUGGUGUGGGUCCCAUGGUAAUUUUAAAGAAUUGAUAGAUCAAGUAUGGGUUUGGUGGUAUCCUAAGAUUGCUAUUCCGAAAGAGCUCCGUAAAUCCACACAUAUUAAUGCUUCAUUUAAGAAUCCUGGGAUAAACAUAAAAAAAUGCGGCAUCAAUCUUAUAUUUGCGGGAGAUCAACGAAAUCAUAUGCCCAUGUUGGAGCAUCCUCAGAAUUCUGGUGACAAUGGAUCAGCAUCACAAGAUACCGAUGGUAAUGUUCAUGGGGCUAAUCAAGAUGAUGAACACUACCAUAUUCCAGCGAUGUUAGAUCUUCUCAGGAAUUUUGGUGACAAUGGAUCAGUAGUACUUGAAGACAAUGAUGGAAACCGUAAGAGAAGACGUGAUGAUUCGUUACCCGAUGUAGUGGAGGAGCCACAUUAUAAAAGAUUGGGAGCACCCAACAUCGAUCUCUCGCUUUGAACUCCAUCACUAGGUGCAUUAUCAACCCUUCUUCAAUAUUCUAACUUCUCUCCUUUUUAAAUUAUUUUUGAAGUCAAUAAACUAUUUUUAUAUGUAUCUUCAAACUUAUUUCAUUAAUUUUCCUCCAUUAUAUAAAAAUUAAAUAAUUUAAAAAUAUAUAAAUCUCUAAUCAAUUUUAAUUAUAUUUUAUUUUCUUUCAUAUUUUCUAUAGAAAAACCAAGUAUAACAAAUAAUUUUUUUUAGUGUUUUUUUUUAUUUCCUAAGUACUCUCUAAGAUUCAAACAUAUUUAUAGUGAUUGAUAUCAUGACUAUGCAUGUACUACAUUUCAUAGAAUUUCUUCAUUUUCAAAAAAUAUGAAAAAUAACUUUAACUAACUUUAAAAGUCAUCAUUAGUUUAAAAACAUGUAUAGUUUUUUUUAUUUUUUAACAUAUAGCAUAUAUAUGGUAGUGAAUUGCUUCUUUUUUUUUUCCAUUAUUUAUUUAUUUAAUUAGUUAAAUAAAAACCUCUACAAAGUGAUUAUGAAGCUCUAGGGAUUCUUCAUUACCUUAUUAGACAUUAAUUAAUUAAUUAAUUAAUUUUUUCAACUUGCUUUAAGAUAAAAUUUGAAUAAGUUAUCAAAGUUAGUUAGAGAAGAUCAUGUACACAAAUUAGAAGUCAAAUUUGAAUGUAUUAUGUGGUAGAUAUAUGGAGAAACAUACUUGAUGGAAGUAAAUAAUAAAACUCCCAUAUAUUGAUUUUAAUAGUUUUAAGAGUCAAAUUGUUUAUGGUUUUUGUAUUUAAGAAUUAAAUUUCUUUAAGCAUGCUAAAACAUGUUUAAACAUGCAUACUUAGUCAUUUCCUGAGAUGGAAGUUUUGGAUUAAUCUUAUAUUUACUUAUGAUUUUGAUAUGCUCACGAAGUUUACCUAACUAUUAAUUAUACUAAUCUUAAGUGAAAUUUGUGAUAGUAUCGAUCAAAACGAAAUCACAUGUGGUAGCUGCAAGUGGAGUUUAUCUUUUUUCCUAUCAACUUAUUGGUAAGUCAUUUUAUUCAUUUAUCCUUUUAGUAUGUGUAGAAAAUUGAUUAUAGUUCUUCAAUUUCUUUACUAUUUUCUCUUUCCCUUGAUCCCUAUUUUGUUCUAUUAUGUUUGGUUUUUGAAAAACUUGAGGGUAAAUAUAAAGAAAAGAAAAUUGAGAAAAAAAAAAAGGAAAUACAAAGUGAAAAAGAAUAAAAACUAGAUUUAAAGUUAAUCAAUUAUUUUCAUAUGUUUGUUCAAUCUUAUUUCAUUUAUUAUGCUUCAUUAUAUAAAAAUUAAAUAAUUUUAAAAUGUAUAUAACUCUAACUAAUUUUAAUUAUAUUUAAUUUUUUUUCCAUAUUUUUCACAAUGAAACCAAACAUUUAUCAUUUUCCUUGACAAUUUUUAUUGUUUCCUUGGUGCUCGAUGGGAUCCAAACAUAAGUUGAAAACCAUCAGGGUAGCCUAGUUGGUCAAGGCGAAUAUUGAGAAGUGUGGUCCUAGUAAGUGGUACAUGGUUAUGGGUUUGAAUCCUGUCACCACUGAUACCUUGAAUUUGCCUAGUGCUAGUUGUUGCGGGUGAUUAACACUUUGAGGUUUGGGUCCCCAUAGAGAGUUCGAAGGGUUUGGUCAUGGAAGGUUCCUUGAUUAUUGAGAAAAAAAAAAACAUAAGUUUUAUGUUUCAGGAGAUUUAAAAAAAAAAAAAAGGUUGUAGCACAAUCCAUAAUUAACUAGGAUAUAUAUUUGUUCUCAUGUGCUUGGUAUAAGGCACUAAGUAUCAUUAUAUUAAAUUAAAUCCUCGAUCUACUUCAUAAGAGUUAGUUAUAAAUUCCUUGCUAUUGAUAUAGGUAAACAAGAAUUUAUAUAUGUUUGAAUUAAUUCUUAAGUUAAUGGUUAAUACCCAUUAAAUAUGUUUUUAGUUCCUUUGAUGAUUAUGUUAUAAUUUGAACAUGUUAGGGGUAUGAUUCUAGCUUCAUUAGCAUGAAGUGUAUCCAAUGAUAUGUGAUUCCCUAUCACUAUGUUUGGAUCCAAGAAAGUGUAUGGGAUGAAAAAUCCUCAUGAAAAUGAUUUUCUCAUAAAAAAAAUCCAAGAAAGUAUGAAGGAACAUGAAAAUGAUUCUCGGAAAUCAAACGCAACCAUGUGAAAUAUACUUGUGUUAAUAAUUAUAAUGUGUGUUUGUUGUACUAUGUUUAUGAAAUUGAAAUGAUGUAUUUUAUAAUUUAUGUAGGUGGAAACCCUAAGGACAAUGAGGAGAAGUUAAUCUCAAGAUACAAGUGAGAUUCCAAAUGUUGCUAAGGUGGUCUACUCUUACCAUCAUGACCAUCAAGAAAGAUGCUACAAUUUGUGUAUUGAAAGUGUGAAUUAGGAAUGUUAAAAAAUGAAAACUUGAAUUGAUAUAUGUUUUUGCCUAUAAGAUGUGUGGUUAUAGGCAAUUCUUAUGGGUAUGUAAUUGACCUUGAUGUUGCAUAUGAAGCAUAUCACCCUCUCUAUAUCUUCAAGCUAAUGGUUGGAGUUUGGAUAGUGAAAGACAAGUGUCAUAGAUUUAAGUAUUUUCAAAGGGCUCAUGUGGCACAUAGACAAUUCAAGUCUCUUGAAGUUGUUAAUUCUUUCACGUUGUAACAAAGGUCUCUAUCACAUUUCACACAUUAUAACCAUCACAUUUUAACUCUGAGUGUUUAGUUUGAAAUACUUUUGCAUUAAACUCUUUUUCAAAAGUAUUAAAUUAAUAUCUUUCUCUAGUCUUACUCGUUUUGGUUUGUCAACUUAAGUGGUUUAUUACUCUCUAGAGCCAACUUUCAACUUAGUCAUUCCCACAUAAUUGUUAUUGAUUCAUGGUCAAUUAACAAAUUCUCUGAUGUUAUGAUUGGUUUUUGAAAAUUUUGAGGAAAAUUAAAUAAAGAGAAAAAGUAUAAGGAAAUAAAUUUGAAGAAGCAUAAAAAAAAAAAAAAAUUAAAAUUAAUAAAUUAUUUUUAUUUGUUAUUUUAAACUCGUUUUACACCUAAUUUUAAUAAUAUUUAUUUACUUUCCCUAUUUUCCAUGAGUUGUCAAAUAUAAAAAAAUUAUUAUUUUUAAUACUUUUUGAUAACUAAACAUAACCUAAUACUUGUCUUUGUAAUUUCAAGGUACCAAUGAUAGAAUCAUACCUAUUAAUGUGGCCGUAUACAUGUGUGGAAUAUUCAUGAUUCAAUACUAUCACUACAUUACAAUUGUGGGAUGGAUCCUAGUAUAUAGUUAACGCAAAGAAGGAUUUUAUUCUAAAAUUAAUAUAAACAAAUAUAAUUUGAUAAUGUAUUUUAAACAUCUUGUAGAUAGUGUUUGGUGAACCAAUUUAAUAAUUUAAUAUAACUUAAUAGUUUAAUUUAUUAUUAAGUAGAUUAACUAUAUUUGGUAGAAUAAGUUAAUAUUACAAUGUAAAUUUAGUGUUAAGUCAAAAUAGUUAAUUUAAGGGUGUUUGGUAAAUCAACUUAAUGACUUAAUAUGAUUUAAUAAUUUAAUUUAAGUCAUUAAAGAGAUUAAAUAUAUUUGAUAAAAUAAUUUAAUACUACAACUUAAAGUUAUUUUUAACUUUAAGUAAUAAGUCAAAAGGAUCAAUUUCAUUGAGACCCCCUGAGGUUUGGUAUAAAUAUACUCGACUAUCAUUGAUUUCAAAUUUCAUCAAUUAGCACCCUUAUAAAUUUUUUUCGUUUUAAAAAAUUAUUUUUUUAAGAGAUUUCAAGUAAAAAUAUUUUAUAUAGGAGUGUUUAACAAUUUACUAAAAACUAAAUUUUAUUCUUUAAAAACUAAAAUUUAUAUAUAUAAUACAUUUAUAGAGGUACCAAUUGAUAAAAUUUGAAACUUACAAUGGCUUAAUGUACUUACUCUAAACCUGAAGGAUCUCAAUAAAAUUAACUCUAAGUCAAAAUAGUUAACUUAUUCUUAAUUUCAAAUCAUUUUUACCUUAUUUACCUACAUUUAUGACUCACUUUUUAUGAUAAAUAUUUUAUGAUUGUAUUUGUAUCUACGAUGCUUUAAAUAUGAAUAUUUAACAAAUAAAUCUAUUGUUUAAGAUUAGUGAAAAUAUAAUGAUUAGUUAAAAUUAAUAAGAAUAAAUAUAUCAAUUUGAAAAUUUAGAAUAAAUCUUAAAUUAACUUUACUAAAUAAUCUUAAUACUUAAAGUAAAAAAUAAUUAAUAAGUUUUAAGUUUACAACUUAAGAAUCAUUUAACUUAAAACCAACUUAAAUCAUUAAAUAAUAAGUAAUAAGUUUUACCAAACACCUACUUAAACAUAGCUUUUAAAGAAAUUAUUUAAUCAAAAGACAAAUAUUAAAAUAUAAAAUAUAAAAAAUAUAAUAAAGGAACAUGCACAAUGCAAAUUGACAUUAUAAAGUCUUUCACACUAUUUUAUUCCUUUUUUUUGUUCACCUUUUUAGAAAACGAUUUUAAUAUUUCCUAGGAAAAUUAUGAUAACACGUAAUUGGUGUUUCCAUAUUUUCUAAUUUUAAAACUCUAUUUUCUGAAAUAUUGAUUUAUGUUUUCUUUACAAAUGAAAACAAUUUAAACAAAAAGGUGCUUUAUAGUUUCCAUUUUUAAAAAUGAUUUUCACUUAUUUUGACUUAAGGCAUUUUCAAGAUAAGAAAAAAAACAAGAAUAAAAGCUAUUUUUAGAGAAUAAAAAUAAAUGAAAAAUGAAAAACAUUUUCCAACCGAAACCCAUUGUUAAUGUUUUCAUCUCAUUGCACCUUUUUCUAAUCACCAUCCCCCUCUUUGAUGGACUAACUCGGAAAAAUUAUCUUGGCACGUGCUUUAAUUUACAUUUGUUAAAUUGGUUUUGACAUACAUUUUCCAUAAUAAAAGCAAAACAAUAGCCCGAGUUACAAACAUGAUUUCCAUGGUUUUUAGGUCUUUAAUCACAAAGUAUUGAUUCCCAAAUUAUAGAUGCUCUAAAUUUAGUGCAUAGGGCAUUCAGACUCUCAGUUCCAUCAACAUCCAUUUUCAUUUUCUCACCUGCCAAAACCCUAUUGUACAAAUUUCCAUUGAACCUGCAGAUCCAUCCAAAGUGAUACCAAACUGUGCUGACAAGGAGCCUUUGUAAGAAUCUGAUACAGCUCCUGCUGUUUCUGAAAGGUUGCUCUUCAUCUCUGAAAUUUUUGAUGCCAUGUGCUCUUUGUAUUUCGAAACUAAAUCAACCAAAGCAUAGAGUUCCCAAGCACAUAUCUGAAUUUCUUCCUCAUUUUGCUUGAUUGCUUCCUGCAACUUCAAUUUGGACGUCUUCAUGACAACAUCAAAGUCUAGUCAGAAUCCCUUGAAUUUUUCAAUAUUAUUCACAUUAAUCAAGAACAAUUAUAGAGCCAGGUAGGAAUUUUUCUUAAGUGUUAUAUAGGCCAUCAAAACUACUUUGUAGGGACUAAUUAUCAUCCAAGAACAAUUAUUCACAUUAGUCAGAACAAGAACAAUUAUUCACAUUUACUUGGAAAAAGAAUCAAAUGUAGUCAAUCCUUUGUAGGGACUAAUUAUCAUCCAAAAAGAAUUUUUCUUAAGUGUUAUAUAGGUCAUCAAAGCUACUUUGGAAAUUUGGGGCCUGACAACCUAUGUGCAAUAACAAUUGACAUCUCCAGCAGAUUUUAUUUUAUUUUUUUAUCCAAAAAAAAUCAUUCAUUGAUAUGAAUUUAGUUACAAACCAAGGUUAAGAAACCCUUUCAAAAUAUAAAGGAUGAUUAAAAGUUGACGAAAAACCUAACAAGAGUAGCAAGAUAACUAUAUUAAUCAAGGAUGAUACAAGAACUUGUACAAAAUAUAGCGACAAUGUACAAGAACUUGUACAAGCAAGCACUAUAACUUGGGAGUGGUGGCGCCUUGAGCCUAGUGUCACGGACUUAGUCGUUCACUAAGCUCGUGCGGCACUUAGACAAGCCAAGACGCUUGAUCUUGCUAAGUCAGCCUUGCUCCCCAAUGCUUAGCUUGCUCGGCUAAGACACUCGCGACUCAAAAGCUUAAGAAGCUUGGUAGGCAACUCUUGAAAGAAUGGAAGCUUUCACUAACUCAAGGAAACCUUUACAAGUGCUUGGAUGCUCACUUGCUUGGUGCCUUGGCCAAAUGAGGCCCUCACCUAUUUAUAGGCACUAAUGGAACUCUCUAGAACCUUGGAGGGUUCCUUACAAUUCAUGAAUAUUCUAGAAUGUCCUACACUAUUCUAGAAUAUUCAAGAGACUUCUAGAUUUCUCUAGAAAGCUUUGGACCCUUCUCAUGCCUUCUACCAUAGUGUAGAGUUGUGUAGACUUCUCUAGGCAUUUCUAGAACCUUCCACACUCUUCCCACUAGUGGCUAAGUGUGGAUGUCUCCAAGGGUCUCUAGAAGCUUCUCACCUCCUAUAUAAGCCAUGGGGAGGGUCAUUUGAAGCAUCUUGUGACACUCUCCCCCACCUAAGCCGCAGACGUCCUCGUCGUGUCUUCUGCCCGGAACCGCUCAAUCUGUUCCUGGAACUGCCAUAGUGCAUUUGCUGGCUCCCAACUAGCCUCGCUUUCUGGUAGUCCCUUCCAUUUCACUAAGUACUCCGUAGCAGGAGGCACACCACGCCUUCUGAUGAUUCGGUCUGCAAUGAUGUGUUCCACCUCCUUGUCAUAGGAGAUCACAACCGCUGUAAGUGCCCUCUUAGAAAGCCCUCGGCUUGGAUCAUCCUUGUCUUCGUGAUAUGGUUUCAAGUAACUCACGUGGAAGACAGGGUGAAUCUUUAACCUUGGCGGUAACUCCACUUUGUAGGACACCUUGCCGACCUUUCCAAGUAUAGGGAAGGGUCCUUCAUACCUCCUCACAAGGCCCUUAUGCACUGGCCUUAGGGAUUUGAAUUGUUGAGGAAGGAGCUUGACAAGCACCAUGUCUCCGACCUUGUACUCCGUGUGACGUCGCUUCUUGUCAGCCCACUUCUUCAUUUUCUUAGCGGCCUUGUCCAAGUACGAGCGUGCUAUGUCAGCUUGCUCAUGCCACCCCUUAGCGAACUUGAAAGCCGCUGGACUUCUCCCUGUGUAGCCUAUCGUUAGCGUGUGAGGAGUUAAGGGUUGCUGCCCUGUGGCUAGCUCGAACGGGCUCUUGUUGGUCGCCUCACUCCUUUGCAAGUUGUAUGAGAAAUGGGCUAUAUCUAGCAACUUAGCUCAAUCCCUCUAGUUGGCACUCACAAAGUGCCUCAAGUAUAGCUCCAGCAAGGCGUUCACCCUCUCAGUCUGCCCAUCUGUCUGUGGGUGAAAGCUGGUGGAGAAGUGAAGCUCCGAACCCAUAAGCUUGAAGAGCUCCGUCCAAAACUUCCCAGUGAAGCGUGGGUCGCGAUCACUGAUGAUGAACUUAGGCAACCCCCAAUACUUGACUACGUGCUUUAGGAAUAGCCUCGCCGUCUCUUCCGCGGUGCAGUCAGUCGGGGCUGCUAUGAAGGUUGCAUACUUAGAGAAUCUAUCCACCACCACUAUGAUAGAGCCGUUGUCCUCUGACUUAGGUAGCCCGAUGAUGAAGUCCAUGGUGACGCUGUCCCAUGGGCGUUCUGCUACAGGUAGUGGCUCUAACAGGCCUCUAGGUUGUCGUUGUUCCACCUUGUCUUGUUGGCACACAAGACAAGUCCUCACAUAGGCCUCAACCUCGUCCCGUAUCUGAGGCCAAUAGUAAGCCGACUCGAGUAGUGCCCUAGUGCGUCGUUGCCUAGGGUGCCCUGCCCACUUGGUGUCAUGGCACUCCUUAAUCAGGUUCCGCCUUAUGUUCCCCCACUUAGGCACGUAGAGUCGUCUCCCUUUGGUGUAGAGUAAGCCAUCCUCCACCCAAAACCGCUUGGUCUUCCCUUCAUGAGCCAGGGCGAUGAGGCUCUUAGCCACUGGAUUAUGUUGCAGUCCCUCCCUUAGAAGAUCCAUUAUGUCUCCUUGGGGCUGACUCGUUAUGGACGCUAGCUCGGCUUUGCGACUUAGGGCGUCGGCCACAUGAUUAGCACUUCCUGGCUUAUACUCCAGCGUAUAGUCGAACUCGGCCAAGAAGUCUUGCCACCUAGCUUGUUUAGGACUCAGCUUCUUCUGUGUCUGGAAGUAGCUAGUGGCCACAUUGUCGGUCUUCACUAUGAAGUGAGACCCUAGCAAAUAGUGCCUCCAGGUGCGCAAGCAGUGAACGAUAGCGGUCAUCUCCUUUUCUUGCACCGUGUAACGCCUCUCCGCGUCGUUUAGCUUGCGACUCUCAAAUGCAAUUGGGUGUCUUUCUUGCAUAAGGACUCCCCCAAUAGCGAAGUCUGAGGCAUCUGUGUGUACCUCAAAGACCUUGGUGUGGUCGGGUAGUGCCAACACUGGCUCCUCAGUCACAGCCUUCUUCAGGUCCUCAAAGGCUUGUUGGCACCUUUCAUCCCAUUCCCAUGCCUUAUUCUUCUUCAGAAGAUCAGUGAGUGGAGCGGCCCUUGCCGAAUAACCCUUUAUGAACCGCCGAUAGUAAUUAACUAAACCAAGGAAAGAUCUGAGUUGAGGUACCUUGGUUGGUGGAUCCCAUUCUUGGAUGGCCUUCACCUUGCUAUCAUCCAUCAUCAGCUUGCCAUCUCUGAUGCGAUGCCCAAGGAAGCUCACUUCCUCCUUAGCAAACGAACACUUCUCCUUCUUCACGUAUAGCUCGUUCUGCCUCAAGAUCUUAAAGACCUUCCUCAAGUGCUCCACGUGCUCCUUUAGAGUGUUACUAUAGAUGACUAUGUCAUCCAAGUACACCACCACGAACUUGUCCAAGUAUGGGUGGAAGAUCUUGUUCAUGAGGGUGCAAAACGUUGCUGGGGCAUUGGUGAGUCCGAAAGGCAUUACUACGAACUCAUAUGAGCCAUACCUGGUCACACAUGUAGUCUUCGGCUCAUCUCCCUCCGCAAUCCUGACUUGGUAGUAGCCUGACCUUAAGUCCAGCUUCGUGAAGUACCUUGCCCUUCCAAGUUGAUCGAACAAGUCAGCAAUGAGCGGGAUGGGAUACUUGUUCUUCAUCGUCACCUUGUUGAGUGCCCGGUAAUCUAUGCACAUUCGUAGGGACCCAUCAUGCUUUUUCUGAAAUAGAACCGGCGCGCCAUAAGGAGCCUUGGAUGGUUGGAUGAACCCCGCAUCUAGCAACUCCUUGAGUUGUCUCCUUAGCUCCUCCAACUCGGGUGGUGCCAUCCUAUAUGGCCCCAUAGCAGGGGGCUUGGCUCCCGGCUCCAGCUCAAUCUUGUGAUCUUCCUCUCUCCUAGGAGGAAGUCUCUUGGGCAACUCGGGCGGCAUAACGUCCUUGAGCUCAUCAAGGACCCCCUCGAUUUCUCUAGGCAUGGGUUCUCCCGACCCAUCAUCCUUUUCUUCCUUUAGGGUGGCGAGGUAGGUCACCUCUUCCCUCUUUAACCCCUUCUUUACUUGCAUAGCGGAUAACAUAGGGGUCUUGAGCGUACCUUCAUUGACCGUAGGGACCAUGCACGACUUCUCCUCCUCUAGGAUAGCCAUUGAGCGUAGGAAAGGUAGUGGCACGGCCUUGACCUUCUGUAGGAAGUCCAUUCCUAGCACCAUCUUGAAGUCAUCCAUGGGUGCCACUGUGAAGUCGACCCUUCCUUCCCACGAGCCGAUGUGCAUAGUCACCCCGCGAGCUACUCCAUGUGAUGGCUUGGCGGCUGAAUUGACUGCCUUGAGCCAUCCUCCUUCCUUGGAUGCUUGGAGCUCCAACCUUCUUGCCUCAUCCUCCGAGACAAAGUUGUGAGUGGCACCUGUGUCCACCAGGGCCUUGGUGGCCUUCCCAUUCACAAGGGCCUCCACAUACAUCAGCCCUUUGCUUUGAGGCGUCUUAGGCAUCGGCUUGGCCUUAAGGGCAGUUAAGAGCUGCAACGAUCCCAUCUUAGCAUCGCCUUCUUGCUCCUUUUCCUCGAUCAUAGCAUUUAAGGCCUUCCUCUUAGGGCAGUCCCGUGCCCAGUGCGGACCAUCGCACAGGAAGCAAUUGGUCCUGGGCGUGAACUCCUUUCGCUUGUCCUUGCCUUUGCCAUCCUUGCCACUAGGGCCUUUGCUUGAUCCUUCCUUAGAGGUAUGGCCUUGCGACCUCUUGUCUCCCCCACCUUUGGCCUGGUUACCCUUGGAUGGUGGCUUGGGCUUGGAGGAGUCUCCCCUUCUAUAAUCUACUAAGGACUCGGCUACUGCCAUGGCCGUGGCUAGGUCUUGGACACCACGUCUCCUCAACUCUUGCUCGGCCCAGCUUUGCAAGUUGUCCAUGAAGUUGAACAGUAGCUCCUCCUCAGCCAUGUUAGGUAUCUCAAGCAUAAGAGUAGAGAAUUCUUUGACAUACUCACGGAUCGAGCCCGUGUGCUUGAGACGCUUCAAACUCUUCCUUGCUAGGUAAGCCACGUCUUCGGGAUAGAAUUGCCUCUUGAUUUCUCUCUUAAAGGCAUCCCAUGUGUCUAUGGUGCACGUCCCUCUCUCUAUGUCGGCAAAUCGUCGACGCCACCAUAGAGUAGCAUUAUCAGUGAGGUAAAGGGUCGCGGUGCGUACCUUAGUGGCUUCAUCCGUUAAUGCAAUUGCCUCAAAGUAACGCUCCAUGUGCCACAAGAAGUUAUCUAGCUCCUUGGCAUCCCUCUUGCCACUGAACGUGUGUGGCUUGGGCACCUCCACCCUUGGUGCCUCAUGAGUGGCCAUGACUCGUGCUGAUACAGCGGUCUUAUAGAUGGCCAACUCUUGUCGAAUCUCUUGGUCUCGGGCCUCCACUCGUGCAGUCAAGGCCUCCAUCCUUGACUCCACACUAGCGAACAUGCUCAUGACCUUGUCUUGGAAAGACAUGAACUCCUCGUGUGACACCGGUUGAACUUGCGAGACCAGCACCCCCUCGCGAAGGUCUUGGAUCUGCUCCCUUAGAUCCUCUAAGCCCUUCUCCAUGCCUUGCUCGAUCAAGUCCACCCCUUCCCGGGUGUCUGCCAUGGCUAGCUCCACCUUGGCUAACCUUGCCUCCAUGUUGGCAACAACAUCAUGAGAUGUAUCCUUCUUACCUCUGCCCCUGCCCCGUGCAGUAGGCUCGGCCUCCCUCCCAUGGGUUUGUUCGCUAGUCUCCUCCACGUUAGAGCCCGACAUGCUUCCCUUAUGCCCGCUUCGUAGCCACGCUCUGAUACCACUUGUCACGGACUUAGUCGUUCACUAAGCUCGUGCGGCACUUAGACAAGCCAAGACGCUUGAUCUUGCUAAGUUAGCCUUGCUCCCCAAUGCUUAGCUUGCUCGGCUAAGACACUCGCGACUCAAAAGCUUAAGAAGCUUGGUAGGCAACUCUUGAAAGAAUGGAAGCUUUCACUAACUCAAGGAAACCUUUACAAGUGCUUGGAUGCUCACUUGCUUGGUGCCUUGGCCAAAUGAGGCCCUCACCUAUUUAUAGGCACUAAUGGAACUCUCUAGAACCUUGGAGGGUUCCUUACAAUUCAUGAAUAUUCUAGAAUGUCCUACACUAUUCUAGAAUAUUCAAGAGACUUCUAGAUUUCUCUAGAAAGCUUUGGACCCUUCUCAUGCCUUCUACCAUAGUGUAGAGUUGUGUGGACUUCUCUAGGCAUUUCUAGAACCUUCCACACUCUUCCCACUAGUGGCUAAGUGUGGAUGUCUCCAAGGGUCUCUAGAAGCUUCUCACCUCCUAUAUAAGCCAUGGGGAGGGUCAUUUGAAGCAUCUUGUAACACUAGGCACACUUAAAGCACGCCUUUUAAAACUAUGAUCAUCCAUUAGACAGGUGGUUAGACCAGGCAGCUCUUGCUAUCAAAUUUUGAGUGACAACUGCUUGUGUAAUUGACACAUCAUUUGCCCUUUGUACCAAAUUUUAGAUUGACCAUCAAGUGGUACUAUACUACUUUCCAAUUAUUUUCUCUCCCAUAUUUCAUUUGAGUCAUUCUGGAAUUUAGCAGUAUUCUAUCCCAAUGGAAUUUCUAGGAACAACAUUUUUCUGUCAAAAUUUGAAUACAUCUAAAUUAUCACCUUUUUGAAUUCCAAUUGUAGUCCAAUCAAUUUAACCGUAGUAAUUGAUUUUCCAAGAAAUUUUAUUAUUGUGCAUUCAACUACUAACAAUUCAAGAAAGCUUUUUUUUUUCUUUUUGGAUAAGUAAAUCACAAUUCAAAAAACAAAUUAAACGAAGGGGAAAGCAAGAUUAUGAACAAUUUUGUCUUUUAGAUUGCAAAGAAAAUACUCGAGAAGCUUACAGUUACAACUUUAGUUUUCCUAGAGUGGCAUCCAUGCAAUAUAACAACCAUUCAAUUGUAUAUGCUACUGCUGGUACUUAAGAAAUGGUAUUGCUCACAAAGUCAGACCACUAGGUAAAGAAGACCUGCUUUGAUUUCUUAUAUAGAUAGAUGGAUACAGAGAGAGAGAGAGAGAGAGAGAGAGAGAGAGAGAGAGUUUGGCCUUUUCUAAGAGCAGCAAAAAGAGGUUGAGUUAAUUUGUACUUCAGUUAAUUGCAUAUUCAAUAGGGGACCAUUGGCUCCAACUAUGUGCACGCUCCCUCCAUCUGUAUCCUAUGUAUGUGUCUAAGAAUUUUAUGGCUCUGUCAUUCUUUCCAAAAAAUUUGUGCUGCAGAGUUCUUCUUUCUUGUAACAUGAUCAAUCUUGUUAAUCUUAUCUAACAUCACCAAUACUUUUAGCUUUCUUUAAAAUUUUUAGGAAAACAAAGCGAAAAUCUGGCUGCUCCUGUUGACACCCUAAAAUCGUAUAAAAAAGGCAUAGUUUUUUAUUCUUCUUGAGUGGCAUAUAAAUGCAUAGCUGCUGAACAAGAAAAAUGAGUUCUAAUUCACUUACUUCAUCACUACGGGAUUGAAGUGCAGCAAGAUGAUUUCUUUUUGCUUCAAUUUUAACAGCAUUUUCAACUAAUUAUUGUUGAAGAGAAAUCAACUCUUCCAACUUUGACAUAGAGCUUUUAUUUAUGUCAUCAGCAAAGGAGUCAAAUGCAGGCUUAAGCGUUGAUUUGUAAUCAAUUCCCAAACCUCAGCAGGCAAAGACCCUUUGGCAUUCAACACUACUGCAAACCAUUUCCUAACUUUAACCUGGAAACCAUCCAAGAGAAAAUACUUCAAUUACACAAUAGAUUGUAGUUUAAUAGGUUGAAAGAGUUGCAUGAGGUGGUAUGCUAAUUUGUCAAUUCAAAGAUGCUCCUGAAAAUUAAGUAUUUAGUGUUGCCUCUUCAUGACUAUUAGUUUACUUCUAAAAGUUAAAGAGAACAUGGUCCAAAGGGAAACAAUAGGCUCCUAAGGCAGGGCUCAGGAGGCAAAGGGUUGGGUGGGUAUGGGAAGGUUCCAAGUUGAAAUUCAUAUACCGAGAGAGAGAGAGCGAGAGAGAGAGAGAGAGAGAGAGAAGGGGGGGGGGGGAGGAGAGGGGAGACUACCUUAAAAAAGGAGGUUGCCAAGGGCAACUGUAUCACCUAUCUCUGUCUAAAUAAAUGAUUAGAAAACUUGUGAGGAUGAAAGUGUUAAAUGGAGAUUUUUUUUAAAAGCCAAAUUGAGAAUGAACAUUAGCUAACCUUAAAAACCUUUUUAUUUUUCGUACUUUGACAAAGCUCCAGAAUGGUUAGCAGUUUGAGAGUAACACUUAGCUUAAAAGGUUACAGAAGAUGAACAAACAUGAAAUCAUAAACCAAUACAAAAGCUGUAAUGUACCCAAAAGAUAAAUGCAGGUAAGGCAAAUUACAACUCAGAAACUACCCAUUGUUGGUGUUGAAUCACAACCCCAAGUAAACAAAUGAAGCUUAAGUUGGCUACUUGGAAAUAAUGCAUGUGACUCAAGAAGACAUAAGCCAUUGAAUGGUUCAGCAACUACAUUCACCUGGUCUGAAUUUUUGUCUACUGAAAUUUUACAUUUUUGUUAGGUAAUUUUUUUUGUCCCUAUUGGGAUUUGAACCUGAAACUUCCACAAACCCUUCCAACUCUUUACCUCUUGAGCCAGGCCUCAAGGGCAUGUUCACUGGAAUAAUUUAAGCAGAGAACAGCAGCUGGAUCCUUCUUAGGAAUCACUGACUAGUCAUGCUAUAACUACAAAGCCAGAUCCUACGUUCUCACUGAAGUUAUACUAAAAUGUUGUAUAUGUUAAUGUAUUUGCUAAGAACAGGAAAAUAUUUCAUAUCACCCACAAAUGACAGACAAAAAAAAUCUUGUAAUCUAAUUCAUGGAGGUAGAUAACCUAAUGUUGAUAAGAAUCACAGUAGACUUCAAUGGAAUAGAGAAAAUCAAUUCCAAGCAUUACCAAACUUAAGAAAGAACACAAUUCUACCAUGUUCAUUAAUUAUCAGAAAGCAUACUGAAGAUUACUAGAAAGACUUUAGAGUAUGCAACUAAAGGAAUUAAGAAAAUCCUAGUGGAGUGGAUUAUAGAGGUAUGAAAGCCAAACAAAGAGGAUAAGGAAAAGAAAACCUCCUGAGAGCCUGGUUGCAUUCAAUUGAAAGAGUUUCAAGCUCCUUAAACUUGUGCCCAAUUGUCGUGUCAAGAUCCCAAGACUUCUCCUCCCAACCAUUCCUUGCACCCUCGGCCUCCGUGAUAUCUCUCUCAACUGCCUGCAACUCCCUCUUCAUCCUCUCUGCAUCUCUUGCAUUAAACGUCUGCAACUCAACCCUCUUCUUCAGCUCUUAAUUAUCCUCGCAAAUUCUAUUUUCUUCUCAACCUUCACCCCCAACUCCUUCUCCUCCAAAAUCUUCUCCACUGAUGCAAUCCUUCCCGAAAAUUCUGCAAUUAUUGCACGAAAUUUUUUCACAUCCUCCUCCAACACCCCCCUCUCCUUCUCCACAACCUCCUUAGCCGAAGGCCCCGACCUCAAUUCCUCCAACCUCCCCUCCCUCUCUGCCAUCUCCUUCUCCAAUGCCUUCACACCUUCCGCCACUGCGUCCCUCUCCCUUUCCAACUUCCCCAUAGACUCCCUAUCCACCGCCUCCAUCCCAUCAUCAUCCCCGUGAAUAUAAUGCAAGUAACUAUCUAAUGCAUACACAAAAGUAUUGUCAAAACACUGCAAAUUCGACACAAGAUGGUCAUUAUACAAUGCGAUCUGAACCAACCAAUGCAUUACGCCUAAAAGGGAAGGCCAAGCAUGCGGGGUUCCGGGGGCUUUGAGAGCGGACUUGUUGAGCUUGAUCAGGAAAUUGAGGUGCUUGAGGAGGAUAGGAAGAUCGUCUUCAAGUUUGGUUGUGGGGAAAUCGAGUUGGGAGAUGAGGAAUUUUAGGGUUUCGGAAAUGUCUUUGGCGGAGGGGAGAGGGGGUUUAAGGGAGAAAGGAGAGGAAUGGGAGGCGAGAAAGGAGUUGAUGGUGCGGAUGGCGGAGAGUUGGUAGGAUCGGUCGGUGAGGGCAUCACCGGCGGAGGAGCGGUUGAUUCCAAGGGAGGAAGGGCGGCUGCUGGCGAAACUAGCGUCAGAGUCGCGGCUGCAUUGGCGGUGGUGGUCAACGGAGGGAGGUGGUGGUGGUGGCGGUGGGCGGAUAAAGUCCUUCGGACGGCGGCGGCCGGUGGCUUUCAUAUUCGGCUGUGAUGGGCUUCUCCCUCUCUCUUCUGAGUUCUUAUGAAUUCUGAAUCUCUCUUUCCCGCCUAUGGAUACCCCUCAGCUAUUUGUCAAUUACACUUAACCACCCUCAAGUUUUUUAAAUUAACCAUAGUGGAGCAGAACAAUCCAUGGAUGAUGUCGUCGAAUCUUGAAAGAUUUUUAUGGUUGAUUAAUGAUGUCAUAGUUAAAAGAAUUAAAUAAAAUGUCUAAAAUAUUCGUUUUAUUUCAUUUCAUCUUACCAUAUAUUUCUAAUUAAUUUUAAUUAAAAGUUUUUAAUAUAAAAAAUUAAUUUGUUUUUAUUAAAUAGUUUACCAUAUUAUCUAAUUAAUCAAUUAUUUUUACUAUCUUUCUUAUCUAAAUAAUCAUUAAGGUUAUGUUUGAUUCCCAAAAAAUACUAAGUAAAGAAAAAAAAUACUAAUAUGUUUGAUUUCCGAAAAUUAUUAAGGAAAAAAAAUAUUAAUCCACUUUUAACCCUUUAAACACCUAACUUCACAUAACCCAAACUUUUAUAAACUUAACUAUGACUUUCCAAUUGAGCGAACAAUAACCUUGAAUCUUCAAUAAAGAGUAAGUCACCAUCUAAAAAGUUUCUUAAGCCAUAAAAUAAUUGGAAUAAAAUUGCUAACAUACAAUCUAAACUCAUUAUCUUAAUAAUCUCCCUCUUUACAAUUUUAUGACAAAACAUCAUUACAUAAUCCCUUCCAGACUCUCAUAAUGGAGUUUGCAUGACACUCAAAUAUGCUCAUCUAAAAAAUGAUUCAAGGGCAAUGCAUUAAGUUGUAGUACUUACCUCCCAGUCCUAUUAACUGCAUACAUAAAAACAACUAUACCAAAGGUAAAACAAUGUGUGGGAUAAAAUAUAAUCGAGUAAGCAAAACAAGGUAGUGAGAAAAUACGAUCAAUGCACUGAAUGUUAUUAAGGAAGCAAAACAAUAUUGUAAGGAAACCAAUGUGCAAAAUCCAAAAAGAAAUAUAUUUGAUUACAUGUAAAUCAACCAAAUCUAAGCAAAGCUUUGCAAGCAACAAUUGGACAAUAAGGGCACUAAGUGCUUUCACCAACCAAAAUAUAUGUAAUAAGGACCAUGAGAACAAGCUUCUACUAUAGAGAAUGGUUCGAGAGAGUUUGACAUAUCACAAAGAUAUAUAUCAUAGGAAAUAUUUAUGUCAAGUGUCUCAAAUUUUUAAAACAUCUAACCAAUAGGUAAUUUGGUUUCCCUUAAUAUCUCAAAUUUAGUUUUCCCCAACGUCUCAAGUAACUUCUCGUAAUAUUGCAAUAAAUACUCCUAAAAAAUUUUCCCUCUAAAAACUUAAACUCUCCCCAUUUUUUAUCUUUUAUAUAUUAUCUUCCCUUAGAUGAAUCUUCCCCUAUAUAGAAUGUCUCUCCUUAAAACCCAUUUAACAAUUCUCCUUCUAGGUCUCUCUCUAUCUCAAUUCUCCCCCUUUUUGUCAUAAAAUGGGCAAAACAAGGUAAGUAGGAAAGGAGACUAAAAGGCAAUAAGGAAUAUAUAUAUAUAUACAUAGGUUCUGGAUACAAAAAUAUGGAAAUAAAGAGCAUACAUCCAAACCAAAACAAAAACAAAAACAAAUAGGAAAGCAAGCAACUAAGCAUUAGGAGCAAAGGAUGGUAAUGGAGAAGUAGAGCUUGAGGCCUUCUGAGAAUGGAUCUAAGAUAUAAUGUAAGUGAGUUGGCCCUCAAUCCCACAAAAACAUGCAUCAUGAUCGUCCAUCUUCAAAUGUAGACUUGAAAUUGAGUCCAUAACCUCUUGAAGUAAGGGAUUGUUAGAUGAAAAAACAAUGAUAAAAGAUGUAUGAGAAGGCCCCCUAUGUCAUUGGCUAUGUUAGCCACGCAAAGCUAGCUUUGGGAAGUCAUCCUUAGUGACUAAAGGCUCUUACUCCAUGGCUCAAAUCUCAUCAUUCUCAGCUAGGGCCUCCUAAGCAACCUUUUAUGCUAUUGAAGUGGGGAUAACAGGGUCUUAAGGAGUUGUAACUGAUUUGAUCAUUGUUGGUUAAGGUUGAUGGUAAUAAGUAUUCUCAAGAUAGACACUAUAAUAUCUCAUGAGUUUAAGACAAUGAGUCUUCCUCCUAGGUGAUCCUAAGAACAUGUGAUCAUGAAAAUAAUGGUUGUAGUAAUUCCUUUAGUGGAAUUUGACAUAUGCUUUUAAAGAGUUAGAGUAUGUUAGUUGAUAAUAAAAUAAGAGAAUUUAAAACUCAAGGAUUAUAGAGGUAAUCUUAAGAAGUUGAUAUAAUUCACCUUAUUAGAUUACAAACACCAAUUCAUAGAGAGUUUACAUGUAAUAAUUAGUAGUUUCUAGACUUAAGAUUCAUAUCUUAAUUUAAUAUCAUAAAAGUACAAUUGAUUUUUUGUAGUGGAAUGUUGAGUCAACUUUAAAAUUGGAUUAUGCAAGAGCCCAUGUUUUCCUAUAGGUCCUAGUUGUCCUCAUACAAGGUCUUACUCCUUGGUGACAUAUUAUUUCAAGGAUGGUUGUGCUCUUUAUUCAUAUAUAUGUGUGUGUGUGUGUGUGUGUGUGUGUGUGUGUGUGUGUGUGUAAGAAUGUUUUGGUAAAAACACAAGGUUACAUAAGAUUAAGUGACCUUGUGGCUAUUUAAUUAAUUAGGACUUAUGGGUUAGAUUAAGUGGCCCAAGCCUAAAAUGAACUUAAGUCACUUAAACCCACAAGUAAGGCUAUAUAAACCUCUUUAUUUAAGGUUCAUAUCCUUUGUUAUUCAGUCUUCCAAAGAGAGAAAACCUUAACCUCUAUCCAUAGAGAGGAUUCCCACCAUUUUUCACAUGCUAAGGUUGAAGAAAGAGAGUCAUUGGGUAAAAGAUCAUGAGGUAUUUGAGAUCCAUUCCAACCUUUUCAUUGAUUAGAACUAAUCCAAGAAUAUCCAUAUCACAUGUAUUUUCUUUAUACUCUAAGAUCCACAUUUUUUUAUAUGUUAAUACCUUUUUUGUAUGGAUUUAGAGAUGCCUAGGAUAGUUUUGCAUGUACCUUAAUGAUCUAAGGCUUAAAAUGAUUUUUCCUAGACAUUCUUACAAAUCCCAAACUAAAAAUUAUGGAUGAAUGUCGUUAUAGACAUGAUUGGCCAAAAUAGAAAGAAACUAUCCAAAUAGAGCUAAUCUCGUUACACAAAACGAGAAAUAUUUGGACUUAUAGUUCAAAUGCUUGAAGAUGUAAAGUCUCUUGGGUAUAAAAAAGUUUUUGUAUGAAAACACAAUAAGAAAAUGAAUUCAUAAGAUAUAAAACACGAUUUGUAGCUUAAGGUUUCUCAUAAAGACCUAGUAUUGCCAACAAGGAAACAUAUUCUCUUGUCAUAGAUAUAAUCACAUUUUGAUUUUAAUUAAUUAGUCAAUUUCAAAAGAACAAGAUAUGCGUCUCAUGCAUGUUACAAUUAUUGCAAAUGUAUGUUGGUGAUUUGAAUCCUAUGGGAACUCCUGAAGAACUCAUAAAAUUGUUAAUUUUUUGAAGAAAUAAUUUGAAAUAAAAGACUUAGGGAAAUUUUUUUGCCUUGGCUGGCAAAUUAAGAAGUUUUCAAAUGGAAUGUUAAUCCAUCAAUUAACUUAUACAGAAAAGGUCUUAAAUCACUUUCAUAUAAAUUAAUCAUAUCCACUAAAUUCUCCAAUGGGAGUUCGUUCAAUAGAAGUGAAAAGAAGCCAUUUCAUUUUAAAAAAUUUAACGAAGAAAUAAAUGAAUUCAUCGAUUGAUAACUUCACAUGUUUCUUAUUUCUAGAAAAUGAUAGUCUUGAUAAUGUUUCAGUUCCAUUUACUUUUAAACAUAAAGAAACAAAUGAUGAAGACAAAGUCAAAUAAAGAGAAUAUGCUAAUGAUAGUAUGCGAGUUGAGGAUGUUCCAAAAUGAUAGAAAUGAGGUGUUUGAAUUCCUAAUGAUGAAAAUCAUGAUGGUGAUAUUUGGUCAUUUUUUUAGCUAUCAUGACGCAAUUGAAAUAAAACAAAUAAGAUAUGUGGUUGUGGAUGGAAAAUGUUGUAACAUUUCAAACAACCCAAAUUUGAAGGAUUUAGAGAAGCCAGUUGAGUCUUCUUUAAUUCAAUAUCAUUUAGCACCAUCGUCACAAUUUUGAAAAUAUUAAAAAAAUUGGUCAAGAUAUAGUGAUUGAACCUCAUAAGGAAACACUUUUAUGAGAUAUUCAAGUGAAGAGUUCACAAUUCUAUAAAUUUUUAAUCCAAAGCAUAUUUGCAAUGUGCUACAUAAUGUACUCUAUUAAUUCAUACCAAGAGUAUAUUGUUGUGUCAUCGACAAAGAAGUUGUUAAUUUUAAAAUGAUAGUAUCAAUACUUUUUUGAAAUUGUCAAUAUAAUGUAAUGGUAUGACUAGAUACGAAUGACCUUUCCUUCUUUCAUGAUUCCAUAGAAUUUUUUGAUUCAUCAUUUAGAUUCAUGAAUUAGUCAUUCUAAUCGACAUUCUAUAUAUAAAUCUCUUUUUACCUCCGUGAAGGCUUCAUGGAUUGUUGGAAGGGGUUUGGUACCAAUGAUCCUCCCGCGGACCUCAUCAAGGUCCUUGUUGAGGCCCAAUAAGAACUUGAAAAGUCAUUUUUUCUCCACAAUAUUUUGAUACUUGGUAGCAUCUUCAAGGCAAUUCCAAUCAUACUCCUUGUAAACAUCUAAUUGUUGCUAGUGGUGACCAAGAAUAUUGUAGUUAUUGGUGAUGGUUAAAUCCCCUUGAUAGAGAUCAUGAAGAACACUCUCGAUAUCAACCUAUUCUACUAUAUUUUCUUUAGUGGAAUAUGUUACUUUAACCGCAUCCCACAUAUCUUUUGCGGUCUUGUAAAGAAGAAAGUUUUCAUCGAUCUCGUUGGUCAUGGAAUUGAUAAGCUAUGAUUUGACCAUAUUAUUCUGCAUCUUCUAAGUUCAGAAUCUGGGACCAUCACUUUUUGGUUGAAUGAUUUCUCUGGUGAGGUAGUCAUCCUUAUCCUUGCUGUCGAUAAACAUAAGAACAGAUUGAGACCAUUGGAGAUAGUAAUUCUUUUUCAACUUGCGACAUGUGAUGGGAAGAAAAAAGCCAUCAGAUCCUCCAUGGUCAUUGGAAGUGAUAGUCUCCAACCUAGAGUUGACUUCAUAGAUUGAUUGUUGACUAUUGGUAGUUAUUUUGGAAGAUUCGUUUGGAUUAGAUUAAUUUGUGACAGGAUCGAAUCACUUCUGGACUAGAUUGGACUGAUGAACCUAGGACAAAUUGUGACUAAGUUGGAGAAGACCAUUCAUGGUGAGAUAGCAAUAGGGGGUUUAAGUCACCUAUUUCUGAAAAAAAACAAGCACCAGAGAAUAGGUGUCGAUCCUAGUGGGAAAUCGCUCUGAUAUCAUGUAGAAAACUUGGUAUAUUUCUAUAUCUCUCUUCAUAGCAUGUACAACGUCAAAAUUAUAUAUGCUAAGAAUCAAAUCAACCAAAUAAAAAUCUAGCUAUAAUUUAGGAGAUACAUGCCUAAGAAAAGGAAAAAAAAAAUCAAAACAGAAGUGAGAAACAAAUCUUGGUUUGAAUACAAAAUAAAAAUCCCAACAAAUUAGGGAUAUUCACAUGAAAAUCAACAUGUUUGGAGAAGAGCAAGAACAAGUUAGGGAUUCAACAUUUGUCUAUAUUAAAUAAGGCGCUUUUGUGCUAAUGGAGUUGGUGAUAUGACACUAAAAGAGGUGCCUUUUGGACACGAUUGAUUAGUGGAAAAUUUAAAAAGGAAAAGGAUGGGUGGUGUUUUGAUGAAGUUAGAGUUGGGUAUGGAGUCGAGCUUUGGAAAUCCAUUAGGAAGGAAUGAAACACUUCCUUGGGUUAUUUUUUUCUUUUGCAGCAAGUGAUAGGAGGGUGAAGUUUUGGAUUGAUAUACGGGGUAGGGAUGAACCGUUGAGUGUUUCCUUCCCCUCUUUUUAUGCCUUAAUUGUUGCAAAAGAGGCUUGGGUUGUGAAUCUUUAGGUUCAACAUGGGGAGAGAGGUCAUUGAAACCCUUGUUUCUCAUGUUCUUUAAAUGAUUGGGAAGUGGAUGAGUUGAGGAUUUAUUUUUCAAGUUGCAAGGAAAAUAAGUUGGUGUGAAAGAACUUGGACAAUAAUAAGUUUUCCAUGAGUCAUUUAUAUGUUGAUUUGGACUUGGGGGUUGUUGUGUCAUUUCCAAGGUGGGUAGUUUAGAAUUCGUGGGUCCCUUCGAAAAUUGACUUUUUUGCAUGGGAGAUAACUUGGGGAAAUUUUUUUAAUUUAGAUCAACUUAAAAAAGAAUGGUAGUCUUUGGUCAAUAGGUGUUUUCUUUGCAAAGAAGAAGAAGAUGUUGGGAUUUUGUUUCUCCUAGAUCUUUCGUAAUAAAUCGAAAAUGUGAUUUGAAAUGUGGUCUACAUUCAUUCCAUCAAUUUAGGAAUGAGGAUUAAUGUUUGGAACCACAUUCGCAUCACUAUCCCAUGUUCUGUGCACACUCGAAGCAGACUUGAUGAUGGAAAGAGUGUUUAAAAAGGGGCAGAGCAUUAAAGGGUAGGGUUCCCUAAGCCUUCAAUCUCUUUUAGUCUUAAAAAACAUCAUCUAAGUGGAGGUUGAGAAAGGUUUAGAAGCACUUAAAACCUGAAAAAUUGAAGACACCAUUUUAACUUGUACAAAUGGCAAUGGUGUGAGGUAUGUUUUCGAUCUGUUUUGAAUUCCACUUAUGAUCUAAUUGCUAUUUAAGGAUUGUUAUGAGCAUGUUUAGAUUAUUUAUGUCCAUUAGUUGGUAUCAGAGCAAUGUAUGCCUCUGCCUUGUUUGUUUUACAAUAUGCGUUUUUCAAUAAAUAAAAAAAAUACAGUCAGUUUGGUAUUUUGGAGUUUAUGGUUUUUAGAAGUUUUUGAUGAAAAAUAUGGUUAGAAAUCAUUAGGAGAUGAGAUUUCUAACAUUUUAGUGUUUAAAAUCGUCAAUCUACUGUCUGGAAUACACGGAAACUGUCGGGUUUCAUUUCAGGUUGCAAAUGGGUCAAACAUACCCGGUUGAAGGUAGAAGACGACUAGGCUUGUCAUUUUGACUAUAAACAAUUAAGAAAUAAAUAAAAAAUAAAUAAGAAAAGGGGUAUUAGCCCAGUUGGUCUCAACUUUGCUUUUCCUCAACCAUUGUCCAAGUUCGACUCUUUCCAACACCAAUCUUUAGUUUUUUUAUUUAUUUUUUAUUUGGAAAUUCAUAAAAUUUAGUGUUUUAAGAUAUGUUAAUUCAUGGGUUUCUUUAUGGAUAUUUUAUGUGCUAGAUUAUUUAUUUUUGUUAGUUAAAUGUAUAUUUUUAUGAUUUAUUAUGCACACAACAUUAAAUUAAAUAAUUUUGCACAUUAAAUUUAUUAUUAAAGGCUCUUUAUGGAUUUAAUUUUAGAUAUUUAUGUACUUAUAAUAUUUAUUUCAUAAUUUUUUGUGUAUGAUUUGUUGUUUUAUUAUACAUGCAAUAUUGAGUUGAAUAAUAUUAGUACAUUGAUAUUGAGUUUUGUGUACAUAUUGCUUAUGGUUUCAUACAAUUUAUAUAAGCUUUUCUUGUGAAUUAAUUAAAUGUCAAGUGAUCCAUAUAAUUUUAAUUAAUUAAGGAGUAGCCACAGCAUCUUUAAUUAUGCAAAAUUAUAUAUUAAGUGUUUUAGGAUCACAUAUAGGAAAAUGAAAUUACGAGUAAUUAAUUAUAUUUGAUAUAAUAAAAUUUUAUCCCACAAUUUUUUUAUAUUAUAUUUAUAUGAUUAAUUAGGAUGGAAUAUCAAAUUAUAUUUCUUAAUUACCCACAGGAAUUAGGAAAGAGAACAUAAUUUGAUAGUUUUAUCAUAAGGUUUUACAUGGAUCUAAUUGAAUUAGAACUUUAGCCCACAAACAAGUUUUAUGUCACUAGAUUCACAAUUUUGGAACAUGAGUUACAUUGGUAAAACAUGAUUUAUGGUUAUUAGUCUUAAUUUUGAAUUAUAAGCAUGUAUAUUUAAUUUUUGUGUAGUCAUGCAACCUGCGAAUUUCUCUAAUAUAAAAUGUGACAUUCCCAAAUUGAAAGGUGAUAACUAUAAGGUUUGGAAGGAAAGAAUUCUCCUUCAUUUGGGGUGCAUGGACAUUGAUUAUGCUAUUAGAAAGGACAAAUUAACCAUUAUUGACACCAACACUACAACAGAAAAGGCUCUUUAUGAACAAUGGGAGCGAUUAAAUCGCCUUAGUUUGAUGUUCAUAAAGACCAAAAUCUCUGAUGGUAUUCGUGGUUAUGUCGAUCAACAUGACAAUGUCAAGGCAUUACUGAAGACUAUUGAUGAGCAAUUUGUGACUUUAGAUAAGGCAUUUUCCAGCACCCUAAUAAUGAAGUUUUCAUUCUUAAGGCUCACCGAUGUGAGUAGUGUGUGAGAGCACAUAAUGCAGAUGAGGGACAUUAUGGCACAAUUGAAGACACUCUUUCACAAUAAUAUAGACCCUUCAAAAUCUCCUACAACACACACAAGGAUAAGUGGUCAAUUAAUGAGUUUUUGACCAUGUGUGUUUAAAAGGAGGGAAGACUGAAAAUGUAAUUAGGUGAGAGUGCAUUAAUGGAAAUGGAAGGAAAGAAUUAAAAUUAGGCAAAAAAGAAAGGGAAAGGUAAAAUACCAUCCCAAGGUGGAAUCAAGAAGGUCAAUAGGUGUUUCUUCUGCAUGAAGAAGGGGCACAUGAAAAAGGGUUGAAACAAAUUCCAGAAAUGGCUUGAGAAGAAAGGUAAACUAAUCUCAUUUGUUUGUUAUGAAUCUAAUAUGGUUAAUGUUAUUUAUAACACAUGGUGGAUUGAUUCUGGUUCUACAAUUCAUGUUUCGAAUACCUUGCAAGGUAUGUGAAACCUAAGAAAGCCAAUGCCAAGUGAGCAAUGCAUUUAUUUAGGAAACAAGAUGCGUUCACAUGUGGAGGCUGUUGGAACAUGCAGCUUAGUUUUAAGUAGUGAUUUUAUUUUGAAUUUAGAAAAGACACUUUAUGUUCCCAGUUUCUUUAGGAAUUUGAUUUCAGUUUCCAGAGUUAUACCUUUGGGUUAUUCCUUUAGUUUUUAUGAGACAUUUUUUAAUUUGUUUUAUAAAUCUAAUCUUGUUGGAAAUGGUACAUUGUCUAAUGGUCUUUUCUCUUUCAAUUUUCAAAAUGAUACCACUAAUAACACUAUGCAUGUUCAUACUAGCAAGGAUUGAAAUAUCGGUUUUUACGGAUAUAUCGGUACUUCGAUUUUACGGAUAUAUCGGAAAUAUCGGAGAAAUAUAGGUGGAUAUUUUUUCACAAAUAUCGGUGGGAUGAAAAUUAUUUAAAAUUAAUAGGAAUGCUUGAAAAAAACUUUAAAAAAUGAUAAAAUAAGUAAGAAUCCAUAUUUUAAAGUUAUAUUGUAAGUGUAAUUGAUAUAUAUAUAUAUAUAUAUAUAUAUAAUUAAGAAGAAAAAUAUCUUAAACAGAGAUAUAUUGGUAGAUUCGAUAUUUGAAUUUUAAAAAUAAUAUAUAUGAAUUUUGAAAGUGUAUAAAAUUAGAAUUGAGUUAAGAAAUAUUUGAUUUUAUUGAAUAAAAACAAUUUGUACAUAAAUAUAAUACAUAUGAGAUUGCAAUAAUCCUUAUACUAAGGAAGAGAUCGAUGUGAUUUCAUUAUAUUAUUAGAUGAAGGGAGUUCAUCUUAUUGAAGACAGUAUUUAUUUUAAAAUUUUUAAAAUACUUUUAUUAAAACAUAUUUUAUUAUAUUUUAAAUGAAAAAUUAAAUUAAUUUAUAUAAAAUAUCUUAUUUGAGAUUUAAUUUUUAAAAUUUUAUUAAAAAUACAUCGUAACAAUUUUUUCUAUUAAUAUUAAUUAAUUUAAUAAUCAAAAUAAGGUUGAUAAUUAAUAAUUAUUUAUAUAGAGAGUGGAAAAUUGUUCUCAUGAUUUUUUUAUUUUUUAUUUUUUAUUUUUUUAUCUCCACUAAAUCUAAAAAUAAAAAAGGCACGCACUUCUCUCGGCAUCAAGAAUCCUUUUCUGAAGUUGUCCUCCAAUGAGAGAAUCCCUAAAAAAAAGCCCUAUUUUCCUCUGCUACUCCUCUCGGCAUCAAGAAUCCUUUUCUGAAGUUGUCCUCCAACGAGAGAAUCCCUAAAAAAAGCCCUAUUUUCCUCUACUUCUCUCAAAUCUCAAUCCUCGCAGGUACUAAUCUAAUCAUGUUAUUAUCAUUAUUUUUUUUGCAACCCCGUUUGAUUCCCAAGAAAAUCCAUUCCCCAUUCGAUUUCCGGGAAAAUUCAUCCUCGUUUGAUUUCCGAGAAAAUCCAUUCAAAACCCCCAAAGAAAACCAAAAAAAUUGCUUUUCUUUUGCUCCCUAUGUUUUCUGGAUCUGUUUUAGGGGUCUCUUUGCUGUUGUGCCAUUGGAUUUAAAUUUCACGAACCCUAAAUCCACGAUUUUUGAGCCAGGCUAAAAAACAUAACUGUGCGGGCUAGACUAGUAGGAAAUAUCGGGAAAUUUUCCGAAAAAUCGGUAAAAAUACCUCUUGUUGCUCCGCCUGUUAGAUCCACUCGCGAUUUUUCUCCGAUUUAUCGGUGCUUCGCCGAUAUUUCGGCGAUUUUGCCGAUUUUUUAGCGAUAUUUCCGUGGAUCGAUAAUCGGUAGCCAUUAUCGUUUCGGUGACGACCGAUAUCCGAUAUUUCUUCGAAAUAUCGGCGAUAUUUCCCGAUUUUUCAAUCCCUGAAUACUAGUACAAAACAAUGUGUUAUGAAUGAAGAUUCCCCUAUGUUGUGGCACCAAAGAUUGGGAAAUAUCUCCAUACAAAGAAUUAAGAGAUUAGUAAAUGAUGGAGUACUUGGUACUUUAGAUUUUACUGAUUUUCACACUUAUGUGGAUUGCAUUAAGGAAAAGUGGACCAACAAUUCUAAGAAGGGUGCCAAGAGGAGCACAAACAUACUAGAGAUCAUACAUUCAGAUAUUUGUUGUCCAAACAUGAACGCAUAUGGUCCGAAGUACUUCACCUCCUUCAUAGAUGAUUACUCACGAUACAUGUAUAUCUACUUGCUUCAUAACAAGAAUGAAGCAUUGGGUGUCUUUAAAGUUUUUAAGGCUGAAGUAGAAAAAUAAUGCGAAAAGCAAAUAAAGAUCGUGAGAACAUAUAGAAGUGGAGAAUAUUAUGGUAGAUACACCGAGGAUGGACAAGCACCUGGUCCAUUUGCGAAGUUUCUUCAAGAGCAUGGGAUUGAUGCUCAAUACACCAUGUCUAGUUCCCCAGACCAAAAUGGUGUGGCUGAAAGAAGAAACCGAGCAUUAAUGGACAUGGUUAGAAGUACGCGUAGCAAUUCCAAGCUUCCUAAAUCCUUGUGGACUGAAACUCUUAAAAUGAUAGUGUAUUUAUUGAACCGAGUUCCAACAAAGGUUGCUCCCAAGAUGCCAUUUGAAUUAUGGAAAGAUUGGAAAUUGAGUUUACAACAUAUACUCGUUUGGGGAUAUCUAUCUGAAGUAAGGGUUUACAACCCACAAGAGAAGAAACUAGACCCAAGGAUCAUUAGUGCGUAUUUCAUUUGAUAUGCCAAAAGGUCUAAAGGGUAUAGAUUCUAUUGUCCAUCUCACAACACUAGGAUUGUGAAGUCAAGAAAUGCUAAGUUUCUUAAGAAUGACUUGAUUAGUGGGAGCGAUCGAUUACAGGACAUUGUUUCUGAAAAAGAUCAUAUUGAUGCUCAAUCAUCCACUUCAAGUGAUAGAUUGAUUGUCGUUCACAACACCUCUCAAGUUCAAACAGGUGAUAGACAACCAAUCAUUAAAGUUCCAUAAAUUGCUGAUGACAAUCCAGUAGAUCAAGUUGUUUAAGAUUCACCGCAAAAAAUUAUUGAACAAUCUGUUGAGCAACGUGAUCCUUAGGAAAAUGUUGAUACAACAUUAAAGAGAUCUACCAAAGCAAGAAAAACAACAAUACCUAGUGAUUAUGUUGUGUAUAUACAAGAAUCAAACUACGACAUUGGAGCCAAAAAUGAUCCUGAAAUGCUUUCACAAGCCAUAAGUUGCAAAGAGUCAAAUUUUAUGCUAUGAUGCUAUGAAAGAUGAGAUGAAUUCUAUGGCAUCUAACGGAGUCUGAAAUCUUGUUGAGUUGUCUGAUGGUGCAAAAUCUAUUAGAUGUAAAUGGCUCUUCAAGACAAAAAAGGAUUCAUUGGGCAACAUUGAAAGAUAUAAAGCAAGACUCAUUGCUAAAUGAUUCACUCAAAAUGAAGGAAUUGACUACAAGGAGACUUUUUCUCCUGUAUCUAAGAAAGAUUCUCUUCGUAUCAUUAUGACAUUAGUUGCACAUUUUGACUUAAAGUUGUAACAAAUGGAUGUGAAAACAACAUUUCUCAAUGGAAAUCUAGAGGAAGAGGUUUACAUGAAACAACUACAAGGAUUUUCCUCUAGUGGUGGUAAGCAUAUGGUAUGCAAGCUUAAAAAAUCCAUAUAUGGAUUGAAACAAGCAUCCCGUUAGUGGUAUUUGAAGUUUCAUGAUGUUAUCUCUUCAUUUAGUUUUGUAGAGAACAUUAUGGAUCAAUGUAUAUAUCAGAAAGUUAGUGGGUAUAAGAUUUGUUUCCUUGUUCUAUAUGUGGAUGACAUUUUACUUGCAACCAAUGAUAAGGGUUUGCUACAUGAGGUGAAACAAUUUCUCUUUGAAAACUUUGACAUGAAGGAUAUGGGUGAUGCGACUUAUGUCAUUGGCAUUAAGAUACAUAGAGACAAAUUUCGAGGCCUUUUGGGUUUGUCUGAAAAGACCUAUAUCAACAAAGUUUUAUAAAGAUUUCAGAUGAAGGAUUGUUCACUAAGUAUAGCUCCCAUUGUGAAGGGUGAUAGGUUCAAUUUGGACCAGCGCCUGAAGAAUGAUCUUGAUCAGGAACAAAUGAAGAACAUUCCUUAUGCUUUUGCUGUUGAAAGCUUGAUGUAUGCUCAGGUCUGCAUAAGACUUGAUACUGCAUUUGCUAUUGGGAUGUUAGGAAGAUAUCAUAGUAAUCUAGGUAUAGACCAUUGGAAAGCUACAAAGAAGGUGAUGAGGUACCUUCAGGGGACCAAAGACUACAUGUUUAUGGAUAGACAAACUGAUAAUUUAGAACUAAUUGGCUACUUUGAUUCAAACUACACUGGAUGCAUUAAUUCACGAAAAUCAACUUCAGGAUAUGUCUUUAUGCUAGCCGGUGGAGCUAUUUCUUGGAGAAGUGCAAAGCAAACUUUGACUGCAAUUUCCACUAUGGAGGUUGAGUUUAUGUCUUGUUUUGAGGCUACUUCACAUGGUGUAUGGUUAAAGAGUUUCAUUUCUAAGCUUAGAGUUGUGGAUUCAAUUUCUAGGCCAUUGAAGAUAUAUUAUGACAAUUCAACUACAGUAUUUAUGGCUAAGAAUAACAAAAGUAGCAGUUGAAACAAGCACAUCGACAUCAAGUAGCAGUUGAAACAAGAACAUGGGAUAGUUGCUCAAUACACCAUGCCUGGUUCCCCAGACCAAAAUGGUGUGGCUGAAAGAAGAAACCGAACAUUAAUGGACAUGGUUAAGAGUAUGCGUAGCAACUCUAAGCUUCCUCAAUCCUUGUGGACUAAAGCUCUUAAAAUGAUAGUGUAUCUAUUGAACCCAAUUCAAACAAAGGUUGUCCUCAAGACGCCAUUUGAAUUAUGGAAAUAUUGGAAAUCGAGUUAGCGACAUAUACAUGUUUGGGGAUGCCCGUCUAAAGUAAAAGUUUACAACUCACAAGAGAAGAAACUAGACCCAAGGACCAUUAUUGCGUAUUUCAUUGGAUAUAAUGAAAGGUCUAAAGGGUAUAGAUUCUAUUAUCCAUCUCACAACACUAGGAUUGUGGAGUCAAGAAAUGCUAAGUUUCUUGAGAAUAACUUGAUUAGUGGGAGCAAUCAAUUUCAAGACAUUGCUUCUGAAAAAGAUCAUAUUAAUGUUCAACCAUGAACUUCAAGUGAUAGAUUGAUUGUCAUUCACAACGCCCCUUAAGUUCAAACAGGUGAUCGACAACCAAUCAUUGAAGUUCCACAAAUUGCUGAUGACAAUCCAAUAGAUCAAGUUGUUCAAGAUUCGCCAGAAAUUGUUAAACAACUUAUUGAGCAAUGUGAUCCUUAGGAAAAUGUUGAUACAACUUUAAGGAGAUCUACUAGAGCAAGAAAAACAUCAAUACCUAGUGAUUAUGUUGUGUAUCUGUAAGAAUCAGACUACAACAUUAGAACCGAAAAUGAUCCUGAAACGUUUUCACAAGCCAUAAGUUGCAAAGAGUCAAAUUUAUGGUAUGAUGCUAUGAAAAAUGAGAUGAAUUCUAUGGCAUCUAACAGAGUCUGGAAUCUUGUUGAGUUGCCUAAUGAUGCAAAAGCCAUUAGAUGUAAAUUGGUUUUCAAGACGAAGAAGGAUUCAUUGGGCAACAUUGAAAGAUAUAAAGAAAGACUCGUUGCUAAAGGAUUCAUUCAAAAUGAAGGAAUUGAUUACAAGGAGACUUUUUUUCCUGUAUCUAAGAAAGAUUCUCUUCGUAUCAUUAUGAUAUUAGUUGCACAUUUUGACUUAGAGUUGCAAAAAAUGGAUGUAAAAAUGACAUUUCUCAAUGGAAAUCUAGAGGAAGAGGUUUACAUGAAACAACUAGAAGGAUUUUCCUCUAGUAGUGGUGAGCAUCUGGUAUGCAAGCUUAAGAAAUUCAUAUAUGGAUUGAAACAAGCAUCUCGUCAAUGGUAUUUGAAGUUUCAUGAUGUUACCUCUUCAUUUGGUUUCGUGGAGAACAUUAUGGAUCAAUAUAUAUAUAUAUAUAUAUAUAUAUAUAUAUAUAUAUAUAUAUAUAUAUAUAUAUAUAUAUCAGAAAGUCAGUGGGAGUAAGAUUUGUUUCCUUGUUCUGUAUGUGGAUGACAUUUUACUUGCAACCAAUGAUAAGGGUUUGCUACAUGAGGUGAAACAAUUUCUCUUUAAAAACUUUGACAUGAAGGAUAUGGGUGAUGCGAUUUAUGUCAUUGACAUUAAGAUACAUAGAGACAAAUUCCAAGGCCUUUUGGGUUUGUCUCAAGAGACCUAUAUCAACAAAGUUUUAGAGAGAUUUCAGAUGAAGGAUUGUUCACCAAGUAUAGCUCCCAGUGUGAAAGGCGAUAGGUUCAAUUUAGACCAGCGCCCGAAGAAUGAUUAAGAGGAUAAACAAAUGAAUAACAUUCCUUAUGCUUCUACUGUUUGAAGCUUGAUGUAUGCUCAAGUCUACACAAAAUCGGACAUUGUAUUUGUUGUUGGGAUGUUAGGAAGAUAUCAUAGUGAUCCAGGUAUAGACCAUUGGAAAGCUGCAAAAAAGGUGAUGAGGUACCUUUAGGGAACCAAAGACUACAUGCUUAUGUAUAGAUGGACUGAUAAUUUAGAAUUGAUUAGCUACUCUUAUUUGGACUACACUGGUUGCACUAAUUCGCGAAAAUCAACUUCAGGAUAUGUCUUUAUGCUAGCCGAUAGAGCUAUUUCUUGGAGAAGCGCAAAACAAACUUUGACUACAACUUCCACUAUGGAGAUUGAGUUCGUGUCUUGUUUUGAGGCUGCCUCGCAUGGUGUAUGGUUAAAGAGUUUCAUUUCUAGGCUUAGAGUUGUGGAUUCAAUUUCUAGGUCAUUGAAGAUAUAUUGCGACAAUUCAGUUGCAGUUUUUAUGGCUAAGAACAACAAAAGUAGUAGUCGAAACAAGCACAUCGACAUCAAGUAUUUAGCCAUAAGAGAACGUGUUAAAGAGAAAACAGUGGUUAUUGAACACGUUAGCACUGAAUUGAUGAUUGACGAUCCUUUGACUAAAGACAUGCCACCGUUGAAAUUUAAGGAUCAUGUAGACAAAUUGGGACUUGGUUCCUUUGUGUGAUUUUUGUUGUAAGAACGAAUGUUAUUUUCAAUGAAACUCUAUUUGUGAUGUUUUCUCAUAUUUGAUUUUCUUUGUGUACACUUUUAUUCAUUUAUUGAGAAAUAUCAUUAAUGUUUGGACCUAGAAUAAACGCAGGGUUUAUUCAUUAAGUUAUAUGGGCUAGUGUUUAAGAGACAUAAUGCAUUGUGAUACAUGAAAGAUAAUACUCGGUUUUAGAGGCCUUAUCGCCAUUAUUCGUGUGUUUUGUUUCUUGCUAUGGUGAAUGAUGGAAUAUAUGGACCAAGUGGGAGAAUAUUGGGAUUUUGUUUCUCUUGGAUCUUUAGCAAUAAACCAAAGACGUGAUUCGGAAUGUGGUCCACAUUCAUUCCAUCAAUUUAGGAACGAGGAUUAACUUUCGGAACCACGUUCGUAUCACUACCCCAUGUUCUAUGCAAGCUCGAGGCAGACUCGGUGAUGGAGAGAGUCUUUAAAAAGGGGCAAAGCACUAAAUGGUGGGGUUCCCUAAGCCUUCAAUCUCUUUUAGUCUUAAAAAAACACCUUCUAAGUAGAGGUUGAGAAGGUCUAGAAGCACCUGAAACCUGAAAAAUUGAAGACAUUGUUUUAACUGUAAGAAUGGCAAUGGUGGGAGGUAUGUUUUCGGUUUGUUUUCAAUUCCGCUUAUGAUCUAAUUGUUAUUUAAGGAUUGUUAUGAUCAUGUUUAGAUUAUUUAUGUCCAUCAGAAGAAUCCAUAGAUCACAUCCUCCUUUAUUGUUCUCUAGUUAAGAUCCUUUGACAGUUGUUUGAUCUCUUUGGUAUUUAUUGGGUGUAAGUUGCUAUGGUAAAGGAGGCUUUUUUAGGGUGGCACGGUUCUUUUGUGGGCAAAAUGAGGAAAAAAGUUUGGAGAGUGGCUCCUUUAAAUUUAUUUUGGAUGUUUGAAAGGAGAGAAAUCUCAAGUCAAUUGAGAGUAAACAACAUUUUGUUCAUUUUUUAGAAGAUUAUUUUUUUUUAGAAAUUUGUUUUCUUGGGUAAAAUAUUAUAUAGAGAUUGAUUCUGUCUUUACUUGAUUUUAUUGAGUGGCUGGGUUGUAGUUAAGGGAGGGGGUUGUUGAGGGUUUUUUCUUAUUUCUGUGCUAUUAGACACUUUUUUUAUAUGUCCUAUGUAUUGUAGAGUGUCUUUGUGGCGUUUUUAUUUUUUAACACAUUUGGUUUUAUUUAUCGAAAAAGGCAAAAAAAAAGUAUGGUGGCAAUUCGACCCUUGCAUUGUUCAAGUGGUAAAGUUCGAUAGUUCCAUGUAAAAGCGCACCACAAAUUUAAAAAAAAAAAAAAAAAAACACAAAAACAAAAACAAAAUGGCGGCAAUUCAAUAAGCAGCCUAACAUCCUCUUGGCCACAUCCUUUAGAACAACCUAACAAUUUGCAUUACAGAACUACAUACCCUCUAUUUCACUUGAUUAUUGAUUUGGGUGGGCCUGUUAUUGAUACUUGUAUCACCCAUAACAAAGUUACAGCCUGACUAUGGCAUGUUGUGGCUGACUGAUAAGCAUGGUAAUAUAUUUCUGGGAACAAAGUUCAAAUUUUAACUACUUGCAACACUCUUUCAACUUUGUUGUUUCUUUCACUCAUGCAGUAAUGGAUAUUUGCUAGUUUCUUCUAGAAGCAUUUUUAACUAUUUUAAGUGGUUAUUGGAAUCUUGGAUUACAUUUGGUGUUAAGUCCCAAAAUGUGGACCUUGAACUUUUUUGAGCCCCAUAAAGAUGUUAAAACCAUGGAUCUAUGAAUUUUCAAUAACAAUACAGCAUUUUAUUCAAAAAAACAUAUAGCAGUUGGGAUUCAAAACUCAAAUAAGGGCUAUGAGCUUGCAGCUGAUAUAUGGAGCCUUGGAUGCAAUGUGUUAGAGAUAUUGACUCGUUGACCCCCAUAUUCCCACUUGGAAGGCAUAGGUAUGACAUUUCGUAGAUAUACAACAUUAUUUUCUUUAAUAUUUUUUCUUGUUUUGUUCUUCAGUCUAUGCUCUUCAAUUACUUGUUAUUCAAAUUGAUGAUAUGGAAAUUGGUUGUGUUUGGCUCUGACUUUGAAAAUGUUGAUGAUUUUAAAGUAAGGGUGAAGAUCUUGACCCAAAGUCUACCCAUUUUUGAAGGAUUCAACAUAAAAACACUAAAAUAAAAAACAUGUCUGAAAUUAUUUGGUUGAUUGAAUCCAAGAGCUUCUCAAAUCCACGCACCUUAUCAUUUGGUGAUUAUCAGCACAUGGGUUUAAGUGGAAAGAAGGUUCAAUCUGAAUCCAUUUAUCUUUGGAUAAUUUGCAAUUAUGGAUUAUAUUUUUCAUUUUUAUGUAUUGUUAUUUCAUGCAAGACUGUUUAGUUUCUUUCUUUUUCUCUAUAGUUCCUUUUGUAAUUUCUUCAAUCGACUUUGUUUAGAGAAUGCCACUCAAUAUCUGUCUUGUCUUGGCUGUCAUGUAUGAAUACCAUGGAUUUAUCAAUAUUUUCUUUUAUGUUAUCAGACACUCCAAUUUACAAGUGCAGGACUAAAUAGGCUCAAAUCAUUGGCAACAACUUUUCUCAGUUGUCCUAUGACAUUUUGUAGUCACUCCAGAUUUUUCCUUCUUUUAAAUUUCUUCUUUUGUAAUAAUCUGGGUGAAGGAGCCUCACAUUCCUGAUUGUGUGACCUUCCUUGAUGAAGGACAGUGCAGAUGAUGCUAGAACUCAUGGUAGUAGAUUCAAAAUCUUGUUGAAUUGCCAAUUGAUAACGUUUUGAAACACCAGACAUUUUAUCACCGAAUUGGAAGUUGAAUGUUUCUGAAUAAGGUUUUGACUUGAUUAUUGCUUGUGUUAUCUAGGAAGCUCUGAAGGCACCCAAACUGCCUCUGGAACUUUUCUUUCUUGAAACUGUAAGCUGAAUACACGUUCACACGUUCUCACUUCAUGAUAUGGUCCAACACUUUGACCACGUCCUCCACCAUCUCAUCUUCCGCUGCGAUUAAGGAGCACGUUCCACCAACUGCUCAACAUGGUGGCAAGAGGCAACGUGGUUUGAUGGAAGCCACUGUUAUAAAGUUUUUCAGAAAAUGGUCCUGAACUCACUCUGUUAUUAUCUUCAAAAAAACACCAUCUAAAAAAGAGAGAUCAGAGUUUGGAAAUCUGGGUUUUUGAAACCAACUACAAUGGCUGGAGGUAAGUAGACUAUUCUUAGUCUUUUCGGUUUUGAUUCAUAUUGCAAGUACAUUGGAAUCGAAUAUAGCAUAUAAACUUUCUUACAUUUGGUAUCAGAGCCAUAAAUCUUGCCUCUGCUUUGUAUUGUUUCUGAGUGAAAAAUUCUUGUUUUUAUGAUCUCUUGAUAAUUAUUUAAACGAUUGCUGCUGGAGAUCCAUAUAUAGUUGGCAUCAUUCAUUUAUAAAAGGCCAUUACAGGCGUUCAAAAGAUGCCAUUUUCUGGCGCUCCAGUAGCGCUAUUAAGGCGUCAUUUUCAGGCGCACCAGUGACUCCGUUUCAGGUGCCAUUUUAGAUGCGCUUCAGGCCCCAUACCUGGCACUGUUCAGUUGCCAUUUUUGGGGCUGCAACCAGCGCCAUACCAGCGCCAAUUUUCAGGCGCGUUGAAGUGCCAUUUUUUGGGGCUAUAACCAACGCCGUUCAAGCACUGUUACUAGGCGUCGUUCAGGCUCCAUUUAAGGCGCACCUUAGCCACCAUCUCAACGCCGUUCAGGCGCCAUUAGAAACGCCAUUUUUUUGGGCUGCAAGUCGUCGUUCGCACGCCGUGUUGAAGCACUGCAGACGGCUUCAUGGCUUGGACUGCAUCCAGCAAGGGUGCAGUCCACGUGGGUGGCGGCGAGAACGUCGCUGCCGGUGUUGAAGCAGUCCACUGGGUGGCAGAAAAAAUAGGAUCUUGGGUUUCGGUUGCAGGUGAUAUUAAAAUAGUGAGGAAUCUAGAGAGAGAUGGGGCUCCACUAAGGUUAUGGGCCUUUAUAUAACUGGCUAUUGGGCCCAUUAGGUUCAAAAAUGGGCAAUGGCCCAUUUUACAAAAAUAAAAGGCAUUAAAUUGGGGCAUGUAUAAAUGUAAAAAAUUGGGCCAGUUUAUGCUCUUUUUGGCCUGAUUUUUUAUUUAUUUAUUUAUUUUUAUUUUAACUAUAUUGGGUAUGGAAUUGAUUGUGUUUUAUUUGGAUUUAGGCACUCAUUCAUAAUCCAAAACCUUUAAAAUUAUCAUGUAAAUUUUAUACAUGCAAAAUAAAUAAUUAUAUACUGCUUUAUAUGUUUGUAGCCUAAAUUAAAGUUGUAGCUUUUAAUGCAUGCAAUUGUUGCCUAAAAUUUAGUUAGAUAUAUUAAAAUUAUAUCAUAUAGUUUUAAUGUCUAGUGAAACCAUGUGAUUUUUAAAUAAUUAAGGAAUAGCCACAGCAUCCUUAAUUAUAUAAAAAUUAUAUAUUAAAUAAAUAAGGAUCACAUUAUGGACAUUAAUUGUAAUUAAUUAUAUAAAUAUGAUGAUUUUACCCCACAGGGUUUUCAUUAUGUUUAUAUAAUUAAUUAGGAUAAAAUAUUAAAAUUAAUUUUUUCCUAAUUUACCCACAGGAGUUAGGAAGAAUUAAUUUAAUAGGUUUAUCAUAAGGAUUAUAGACAAAAAAAAAAUAUCAAACUAUAUUCAUAAUUCAAUAAAAUAGUUUGAUAAAGUCUAUCAUAAAGAUAAUUAAUCUUAUUGAAUUAAAGAUUUAGCCCACAGACAAUUUUUAAUAAAAUUAGAUUCAAUUUUAAGCAUGUUCUACAUUGGUAAAGCAUGAAUUUAUAUUAAAGCCUAAAAUUUUUAAUAAGCUUGUAAUCCUUUUGUGCAGUUUUAUCUAGCAUAUCUGAUAUUCGUUGUGAGGUUCCCGAACUUAGAGGAGAUAACUUUAAGAUAUGGAAGGAGAGAAUUCUUCUUCAAUUAGGGUGCAUGGACAUAGAUUAUGCUAUAAGGAAAGAUGAACCGCAUAAGAUCACUGAUACCAGCACACCUGAACAAAUUUUAUUGUACGAACGCUGGGAGAAAUCUAAUCGCCUUAGCGUGAUGUACAUUAAGACAAAAAUCAGUGCUGGUAUACGUGGUUCAAUCGAGCAACAUGAGAAUGUCCAUGAAUUGCUAAAGGCUAUUGACGAGCAAUUCGUCACUUCAGAUAAAGCCUUGGCAAGCACCCUAAUUAUGAAGUUCACAUCCCUGAAGCUCACCGGUAUAAGAGGUGUGCGUGAACAUAUCAUGGAGAUGAGGGACAUUGUGGCUCAAUUGAAGAAACUCGAGGUAGAAAUAUCUGAAUCUUUCUUGGUGCACUUUAUCCUUAACACUCUUCCACCUCAGUAUGGACCUUUCAAAAUCUCUUACAACACACAUAAGGAUAAGUGGUCUAUCAAUGAAUUGAUGACCAUGUGUGUUCAAGAGGAAGGAAGGUUAUUGAUGGAACAGGGAGAAAGUGCCAUGCUGGUGACGCAAAGGAAAGGAAAGAAAGGAAAAUCUCAAGCUAGUCAGAAAGGAAAGCAACAAAUUCCUCCUAAAUCUGACAUUAAGAAAGACGAAAAGUGUUUUUUCUGUAAAAAGAAAGGACAUGUGAAGAAGAAAUGUCUGAAAUUUCAGAAUUGGCUUGAGAAGAAAGGUAACCCUACCUCAUUUGUUUGCUAUGAAUCUAAUAUGGUUAAUGUAAACACCAACACAUGGUGGAUUGAUUCUGGAUCUACAAUCCACAUUUCAAAUUCCUUGCAGGGUAUGCAAAACCUAAGGAAGCCAGUGACAAGUGAGCAAUUCAUCUUAUCCGGAAACAAGAUGGGCUCGCAUAUGGAAGCAAUAGGGACAUGUUAUUUAACUUUAAAUAGUGGUUUUGUUUUAGAAUUGCAAAAGACUUUUUAUGUACCAAGUUUCUCACGAAACUUGAUUUCAGUUUCUAGACUUGUACCGUUUGGAUAUUCCUUUCAUUUUUCAGAAACAUCUUUCAAUUUGAUUUAUAAAUCUGAAUGUGUUGGGAAUGGUAUCUUGUCUGAUGGUCUUUAUUGUAUAUUCUUACAAAAUGAUACUGCUCAUAAUUCAUUGCAUGUCCAAACUGGCAUUAAGAGAUGUGUUGUAAAAGAGGAUUCCUCUACAUUGUGGCACCGGAGAUUAGGUCAUAUCUCCAUAGAUAGAAUCAAAAGAUUGGUGAAUGAUGGGGUACUUAGUACUCUAGAUUUUACUGACUUUGAGACUUGUGUGGACUGCAUUAAGGGUAAGCAGACCAAUAAGUCAAAGAGAGGUGCUACUAAGAGUUCCACCAUACUAGAGAUCAUACAUACUGAUAUAUGUAGUCUUGACAUGGACUCUCAUGGUCAGAAAUACUUCAUCUCUUUCAUAGAUGAUUUCUCACGAUACAUGUAUCUCUACAUACUUCAUAAUAAAAAUGAAGCUUUAGAUGCCUUUAAAGUCUUCAAGGCAGAAGUAGAGAAACAAUAUGGUAAACAAAUUAAGAUUGUGAGAUCAGAUAGAGGUGGAGAAUAUUAUGGUAGAUACUUGGAAGAUGGACAAUCACCUGGACCAUUUGCGAAGUUUCUUCAAGAGCAUGGGAUUGUUGCCCAAUACACCAUGCCUGGUUCUCCAGACCAAAAUGGUGUAGCAGAAAGAAGAAACCGAACUUUAUUGGACAUGGCGAGGAGUAUGCUUAGCAGCUCAAAACUUCCUAAAUUCUUAUGGACUGAAACACUUAAGACAGCUGUGUAUAUAUUAAACCGAGUUCCAACCAAGGCUGUCCCAAAGACGCCAUUUGAGUUAUUGAAAGGUUGGAAACCGAGUUUGCGACAUAUGCGCGUUUGGGGAUGCUCGUCUGAAGUGAGAAUUUAUAAUCCACAAGAGAAGAAACUGGACCCAAGGACUAUUAGUGGGUAUUUCAUUGGAUAUGCUGAAAAGUCUAAGGGGUACAGAUUUUACUGUCCAUCUCACAGCACUAGGAUUGUGGAAUCGAGAAAUGCUAAAUUUCUUGAAUAUGACUUGGUCAGUGGGAGCGAUCAAUUUAGAAACAUAGUUUCUGAUAUUGAUCAUACAGAGUCUCAACCUUCCACUUCAAGUGAUAGAUUGUUUAUUGUUCAUAACACCCCUCAAGUACAAUCGGGUGUAGAACGAACAAUCACUGAAGUUCAACCAGUCGUUGAAGUUCCACAAGUUGUUGACAACAUUCCAGUAGAUCAAGUUGAUCAGGAGUUUCCUGAUACUUCUGGACAACAAGUUGAACCUCAUACUUCCUUAGAAGAUAUUGGUGCAACCUUAAGAAGGUCUACUCGAACUAAGAGGUCAGCAAUUCCUAAUGAUUAUGUAGUGUAUCUACAGGAAUGUGACUACAAUAUAGGAGCCGAAAAUGAUCCCGAAUCUUUUUCACAAGCCAUGAGUUGCAAAGAAUCAGAAUUGUGGUACAAUGCCAUGAAGGAUGAGAUGAGUUCCAUGAAGUGCAAUGAUGUUUGGGACCUUGUUGAGUUGCCUAAUGGUGUAAAAACCAUUGGUUGUAAAUGGGUUUUUAAGACAAAGAAAGACUCAUUAGGCAACAUUGAAAGAUACAAGGCCAGACUUGUUGCAAAGGGUUCACUCAGAAAGAAGGAAUCGAUUACACGGAAACCUUUUCUCCUGUAUCUAAGAAAGAUUCCUUGCGCAUUAUAUUGGCAUUAGUAGCCCACUUUGAUUUAGAAUUGCAACAAAUGGAUGUGAAAACAGCAUUUCUUAAUGGAGAGCUAGAGGAUGAGGUUUACAUGAAACAACCUGAAGGAUUCCCCUCUAGUGAUGGUGAGCAAUUGGUUUGUAAGCUUAAGAAAUCCAUAUACGGUUUGAAGCAAGCAUCCCGCCAAUGGUAUUUAAAAUUCCAUAACAUAAUUUCUUCAUUCGGUUUUGUUGAAAAUGUUAUGGAUCAAUGCAUAUACCUUAAGGUCAGUGGGAGUAAAGUUUGUUUUCUUGUUUUAUACGUGGAUGACAUCUUACUUGCAACCAAUGAUAAGGGUUUACUUCAUGAGGUAAAACAAUUCCUCUCUAAAAAUUUCGACAUGAAGGAUAUGGGCGAGGCAUCUUAUGUCAUUGGCAUUAAGAUCCAUAGAGACAGAUUUAAAGGUAUCUUAGGUUUGUCUCAAGAAACCUAUAUCAAUAAAGUUUUGGAGAGAUUUCGAAUGAAGAAUUGUUCACCUAGUGUUUCUCCUAUAGUGAAGGGUGAUAGGUUCAAUCUGGACCAAUGCCCGAAAAACGAUCUUGAGAGGGAACAAAUGAAGAACAUUCCAUAUGCUUCUGCAGUCGGAAGUUUGAUGUAUGCUCAGGUUUGCACAAGGCCUGACAUUACAUUUGCUGUUGGAAUGUUAGGACGAUAUCAGAGUAACCCAGGUAUAGACCACUGGAAAGCUGCAAAGAAAGUGAUGAGAUAUCUUCAAGGAACCAAAGAUUACAAGCUUAUGUACAGACGAACAAGCAAUUUAGAGGUAGUUGGCUACUCAGAUUCAGACUUUGCUGGCUGUGUUGAUUCACGUAAAUCAACAUCUGGAUACAUUUUUAUAUUGGCCGGUGGAGCUAUAUCUUAGAGGAGCGUUAAGCAGACCAUGACUGCUACUUCUACUAUGGAAGCUGAGUUCAUAUCUUGUUUUGAGGCUACUUCACAUGGUGUAUGGCUUAAGAGUUUCAUUUCCGGGCUUAGAGUUAUGGAUUCAAUAUCUAGGCCAUUGAGUAUAUAUUGCGACAAUUCAGCUGCAGUCUUUAUGGCGAAGAACAAUAAAAGUGGAAGUCGAAGCAAACACAUCGACAUUAAGUAUUUAGCCAUAAGAGAACGUGUUAAAGAAAAGAAAGUGGUUAUUGAGCACAUUAGCACUGAAUUGAUGAUCGCUGAUCCUUUGACUAAGGGCAUGCCACCAUUGAAAUUCAAGGAUCAUGUAGUGAACAUGGGACUUAGUUCCCUUAUGUAGUUUCUAUUGUACAAACUCUUAUUAUGAUGUUUUCUCAUAUUAAUGUGCACUUUUUAUUUAAUUUUGAGAAAAUUCAACUUCAUUGGACCAAGAAUGAACAUAGGGUUUAUUCAUUAAGUAAUAUUGCCACAUAAAGUAUAAUGUUAAGAAAUGAGUACAUUGUAAUACAUGGAAGGUAACACUCGUUAAAUAGAGGACUUAUCGCCAUGAUUCAUGUAUUUGUUACUUAAUGGGACAAUUGAUGGACUAAAUUAGGACAUUAGGUUAAAGGGGUGGACCAAGUGGGAGAAUGUAAGCUGAAUACACGUUCACACGUUCUCACUUCAUGAUAUGGUCCAACACUUUGACCACGUCCUCCACCAUCUCAUCUUCCGCUGCGAUUAAGGAGCACGUUCCACCAACUGCUCAACAUGGUGGCAAGAGGCAACGUGGUUUGAUGGAAGCCACUGUUAUAAAGUUUUUCAGAAAAUGGUCCCGAACUCACUCUGUUAUUAUCUUCAGAAAAACACCAUCUAAAAAAGAGAGAUCAGAGUUUGGAAAUCUGGGUUUUUGAAACCAACUACAAUGGCUGGAGGUAAGUAGACUAUUCUUAGUCUUUUCGGUUUUGAUUCAUAUUGCAAGUACAUUGGAAUCGAAUAUAGCAUAUAAACUUUCUUACAGAAACUUGACCAAUGACUCAUCUUUGGGCUAGAAAACAGGUUUUACAAAAGCAUCCUUGGCAUAAGGUUUGAUAUUAAUUUUUCUUCCAGCUAAGUUUGAAAAGCAAGAUUUUAGACUUGUAGAUUUGCGCUCUUCCUUCAAAUCAAGUACUUUGUGUAUGCAAAUAUUGACCAUGCAUCUUGCUUUGUGUUGUCCUGCAUCAUUACUCAACCUUAUAUUCCUUGAAUGCUCUACUCUUGUAUUCAUAAGAUAUGAUAACCAGACUUGUGUUAAUAUGCUUCUUGAUAUUGCUGUAGAUCUUGCCACUUAAGAAAUCAAGUUUUAGUGUUAUCUAUUUCAAGUCCUAUGCAAAGUUAAUUGGAAGGUUUCUGUUUAGAAAUGGGAAUGAAGGGGUGGAUCACAAUAUUCUGUGAAAGAGAGGAAUAAAACCUCCUGACAAAAGUGCGUUUUUGUUUCCAUGAGAAUGGUUUUUUAUUCCUAUUCGUAUUUCUAAUAUAGGUAGACUAAGCACAUUUAUGAAUGAAAAAUGAAAUGGAUUUCGAGCUUCCAUUCCCAUUCCUAUUCCAGAGUACCAAACAUGCCUUUGGUAUCUAAGGGAAAAAAAUUGUGUCACCUGAUAAUCAAUCUUACAACUUGGAAUGCAGCAUGCCUUUGCCAUGUAUGCCUCUAAGACGAGGGGAGGGGGCUUGGAUCCCGACCAGCAGACUCGUCGAAGGGUGGGGGGCAUAGCGGGUAUGUUCCUGAGGGGGUUGAAACCUCAGGGCACUUGGAAUGCAGCAUGCCUUUGCCAUGUAUGCCUCUAAGACGAGGGGAGGGGGCUUGGAUCCCAACCAGCAGACUCGUCGAAGGGUGGGGGGCAUAGCGGGUAUGCUCCUGAGGGGGUUGAAACCUUAGGGCCGGGGUCGGGGAAAGGGGAGAGGGGAGUGUGCUUGGUGUGGGGGAGAGACGAAUCAGGGCAACAUAGGAUUGAAUCUCAGUAGAUCAUGGUAGCAAGGCCACUCUGCCACUUACAAUACCCUAUCGCGUAUUUAAGUCAUUUGCAAAGGAUUCUACCUGCAUCUCUGAUAUUAUAUUUUGAGUUCUAAUAAGGGAAUAUCUCUUUGUGGCUUGGCAGAUGCAAGCGUUAUUUAGGAUUGGCAAGGGUGAACCUCCUCCUGUUUCUAAUUCCUUGUCAUCAGAUGCCCGAGAUUCUAUCCUCAAAUGCUUGCAAGUCAACCCUGGUGAUGGGCCUACUGGUCAGUUACUGGACCAUUCAUUUGUCAGGAGCCCACAACACACUUUCUCUGGCCCUCAAUCUCCUCGUACAAAUGGAAUACGACCUUAAAAGCUUUUGAUCUUGCUACGGAGCAUCAAAUACAUAGAGGUAAAAUAAAACACUUUUACGUCUUUUCCACUUUUUCGUAUAUUUCUCAUGUGUAAUUACGUCUAAAUUCAUUCUAAAUAUUUUCUAAUUAUUUUACAAAAAAAUAAUUAUAAAAAAUUAUAUAAGUAAUAAAAUCUAUUUUUUUUUUUUUCAUGUAGAACUAACUGAUCAAUAUUAUUGUAUGGAUUUUAUAACAAUAUAUUAAAAUUAACUUUCAACUUCAUAUCAAACAACUUUUUAUGAUAAAGAAGCUUAGGUUUGGAGAGGAUAAAAAAAAUGGAAAAGGAUAAUUAAAAAAUAAUUAAAUAGAUUAAUAGGAUUUAUAUUUUAAGGCGGAUAUGUAGAGAGUUUUAUUAGAUGUUUUUAAGUAUGCUGGCCAACCACCCUAAAACCCAAAAUAAUUGUCACCAAGUUCCCAAAAAACAAUGACCCCUAAAAGUUGGCCUGCACCUCUCAUUAUUUUAAUUUUUUUUUCUUUUUUCUUUUUUUCUUUUUUUUCUUUUUUUUGGUAAUCUUUUCAACUCUUCAUACUCUCAUUUUUAUCAUUCACUUUUUAAUUUGUUUAUUUGUUCUACUUUAGAACUCACUCAUAUUCCCAAAUACAAAAAUUCUUUAUAUUUACACAACAAUUUAACUUAACAUCUUUUUUUUUAAGAAUUCUUUUUCAUAUAAUAUUCCUUACUAACAAAAACUAAUUUUAAUGAAACAACUUUAAUUUGAUAUAUAUAAAUAUGAAGAUAUAUACUCCUAAACUUACACUUUAGCCACUUGAGUCCAACAAGGGUUUGAUUUAAAAAAUUUGUAGUUCUUAAAGAUGUUAAACUCCUUUAAAAAGCAUCAAAUGGUAAUAAAUAGGAACUAGAGAAAACCAUUCAAAUAAGCAGAUUUCAUCUAUAAUACGAAGUAAAAUCCAAAAUAGAAAUGUGAAGAAAAAAAUUAUCAUUGACUCUUGACUCUUUGACUCUUGCCAAACCAAUCCCACUACCAUCUAAUGCUAAAUUGUCUAACAAAUGGGAAUUGAAAGCAUAGAACAGAAUCAUUGACUCUUGACUCUUCCCAAACCAAUUCCACUACCAUCCAAUGUUAAAUUGUCUAACAAAUGGAAAUUGAAAGUAUAAAAGAGAAUCAUUGACUCUACUUAGCCCAUUAUCUAAAAGAGGCUACCUCUCUCCUUCUUUCAUGAAGUUUCUUAGAAAUUUCAAGCUUCUUUAUCAUAUAAAGUAUAAAAAAGAAUCACUCUUAACCCAUUACAUUAAAAAUCCUACCCCUUCUCUCCUUUCAUAAAGUUUCCUAGAAAUUUCAAGCUUCUUUGUCAUAUAAAGUAUAAAAGAGAAUCAUUGACUCAUUGUAACCCAUUAUCAAGUGUUGUCUCUCCUUUCUAAAGGUUAAUGCCCUUGUAGCCAUUCACAUGUGUUUCAAGAAAAAUGAAGUUAUUUUGCCCCCAAGAACUAUAGAAAUAAAAUUUUGUUAAGAAAUUUAAAAUAUAAAAAUAAAAAUUUUAAAUAAGAGUAUUUUAUAUAAUUUUUUUCAUAUUUUCUAAAAUUAAAUAUCCAAUUUUUAAUUAUCUCAAAAGCUAGAGAAGCUCCAAAAAAGAAAAAUAAUGUCUUGCAAUUAGAUAACUAAUUCAAAACAAUCCAAAUACUUCUUGAUCCACUUGUGGUUAACAUUCCAUUAAAAUUAUGUCAAAUUUAUUAAAAUCUACUUGCAUUUAUUUAUUUAAAAUUAUUCAAAGCAUUCUCAAUACUUUAUUCUUUUUUUUUUUUUUUGAAAAAAAAAAUUGUAUCACGUUUCUAGAAAAGAAUUAUUAAUAUAUAUUGAUUUUCUUAUAAAUAUUUUUCAUUAAAUUUUAAAACUUGUUUUUACUUUAACUUUAAAUGGGUUUGUAUGCUUGUGUUUUUAUUUUUCCUUUUCAAUCAAAUGAAUUAAUUUAUAAUAUGGGAAUGUCUACUUGAACUCAGUAUUUUAUUUAUUUCCUUUUUUAACUUUAUUUUAGUAAAUGCAUCCUUGAUCAAUAAUUUGAUGAUUGUUUUAAAAUCAAAUAGUGAAGAUAAAAUUUUGAUAAUUAAAAAACAAUUGACUUACUACAUCACUUACAUGAAAUAUUGAUUUGUUGUUUGAAGUUUUUUGGCAUUAUAUUUAAUUCAUCAUAAUAAGACAGUUUUUUACUCAAUAAUUUAUGUAGAAUAAUAAAUAAAUUAAGGAGCGCUUUAUUAAAAAUCAGUUUUAAUAGAAAAAUAUAAGUUGGAUAUUCAUUUUGAUUAAAAAUAAAAUUAUAAUUUGAUUUAAUUAGAAAAUGAAUUUUUUUCUUGUUAAUUUAAUUUUAAUUUGUAAUCCUGUUAAUAGGGAAAAUAAGAUAGUUUUCAUGUCUUUUUAAUUGAAAAAAUGAUGAUUUUGGUUGUAAUUUGUGAAUUUAUUUUAAUUUGUAAAAAGAAAAUAUUAUUCUAUUAGUUAAAUCAAUUUUGAUAAGAAUACUUAAUUUUAUGAAUAUAAUAAUAAUUGUUAAAGUAAUCUUAUAUGUGCAAAAUUUUAAAAUCUUGUAAAAAAUAAACAAAAAGAUAAGAAAAUAUGCAAACAAAAUUUUAUGAACUAGAAAUUUUGUAGGGUACAAUUCUUUGGAAUAAUACUCAUUAAAAAAAUAAUAUUUUCCUUUUAUUUGAUCACUUUCAUCACAACCCAAUGGAUAACAUGUUUUCACUUGCAAUUGUUUUUAUAUUAAGCUUUUAUAUAAGACUUUAUGUCAUGUGCUCAUGUGGACAACUCUUCAAAGGUGUAGAGUCACUUGCCUUGGAGGAUAUAUAGAAGCUCUCAAUGCAUACCUUAUAUGUUCAUCUCCACUACUAAAUAUUAUAUAAUCUAUUCUUGUUGCCAUGGGUUAAAAAACGUGAGUUGAUAUAGUCAAUCAUUUACUCAUCUUUCUACUGCUUGGUAUUUGUGAACUUCAUUAUGCUUAUCGUUGGUUGGGAAAAGUAAUUGUCUUCAUGCUUCAUUUGAUCACAACUGUCAAUAGGUUUAGGCUCAAGAUCCAUGUACCAAUCAAAAGCACACAUUUGGAGGGAACACACAAAUUGUUUGAGUAAGAGGUCACCCUCAUGCUAGCAUUGUUGCAAGUUUGGAUGAAUCAGACAUUGCAUUGCUUUGGAAUUCCUUUUCCAUCAAAUUAUUGAAACUUUAGAGGUUAAUAACUCAUAGGUAUUUGUAGGUUAUCAAUUUUCGUACUGUAAGGUUUAAAGCACACGAGUGUACUUCAUGACGAUCCACCAUACUAUUCUCCGAUGGUGUUACGUAUCAUGUUUUAACUCACUCAUUUAAAUUGGAAAUCUAUUAAUUUUUCAAUGAAAAUAAUUUUAAUUUGGCUUUAAGUUAUUUCUCGGUUAUAUAUAGAUAUAUGAGCAUACACAAGGUUUUUUUUUAAUAUUUAUUAUUUGAAUUUUAUUUUAUUCAUAAUCUCUUUAGAAUAUUAUUUGUUGGAAUUAAUUGCUAUGUUGUUAUUCUUCCAAAAAUAUUUUUUUUUGCUUAAAAAAUGAAUUUCUUCGAACACUAAAUUCGCUACUUUAAGUUAAUAAAAUCAUUUCCUUUUUUUUGGUUUCCUUUUAUUUAUUUAUUUUAAAUUAUAAUAUUUAUCAAUAAUAAGAUUUGUCUAUAAAAUGUUAAAAAAAAAAAUCAUCCUCUCAUUGUUUAACUUAUUUUUUAUUUUUACUUUUUUGUAUUUAUAUUUUAAUUUUAGUUUUAUGUUUAUUUUUAAUAUUUAUUUUUCACUUCUCGGUCAGAAUUUUUCUUUUUUUAUUUAUUUUUUUAAAUUUAUUAUUAUUAUUUCUUGUUGACAUCCUUUUUUUUAUAUAUAUAUAUAUAUAUAUAUAAACGUAAUAAUAAAAUAAAACACCAUGAAUAAAGUGAAGGAAAAAACUAACAUGUGAAAAAAAAUUAAAAAACUUGGUGGAGAAGUGUAGUGCGAGAGCCUAAUGUCUAAUGAUGAUGGAAUAAUCCCACCAAACCCGAAGAAAAGUAAAAGGUGAUAAGAAAAAGAGAAAGUGAGAAAAUAAUAAAUAAGAAGAAAGAGUUGCUUUUAACUUUCUUCAUUACUGUCCUGAAGGUCACCGGAAGUCACCUGCCAUCCCAAUUUAUAGAGAGAUGCCCCUAAUUUUCCUCGUCACUUUUCAGAAGGUCAUAGGAAGCCACCUGCCUUCCCAACUCUUUAUGUAUAGAUAAAUGAUAAUAUUUAUUAAUAAUAAGAUUUAUCUAUAAAAUGUUAGAAAAUGAAUAUAUCAAUCCAGUGAAUUUAAUUUUUACUUUUUUCUUUUUAUAUAUUUAUCAUUUAAUUUUUGCUUUUAUUUUUUUUCUUUUUAGUCUUAUAUUUAUUUUUCACUUCUCGAUCAAAAUUUUUAUUUUCUAUUUACUUCUAUUUUUUAUUUCUUUUUUAAGUACUUAUAUAUAAUAAUAAUUAAUAAAUAAAAUAGGAGACCAUGAAUAAGGUGAAGAAAAAAUAAAAUAAAAAAACUUGCUGGAGAAGUAAAGUGCAGGAGUUUGAAGGAUGAAUGUAAACAAGAGAAAAAAGAGAGCAAGAGAAAAGCAAAAGGUAAUAACAAAAAGAGAAAAGUGAGAAAAUAAUCAAUAUAGAGAGAGAGAGAGAGAGAGGGAGAGAGAGUGGCCCCUAACUUUCCUCAUCACUUUACAAAGUUCACAAGAAGCCAUCUGCCUUCCCGGAACUUUCUAUAUUGUAAACUAGGGUUGCUCACUAUCUUCAAGAGAAAUCAAGCCUCAAACUGUCUCUUGUAGUUUUGAGAAAUCAGGCCAAUUUAGUGAAUGAAAUUCUUACUCAAUUUCUUUGCCAAAGAUAUCGUUCAUUCUGAUAUGUUUUUUUUAUAAAUGUUUUAUUUCUUUUCAGUUUUUGAUCUUGAGGUAUUUUUUCUAAAUAAUUUGUUUUUUUAGAUAGAUCAUUUUAUAUAUCCUUCUUAUUUUAAAUAAAACAAGUUUCCAAUGACAAAUUUUUUAAGAGUUUUUAAUGUGAAAUUUUCUAAAAUUUUAUCUUUUUGUCAUAAUGUUUCCUUUUGUUGAUAUUUUUUUUGCAAAGUCAAAGAGAUAAUGUGAAAUAAUAACUAAUUUAAUAUAAGGUUAGCAAUUUAAACCUCACAACUAUAAAAAUGCAAGUGAAAAUAGAAGUGAAGGUGGAAAUUCUUUGGUUGGUCAGAUGAGAGGACUUGGUAGAGAUAAUUUUUAGAUGUAAGUAAGUAGAAAUGUUUAUAGGAUGGCGAAAGAAUUAGUAAAGAAAUUUGUUGAAUGUAACACAAAAAUUUCUUAGAUGAAUUGGUAAAGAAAUUUGUUGGAUGUAAUGGAGAAAUUUAUUAAUAAUCACAUGAUUAGUAGUAGAGAAUUUUCUGGAUGGCCAUAUAUAAAUGUGAAUAGUGGACAAUUUCUUAGAUGUCACACAAUUAGUAGAAUAGAGAAUUUUCNNNNNNNNNNNNNNNNNNNNNNNNNNNNNNNNNNNNNNNNNNNNNNNNNNNNNNNNNNNNNNNNNNNNNNNNNNNNNNNNNNNNNNNNNNNNNNNNNNNNAAAGAAAUUUGUUGGAUGUAAUGGAGAAAUUUAUUAAAUAAUCACAUGAUUAGUAGGUAGAGAAUUUUCUUGGAUGGCCAUAAUAAUUAAAUGUGAAUAGGUGGACAAAUUUCUUAGAUGGUCACACAAAUUAGUAGAUAGAGAAUUUUCUUCUAUUGUCAUAAUUGAAUAUGAAUAGGUGGACAAUUUCUUAGAUGGUUACAUGAAUUGCUAGGUGAGAAUUUUCUUGGAUGACCACAAUCAUUGAAUGUGAAUAGGAGGAAAAGUUUCUUGGAAGGUGACAAAGAUUGGUGGAAAAAUUUUCAAUCAAGUUGAGAAAUUUCUUCCAUGAUAACAAGAAUUGAUGGGGAAAUUUCUUAAAGGUGGAUAAUUAGGUUGAGAAUUUUUUUGGAUGGCAACAAGAAUUGGUGAAGAAAUAUUUUGGAAGGAUAGAGGAAACUACAAAAAGUUCCAUUUGUUUCAAACAACAUUAAAAGUGUGUUUAGUAAUGUUUUCAUUUGAAGUACUUUUAGUGAAUGUGUUUUUUUUAGAAAUAUUUUUGGAAGAAUCACUUGUAAAGUGUUUUAGGAAACAUUACAAGCGAUUUUUUAACAUUUUAAAUGUGUUUUCUAAAUUUUAUUAAAUACUUGGUUUUUCUUUUAAAAAAAAAUGUUUUUUGGUUUUAUGCUAGAAGUGAAUUUUUAAAUUUUAUCAAAUAUAUGAUUUUUCUUCAAAAACGUUUUUUAUGCUAUAAGUGCUUUAUAAAAGCACUACCAUGACCUUGACCUUUUGCCUCUAAUAAGGCUAAAGUGAUGACUAGUUGGUGAUUGCGUAUCUCUGCUAGUUUUAGCAAGUGAAUGUGCUCGCUUACUUGCUUUGCUAAAAAUGCAAUGAAUGUCUUUGCUUUGCUGUAGUCAUAGGACUCAUAGAGGUGUUGUGUCUUAACUUUGCAUACUAGAAAUUUGUACGCGUAAAAUUUGAAAGUCCUAUAAAAAAUAAGUAAAAAGAUGAGAAAAAUAUAUAAACAAAAUUAUUUGUAUUAGAAAAUUUUGAAGGUACAAUUUUCUAGAAUAAUAUUCUUUACAAAAUAAUAAUUUUUUUCUUAUUUGAUCACAAUCCAUAAAAAUAUAUAAACAAAAUUAUUUGUAUUAAAAAAAUUUUAAGGUAAAGUUUUUGGCUUAUUAUCAAAUUACUUUUGUUGAACUUUGAAUACAUAUUUAGUAUUUUGUAUGCUUCCCCAAAUUUACAAGAAUAUCUUAUGAAACCUCUUUUUAGUUCUCUUUUAAAUUUGAGAUCUCAAAUACUUUAUUGCUCAAAGCCCUAGAGCUUAAGGAAUACCACAGAGAACCGCUAACAUAUAUGCAUUUUGACGCUAAGUAUGGAAAACAAAAAAACAUAUUCUUUUUCUAAAAAAUUUAUAAUAUAAAAUAAAAUAAAAUAAAAUAAUAUUUUAAAAAAUUAUAAAAUUAGUUAAAAUUAAAUAAUUUAAUUUUACUUUAGUUUCAAUAUAUUUACAUUUAAAUACCAUAUAUAUUUCAUUUAAUAAUAUUUAAAAUAUUAUUAUAUUUAUACUUAUGCAUGAUUUAAUUUAAUAAUAUUAAAGAUAAAAAAUAAAUAUUAUUGAUUUUUAAUUUGGUUAUAUAUAUUUUAAAAUUUUUUAUUAUUUUUAAAUUUAAUAAUAUAUAAAUUAUAUAUUUACCAUAUCAUCAAUUCUAGGUGAUUUAACUAUUAGUCUAACUAGUGAACCGUGAACCAAUAAUUUUUUCGAUUUAUUAUCCGAUCUGAUUCCAAAAACAUUGUUUAAUAUUUAAUAUUUCAAUUUUAUGUUAUUAAUGAUCUCAUUAGAAUAUUAUCAAGGUUUUUAUCAGAAUUAAUUGUUAUGUUGUUAUUUUUCCAAAAUAAAUUUUUUUUCUUCUUAAAAACUAAGUUUCUUCCCACACUAAAUUCACUACUUCAAGUUAAUAAAAUCAUUUCCUCUUAUUCCAGGUAGCUUUUAUUUAUUUAUUUUAAGUUACAAUAUUUAUCAAUAAUGAAAUUUGUCUAUAAAAUAUUAAAAAAUAAAUACAUCACUAAUUCUAAAUAUAUCAAUCCAUCCCCUUAUUCUUUAAAUUAUUUUAAUUUUUAAUUUUUAAAAUUUAUAUUUAUAUUUUUUUAUUUUAUUUUUAGUUUUAUAUUUAUUUUUCACUUCUCGAUCAUAAAUUUUCUUUUUUAUUUACUUUAAUUUUUUAUUAUUAUUUCUUGUUGAUGUCCUUAUAUAUAUAUUCGAAAAAAUAUAUAAAACAUAAUAAUAAAAUAGGAGAGCAUGAAUAAAUUAAGUGAAGGAAAAAAAUGUUAAAUAAAAAAUAAAAAAAAUAAAACUUGNGGGAGAAGUAAUUGAAUAANNNNNNNNNNNNNNNNNNNNNNNNNNNNNNNNNNNNNNNNNNNNNNNNNNNNNNNNNNNNNNNNNNNNNNNNNNNNNNNNNNNNNNNNNNNNNNNNNNNNAAAAUAAAAACUUGGUGGAGAAGUAAUUGAAUAAUCGAAAUUCAAUUACUUUCCCGUCACUUUUCAGAAGUUGACAAAAAGCCACCUCCUUCCCAACUUUUUAUAUUAUAAAUUAGGGUUGCUCACUAUCCUCAAUAAAAAUCAAGUCACAAAUUAUGAGGUACAAUUGUUUGAAGUAAUAUUUUUUUAUAAAAAGAAUAUUCUUUUAUUGGAUGAUUUUAAUCACAGUCCAAAGAAUGAUGAUACCAGUUUCUUCUUCAAAUUGACAUCCAAUUCAAGACUUAUUUUUGAAUGACAUUUGUUGAAUUUUGGGAAUGAUGAAGAAGAUAUGUAUAGUAUUUAAAUUAUUCCUCAAUUAUAUAUGUAUAUAUGUAUAUAGAAAAGAUUAUUUUUUAAUAUUUAAUAUUUGAAAUUUAUUUUAGUAAUGAUCUCUUUAGAAUAUUAUCACGAUUUUUAUUGGAAUUAAUUGCUACUUUCUUAUUCUUCCUUCUUCCAAAAAAUAAAACUAUUUUUUUGCUUUAAAAAUAAAGCCCUUCCAAUACUAAAUUGACUACUUCAAAUUAAUAAAAUAAUUUCUUCUUAUUUUAGUUUACUACAAUUGGUCAAUAAUAAGAUUUAUCGAUAGAAUAUUAGAAAAUAAAUAUAUUAUUAAUUCUAAAUAGAUGAACCCAUUCUUCUUUAAUAAAUUUUAUUAUAAUUAUUUAAUAAACAAUUAAUAUCUACCUAUUUUAUGAUUUUAUUUUAAAACAUUUAUAUUUAUUUAAAUAAUUAUAUUAAUUGGUAAAAUCAUAUUUGUUUUCUUAGAGAGAGGAUAAGAUUAAAUUUUAUUAUUUGUUUAAAAAAACAUAACAUUUCAAAUUGUAAUUCAAAGACAUACAAUCUAUAUCAAGUUUUAUAAUAAAUUAAUACAUUAUUUAUUUAUUUCCUAUAUUUAUUUUUAUUAAUAGCUAACUUUGUUUAAAUUUGAAGUUAAGUCUUAUAAUAAUUUAAUAAAUUUAUUAUUUAUUUUUAUAUAUUUGCUCUUAUUAAUUUUUUUCUUCUUCUUUUUUAUCAAUAAAUUAAAAUAUGAAUUCAAAUAUAUAACGAUUGUUUUUAAGAUAUUGAAAUUAGAAGGAUUAUCAUAUGUCUAUACAUAUCUUCUAAUAUUAAUAUUUGGAAUAAAAAGUUUAGAUAAUACAUAAUAAGUAAUUAAUUAUUUCUUAUUAAAUUAAUUAGUCAUAAUGAAUAUAAUUAUAAUUAAUUUAAUUUAUUGUUUACUAUUAAAUAAACAAGCAUAUUAUAUUAUUUGUAGAAUUUUGAAAAGUAAAAUACCUAUUCAAAUAAGAUUUAUAAAUUUUAUAAAAUUAAAUCAAGAAAAAGUAUACUUUAAUCAUAGUUUUCUUCCAAAUAUGGAAGUGGGGACAUUUAUGAAUAUUGACAAAAAGAAUAGACCUUUGUGACACAUCAUAAUUAGAAAAUAAGUAAGUUUUAAAUUAAAAAGAAACUUUAAUUUUAAGUUAGAUAAUUAUUUGAAUUUUAAAAUCAAUGUAUCAUUAUCUACAAUUUUAUAUAAAUAUAGAAAUUAUUUAGAGUGAAAAAGGAAAAGAAAAAAAGAGUUGGAUAGUAUUUUCUAGUUUUGUUGUGAUGAUAAUUAGUCAUCACCAAAUCUAUCAAAAGAACAAUAUCUUCAUUAGGAAAAUGAAGUAAAACAAUUAUUAUUUUUUGUCCUAUAUAUAUAUAUAUAUAUAUAUAUAUAUAUAUAUAUAUAUAUAUAUAUAUUUAUUUAUAUAUAUUUCAUUUCAUAAAUUGAAUUUUUUAAAAAUAAAAAAUAAUAAUUUAGAUUACCAAAAAGUUUAUAUUUUAAUUUUAUAUAUUUAAUAAAUAAUAAUUUUAUCAUCAUUAAUAUUUGUUUGUGAUGAAUAUCUUUUUUAUUUUUCUUUUAAUUAAAAAAUGGAAAUGGAAAAGAGGAUGUGAUUGGAAUUUCUUUUUAAAUUUAUUAUUUUCAUUCAAAUAAGUGUAAUUAUUUUAUACCCUACAAUUUCUUUAUUUUUCACUCUUCAAACGCCAAAAAAAAUUCUAAUUGUAAAGAAAAAAUUGAAUUAUUUAUAUGAAUUCUAUAGCUAUUCAUAAUAGUAAAAAAAAUUAUUAAAAAUCAUUAUCUAAGCAUACUUCUUAUCUAUAAUUCAAUAUAAAUAAAAAAGUUAUUUACAAAAAACAAAAAUAAAUUAAACUCUUUUUAAGGAUUUUACUAAAUACCCUCAUAAAAAAAAUAUCCUCAUGUUUCAAAAGUUCAUUGAAAUACAAUUUUCGCAUAGUAAUUGAAGGAGAUAUUGACAAUUGUGCAAACAAGUUUGAAGCAUUUCUAAAAAGGAAUCGACAAAUUUGAGAAAAGAGUUAGGGAAAGUUGUGUUUUCAUGGACCAAUUUGCUAAAUAUAUGGUUUUUGGAACCCAGAUUUAUGGAAUAUGAAAAAUAUAUUUCAAUGUGGAAACUUAUAUCAGAUUCAUGCACUCUGAGCCUGCUGUAUUUUUUCUACCGAAAUUGCCCCUCCAGGUAUCCACAUCAGCAACCCAUCUCAGCAAGGGUUGAAACUGAACCGGUUGAAAACUCCAAAAUCAAAUGUUAAGCUUCCCACAAAAACACCUAGCCGACGGUUCUUUCUUCCCUCUUUCUCAUUUGAUACCCAUUCCUCUCAGUUGUCUUCACUCCGUCACCAAGGCGAUUUGAGAUUCCCAGAAAAACGGUGUAGCCGACGCUUGAAGACCCUUGCCGACGGUUCUUUCUUCCUUCUCUCUCAUUCCAUACCCAUUCUUCUCAUCUGUCUUCACUUCGUCAGCGAGGCGAUUUGAGCUUCCCAGAAAAACGGUUAGGUCUUUCUUCCCUCUCUCUCAUUCCUUACCUGUUCCUCUCAUCUGUUUUCACUUUGUCACGGAGGCGAAGCAGAGAACCAUGUAGAGUGUUAAAAAAGUUCUGUCAUUUCAGUUGAGAAUGGCUUAAUCCCAUUUGUUUCAUCUCAGAUUUUCUGUCUCGAGGUAACGCAUUCCUUCCUUCUGUCAUUUCAGUUGAGAAGGGCUUAAUCCCAUUUGUUUCAUCUCAGAUUUUCUGUCUCGAGGUAACCCAUUCCUUCCUUGUUUUGCAUUCGCAUUUACAUUCACGUAAAUAUGUUGUUUGUGUGGGUUUUUUAUGAACUAGGUGUGGCUCAAAUGUUGGCAUUUAGGAGUUGGUACUAAAUUUUUAAAUCUAUUCGUAAUAAAUCAUCAUCAAUUUUUUCAAUUCCAUGCAUUUUUUGAGUUUUUACUGUUUUAUUUGGAUUGGCAAAUUCUCGAAAAUCUAUUGUUUUGAUAUAAAAUGAAGGCAAGAAUAUGGGUUGGGAAUUGUUUUUGUUGUGGUUUAGAAUUGGGAAAAACAUAUUUUGAAUUGGUUUGCCAAAAAAGGAAUUUUUUUUUCCCCAAACUGUUUUUGGGUAUUGGGAAACAAUGCAUUUUUAGUGAAACCCAUUUAUUGGAUUGUGUUUUUGGAUUGGGUUAUGCAGUGGAUUACCAAAAUGGAACACUUUUUGGGGAUGAUGUAUUUCUUUUGAGAGCGAAAUAAGUGCUUCUGAAAUGGUGAUUUAUAGAUUCGAAAUUACUCAUGUUUUUGGGUUUUUGUGAUAUUCAUGGUUAGUGGGUGCUAACGUUUUCGUUGUUGUUUUUUUAUUUUUAUUUUGUAUUUGUUUUAUAUGUAUAGUUUAAAUUCACGGCCCAUUUCUUCAAAUAUUUUUGGUUAGUAUAUGUUACUCUUCUUGUUGAUUAGUAAUUGAUAUUGAUUUAGAGAUCUCUUCUCGUUGCUCUCGUUGUCAUAUGUCUGGCCACAAUAGAAAAACCUGCAGGAAACCUUUGCCCUAAAUGCAUAUUUGUCACCUUAUUGCAUUAUGUAGAUCUUGUCUUACUCUAUUUCAAGUAUCUUUAGUGAAUUGGUUGUCACCAAAUCAGCGUUACUAUGUUCAUUGAGUUAAGUUAUAUUGCUUUGAUUAUUAAUUUCUUUCACAAUGUCCGAACUAUGGUUGCACUACAGUUUGUUUUAUUGGUAUUUACUCCAACCGCAUGUAUUGCCUCCCAUUACAUUGCUUAAACCAAUUUAACCAAACUGCAGCAUAUGUUUCCAUGUAUAAAGACUACUGCUUUGUUGUACUAUAUAGUACGCCUACGCAAUAACAUGAAUUGUAUACCAUUGAAUCAAUGUAUUUUGUUAUUCUUAGUUUUUCCCUCAUUUCCCCUUUCUGUCGCCGCCACAGCUUAUCUUCACUUGUUUGUUAGUCUUCUCAUAGUUUUGACAGUUCCGAUUUGUUCAUUAGUGCAUACUGACUUUAAACUAAUUGUACAGGAGCGUGUUGAAAAUUUGGGAAACAUUUUUUUCCAUCAGUGUUCAUAGUUUUCUUCUUCAUGUUUCAGAGCUGUUGAUCUUGUGCUAAACCAAUGACAUUAAUAUAUAUCACAAUAAUCUAUUUGAAGUCAUACGUGUCUCAUUUUUACUCCUUUGUACAACUUUCAUAUCCAUAGGCUUCAAUGUUCAUAAGGCCAUUGAUUACUUUGUAGGUUUCGAAACUCGCCGAUUCAGUAUCGCCAUCCAAACAUACUGAUUAUACACAUGGCAACAGAAAAGAGAAAAAGGAAGGAGCAUGUUCCACCAACAUGCACACAGGUGGGUAAAACAGAUUUCAUUGAACAAUGGCUCCAAUCUUCAAAUUCAGCUUAAUUGGAAAUUUGCAUAUAUUGGAUUUUUUUUGUCACUAACCCAUAUUUCAUUUUAACUGUAGGUUAAGCUUCCUAAGUCCCGAUGUUCUGGGAAGAAAUUCAUAACUGCCAUUGCACGCCUAGCCCCUGAAAAAUAGCAAGCCAUUAGAGAGAUGGGCUUUGGGGGCCUACUGACUUUUGCUUGCCACGAACUAAGAUAUGAGCUAUGCGGGUGGCUCAUAUCUCAAUAUGACUUUACCUACCAUAGACUUAAUAUGGAAACCGGCAAUGCUAUCACUGUCAAUGAAGAACAUGUCAACAAAGUGAUGGGCAUCCCUAACUUCGGGGUAGACGUGGUUAUCCUUAAGAGAACAACCCCGUCCAAUCGCACAUACACUCUCAGGGUACUGGAGCAAAACCUUGAGAACUUGCCCGUGUGUGAUGAAUUUUUAAAAUCAUUUUUAAUUUUUUCAUGUGCCACUCUACUGGCACCUAAUUCAAAGCUUGAAGGAAGCCAUGACCUUUGGGACACCAUAUGGGAUGGUGAUGUUGGUGUCCAAAGGAAUUGGGAAAAGUUUCUGCUGAAACACUUAGAAGAUGGAAUCAAGGAAUAUCGACAAAAGCAGCCUACUUACAUCCGAGGCUGCCUCAUGUUCCUCCAGGUACAGUUUAGGCUCCAACCCCUUUUGCAAUUAGUAUGAACUUAGUUUACAUUUUAAUUUGAAUGUCAUGCUUACUGCAAUUUGCUGUUUUAAUGCUCCUUGUUUCAUAUACUUCCCUUGGACAGCUGUUCUACAUGGCAUACUUCUACAUGCCAUCAGUCAAUGUUGAAGUGACCAGCCCGCUAGCUGCUGCAUGGACUGACGAUGUAAUGAAACGCCGAUUAGCAGCUGAAAUAUCAACAUUCGAUGGUUAUGGAUAUGUGCAUGUAUGCUCUAACUUAACAAAGCUUUCCCUACUAGUUAAAUUACCAUAUUAGCCUCGCACCAGUAAUAACCAAUUUGUUGAUUCCCUCAUUUAAAUAAUGAUGCAAGACACAGGCACAGGAGCGAGCACAAAGCACAACCAAUAUGAAUAUACCAUCAGUAGCCUCAACCUCUACAGCUGAUGACGAGGCUACAGAGGUAGUUCUUCUUCACUAACCACUCAUACAAGUUCUUCUAUACAAUGCAUACAAUACUAUUCUAAAACUAUUCUGUUUUCCACUAUGUAAUAGGUAAUUGAAGCCCGUGUCAUUGACACAUCGGAGAGUAUGGUACGAUUAGCUUCCUCUCUGGCGCGGGAUGUUGCUGCACUAUGUUCCCGCCGAAGUGGACCAGAGGGGAUAUCUUCAAUCCCUUGCCCAAAAGCACAGCACCACGCUGAAUAUCAACCAAUGCGCGAAACACCGGGCAAGCAGACGUCAGCUGAUGAAAUGGAACCACAAGAUAACCUCGCACCAACCCCCCAUUCUCCAAUUGGAAUGGAACCGUCACCAGAAGCCACUCAUUCCGAGCCAAUGGCCCCACAGUCUCAUGCAGAGGCAUCGCUUCCACCACAAGUGACAACAGAAGAAGUGCGAGAAUGUGAUAGGGUAGGUGGGAGUGGUAAUCAAGCCAUUAAACCUUCAUCUAUCAACAGAUUUAAGCGGACUUGUAAGAGGAUAGUGAAGCGUCCUCCCACUUGCAAAAGUCCAUUUGUCACCCAAUGCGUUAAACAAUUCCCUAAAAUCCCCCAUGCUCAUCGGGUAGUAGCAGAUUACGCUUUGGCAGAAAUUGGUGAUCCUAGGUACAUUUCAUUUUUCUAAAAAUAAUUCUUGCAAUCAUUUAAUAUGUGAAUAACUUUACAUCAUUAUGACAUUAUUCAUUUUCAAUCAUUCUAGCGAGAUUUUAUGCGAGAUGUAUGGGAUGUACAUUACCCGAGAAGAAAUUUCUUGUCUAAAUGCAGGGCGGUGGGUUAAUUCAGUAGUAAGUUACUUAUCUUUAUGUUGAAUUAAAUUCAAAAUUAAUAGGUCAUAUAAUGUAUAAAGUGUUGAUGGGGUUGUAAAAUAUGUUCAUUUCUACAACUUUGCCAAAUUGUGGCGAUUGUCUCUCGCAUGAUGAAUGGACAGCAAGCACCACCAGCGCGCACACACUAUUUUGAUCCUUCGUUCUCGGUGAACCCUCUAAUAUCCUAAAUUGACAUAGUCUCAAAAUAGAAUAGCAUUUGUUGAUGUUUGUAUUGAUAACCCCACUCGUGAACAGGUGAUUCUGACCAACUUGAAAACAAAUGCAACCAGCCAAGUGAUCAUGGAUAGAUGUCGCAUGUAUCUGGAUGCUGGUAUAUUGGGCCAUGAUUUGGGGACAUGUGACAUGGUAAAUAACGGUUGUUAAAUUUCAUUUCCAUAGUAAUAUAUGCAAUGGCAUUGGACAUGACUAUUAUCUUAUACCAUAAAAGGUAAUAACUCUUUUAUGAUCAUGCAGAUGUUCAUCCCAGUUUGUGAGAACAAUCACUGGCACAUGCAUGUAGUUAAUUUUGCAGCUGGACGAGUUGAAAUUCUUUCAUCUUUGCCCUUGAGGCGAGGAAACAGUAUUAGUGCUGCAACAAAGCGAUUAUCUAUGGCAAUCAAUAAAGCACUGCAUGCAUAUGCAAUUCAUAUGGACGUGGAUGUCUCGACUUUUGAGCAUGUCCAACCACACCUUGUGCAACAACUGAAUGGGUAAAAUAUUCAUAUAUUCUAACCAAAACGGACAUUUGAGGUGAAUUUUUUUUCUUAGAUUUCUAUGAUAUACAUGACAAGCCUAAAUGUGAUGUGUUAUAGGUUUGACUGUGGUAUCCUUGCCCUAAAAUUCAUGAAAUUUUGGAAUGGGGCCACCUUAACUACUUCAGUGGCAGAGGUUAGAGCUAGUUUACAUCCUAAUUGGUUUUGUUUUUUUUUAAAAAAAAAAACAGUAUAAAAUAAGUUUUUCCCAUUUCUGUAGGACAAGCUCAACAUGUACAGACUCCAGCUUGUUGUGGAACUAGUGCUCAAUGAACGCAACACUGUUAGAGAUAAAAUUAUGGCCUCCUGUCAUUUGUGACUUCAUGGUUGAUGAUAAGUUUUUUCCUAUCUGAAGCUACUUACCAUAUAAAGCAAUACUUGAUUGUAGUUUGUCCACAAAUGACUGAAUUCAUAUCCUGUUAUGUGAUGAUGUGAUUUUGUUCCCAUUCUAAAACCAUUAUUUAUGUUCUAUAUUUAUUGUAUCUUAUUAAGUAUACCACAUCCCAUUGUAAUAGUGACAGUAUGGUGAUGCUGAAUGUCAGAACUUUAUGUACAACAAUGGGCAACGCGUAAGGGAAAGAAAGACUGCAUGGUGAUGCUAUUGCUAUAGCUUACAAGAGGGAGUAAUAUCAGAAUGAGUCAUAUGUUAUCCUCUUUCUUCGGAUUGUAUGAAGCAAACUUGGUUUACCAUAUGAUCAAAAUUAGGUUUAUUUGGUUUGUUGACUAUAUUACAAACAUUUGGCUGAUGUACACAUUCCAAGGACUAUGUUUGUGUUUUGUUUUAUACAGGAAAUCCUAAUAUAGAUAAGGCAUUUGUUACAUAUCCUUUCAAUUUUUUCCCUGUUCCAUCCCAAUGUCCUCUCCAAAUAUAGUUCAAAAAUAAUGAUCCUUUGUUGAAGUAGAAUGUUACAAACCAUGGUGACAAAUUUAGGUGUCAUGGGUGAUGGUGAAGACAUUGGAUGGUAUUCGUAAUGAAUCAUUGAAGACUAUUGGCACUGGUCAUUUUUUUAGAUUGUCAUGUGCUGAGAUAAUUCUUUGUUACAUAUCACGAGUUUUUUUUCUUUUAGUUAAUAAUAUUAAGUGAUGAUCUGGCAUUUCAUCAUGUUCUUAAUAUUUGGCUUAGCUCUUACUCAUGAAGAAUAUUUCUCCUCAUCCUUCGGUCCCUAACUUAACAUCAUUAGGGAAAUGAGAAUUCUAAUGUUGAUCUUGUAGGGCUGGCACUCGCUCUCCCAAAGAAAGAGCAUCCCCAUUUGCAAAAAGUUAUAUAGGGUUCCAAAAUGGUUUUGCAUGUAGCAUGUUUUGCUUCCAACAAUCUAUAGGUUGUGAUAGGCAAAUAAAUAUAUGUUACAAAACCAAAAAAAAAAAUUGGUUCACAUGAUCACAUUCCAUAUCCAACCACAACCCUUCAAAAUCUAGAUGAAUACCAAAAUGGGAAGACAACUGUUUACUUAAAUAAAUAGUCACAACAAAAUAUUGACAAAAGAACAACAUUUCUCGAAUGUCCAUUUAGGUAGUACAUGAGGUACAUUAAGGUAGUACCUAAGGGUCUUAAGGUCGUACCUCAUGUGCAUUAAGGUAGUACCUUCAAUUUCUGAUGAUUACAUAAGCUAUCGAAUGAGUCAGCAAGAGGAACAUAACAAUGGCAUGCUGUAAAUAUUAAUGCAAUGAACUAAUUGUAGCUUAAGUUAUAGAAGAGCAACAUUUCUCCAAGGUGCCUUAAGGUAGUACUUGAGGUACAUUAAGGUAGUACCUAAGGUUAUUAAGGUAGUACCUCAUGUGCAUUAAGGUAGUACCUCCAAUUUUUUAUGAUUACAUAACUGACCGAAUGAGUGAGCAAUAAGAAUAUAAUAAUGGCAUGCUGUAAUAUGUAAUGCAAUGAACUAAUUCUGACUUAAAUCAUAGAAGAGCAUCAUUUCUCUAAGGUGCCUUAAGGUAGUACCUCAGGUACAUUAAGGUAGUACCUCAUGUCAUUAAGGUAGUACCUCAUGUGCAUUAAGGUAGUACCUCAAAUUUUUUAUGAUUACAUAACCUACCGAAUGAGUAAGUUAUAAAAACAUAACAAUGGCAUGCUGUUAUAUGUAAUGCAGCAUGACAUUGUUAUGUUCUCAUAGGUUACUCCAACGGUACCUUAUGUAAUCAUAAGAAAUUUCAGGUACUACCUUAAUGCACAUAAGGUACUACCUUAAUGGUCUUCAGGUACUACCUUAAUGUACAUAAAGUACUACCUUAACGAACCUGCGAGAAAUGUAGCCACUUUGUGGCUUUAGAUUUUUAUUAGUUAAUUUCAUGACCUAUUGCAGCAUGACAUUGUUAUGUUCUCAUAGGUUACUCCAACGGUACCUUAUGUAAUCAUAAGAAAUUUCAGGUACUACCUUAAUGUACAUAAGGUACUACCUUAACGCACCUGCGAGAAAUGUAGCCACUUUGUGGCUUCAGAUUUUUAUUAGUUAAUUUCAUGACCUAUUGCAGCAUGACAUUGUUAUGUUCUCAUAGGUUACUCCAACGGUACCUUAUGUAAUCAUAAGAAAUUUCAGGUACUACCUUAAUGCACAUAAGGUACUACCUUAAUGGUCUUCAGGUACUACCUUAAUGUACAUAAGGUACUACCUUAACGCACCUGCGAGAAAUGUAGCCACUUUGUGGCUUCAGACUUUUAUUAGUUAAUUUCAUUACCUAUUGCAGAAUGACACUACCUUAAACCAUAUUCGAUAAAUUUUACUCUCCCGACAAUUUUUCACUCUCAAUAUUUAUUUAAUCAUACUGUUGUUUUCUCAUUUUUCUGGUUAUGUCAAGUUACGAUGGUUGUGGUUGGAUACGGAAGGUGAUCAUGCGAAGCAAAUAUUUAUUGGUUUUCUACCACAUUUAUUUUUUCUAUAACAACCUGUACAUGGUUUGAAGCAUAAAAUUAGCAAAAUGCACAAUCAUUUAGGAACCCUGAGUAGCCCGUGCCAAUGAGAAUGUGCAAUAGUCCUGAACCCUGGUAGUAAAUCACCAAUAACAUUAACACAAGAUGAUAUGUAAAAGCUUACACAAUAAGUAAAUAUGAAAGGAAAGUCGUCAAACAAUUUACUAAUGUGUGUAUGGAAGGAUAAACUGAAACUGCAUCAGUGUACAAACAAAUAGGUUCCAAUCUAUGUUUGUUGUUCUCUUAUGAAAGUAGUACCAUACCCCAUAAUCAACCUAUCACUGUGGAUCACAUCUUACAAUCACAGUUGUUGUCCAAUCAGUCGCCAAUACAACACUGACCAGCACCCUUAACUAUAAUAAAAGAACAAAUACUGAGUGUUGUCCAUGUUCCUACUCCCUUACUUUACAAUAUUGAAGGAAAAAUGAACAGCCCUAUUACAUUGCUGUGACUGCAUCCCAUAUGCUCCAGCAGCAGGAUUACCAGGUACUCUUCCUUUCCCUUACACGUUGGCCAUUCUUGUACAUAAAGUCCUCAUAUUCAGCAUAAUUCAUUUUAACUGUUACAAUGGGAUGUGGAAUACUUCAUCAGAUACAUCACAUAUAGAACAUAAAUAAUGGUUUUACAAUUGUAACAAAUCACAUCAGCACACAACAUGAUAUGAAUUAAUAAAUUUUGGACAUACUUAAAUCAACCCUUGGUCAUUUUGGUACGUAGCAGCAGAUAGGAAGAAACUUAUCAUGAACUAUGAAGUCACAAAUGACAUGCGGCCAUGAUUGUAUCUCUGACACUGUUGCAUUCAUUGAGGACUAUUUGCAGCUCUAGCUGGAGUCUGUACAUGUUCGUCUUGUCCUACGGAAAUGGGAAAAAAUUAUUCCAUGCGGUUGGGAAAAUAACACUCAAAUCAAAGGACAAAUAUGCACAUAAUUAAAUGAAACAGGCUAGCUGACACUGAUAUUAGCAACCAGCCUCUGAAAAAUGCCACCAAAUGAUGCCACUCAUUCAAAGUAUUUAUUUUCGGAUAAUUAAAUGAUGCCACCAAAUGAUACAUGGGAACACAAACUGCAGUAUGGUUGAAAUGGCUUAAGCAAUGUAAUCUUACCAAAUACAUGGGAUUUGAGUAAAUACCAUUAAAACAAGAUGUGGUGCAAACAUAGUUCGGACUUUGUGAAAGAACUGAAUCAGCAGAGAAAUAUAAUGUAACUCAAUGAACAUUGGAGGUGAAUGGAAAGGCACAAAACAUUCAAAUAGUAACGAUGAUUGGGUGACAACCAGUUAGUUGAAAUAGAGUAAUACAAGAUCAGCAUAAUGCAAUAAGUAGACAGAUAUGCAUUUAGGGCAAAGGAUUUUUGCAGGUUUUUCUAUUGUGGCCGGACAUAUGACAACGAGAGCAAUAAACAGGUCGUUUAUCUUGAAAUUGAGACUCAAUGCGCUUCUUCCUUGGCCUUCCGAGAGGGCGCUUUGUAUGUGGAGGCUUUAGAGAGAAGAACACCUCCCCGGUGAUAGAUCGAACCAAACCAUCAUCGUCCACAGUAGGCAUGUCAUGGGUCUCUAUGCCGGAGAAAGAGCCCCCAUAUAUCAACUCUUGCAUUGGGUAUUUGUAGCAAUCAUCGACGAAAUCAGUAACAUUUUGACCAAUGGAAAUAAUGACGGCUGUGGCAUGCUCACAAGGGAUUCCCAACAUCUGCCAACCCCUACAAGUGCAUGUAUGGUUCAGAAUGUCUACAUUCAACAAGGCUCUCCCGAUACAUACCCCAAAUACUCCAUUCUUGAACGGUGUGACUGGAUACACCGCACCCUUUGCAAUAUUUUCCUGCACCUUAGCUUCAAUUUUUGGCCCUAUACACCCUUUCCAAUUCUUAGACUCUUCUUGAUGCUUCACAAGCAUAGAAGCUAACUUGGACAUGUGCUCCAAUAAAAAGUUACAAAUAGAGUGAUGUCUUUCAAUCCGUAACCAAGCAUUAAAUGACUCGGCAAGGUUCGUAGUCAUUUUAUCCCAUCUUUGUUUUGGGAAUUUUGACAUGGCCCAAUGGUGCGGCGCAUUUUCUUCAACCCAUGUGGCUAAAGCCUCGUUGUAUUUUUUUAGUUCAACCAUGGAAACGUUAUAAUCAUGUUCUAGCCUUCCAUACGCAAUGCUAUCUAGGAAUUGCAAUGCAUUUUCUUUACCCUUGUUCCCUCGUGUGUUAUGCUUGGACAAGAAACUACUAAAAUUCUCCUUUAGGUGACGGUAGCAAUAAGCAUGGUUUUCAAUGCCAAACACCUCAGGAACACUACGAAGCAAAGCAUGAUGUCUAUCUGAGAUAAUAAUAACUUCCUUGUUUCCCACAACUAUCUUCAGUUUUUCCAAGAACCAUAACCAAUCUUCAUAAUUUUCCGAGCUCAUCACUCCAAAGGCUAAGAGGAACAUGGAGUCAUUAGCAUCGUAAGAGGUGGCUGAAAAUAGAGCACCGCCAUAAGGCCCACUCAUAUGGGCCGAAUCAAUUGCAAUGAUUGGUCGACACCCCCUUACAAACCCUUCGAUAGAUAUUGAAUGAGCAACAAAAAGCUUCUCAAAAUGGUCAUCAUUGGAAUAACUCAGCUCAACACUCGAUCCCGGAUUUGUUGCAAGCAUUCUUUCACACAUCCAUGGCAACAAUUUGUAAUAAUUCUUGGGUUGUCCAUAAAUGCGCUCCUUAGCCUUCUCCUUCAUUUGCCAUGCUUGUAGGUAAGUUAACUGGAUGCCAUGUUGCCUUACAAAGUCCUUACAAAUUUGGCGUGGUUGGUAUUCAGGAGUAGAUCGAAUGACAUCAUCAAUGACCAACGAUGCACGAGUGGAUCUCACUAAAGGCUGAGACAAGACAACAUCUUCCAAGCAAUGGUUAUGCACAUUUCGGAAUGUGUGUACUUGAACAAUGUUUGAAUCCCCUAUUGCACGCGCAGUGAUUUUCCAAGGACAAUCUUCAAUUGUGCAUACUACGGUCAUGUGUUUUGGACUAUUCCUUUUGUAAGAAUAUCGAAAUUUUCCAGCCAAAGACAUCAAAUAGAUUGCAUCUCGAAACUCCGACGCAUUUGGGAAGGUAUGUCCACUACCUACAAUUGAAUGUUCGAACCGGCUUGGUUGAAGUUGAACGGUAUUUGUCAUAGCACAUCUUUGGGAAAACCCAACUGACUGAAUUGUGGGCGACUCAUUAGAGAUGUGUAAUGGGGGCUGGCCAAUAGAGGAAACAUGAGCUGAGUUUGAAGCAACAAUGGGGGUUGGGCCACUGCAAAAAACAUAAGGAAAAAAUUUGAUCAUCCAUCAAUCUAAGUGUGAAAAGCGAUUAUACAAAAGGGAACAUUAUUGUGGAAGGACAUUAGGCACCUAGUAGGGCAAAUGAAGUCAUCACCACAUUCAGUACAAUGGGAGAUGUAGACAUGACAAAACAUGUCGUUGAAUUUGAACAUAUUGACUAUGUCGCCAUCAUUAUGCAGUGGCAAUAGACAUGAUGGGUCAAACUUGACUGUGAAUUCCAAUUUAAUGGAAUUGGAAUCCAAGUUCAAUACACCACAUACUUUUGAAACGAAUUCAGAUUGUGAGAUAUUCUUGCUAACAACACUGCAAUUGGUCCGACCUCCCUUAUAUUCGACGGACCCAACAGCAGUCUUAACAAGCUCACCACCUUCAUGAAUGUAACAAAACAUCUCCUCUUCCAUUUUCUUAUUGACAUAAAGAUUUGUUAAAAAUAAUACAACAAUGAAAGAUUGAGGAAUUAUGCAUGUUGAUUCCAUAGACUUUAAGGUUCAAACAUGCUAAUUAGCUGAUGCACACAAUUAAGGUUCAAACAUGCUAAUUGGCCGAUGCACACAAGUAGUGUACAAGUCCAACUACGGUAGUACCUAAGGAUAUCUAACCUAGUACUUAAAGAUUACUAAGGUUAGACCUAAGGUUAAUUAAGAUAGUACCUAUGGUACAGUCUCAAGUAAAGGUACGGGGGAACCAAAUGAGCAGAGUAGUCAAACACAUAAUGUCAUGAUAGCUUGUAUGUGGAAGUGAAUACAAUUUAAUUUAUGCAUGACUUGAAAACAGCCUGUAGGUCCUAUGUUUGACAAACUGAACCCCAUUGGGUUAACAAUAAAGACAACUUUUAUUCACAUAUGAAUUAUUUGAAUAUUAAAAAAUGAAGUUUCCAGUCGUCACACAACUUGUACCCAAUAUUGGUUCAGGUAGUACCUGAUGUUGACUAAUGCAGUACAUACAGUCGAUUAAGGUCGUACAUUCAGGAAUAAUGAGGUAGUACAUAAGCUUAACUUACCAGUACAAUAAGGUUAACCAACUGAUCACCAAAACAAACAAUAUAUAGAUAAAAAUGCAUUUCAUCCAUUCUGACCAGCAUUCCCUAUUUUCUAUUUAUGUUAUGAAGGGAAUUAAACCAAUGCAUGGAUACCAAUAGUUCCUAUAUAGCCUUUCCUAUUACCAUCUUCUAAAACGGAUCUCUGAAUCAAUAUCAAUUACUAAUCAACAAGAACAUUAACAUAUAGUAACCAUACAUAUGUUACUAUAUGUUUGAAGAAAUGGGACGUGAUUUGAAACUAUACAUAUAAAACAAAAACAAAAAAACACAACAAAAACUUUAGCACCCAUCAACCAUCAAUAUCACAAAAACCCAAAAAAUUGAGUAAUUUGGAACAACUUUCCCAUCUAAAAAUCACCAUUUAUUAAGAACUUUUUUCGCUCUCAAAAUGAAAACUUCAUCCAGAAAAAUUGUUCCCUUUUGGUCAUCCACUGCAUAGCUUAAUCCAAAAACACAAUCCAAUAAAUGGGUUUCACUAAAAAUGCAUUGUUUCCCAAUACCCAAAAACACCACUAGGAAAAAAAAAAUUCCUUUUUUGCUAAUCAAUUCAAAAUAUGUUUUUCUCAGUUCUAAGCCAAAACAAAAACAAAUGUCUUUUUCAACGAAACAAUUCCUAACCCAUAUUCUUGUCUUUACUUUAUAUCAAAACAACAGAGUUGCGAUAAUUUGUCAAUCCAAAAAAAACAGUACAAAAUCAGAUUUGCAAAAAGACGAUGAUGAUUCAUUACCAACAUAUUUAAAAUUUCAGUACCAACUCCUAAAUGCCAACAUUUCAACCACGCCUGGUUUAGAAAAAACCCACACAAACAGCAGAUUUUCAUGAAUGAGAAUGCGAAUGCAAAACACGGAACAAAUGGCUUACCUCGAUAGAGAAAAUCUAAGAUGUGACAAAUCGGAUUAAGACCUUCUCAACUGAAAUCUGCUUCGCCUCGGUGACGGAGUGAAGAAAUAUGAGAGGAAUGGGUAUCAAAUCAGAGAGAGGGAAGAAAGAACCCUCGACUACACUAUUUUUAUGGGAUUUUCUGCUUCGCCUUGGUGACCGAGUGAAGACAGAUGAGAGGAAUGGGUGCCAAAAUGAGAGAGAGGGAAGAAAGAACGGUCGAUCGGCUAGGGUUUUCUUGUGGGAACUUCUGCUUCGCCUUGGUGACGGACUGCAGAAAGAUGAGAGGAAUGGGUAUCAAAUGAGAAAGAGGGAAGAAAGAACCAUCGGCUAGGGUGUUUUUGUGGGAAGCUCAACAUUUGAUUUUGGAGUUUUCAACCGGUUCAGUUUCAACCCGUGCUGAGAUGGGUUGCUGAUGUGGAUACCUGGAGGGGCAAUUUCGGUAGAAAAAAUACAGCAGGCUCAGAGUGCAUGAAUCUGAUAUAAGUUUCCACAUUGAAAUAUAUUUUUCAUAUUCCAUAAAUCUGGGUUCCAAAAACCAUAUAUUUAGCAAAUUGGUCCAUGAAAACACAACUUUCCCAAAGAGUUAUUAGGCUCAAGCCCUUGUAUUAAAUGUAGGAUUAUAAAAUAUUUAAAAGAGGAAGCCUCGGGCCCACCAACUGCACCCAAACUUAAGUAGAAAUCAGUUUUACUUUUUACAGGAAGGUGCCUUGAAAUUGGAUGAAAUCACUAAAUUGCCAUCAAUAUUCUAAUCUUCCAAAUGAAAGGAUGGUAGUUUAAAAAAUAUAUGAAGAAAAUAAAAUUAAAUAAUAAUAAUAACAAAAUAUAUUAAAGAUAAUAGUAAGAUAGGAGAGCAUGAAUAUAAUGAAGAAAAAAAAUGUUAAAUAAAAUAAAAAACUUGGUGGUGUCCCACUUGAAAAUAGAAAAAAAAGAAAAAAGAAAAACGAAGGUAAUAAGAAAAAGAAAAAAGUGAGAAAAGAAUAUCUAAGUCAAUAGAGAGAGAGAGCGUUACCCUUAAUUUUCCUCGUCACUUUUCCGAAGGUCAUAGGAAGCUACCUGUCUUCCCAACUUUUUAUAUUGUAAUGUCCUUUUUAUAUUGUACAUGCUUUUCUAUACUCACAGGAUGUCUUAUAAAGUUUUUUCUUUUUUCAAUUUAUUCAUUUUAUUUCUUGGAUUGAUUUUCAUGUGAAAAUUCAUUUUAUUUUAAAAAAAUAAUUAUUUUACUGAUUUUUUUAAAUAUUUGAUAUCUCUUAAAUCAUUCAUAAAAUGAAUUAAUUUUUUAAUAAAAGUAUUUUUAAUUUAGAUUUAAAUUAUUUUUCAAUUAUAUUUAGAUGUAUGCAUAUAAAAAAGAUUAUUUUCUAAUAUUUAAUAUUUAAAAUUUUAUUUUAAUAAUAAUCUCUUUAGAAUAUUAUCACGAUUUUUAUUAGAAUUAAUGGUUACAUUUUUAUUCUUCCUUCUUCCAAAAAUAUUUGUACUUCAAAGAUAAAGCUCUUCCAAUAUAAAUGACCCGAGAGACACAGAGCUGUCCCUAACUUUCCUCUUCACUUCCUGGAAGCCGCCUUGCCUUCCCAAUUUCUUAGAUUAUAAGUUAGGGUUGCACAAUCUCCUCAUUCACUCACUAUCCUGAAGGGAAAUCAACCCCUCUAAACUGUCUUUGUAGUUUUGAGAUAGAAACCCAGAAUGGCUUCCACAAGCUCCUUCAGAGCCUCUUCUUCUUCUUCUACUCCUGCCAUCCCUCGAACAAGUACUUAUGAUGUUUUCUUGAGUUUUAGAGGCGAAGACACCCGCUAUAAUUUCACUGAUCACCUCUACAGUGCUUUGGGUAGGAGAGGGAUUCACACCUUCAGAGACGAUAAACUCAGGAGAGGAGAAGCGAUUGCUCCAGAACUCUUGAAAGCCAUUGAAGAAUCAAGGUCUUCCGUAAUUGUUUUCUCUGAAAACUAUGCUCAUUCGAGAUGGUGUUUGGAUGAGUUGGUAAAGAUCAUGGAGUGCCAGAAAGAUCCGGCACAUGUUGUUUUCCCAAUUUUCUAUCAUGUGGAUCCAUCCCAUGUACGAAAGCAAGAAGGAAGUUUUGGAGAGGCCUUUGCCGGUUAUGAAGAAAACUGGAAGGACAAGAUACCAAGGUGGAGGAGGGCCUUGACGGAAGCAGCCAAUCUUUCUGGAUGGCAUAUACUAGAUGGGUAACUUUAAUUUCCUUUCAACUAUUUGUAAGUAUAGGAAUGAUUAGUUUUGCAUUUAUAGAGUGAUGAUGUUGAUUGAAAUAUUUAUAAAAAUACAUAAGCUCAAAUUUUUUUAUUUGGAGGUCUACUACUUCAGCACAAAUUUCUCCUCAAAACGCUUUUAGUUGAAGUCUUUUAUGUGUACAUGUGUUUGAUAUUCUUUUAUAGGAAAUGUUCUCAGUAUAAGUGUUUUUUUAGAAAAUUAGCUUUCUUUUCCACGAAUUUGUUUUUUCUAACCUUUUUUAAAGUAAUUUCAAAAUUUUGUUAAUUUUAUUUUUUCUUCAAAAACAUUUUUUAGACUUAUAAGUACUUUCUAAAAGUAUUUUUAGAGUGUUUUUAGCAGGCAAUUCUAUUUAAAUGCUUUUAGUAAAAGUUUUUUUAAAAAAAAUAUUUUUGGGAAAAUUAUCAAGUAUUUCUCAAAGAAUUACUAUAAGUGUUUUUUUUUUUUUUACUUUUUAUAAGUAAUUCUAAAUUCUUUAUCAAAUGCCUUAAUUUUUAUUUUUUUUUAUUUUUUUUAUUUUUAUAAAGACACAUUUUAUACUUCCCAAACAAACUGUAACAUUACUUGAGGUUGUUAACAUAUUAGAACAACGGGCAUAUAUUUGUUUGCUCAAAAUAAAAAUAAACUAUUGCUUUCUAGGGCUUUAUUUAUAAGUUGGUUUUAUUCAAGUACAUCAUUUGGGCAGCCGACUAUGUGUCAUGAAUAAGGAGAAAAUAGGAAAUUCGAGUAUUGAUUUGACCAAAUAAGCAGUCAAUUUAUAUGGAUGACAUCUAUAUUAAUUUAAUGGGCAUGCAAUUUAAGUUUCUUUCACUUUUCAUUCAUUAGUGGGUUUUAUUUACAAAUUAAAUUAUUAAUAUUAUUGUUAUUAUUGUCGUUUAUUACUAAUAUUAUUGUUUUUUGUUGUUGUUUAUAGUAGUUGCAAUGACAUUAGUAUAAAAAGAAUAGUAGAAUAACAAUUAUAUUGAGUUAGAAUUUAUGAUAAAUGGUAGAAUGAACUUAUUAAAACCCAAUUAAUGAGUUUUACUAUUUUAGAUCAAUUUAUGAGAAUCUAUAUCUAAAAUAAUUUAGUCAAAAUUUAUUACUAAUUUUUCAAUUUUCAAGAUUCAAUCCGCAUUAAUGUUACAAAAAUUAAUCAAUUUAUUUGAAAUUUUGUGUGAAUAAUUAUAUAACAAGUAACAAUAAAAUUAAUGACUAUUACUAUCUAUUAACGAGCUUCAAAAAUUUCAAUUAACCAAUCUCUUGUGUAUCAAUAGAACAACUUAAUCAAAUUCUAAAAAUAAUUUGAUUAAUUAAGUAACAAGUAACAAGUAACAAAAUUAUUUAACCAAUUUUAUUUGAGAACAAGUUGAUCAAAUAGUUUGAUUAAUUAUGUAACAACUACCAAUAACAAAAUUAUGUAACAUAAAUUGUUUAGUAGGUAUUCAACUUCCGAGUUUGUGUGCAUAUAUAUAUAGACAAUAAAGAACAUAGGUUAGGAAGUUAAUUCUUUAUAGAUGAUGCUAAAGGAAAUCAACUCAACUCAAAAUAAAAUACAAAUGAAUAACUUGUUUACAAGCCUUUAAUUUUUAAUUUUUAUCAUAUAAAUGAAUAAUAAGGAGAUGAUGUUGUGGGAUAAAUAAGUUUCGAAGCUUGAGGAAUUGAACAUGGGGUUUUUAAUCUAAAACUUCUUAUAUUAAGAGGUUGAGUACUAUAUCUACAAUGAGGCUUCAUGCAUUACAAGGUAUACAAUGAAUGUCAAAGAAAAUUUUUUUUGCUCCUACAAGGUUUCUAAUUGCCAUGGGCUGUUAAAGAGUUUUUAAAAUGUGCAUGAAUGAUAAAGUAAUAUCUCGAUUCAUAAUCAUUGUCCUCCAUUAUGGCACUAAAUUUCCAUUUUAACAAAAUUCAUGUUUUAAUUUUUUUUCUCAUGCAUACUUGAUACAAAGGAAAGUGUCCUAAAAAUGUAAAUGAACUAAUAUCUUUGAUAUAUUCUAUUCUACUUUAAUUUAUUUCUCGUAAAGAUGUCAAAAUUAAUGUGUUUUAUUUACAAUUGUGGCUCAUUACUUAACGUGUUGUCCUUUUAUAAUUGGCAGGUAUGAGUCCAAUCAAAUUAAAGAAAUAACUAAUAACAUAUUUCGUCAAUUGAAAUGUAAGAGGCUUGAUGUUGGUGCCAAUUUAGUUGGUAUAGGUUCCCGUGUAAAAGAGAUGAUUUUGCGAUUGCAUAUGGAAUCAAGUGAUGUUCGUAUUGUUGGGAUAUGUGGAGUUGGUGGGAUAGGUAAGACAACAAUCGCAAAAGUUGUUUAUAAUGAACUUUCUUGUGAAUUUGAAUGUAUGAGCUUUCUUGAAAAUAUUGGGGAGGUUUCCAAUACCCAAGGUUUAUCUCACUUACAAAAUCAACUUCUUGUUGAUGUCCUAGAGGGAGAGGUGAGUCAAAAUAUGAAUGGUGUUGCCCACAAAGCAAGUAUGAUAAAGGACAUUCUCUCAUCUAAAAGAGUUUUAAUGGUUCUUGAUGAUGUAGAUCAUCCAAGUCAAUUAGAAUAUUUACUUGGACAUCGUGAAUGGCUUGGAGAAGGAAGUAGAGUCAUCAUAACUACUAGAAAUAAACAUGUGUUAGCUGUACAAAAAGUGGAUAACUUAUAUGAGGUUAAGGGAUUGAAUUUUGAAGAAGAUUGUGAACUUUUCAGUUUGUAUGCCUUUAAACAAAAUCUUCCCAAAUCAGAUUACAGAAACCUCGCAUGUCGUGUUGUAGGCUAUUGUCAAGGGCUUCCAUUAGCUCUAAAAGUUCUAGGUUCUCUCUUAUUCAACAAGACAAUACCUGAAUGGGAAAGUGAAUUGCAUAAAUUGGACAGAGAACCUGAAGCGGAAAUUCACAAUGUGCUUAAACGAAGCUAUGAUGGAUUAGAUCGUACAGAAAAAAAUAUAUUUCUUGAUGUUGCAUGUUUUUUUAAAGGUGAAGAUAGGGAUUUUGUGUCAAGAAUAUUGGAUGGUUGUGAUUUCCAUGCAAAAAGAGGAAUAAGAAAUCUAAAUGAUAAGUGUCUUAUAACUCUCCCAUACAACGAAAUACGUAUGCAUGAUUUGAUACAACAUAUGGGCUGGGAAAUUGUUCGUGAAAAAUUUCCUGAUGAGCCAAACAAAUGGAGCAGAUUGUGGGAUCCCUGUGAUUUUGAACGUGCACUUACAGCAUAUGAGGUAAGAGCCAAGUGCAUGAAUUCACUUAAGCACUAGUUGAAGAUAUAAACUUCAAUAAUAUCAUUGUUGUAUAAGAAAUUACAUAUCCAUAUAAGUUGAAUUAGUUUGUAUUUAUGUUUGUCUUAUCGAUGUUCUUUUUCAGGGAAUAAAAAGAGUUGAAACAAUAUCCUUGGACUUGUCUAAAUCAAAAGGAGUAUGUGUGAGUUCAAAUGUUUUCGCAAAGACGACUAGACUUCGAUUGCUCAAAGUUCAUUCAGGUUUCCAUAUAGAUCACAAAUAUGGAGAUCUUGACAGUGAGGAGGAGAUGUAUUAUUGUUAUGGUGUAAUUGCACAUGCUUCUAAAAUGCAACUUGACCGGGGUUUUAAAUUUCCUUCUUAUGAGUUAAGGUAUCUUUGUUGGGAUGGAUAUCCUUUAGAUUUUUUACCAUCAAACUUUGAUGGAGGGAAGCUUGUUGAACUUCACUUGCACUGUAGCAACAUAAAACGGUUGUGGCUAGGGAAUAAGGUAUUAUUAUCAUUUAAUAAUGACUUCUUUUUCUUUGUAUUGAUUUUGAAAUUUAUGAUAGUUAUGUCUUUAUUGACACUAAUUUUCUUUUUGUACAGGAUCUUGAAAGGUUAAAGGUCAUUGAUCUAAGUUACUCAAGGAAGCUCAUUCAAAUGUCAGAAUUCUCAAGAAUGCCAAAUUUGGAGAGUCUAUUUCUUAAUGGUUGUGUAAGCUUGAUCGAUAUUCACCCAUCUGUUGGAAAUCUGAAGAAGCUUACUACCUUAAGCUUGAGAAGCUGUGAUAAGCUUAAGAAUCUGCCGGAUAGCAUUUGGGACUUGGAAUCUCUUGAGAUUCUUAAUCUCUCUUAUUGCUCAAAGUUUGAGAAAUUUCCAGGGAAGGGGGGGAACAUGAAAAGUUUAAGGAAGCUUCAUUUAAAAGAUACUGCUAUUAAGGAUCUGCCUGAUAGCAUUGGAGACUUGGAAUCUCUUGAGAUUCUUGAUCUCUCUGAUUGCUCAAAGUUUGAGAAAUUUCCGGAGAAGGGAGGGAACAUGAAAAGUUUAAACCAGCUUCUUUUAAGAAAUACUGCUAUUAAGGAUCUGCCUGAUAGCAUUGGAGACUUGGAAUCUCUUGAGUCUCUUGAUGUCUCUGGCUCAAAGUUUGAGAAAUUUCCGGAGAAGGGAGGGAACAUGAAAAGUUUAAACCAGCUUCUUUUAAGAAAUACUGCUAUUAAGGAUCUGCCUGAUAGCAUUGGAGACUUGGAAUCUCUUGAGUCUCUUGAUCUCUCUGAUUGCUCAAAGUUUGAGAAAUUUCCGGAGAAGGGAGGGAACAUGAAAAGCUUAAAGAAGCUUCGUUUAAGAAAUACUGCUAUUAAGGAUCUGCCUGAUAGCAUUGGAGACUUGAAAUCUCUUGAGUUUCUUGAUCUCUCUGAUUGCUCAAAGUUUGAGAAAUUUCCGGAGAAGGGAGGGAACAUGAAAAGGUUAAGGGAGCUUCAUUUAAAAAUUACUGCUAUUAAGGAUCUUCCCACCAACAUUUCUAGGUUGAAAAAACUUAAAAGACUUGUCCUCAGUGACUGCUCAGACCUGUGGGAAGGAUUAAUAAGCAAUCAGCUUUGCAAUCUGCAAAAACUUAAUAUCAGUCAAUGCAAAAUGGCUGGACAAAUUCUGGUGCUUCCUUCAAGUCUAGAAGAAAUAGACGCAUACCAUUGCACAAGCAAGGAAGAUUUAUCAGGUCUGCUCUGGCUUUGCCACCUCAACUGGUUGAAAUCCACAACAGAGGUAAUUUAAUAUAUAUAUAUAUAUAUAUAUAUAUUUUAAUUAUGCCACUUAAACCUUUUUUUUAUAUAUAUAAAGUCAAUAUUUACAUAAUAAUUUGUUCAGGAGUUGAAAUGCUGGAAACUCGUUGCUGUUAUUCGUGAAAGUAAUGGAAUUCCAGAGUGGAUAAGGUAUCAGAACAUGGGAAGUGAAGUAACAACAGAGCUUCCAACGAAUUGGUAUGAAGAUCCUCACUUCCUAGGAUUUGUCGUAUCAUGUGUUUAUCGGCAUAUUCCUACAUCUGAUUUUGAUUACCGUGAUGUUGAUCUCAUGUGUGAAUUGAAUUUACAUGGCAAUGGAUUUGAAUUCAAGGGUAAAUGCUAUCGGUAUGAUUCGCCUGGUAAUUUUAAAGAUUUGAUAGAUCAAGUAUGUGUUUGGUGGUAUCCUAAGAUUGCUAUUCGGAAAGAGCAUCACCAUAAAUACACACAUAUUAAUGCUUCAUUUAGGGGUCAUUGGACAGAGAUAAAAAAAUGCGGCAUCGAUCUUAUAUUUGCGGGAGAUCAACAAAAUCAUAUGCCCAUGUUGGAGCAUCCUCAGAAUUCUGGUGACAAUGGAUCAGCAUUACAAGAUACCGAUGGUAAUGUUCAUGGGGCUAAUCAAGAUGAUGAACACUACCAUAUUCCCAUGUUGUUAGAUCUUCCUGGGAAUUUUGGUGACAUUGGAUCAGUAAUGUUCAUGGGGCUAAUCAAGAUGAUGAAGGCACUGAUGGAAACCGUAAGAGAAGACGUGAUGAUUCCCUACCCGAUGUAGUGGAGGAGCCACAUUAUAAAAGAUUGGGAGCACCCAACACCGAUCCCUUGCUUUGAACUCCAUCACCAGGUGCAUUAUCAACCCUUUUUCAUAUAUUCCAACUUCUCUCCUUUUGAAAUUAUUUUUAAAGUCAAUAAACCAUUUUUAUAUGUUUUUUUUUAAACUCAUUUCACUUGUUUUCCUCAAUUAUAUAAAAAUUAAAUAAUUUAAAAAUAGAUAAAAUUUUAAUCAAUUUUAAUUACAUUUUAUUUUCUUUCAUAUUUUCUAUAGGAAAACCAAGUAUAAAAAUAUGAAAAAUAACUUCGGCUAACUUUGAAAGUCAUCUUUAGUUUAAAAACAUGUAUAGUUUUUUUUAGAUAUGGCAUAGAUAUGAUAGAGUAAAUAGCUUUUUUUUUUCAUUAUUUAUUUAUUUAAUUAGAUAAAUGAAAACCUCUACAAAGUGAUUAUGAAGUUCUAGGGAUUCUUUAUUACCUUAUUAGACAUAAUAUUAAUUAAUUAAUUAAUUAAUUAAUUUUUUCUACUUGCUUUUAAGAUAAAAUUUCAAUAAGUUAUCAAAAUUAGUUAGAGAAGAUCAUGUAUACAAAUUAGAAGUUAAAUUUGAAUGUAUUAUGAGGUAGAUGUAUGUAGAAACUUGAUGCAAGUAAAUAAUAAAACUCCCAUAUAGUGAUUUUAAUAGUUUUAAGAGUCAAAUUGUUUAUGGUUUUUGUAUUUAAGAAUUAAAUUUCUUUAAGCAUGCUAAAACAUGUUUAAACAUGCAUACUUAUUGUCUAUUUCCCGAGAUGGGAGUUUUGGAUUAAUCUUAUAUUUACUUAUGAGUCUGAUAUGCUCAUGAAGUUUACCUAACAAUUGAUCAUACUAAUCUUAAGUGAAAUUUGUGAUAGUGCCAAUCAGAACGAAAUCACAUGGGGUUGCUGGGGGUGGAGUUUAUGUUUUUUUCUAUCAACUUAUUGGUAAGUCAUUUUGUUCAUUUAUUCUUUUAGUACGUGUAGAAAAUUGAUUAUAGUUCUUCAACUUCUUUACUAUUUUCUCUUUCCCUUGAUCCCUUUUUUGUUCUAUUAUGUUUGGUUUUUGAAAAACUUGAGGGUAAAUAUAAAGGAAAGAAAAUAGAGAAAAAAAAUUAAAAGGAAAUACAAAGUGAAAAAGAAUAAAAACUAGAUUUAAAGUUAAUUAAUUAUUUUUAUAUGUUUCUUCAAUCUUAUUUCAAUUAUUAUGCUUCAUUAUAUAAAAAUUAAAUAAUUUUAAAAUGUAUAUAGUUCUAACAAAUUUUAAUUAUAUUUAAUUUUUUUUCCAUAUUUUUCAUAAUGAAACCAAACAUUUAUCAUUUUCCUUGACAUUUUUUAUUGUUUUCUUGGUACUCGAUGGGAACCAAACAUAAGUUGAAAACCACUAGGGUAGCGAACAUUGCGAAGUGUGGCCCCAGUAAGUGGUACAUGGUUCAGGGUUCAAAUUCUACCACCAAUGAUACCUUGAAUUUACCUAGUACUAGUUGUCGUGGGUGAUUAGCACUCUGAGGUUUGGGUCCCCAUAGAGAGUUUUAAGGGCUUGGUCAUGGAAGGUUCGAUUAUUAAAAAAAAAAAAAAAAAAAGUCGUAGGCAAUCCACAAUUAACUAGGAUAUAUAUUUGUUCUCAUGUGCUUGGUAUAAGGCACUAAGUAUCAUUAUAUUAAAUUAAAUCCUUCAUCUACACCAUAAGAGUUAGUUAUAAAUUCCUUGCUAUUGAUAUAGGUAAACAACAAUUUAUAUAUGUUUGAAUUAAUUCUUAAGUUAAUGGUUAAUACCAUUAAAUAUGUUUUUAGUUCCUUUGACGAUUAUGUUAUAAUUUAAACAUUUUAGGGCUAUGAUUCUAGCUUCAUUAGCAUGAAGUGUAUCUAAUGAUAUGUGAUUCCCUAUCACUAUGUUUGGUUCCAAGAAAUUAUAAGGGAAGAAAAAUCCUCGUGAAAAUGAUUUUCUCAUGAAAAAAUCCAAGAAAGUAUGAAGGAAAAUGAAAAUGAUUCUCGGAAAUCAAACGCAACCGUGUGAAAUAUACUUGGGUUAAUAAUUAUAAUGUGUGUUUAUUAUACUAUGUUUAUGAAAUUGAAAUGUUGUAUUUUAUAAUUUGUUUGUAGGUAGAAACCUCAGGACAAUGAGGAGAAGUAAAUCUCAAGAUGCAAGUGAGAUUCCAAAUGUUGCUAAGGUGGUCUACUCUUGCAUAUGAUCAGUCUUGCUUACCAUCAUGACCAUCAAGAAAGAUGCUACAAUUUGUGUAUUGAAAGUGUGAAUUAGGAAUGUUAAAAAAUGAAAACUUGAAUUGACAUGUUUUUGCCUAUAAGAUGUGUGGUUAUAGGCCAUUCUUAUGGGUAUAUAAUUGACCUUGAUGUUGCAUAUGAAGCAUAUCACCCUCUCUAUAUCUUCAAGCUAGUGGUUAGAGCUUCUCUGGAUAGUGAAAGACAAGUGUCAUGGAUUUAAGUAUUUUCAAAGCUCUUAUGUGGCACAUAGACAAUUCAAGUCUCUUGAAGUUGUUAAUUCUUUCAUGUUGUGACAAAGGUCUCUAUCACAUUUCACACAUUAUAACCAUCACAUUUUAUCUCGAGUGUUUAUUUUGAAAUACUUUUGUAUUAAACUUUUUUUCAAAAGUAUUAAAUUAAUACCAUUCUUUAGUCUUACUCGACUAGGUUCAUUAACUUUAGGGGUUUAUUACUCAAGAGCCAACAUUCAACUUAAUCAUUUAUUAACAAAUUCUCUAAUGUUAUGAUUGGUUUUUGAAAAAAUUGAGGAAAAUAAAAUAAAGAGAAAAAAUAAAAGGAAAAAAAUUUGAAGAAGCAUAAAAAAAAUUAUAUUUAAAAUUAAUAAAUUAUUUUUAUUUGUUAUUUCAAACCCAUUUUAUACAUAAUUUUAAUAUUAUUUAUUUAUUUUCCCAAUUUUUCAUGAGAUAUCAAAUAUUAAAAUAUUAUUUUUUUUAAUACUUUUUGGGAACUAAAUAUAACCUAAUAUUUGUCUUUGUGAUUCAAGAUACCAAUGAUAAAAUCAUACCUAUUAAUGUGGUCUGUAAACAUGUAUGGAAUAUUCAUGGUUUAAUACUAUCACUACAUUACAAUUGUGGGAUAGAUCCUAGUAUAUAGUAGAAGCAAAGAAGGAUUUUAUUCUAAAAUUAAUAGAAAAAAUAUAAUUUGAUAAUGUAAUUUUAAACAUCUUUUGGAUGGUGUUUUGUAAACCAACUUAAUAAUUUAAUAUAACUUAAUAGCUUAAUUUAUUAUUAAGUAGAUUAACUAUGUUUGGUAAAAUAAAUUAAUAUUAUAAUAUAAAUUUAGUGUUAAGUCAAAAUAGUUAUUAGGUAAAUCAACUUAAUAUUAUAAUAUAAUAUGAUUUAAUAAUUUAAUUUAAGUCAUUAAAGAGAUUAAGCAUACUUGAUAAAAUAACUUAAUACUACAACUUAAAGUUAUUUUUAACUUUAAAUAAUAAGUCAAAAGGGUCAAUUUCAUUAAAACCCCCUGAGGUUUGGUAUAAAUAUACUCGACUACCAUUGAUUUCAAAUUUCAUCAAUUAACACACUUAUAAAUUUAUUUUAUUUAAAAAAUUUAUUUUUUAAAGAGAUUUCAAUUAAAAAUAUUUUAGUUAGGAGUGUUUAACAAUUCACUAAAAUCUAAAUUUUAUUAUUUAAAAGCUAAAAUUUAUAUAUAUAAUACUAUGGACCCCGCAUUUCGGCUCAAUGCGUUUCCCACUCGAUGGUGAGCUCGAUUUUUAUUUGAAAAAUUGAUUUUUAUUGAUUAUUUGAAAAUGACUUGGAGUCGCCACUUAUUUUUGUUUUAUUUUUAAAGGGUAAACAAAAUAAGAAAGAAAAACCCUAAGUGUGACUCCUUAUUUUGGAAAAGGUGGUCUGUGAAAAACCGGAUCGGGUUCGGGGGUCAGGUUACUUAUCGGGAAGGUACGGUAAAGACCGUAGCACCCCUCUAAGUCCCUAAAGUCGGGUCUCUACUAAUGAGAUGAAGCUGACAUGGCAAUGGAUGAAUAAAUCAAUGAAUACUCAGAGCAAAACAUGCACAUACGGGAGUCAGAAAAUGCAUAUAGACUAAUCAGAGUAGGAAUGAGUGUGUACCUGUGCAGCGAGCCACUAUGCGCUAUCAAGAGAGAGGGUUAGUGCAAAAUAAAGUGCACAAACAUAACUCACAUGUCACAAAAUCGAGUACAAAAUCAUCAAAGGCACGCAUGACACUUCACUCAAAAUUCAUUUUUAUUUUAAAGAAAAAAUAUUUGAUGUUGGGCCCCCACCAAAGUCCGAUUUAUUUUGCAUUAACCAAAUCCGUAAAUUCCAUCAUUACGAAUUACAAAAUUUGAUUUUUGCUUAUUUUAAAACAUUUUUUAAAAAACAAAAGAGAUGUGAAAAUGGCUUGCCAAGAAGAAGAGUGGGAGCAAAUUUUUAUUGGAAAGUGAGACUUUUGGAACCUAAAGAUUCCAAUGAGGAAAUAUGAGAGAAUUGGAGUUAUUUGAAAACCAGAUUUUGAGAAAAAUGCUUGCAAAAUGGGACUAGGAGCAAUGGUUAAGAAUAGAGAAUGAGGAAAUGAAAGGUGAGGACUCAUGGUCAAAAGCUGCAUGUCUGAGGUGGCCAUGCAAAAAGUGGUCAUGCAAAGGGGAAAUAUGCAAGAGUGGGCCCAGUAUGGGAGAGUACUUCUGUUGCCUACUCCAGGUCAGUUUUCUCCCCUAUCUCAGUGGCUGAACCCGGAACUGCAGCAACAAGAGCCGCUUCAAACCCCUUGCUGUCUGGCAACAAGUCUGCCCACUUGUCCCCAUCUUCUUCGGAUGAAAGAGAUCGCCUUCUAGUCUUAUUUUCUGGUUCCAUGGAUUCCAUCAAAGGCUUUCUGAACGACCCUGUUUCGUGCACUCCUAUCGAAUUAGCAGCAUGCCCUGAUCUUGUCCUCUUAAGGGACUCCUGCAGUGGUUUUCCAAUUGGGUCCUUGGUCAGCUUUGAUGAGUAGAAUGGCAAUACCGCGACAUUGAGUGAGUGCACAUGAACAGCUGUUGGUUUGGUGGUCUUCUAUCUAGGAAGAACCUUCAUGAAUCUGUUGGUGUCAAAGUUCUCAUUCUCAAACGGUUCUUCCUUUCCCAGUCACCUCCCUCUUCAAAUGAGUUCUUUGCCUUGUAAACAUAAGACAAUUACUGAUGUGAGAGGGUACUCUAAAGAAGUCCAUCACGAACCUGAGUAGCUACAUCGCGAACAGCUCCGGGUCCAUGGGGGAUGAACACAACUGAGGAUUUAGAAACAGCACCGAUUUCUUUCGUGGUGUCGAAGUGUUGUGUGACAAGGACCAGGUCCGUCACAUAAUUUGUAGUGGUGCCUGGAACAUGGACUGAGAAGCCUAACACACUGUCUUUCAAGCCAUCAACAAUUUCUUGACGCUGACGAGCAAUACCAAGCCUUGAUAGAUACUUGGACUCAGCCUCACCCUCUGCAUGCUUGAUUUACAAAAUUUUCUCUGCCUCCGCCUUCUCAUUGGUUGCCACUCCCAGUCUUGCAGUAGCAUUGAUUUCAUUCAUUAUUUGUGUCACAUGCUCAUCUGAUUCUAUAUCAACAGUGAGUGCUUGAAUUCGCCACCAAGCUUGUAUAGCUUACACCAUGAUAAGGGUGACUUGGUAGGAAGAUGUCAAAAGAGGGAUGGCCAAAGCAAUCUAAUAGCAAGUCUCGAAUCUGGGCUGGUCAUUUAUCACCAUAGAUGAUAGGCGGCUUGAUAUAACGGGACCCGUAAGGUUGGACCCAUCCACUGACGGUGAAGGCGGAACCUGAUACUUGCUUCCCAAAGUGUUCAACCAUACCAUUUCUCUCUGGGGUAAUCAUAACAGCAUCCACAUGCUCGGCGUCAUGCUCGAGUGAUUGGACAAGCUGUGUUGGGGCGUCAAAAUCAGGGGUGUUGAGCCACUGCCCGUGAGAUAUGUCAACUGGGGGUUCUUUUCUUCAAGCUAAAUGGGUACACCUGAACAAAAAUCUACUGCUUCCUUGAAGGGGUCACAUGGGACAUUGGAGAAGAAAGGAACCAAUGGCAUCAGCAAAUUCAAUAGGUGACGCGCCAACGCAUUCAUCUCCUUCUCACCUGGAUCCUUAGCCACCAAAAAUGGUCAUCAUCAAUAAUGACCACAGGUUACAUCCAUGUCAGUACUUCAGGUGGGUGCCCUUCUGACAUCACCACUACAUGAGCAUCCCAUGAAUCUCAGCACUGAAGCUGCAGCAGCAGGCGACAAAACUUCCUCACCCAUCAAGCAUGCUACAUUUAUCUUAUAUAUCAAUGCUGCACUCUGAAGCUCCCCCAGCUAUGUCUGAAUUUCCUUCCACAAGUGCUGCCACAAGAAUUCCAAUUUUCUGACUUCGUUAUCACUCAUUUGCAUUUCGGACAGGUCAUCACGCUUGAUCCAGAGUUGAGUGUUUUUGGGCAAAUUAUGAAGAUUCCACUUAUGAAUAGGAGUAGGCACAUGAGCGAAGGACUGCAGCACCGACUUUGGGAACAUUGACCUUAGGUCCAUUUGGUUUCAUUUUUGGAGUGGGUGCAGCCACUUGGCCAUGAGUACAGAUCCAAAGCCACGUGGGCACCACUUCCAAUUGCUUCUGGAACAGCUUAAAACAAUUCAGACUUAGAAUUCUGGAUAUCAAAAGCUGAUUUGUACAAACUCCUGCUUUCUAGAGGGAAUAUACGCCUUAAUGCAGUAGAGGUUUUGCCACAACUGGAAACCGGGGAGGUGCACUGAUCAUCUAUGUCCAAGCAGGUAUCGACAUUAUGAUGUAUGCCAUCACAAGAAAGUCCACCAUUUACGCUUAAAGCAUUAUCAUCAGGAGAUUUGCAGUCAAAUGCAUCUGAAUACCUCACUUCAAGGAAGCAUGAUUGAAGGGAGAGGUUCCUUUUAAGUCUUGAAAGAGGAGACUUGUUGAAUGCCAUUCUCUUUCUUCUAUACCCAGCAAUUUGACAGGACGAAACCCAAGUUCUUUUGAGCAGUGCUCCAAGUGAUUUCAAGUGAGAAAGCUGAGCAACCCCCUUCAAGCAAACAUAGCUUUGUUUCCAGCAAAUAAGUCCUGAUAUCUGCUCUUGAAAUCAUUCCCCUCUGAUCAAAUUGAAUCUCCACAAACUUACCAAACCGACUUGAAUUAUUGUUUCUGACAGUCUUUGCAUUACCAAAUGCUCCUAGAACUGGACCCUUCCCUUUGACAGGCUCAUCUCCAUGAGAACCAAAUUUUAUGGGCUCGGUAACUCCAGGUUCUUGACCGAAUUUCCCAUUCUCCUUGUCAUGCAGCAAAGCAUUUUCUUCAGUUCCAGCCUCCACAGUUGCCGAGGCCGCUUCAAAUCCCACAACCUCCACACCUAUGGUGUCGCCAAAUGAAAUAGAAAGCGCUUGAGAAUCGUUGUAGUGGUUCCAAUGGGAACUUGGCCAUCAAGUGAACCUGAUACCAGAAGCUGAAGUUCAUGCUUUGUACCCUUCCAUUCCCCCCAUCAUCAGCAAUUCCAAUGGAAACAGUAGGAGAGCCUCAAGACUGUGUAUCCAUUCGACAACUGGAGGUACAUCAACCACUUUCUGAUGAGUUGGAACAGGAUAUCCAUCAUUAAAUGGCUGAGUAAAUUGACAUCAUCUGUCACCUCUGUCCCUUAGUCAGGAUGCAGAACUCUUCCCCAAUAAUUCUGCAACUGCAAUCACAGGUGCCCCACUACUGCCAGUUCCUCCACCUUCUUGUGCUUAGACCAUGAUAUUGGUGUCUUUGUGAAAGGUUCAAUUCCAGCAUAAUCAGGUGGUAAUAUCUCAACUAUGUAGACAUCAUCUUUCAGUGCCUUCAUGAAGUGUUGCCAAUCAAACAGAUCCUUAAAGUCACCGGCAAACUUCUUAUCCAAGAUCAUCUGGGACAACUUUCUCUCCACAUGAUCUACUGGCAUCUCAAUCAGCUCAGCAACAUAUACUUGAGGCUAAACACUGCCCGAGGCUCUCCAAGAGCGUAGAAAGCUUCAAAAGCUUCCAAGAAAUAGCUACAAGCAGUUUUAUAAUCUGUUUCUUCUACAUGAAGAAUCCCAUUCUGCAAAUCCAUAGUACCUUGUUGAGCAGGAGGUACAUAAAUAGCAUUGGCUGAUAUUCUUGCCGCUGUAAGGGUAGCCCUGGCUUUUGGGAGGUUUCUCAGAGAAAAAUGGAGUUUGCUCUCCAACAAAUCUAUGUCCGCAAGCAGGAGCUUGUCAUCCAGUCUGCAAAUCAGGUUCAGAGACUGUGCCCAUAUGAAAAUCAAAGGUAAUACCGGCCAUGACCCUUCUCCUUGGUGGUAUGAAUAGCUUCCGAGAACAGAGAGUGAAUAGCAAGGGAACCAGCACGAAAACAGAGCAUCCAGAUGAACUUAAGGAAACAAUUGCAUGAGCCUCUUCUUAUAUUGAAGUCAGUAGGUUCAUGUAUAGGUGGGAAAACCAGGUAGAAACAAAAUCCAAAGAUAUGACUCAACCACACAAAGAAGAGCUAAAAAGGAAUUAGAUCAUUCUAAAACAAAUUUUCUAUGAAGAACAAAGCAUGGAUACAUUAUCACAUAGUCACAGCAACCCCAAAAGAUAUCAAUGGCAAGCAAAAUGUGGUUCAGCAAACGUACCUGAGGAUGCUCCUUUCCUCUAUUCUCUCCUCCUUCAACUGAACAAACCUCUCUAGCAGCUUUCCCCUAAGCUCCAGGGAUCUCCUCUCUCCCAAAGCUCUCUGCUACUACUCACAAUGCUCUCCUUGUUCUCUCUGGUCCUUUUCCCUCAGCUCCCCGUCCUCCCCUGAAAAUGUCUCUCGCCCCCUUACUCCUUAAUCUCUGGUUUUUUCUCCUCAAGCUAAGCAAUCCCCCCCAAAAAAAUAUCUCCUUCCUCUGCAAAAGCAUCCCCCCUUGCAAAAUCCCUCAGGCUAGCAUCCAAAAAAACCCCUCACUGCAGCUAGCCUGCUCAAGACUCUCCUCCUCUCAACUUCUCUCAGACUAGCAUGAAAAGCUCUCUCAAAAUAUCUUUUUCCCCUCUCCAUCUCCAGCUUGCUCCCCUCGAAUGUCUCUCUAAGCUCUCCUAAAAAAAAAAAACCUACCUCUCUGCUCCCCUCAAACCUCCCUCAAAGAAAGCUCCUCCGUCGUCCUCCCCUCUCUCUGAAAACUCCUCUCAAAAUAUCUCUCACCGCCCUGCAGCCAAAACGCUGCUCCCUAACAGAAACGUACCUCCUCUGCAUAUCCUCCAACAGGUAUCCCCUUCUCAUUCGUCCAUCAACUCCAUUAAGCUGAUUCCUCAGCAACCAACCAGGAGGCAGCACUUGGCUUUCAAAGAGCCCUCCAGCUGGCAAGUGAGCUGCAAAAAUGAGAGAAAAGAGCAUGCCCCAAAUGGGGGUCUACAAAUACAUUUACAGAUGUGCUAAUUGAUGAAAUUUGAAAUCUACGAUGGCUUAAUGUACUUACACUAAACCUGAACGAUUUUAAUAAAAUUAACUCUAAGUCAAAAUACGAUGCUUUAAAUAUGAAUAUUUAACAAAUAAAUCUUUUGUUUAAUAUUAGUGAAAAUAUAAUUAUUAGUUAAAAUUAAUAAGAAUAAAUAUAUCAAUUUGACUAUUUAGAAUAAAUCUUAAAUUAACUUUACUAAAUAAUCUUAAUACUUAAAAUAAAAAAUAAUUAAUAAGUUUUAAAUUUACAACUUAAGAACCAUUUAACUUAAAACCAACUUAAAUCAUUAAGCAAUAAGUUUUACCAUACACCCACUUAAACAUAGCUUUUAAAUGAAUUAUUUAAUCAAAAGACAAAUAUUAAAAUAUAAAAAAUAAAAAUAAAAAUAAGGGAACAUGCACAAUGCAAAUAGACAUCAUAAAGUCUUUCACAUGAUUUUAUUCCUUUUUUGUUCACCUUUUUAGAAAACAAUUUUAAUAUUUCCUAGGAAAAUUAUGAUAACACGAAAUUGGUGUUUCCGUAUUUUCUAUUUUUAAAACUCUAUUUUCUGAAAUAUUGAUUUAUGUUUUCUUUACAAAUGAAAACAAUUUAAACAAAAAGGUGCUUUAUAGUUUCCAUUUUUAAAAAUGAUUUUCACUUAUUUUGACUUAAGGCAUUUUCAAGAUAAGACAAAAAUAGGAAUAAAAGCUAUUUUUAGAGAAUAAAAAUAAAUGAAAAAUGAAAAACAUUUUCCAACCGAAACCCAUUGUUAAUGUUUUCAUCUCAUUGCACCUUUUUCUAAUCUCCAUCCCACUCUUUGAUGGGCCAACUCGGAAAAAUGGAAAGUUAUAUCUUGACACUUGCUUUAAUUUAUAUUUGUUAAAUUGGUUUUGACAUACAUUUUUUAUAAUAAAAGCAAAACAAUAGCCCGAGUUACAAACAUGAUUUCCAUGGUUUUUUAGGUCUUUAAUCACAUAAAGUAUUGAUUCCCAAAUAAUAGAUGCUCUAAAUUUAGUGCAUAGGGCAUUCAGACUCUCAGUUCCAUAAUCCAUUUUCAUUUUCUCACCUGCCAAAACCCUAUUGAACAAAUUUCCAUUGAACCUUCAGAUCCAUCCCAUGCUCCAUUGUCAAUCCUAGGCUCAUCUUUAUACCAUUCUCAACCCAAGCCACAUUGUUACCAUAGGGCAAGUUGCUAGUACCAAAUAUUUAAGACAAGUAUACAUACAAUACAAAUCAGUCCAUUACCCUAAAAGAAAAGGAAAAAGAAAAAGAACUUGUGUCGCAGAAAGGAAUAAUCUAUUGGGUCAGUGGCUUGUAUCCAAAGUGAUACCAAACUGUGCUGACAAGGAGCCUUUGUAAGAAUCUGAUACAGCUCCUGCUGUUUCUGAAAGGUUGCUCUUCAUCUCUGAAAUUUUUGAUGCCAUGUGCUCUUUGUAUUUCGAAACUGAAUCAACCAAAGCAUAGAGUUCCCAAGCACAUAUCUGAAUUUCUUCCUCAUUUUGCUUGAUUGCUUCCUGCAACUUCAAUUUGGACG